rnacentral:lncRNA from 1 species
AUGAUUGGGGAAGAGUAUUUCAACAUUUUAGCAGCACGCUCUUUCUUUCAAGAAUUUAAGAAAAAUGAUGAUGAUGAUAUUAUGAGUUGCAAGAUGCAUGACAUAGUACAUGAUUUUGCUCAAUUUGUAGGUAGCAAAGAAUGUUUGUGGCUAGAAAUUAAUGGUACCAAAGAAUCAGUCAUAAACUCUUUUGGUGGGAAAGUCUGUCACUUAGGGUUAAAGUUUAAAGGACGUGCUUCAUUUCCUAUGUCCAUUCAUGGACUUAAUAGAUUGCGUACCCUUUCAGAAUGAUGAAAGUCUUUUCAAUCCGUCUCUUAAUAACAGCAUCCUUUCAGAAUUAUUUAGUAAAUUGGCGUGUUUAAGGGCAUUAGUUAUAAGCCAAUCGUCCCUAAAUUUUCCUUCUUUUCAUCUUGACCCAUAUAAGAUUAGAGAAAUUCCAGAAAAUGUCGGAAAAUUGAUACAUUUAAAAUAUCUUAAUUUGUCUGGACUAUGUAUAGUGAGACUACCUGAGACUUUGUGUGAAUUAUAUAAUUUACAAAAGCUAGAUAUUAGGCGGUGCCGAAAUCUAAGAGAAUUGCCUGCGGGGAUUGGGAAGUUAAAGAACAUGAGGAGUUUAUUAAAUGGUGUUACUCUUUCGUUGAAGUACAUGCCAGUAGGGAUUUCCAAAUUAACCAGUCUUCGAACAUUAGACAAGUUUGUGGUGGGUGGAGGUGUUGAUGGUAGCAAUACGUGUAGGCUUGAAUCUCUGAAAAAUCUUCAACUCCUUCGAGAAUGUGGAAUAGAAGGGCUGGGUAAUGUGUCACAUUUAGAUGAGGCUGAGAGGUCACAACUUCACAAUAAGAAAAACCUCCUUCGUUUGCAUCUUGAGUUUGGUAGAGUCGUAGAUGGGGAAGGCGAAGAAGGGAGGAGGAAGAAUGAGAAAGAUGAACAACUUCUUGAAGCUUUACAACUGCCUUUGAAUGUAGAGGAAUUAUGGAUUAUAUCCUACCGAGGCAACAUUUUUCCCAAAUGGUUGACUUUGCUAACCAAUCUAAGGAAUUUAACACUUUCCGCGUGCGUUAACUGUGAGCAUUUGCCUCCUUUGGGAAAAUUGCCUCUGGAAAAACUCAAACUACGGAAAUUAAAAAGUGUAAAAAGAGUGGGUAAUGAGUUCUUGGGAAUAGAAGAAACUAGUGAGGAUGACCCAUCUUCAUCUUCAUCAUCAUCAUCAGUUACUGCCUUCCCGAAAUUGAAAUCACUCGAAAUUUGGGAAUUGGAUGAAUUGGAAGAGUGGAAUUACAGGAUUACGAGGAAGGAAAACAUCUCCAUCAUGCCCCGUCUUUCUUCCUUAAAAGUUGGUUCUUGCAACAAAUUAAAGGCGCUGCCGGAUUGCCUUCUUCAAACGACGGCACUGCAGGAACUGAGUAUUUAUUUUUGUGAAAAUUUGGAAGAACUGCCCAUUCUAGAAGAUCGCAGGACAAUAGACAUACCGCGUCUUUCUUCUUUGCGAAUUGGGUAUUGCCCCAAAUUAAAGGUGCUGCCGGAUUACCUCCUUCGAACGACGGUGCUGCAGGAAUUGAGUAUUAUAAAAUGUCCCAUUUUGGAAAACCGUUAUGGAGAGGGGGAAGGAGAAGACUGGCAUAAGAUAUCUCACAUUCCCCACAUCAAGUGGUCGCCGUAAUUUAUCACUUGCCGGUAAUUUCUCCUCCUCCUCUAAUUUACUUCAUUGUUGCUUGCAAUGAAAUUAAUAGAAAUAAUUAUAUUUUGAAUUAAAAUUCUAUAUAGAAUCAAUCAUGGUAUAAAUACGUAAAACUUCCUAGUUAUCAAAUCUGUUAAACUUGUUUUCUAAAGAUUAAAUAAUUAAAAAAAAAACAAAGUGUAGUCUGCUGAAAUUUCUAUAUUUACUUUUAAAAAAUAUGUGCUCUUUUGUAAAAUUUCGUGCAAUGUAAUUUAUUUUUUAAUGUACGAAAAUUUGUUAUGUGUAACUUGCUGAGAGACAAAAUCUCUGUGAUAUAUUUGCAGUAAUGUUGAAAACUAAAUUAUCAAUUUUAUCUUGUAUAAUGCUAAUCUUAUUUUUUAUAUAUAUAAUAUACAUGACUUUAAUUCUUUAAAGUAAUUGUGUAAUUGUUUUUACUACAAUAGCCCACUUUGUUUUAUUUCAUACUUGUUUAAUUGCCAGGUCCAAGCUAAUUUGGUUUUAAUGAUGCAGGCAGGAGAGCAAGACUAUGAAAAUGAAAAGUUUAGCCAAAGGAUUGCUAAAAUGUUCUGCUGGUAAUUCACUUGCUUUAUUUUAUAGAAUUUCAUUUCCAUCUUCUUCUAUUGAUAUCUUGUUGUGAAUAAACAAGAACAGAGAAGUAAAGAUAUAUCAAAAUUUACUAUUACGAUGAUGCUAAAACAAGCUCAAGCUCAAGCAUUGCAUUUUUAUUUUAUUUUAUUUAUAGAAUUUUCAUUUCCACCUGCAUUGCAUUUUUAUUUAUUUUUAGGUUGACUUUGAAUACUUCAUGGUGAACAUUGGGGUGACCAAGGAUUAGGGUGGCAGUGGACCGACUACCACUGUGGUUAUUAUGCGACUUUAAAGAAGAAAGUGAUGGCUGGGUCUGCUCUGUUUCUAUCUUUUUUAAUUCUUUGAUCGGUUUAUCCUAUAUAAACAUAUGGAAUUAUGCUAAUAUUAUCAAUUUUUUCACCCAAUUUUCACUGUUGGUUGUGAUAACAAUUUCAGGCUCUCAAAAGCUACAAAGCAAAGCAUUUGUGGGCUGAUCAUAUGCUUCAAUUGAGGAAGGAGUUUGGUGUUGGCAAUAUUGUCCAGGUAACCACAGCUGAUAAUUUCCACAAAUUUGCAUUGUCAGAAUACACUUUAAUGUUCAUUGUAUUCCUAUGUAUUAUCAGGUUAUCGUGGUAUGAAAAGUAUCAUCUUUAAGGAUUCGUAAGAGACUUCGCAGUAAACUUAGUUGUCACCAGCUCGUGCAAUUGGUCAUUCAGUCAAGAGUACUUCAAAAUUAGAUUUUCAAGGUUUAUAUGUUUAGUUGCGAUCAAAAUGUUUAGUCAUUCAUUCGUAAUCUUUUCUGAUUUUCAAGUUCUUUAGGGCCAUAAACAUUUUUCGAACUCAUUCUUAAUUUUUAGGUUGAUUUCGAGAACCCUGUUGAGGACAUUCCUGAGACCAAGGAUUAGGCUGGCGAAGAAACUACUACCUCUGUUGUUAUAGUGCAGGGUUUGAUCAUUGGACCUUGAAUAAGAAGGCCUUCCACGCAUUCUGUAAUUCAAGCAUUCUCUAAAGGAAAAGAGCAGUAGAAGGGAUAGUGAUGGCCGGAUCUGCUCUAUUUUAGUUGAAGAUCUCUGUGAUGUCGAUGAACUUAACGCAGUUGAUACUUCUUGAAAAUUGUUAUUACGGAUGAAUUGAUUCUUGGAGAGGGGUAUCCAAAGGCGGAUUUUCAUAAACUUCCUUCUUUAACAAAUGUUCCAAUGCUUGUUGUAGUAACAAUUUCAUAGCUUGCAUCUCUCGGGUGCAUCAUGUUCACGGGUUGGAAAAAGCAUUUGUGGUAAAGCUUCAAAGCUUGUAAAAUGGCUGUGAAAAGGCACAUUCAAUUCGGUAUGCUUUGGUGCGGUCUCCUAAUGCUAAUAUUAUAUUUUGUAUAGCAAUCUUAAUAUGCAAAAAAUCAUUGUGUCCAAAGUUUUCUGUUAAUUAUAUGGUGACUGAAAUUUUAAUUAUCAUAUCAAUCUUAAAAAUUUUUGUAACCCUAUUUUACUUUGCUUGUACAGAAUACCUGUUUUCGCUGAUAUGUCUAAUUCCUAGAAAUUCAUUUCCAUCGGUUUCCAUUGGUUUUAGCACAAACAGAAACAUAGAGCCCUGGGAAAAAGUUUUACUUUUGGUGGUAUUAUGCCUUAUUUUCUUCAUUCAUCAUAUUUGUUUCGAAUUCAUGCUCUCAUUCAGAGAGUAAAGCCUUUUCCAGGCUGUUUUGUAGCCAAAUUUCGAUGCCAUCGAUGCGUGAUUGUCAUUUAGAUUUUCGAAAUAAUUGUUAGAUUGGAGAAGAAUAAGAAUAUAUUGUUCAAAGGCUAUUUAAUUAGCACCCUCUGAAUUUAGUUGGCAAUAAUGCAUUGAAAUGGUUGGGGAAAGUUAUUGUCUUAAUUAAAUUACAGGUGAUAAGAUGCUGCUUCAAUUUUGCAAGCAUCUUGUACUGCAAAGAUUCUGCCCACAUGAGAUGCUGUGAUUCUUGACGUCAGGACAACACAGGUCAAAUUUUAGUAUCAAUAUAUAUCAUCUUCUUUACUGUUCUGCCUCUAAAUAUUAAACUUUAAUCAACUUGUUUUUGUUUGUGUAAAUUAUCAGGUUAAGGAUACUAAGCUGCUUAUUAAGGCAAAUGUCAGAAUGAAGAUUGCUCACCGUACCUGGUAUGCAUGAUGGCCAGGAAGAUUAAUUGUUCACAAACCAAUUUGAUCAGUGUUAGAUUUUUUGCCUCCUUUCGAGGGACAUCAUCAUCAAAUUUGAGUAGAGAAUCUUUGAAGGGAAUUUUGUUGUAAGAGCUUCACAGUAGUGAAUUCUGGGAGCUCGAACUUGAGUGAGAUAAUAGGGAGUAUUGGGGAUUUGGGUUAUGAGUAAUCAUUAUCCUUCCAAUAUGUGUAAGCACUCACUUGUUAGUAAAAUCAUCUUCAUAUAUUAAUUGUUUCUUUGUUAUCAGGUAGAGUGUGAUCUUCAAGGGUUUGAGAAAGUCCUUGCAGUAAAGUUUCCACCAGAAGCAAUUGCUCAGUUUCAGAUUUUUUAGGCGCUUAAUUAGUUUCGAUUAUAAUGUUUAGUUAGUUUCAAUUAUAAUAUUUAGUCACUCAUUCUGAAUCUUUUCUAAUUUUCAAGUUCCUUAGGGCCACGACCUGUUUUUCAAGUCUGCAUGUGGCUGCGAAAAGAUUGAUGGUCAUAAAAUUAUCUUGACCCUUGAGCCAUUGCGUUUGAGCACAAACAGAAACAGAGCUAAAGGAAAAGCACUUGACGCAAGAAGAUGCUCUGAAUAUAACUGUUGAUAAAUUAGAAGUAAUUGAUAAGGAUUUGUUUGUUAGAGAUUUGGAUAAAAUCCUAAGAUUUAGGGAUGAGAUAAGUUAGUUCCUGAGUGUAGGAUUAAUCCUUUAUUUUUCCUUAUUUAAGUUGUUUGUUUUCUCUAUUUUUUAGUGAAUUGAAUAAGAGAAUUUUUCCUCCUUCUUCCUCUGUAAAAUCUACAUGGUAUCAGAGCUAGGGUUUGAUCAUGAAUUUCAAGGCCACCAUGGUUGGCUCUAGUUCAACCACUUUGGAUGGCAGCAGUAGUACGACUUCAUCGGAGGAAGUUUCUCAACCACUUCCGACUAUUUCUCUUUCUGAAAAUUCUCUUCAAAUUAUCAUUCACAAAUUGAAUGGAAAGAAUUAUUUUGAAUGGUCUUAGUCUGUUCGUUUGGUGAUUGAUGGAAAAGGGAAACUAGGGUACUUGAAUGGCGAGGUAACACCACCAGCCACUAAUGAUCCAAAAUACAGGCAGUGGCGUUCAGAGAAUUCAAUGGUUACUGCUUGGCUGAUCAACUCAAUGGAUUCUAUUAUUGGAAAAACCUUCAUGUACUUGAAGACUGCUCGUGAUGUCUGGGAAGCAAUUCGGGAAACCUACUCAGAUUUAGAAAAUCAGUCACAAUUGUAUGAAUUAAACACCCAUAUGUGGAAGAUGCAGCAAGGUAAUCGUGAUGUAACAGCUUAUUAUAAUGAUAUGAUGGCUGUUUGGCAGGAAUUGGACUUGUUUGAAGAUGAACAAUGGGAAAAUUCUAAUGACAGUGCUCGAUACAAAGAGAAAGUUGAAAGAGGUCGGGUAUUUGUUUUCUUGGCUGGUUUGAACAAAGAACUUGAUGAGGUUCGAGGACGUAUACUAGGGAAAAAACCUUUGCCAACUAUUAGAGAAGUUUUCUCAGAAGUGCGCAGAGAAGAAGCACGACGGCAAGUGAUGUUGAAGAAUAACGAUGAACCAAAAAUAAAUAGUGAAGGAUCUGCUCUUGUGGCUCGAGGUACAGACUCAGGGGGAAAGCAGAAGCCCCGGUGUGACUAUUGUCGAAAGUCGUGGCAUACUCGAGAAAGUUGUUGGAUGUUGCAUGGGAAACCAAAGAAAAAAACAGGCAGCGACACCAAGUCAGGGGGAGAUGUCCGCGCAUUUCAAGCUAACAGCACUGAUCCAGGGCAGCAAUCAUCCUCAGAGUCUCUUCCUUUUACCAAGGAACAGAUAGAGCAUCUACAUAAAAUGUUUCAUUCCCAAUCCUUAGAAAAAUCUAACCUAUCUUGUUCUCUAGCACAGUCAGGUAAUUCUUUCAUUGCAGCCCUAGCGUGUACUAAGUUUCAUGGCUCCUGGAUAUUAGAUUCAGGUGCUACUGAUCAUAUGACCGGUAAUUCGCAGCUCUUUUCCUCAUAUAUACCUUGUGCAGGAAAUCAAAAGGUUAAAAUUGCAAAUGGUUCCUUAGCUACUGUUGCUGGAAAAGGAACAAUUACUAUUUCUCCUUCUCUAGUCCUUAAGAAUGUUUUGCACGUCCCACAUUUGUCUUAUAAUCUUUUAUCUAUCAGUAAAUUAACUUUUGAUCACAACUGUCAAGUUAUUUUUCAAUCUUCCUGUUGUAAAUUUCAGGAUUUAACCUCAGGGAAGAUGAUUGGGGGUGCUAAAAUGGGUGGUAGACUCUAUUUCUUUAAUAACGGAUCAACCUAUGGAAGGCAAGAUCUGCAGACUUGUUUUAAUUCUAUCUCUGUUGUUAAUGACAGUAAGAUUAUGUUAUGGCAUUAUCGAUUAGGACAUCCAAAUUUUCAAUAUUUAAAGCUUUUGUUACCCAAGUUAUUCAUGAAUAAAAAUCCUUCUGUUUUUCGAUGUGAAUCUUGUGAAUUAGCUAAACAUCAUCGGGCUAUUUUUCAAUCUCAACCAUAUAAAAAAUCAAAACCAUUUACCAUGAUUCAUAGUAAUGUUUGGGGUCCUUCUAGAGUGCCAACUUUUUCUGGAAAGCGCUAGUUUAUUCUUUUUAUUGAUGAUCAUAUUAGAGUCACUUGGGUCUUUCUUUUAAAAGAAAAAUAUGAUGCUGAAACUGUGUUUAUAAAUUUUUAUAAUAUGGUUCAGACACAAUUUCAGACUCAGAUUAAAAUUUUUCGAAGUGAUAAUGGAAAAGAGUUUUUUAACAAAGUGUUAGGAAUUUUUUUUUGCUGAAAAGGGGAUUGUUCACCAAAGUUCUUGUAAUAAUACACCUCAACAGAAUGGGGUGGCUGAAAGAAAAAACAGACAUCUCCUUGAAGUUGUUAGAGCUAUUAGUUUUACGACUAAGGUUCCUAAAUACCUUUGGGGAGAAGCAGUGUUAACAGCCACUUAUUUGAUCAAUAGACUGCCAACGAGAAUUUUGGACUUUAAACCACCAAUUAAAGUUUUAAGUGAAUGGUUUCCCACAACUCGGCUAACAGCCGAUAUUCCCUUUAAAAUUUUUGGAAGUGUGGCUUUUGUUCAUAAUCAUGAUACUAGACAUUCAAAACUUGAUCCAAAGGCACAUAAAUGUAUUUUUGUAGGCUAUCCUACAAAUCAAAGAGGUUAUAAAUGUUUUGAUCCAAUUCUGAAAAAAAUGUUUGUGUCUAUGGAUGUCACUUUUUUUGACGGAUAAUUAUACUACAACAAUUUCCUUCUUCAGGGGGAGAGCACUAGUGAAGAUGAUUUUUUAGAUAAUUCUGAUGUAACUUUUGAGUUUGUUCAGGAUGAUGAUGUUUCUUACAAACAGUCACCAAAAGAAAAUGGGAUGGGAAACACAAAAUCUGUGGAAACAAAUGAACUAAAUGUUGAAAAUAUUGAAUCCACAACUGAACAACCUUUGGUAAUUCCAUCUCAAAAUCAAAAUACUAAAACAACUGAGAUGUGUACAAAACGAUUUAAAGGUCUUGUAUAUUCAAAGGAACAUCUAGCACAAAAAAGAGCCACUAUCCCACAGCACUAUCAAGAAUCUGACCAGAGGUUGGAUCAUGAAGUUUGUGACGAUUCUCCAGAAAUCCCUGAAAACAAUCCUCCAUGUAAUUAUGAGUCAAAUUCUUCUAGUCAGCUUGAUCUUCCCAUUGCUCUUAGAAAAGGUAUUAGGUCUUGUACAAAACAUCCUUUGCCAAAUUUUAUAUCUUACAAAAAUAUUUCUUCAUCAUAUUGUGCUUUUAUUUCACAAGUGUCCAGUGUGGUUAUUCCGAAAAGUGUCUAUGAGGCUCUAAAUGUUCCUGAGUGGAAAGAAGCUAUGCUUGAGGAGAUGAGAGCCCUGGAAAAGAAUGCUACUUGGGAGAAAGUGGAUCUGCCGGAUGGGAAGACAACUGUCGGCUGUAAAUGGGUGUUUACUGUGAAGUACAAUUCAGAUGGGUCCUUGGAAAGGUACAAGGCUAGACUUGUAGCCAAAGGUUUCACUCAGACAUACGGAGUAGACUACUCUGAAACUUUCUCUCUAGUGGCAAAGCUAAAUACAGUUAGAGUACUCUUGUCUAUUACAGCUAAUCUUGAUUGGCCUCUGAAUCAGCUGGAUGUGAAGAAUGCUUUUUUGAAUGGGGACUUAAAGGAGGAAGUCUAUAUGGAGCCUCCACCAGGUUUUAAUGAGAAAUUUGGAACCAAGGUAUGUAAGCUAAAAUGGUCUUUAUACGGCCUUAAACAGUCUCCCAGAGCUUGGUUUGAGAGGUUCACAAAUUUUGUUAAAAGCCAAGGAUAUGAUCAAGGGCAAUCUGAUCAUACGCUGUUCACAAAGAGAUCUAUUGAAGAUAAAAUUUCUGUUCUUAUUGUGUAUGUAGAUGAUAUAAUUUUAAUUGGAGAUGAUAUAGUAGAAAUGAGCAAAUUGAAACAAAACCUAGCCAAGGAGUUUGAGAUUAAAGAUUUAGGCCAACUAAAAUACUUUCUUGGAAUGGAAGUGGCAAGAUCAAAUAAGGGUAUUGUUGUCUCACAAUGGAAGUAUAUUCUUGAUCUCUUGAAAGAAACUGGGAUGAGUGGUUGCAAACCUUCUGACACUCCAAUAGAAGCCAACUCUAAGCUUGGGGAAGUAAAAAAUGGUGUUCCAGUAGACAAGGGGAGAUAUCAAAGACUUGUUGGGAGACUAAUUUACUUGUCACAUACUCGUCCAGACAUUGCUUUCGCUGUAAGCAUGGUAAGCCAAUUUAUGCAUUCCCCAUAUGAAGAACAUCUUGAAGCUGUAUACCGAAUCCUUCAUUAUCUGAAAAGUACACCAAGAAAAGGACUCUUCUUCAAGAAAAAUGAGAAGAGGGGAAUUGAGGUGUAUAUUGAUGCUGAUUGGGCAAGUUUAGUCACUGAUAGAAGAUCAACUUCGGGGUACUGUACAUUUCUAUGGGGUAAUUUAGUCACAUGGAGAAGCAAGAAGCAGAAUGUUGUUGCUAGAAGUAGUGCAGAGGCUGAAUUCAGAUCAAUGGCGCAAGGAGUAUGUGAGAUUCUUUGGCUAAAGAGGGUUCUAGAAGAGCUUAAGAGGCCAGUGAGUUUGCCUAUAAGGUUGUAUUGUGACAACAAGGCAGCUAUCAGCAUUGCUCAUAAUCCUGUUCUACAUGACAGGUAGGGGUGGGCAAAAAAAGCUGAUUAAUUAAAAACCGAAUCGAACCGAUCGGUUCGGUUCGGUUUUUAUGCGGUUUUUUUAUCUUCAAAAAACCGAAAUAGUAACAUAAAAAAAUAGUAAAAUCAAUCGGUUCGGUUUUCGGUUUUUAAAAAAAAACCACAAAACCGAACCAAAAUCUCAAAUAAACCGAUUGUUUUGAAAGCUAAAGCCAAAACCUAAAAGCCUAAAAUCUAAAUCUAAACUUCUGACUUCUGUCUUCUUCGGUUCCCGACUUCCCGCUGGCCGCUGCUCGUCGUGACUUCUUCUGUUCCCGCUGGCCGUGCGGCAUCCCUCGCUGUAAUUUUUGCGAUCGUGCGGCAUCCCUCACUGCAAUUUUUGCUUCUGCUAACCUUGUUACUGUCUCAACUGCACUCUUUUCCACAGAGUUGAAAUCAUUCUGCUUUUUGGCCUCCGUUGUCUGCACCCAGACCUUUACAAAUUGACCUUAUUGAUUGAUUCAAUCAAUUUGAUUGCUUUUGCUUGGGAAAUCACAGAGAAGAUGCAACACGUAAGGUGGGAUGCACUUUCCUUCUUGGGCAUAUUAAAAAAUUAAUUUUAACUUUUUUCUUUAAACCAAAAAAGAAAAAGAAAAAUUAUUAUCCAUAUGUCAUCAUCAUCAAUUGGAAUUGGUCAUAAUUUGGGACCACCACGUUUGUGCUGCCAUGUCAAAUUUUUCUGCAGUUCUCUUUUUCAUUUUUUUAUCAUAUAUAAUCUCGAUUUUUGUAGAUAGUUUAUGUAAUAAUUUAAGAUAUAUAUUCUUGGUUGGCCAAAAUGAAUACAAAUGCAAUUAAUGAAUGAAGAAGUUAUUCAUAAAGCACCAUUUAUUUAUUUGUUCAUUGCGGUUAAGUUGUAUGCGAUCCAUUUGGUUGUUGGUUACAACCAGUUAAAUAUUUAUUUAAAAAUAAAAUAUAACUUGUUAAUUAAGAUGAAUGUUGUAAUAUGAAGUGUCUUAAUUUUGUAAAAUGUGUGUGGUUAUUCAAUAAUUUUGUAAAAUGGUAGAUUUAUUAAUUUAAAGUUUUAAAUUUAAAAAAGUCCAAAAUAGGCCCAAUAGGCCCAUAAUCGAAAUAAUCGAACCGAAUCGAAUCGAAUUAUUUCAAUUAAUCGAGUAUUUGAUUAUUUCGGUAAUUUGAUUAAUCGCGAUUAUGAUUUUAAAAUAAUCAUAAUCGAACGAUUGUGAAAAAUUUAGUAAAAAACCGAACCGAACCGCGCCCACCCCUAAUGACAGGACGAAACAUGUUGAGAUUGACAGGCACUUUAUAACAGAAAAGCUUAAAGAAGGAAUAAUUUGUACUCCAUUUGUACCGACCACACAGCAAGUUGCAGAUGUUUUAAGUAAAGGCUUGCUGAGACAGCCAUUUGAAGUUCAAGUUAGCAAGUUGGGCAUGACAAAUAUAUUUGCACCAACUUGAGGGGGAGUGUUGAUAAAUUAGAAGUAAUUGAUAAGGAUUUGUUUGUUAGAGAUUUGGAUAAAAUCCUAAGAUUUAGGGAUGAGAUAAGUUAGUUCCUAAGUGCAGAAUUAAUCCUUUAUUUUUCCCUAUUUAAGUUGUUUGUUUUCUCUAUUUUUUAGUGAAUUGAAUAAGAGAACUUUUCCUCCUUCUUCCUUUGUAAAAUCUACAAUAACAAAAGUAUAUUUCUGCUUCUUGUGGUUAUUUACUUUGUUUCUCCUGUCAGCAUAUUUGAUUAAUUCGUUCGAAUUCACACUCUCACACAUUAUUUAAAACCAUUUGUAGGUGGCUUGCAAGCUAAUUAAGUUAAUGCAGAAGCAAUACUCUAGACAAAGAUGAGCAAAUUGAAGGUGAUAAAUGCAUAUAUGGUGGCCCAAUCGCUUAUUAUAUUUCAUCUCUCAAUCUAAUAUGAUUCUGAGUUUUAAUUUCCAUGAAUAAUUGUUAGGCUGGUACAGAUGUUCUUAAAAGGGCCAUCAAACUACCUUAUGAAGUUGGAAAGUUGCUAUUGCUUGAAUGAAAGCACCAUCUUCUGUUGCCAAGGCAUUCCCCACAUGAUGAGAUUAUGUGAUUGUUACCGGCUUCUUAAUUAUUUGUUAAAUCAGGUUUUUCUUAUCAAGUACAUCAUCUUAUUCACCAUUUUGGCUAUAUCAGAAUUUGCUAAUACCAUGAUGUCAAAGCAAGCUCAAGCACUAGAUCCCUAAUAAUAAUGCAUUGCAUUUUCAUUUUAUUUUUAGGUUGACUUUGAAGACCGUAUGAAGAACAUUGGGGUAAUCAAGGAUUAGGCUGGUGAUGGAACUACUUCCACUGUGGUGUUGUGUGCAACGUUCAGUUGCUGGACUUUGAAGAAGAAAGUGAUGGCCAGGUCUGCUCUGUUUCAAUUGAGGAUGGAUAGCUGCCUGGAAGGCAUGAUGAUUUUUAUUGCAUGAUAUUAAGGUACAAAGAUAAUCAUUUCUAUCUUGUUUUUUUCUUUGAUCAGUUUAUCCUCUAUAAGCAAAUUCAAUUAUGCUAAUAUUACCAUUUUUUCUCCCAAUUUUCACCGUUGGUUGUAAUAACAAUUUCAGGUACUCAAAAGCUACAGAGCAAAGCACAUGUGGGCUGAUCAUAUGCUUCCAUGGCGGAAGGAAUUCGAUAUUAACACUAUUAUGCAGGUAACCGCAGUUGUUAAUUUGCACAAAUUUGCAUUGUCAGAUUGCCCUUUAAUAUUCACUGUGUUUCUUUUUGUUAUUCAGGGUACCAUGGUAUGUAGAGUAUCAUCUUUGAGGGUUUGUAAGAGCCUUUGCAGUAAAUUUACCUGCUCGAGCAAUUGCACAUUCAUCGAGUACAAUUUUGGAUUUUCAAGGUUUGUAUGUUUAGUUGCGAUUAGCAGGCUUAGUCACUCAUUCCUAAACUUUUCUGAUUUUCAAGUUAUUUAGGUCCAUUAACAGUUUUCACACAUGUUUCAAUGCUAGUUGUACUAACAAUUUCUCAUCUUGCAUCUCUAAGAUGCAUCACGUUUGAAACAGCUUUUGCGGUAAACUUUCAAUGCAUGUACAAUGGCCGUUAAGAGGUACAUUCAAUUCGGUACGUUUUGCUGCAGUCUUCUAAUGCUAAUAUCAUGUUGUGUAUAUUUAGUUUGCAAUUAAAACUUAGGUAUACAACCUUAAUCUCAUAUAAAUGAUUGUGUACAAAGUUUUCUACUAAUUAUAUGGUGACUAAAAGUUUAAUUAUCUUAAAAUUUUUGUAACUCUCUUUUACUUUGCUUGUACAGAGUACCUGUUUUGGCUGACAUGUCUAAUUCGUAGAAAUUCAUUUCCAUGGAUUUCCAUUGGUUUGAGCACAUACAGAAACAGAGCUUUACUUCCUGAGGUGUUAUGCCUUUGUCUCUUCAUUCACCAUAUUUGUUCGAAUACGUUGUCUCAUUAAGAAUUUAAAGCCUUUUUCUAGGCAGCUUUGUGGCCAAUUUUUGAUGCCAUCAAUGCAUGAUUGUCAUUUAGAUUUUCCAAAUAAUUGUUAGGUGGGGAAGAUAUUGUUAAAAGGGCAUUUAAUUAGCUACGUCCCCUAUGAAUUUAGUUGCCAAUAAUACAUUGAAAUUGAGAAGGCUAAUUUAAAUUACGGGUGAUAAGAUGUUGCUUGAAUUCAGCAUCUUGUAUUGCGAUGAUUUUGCCCACAUGAGGCUCUGUGAUUCUUGACAUCAGGAUAACUCAGGUCAAUUUUUUGUAUCAGCAUAUAUCAUCUUGUUUACUGUUUUGCCUUUAAAGAAUAAACUUUAGUGAAGUUUUUUUUGUUUGUGUAAGUUAUCAGGUUAAGGAUACUAAGCAGCUUAUUAAGGAAAAUGUCAGAAUGAAGAUUGUUCACCACACCUGGCAUUUAUGAUGGCAAGGAAGAUUAAUUGUUCACAAGCCAAUUUGAUGAGUGUUAGAUUUUUGGCUUUAUAUAUUAUUAGAGCUCUCCCUUCUGAGAGAUAUCUCAUUAAAUUUGAGUAGAGCUCUCCCAAUAACUGCAAGCUUUCAUUUGUUUGUAAAAUCAUCUUCUUAUAUUGAUUGUGUUUCCUUGUGUUAUCGGGUAGAGUAUCAUCUUCAAGGGUUUCAAAAAGUCUUUGCAGUAAAGUUUCAACCAAUUGCUGUGAAGAGGCAUAUUCAUUUGAGUAAUUCAGUUUCAGAUUUUCAGGGCGUGUGUGUUUAAUUAGUUUUGAUUAAAAUAUUUAGUCACUCAUUCUGAAUCUUUUCUAAUUUUCAAGUUCCUUAGGGCCACAGCCAGUUUUUCAGGUCUGCAGAAACUAUCUUGAGUGUUGAGGAAUUGCGUUUGAGCACACACAGAAACAAGGCUAAUGGAAAAGAACUUGACAGAAGAAUUAUGCUCUAAAUCUAACAAAAGUAUAUUUCUACUUCUUGUGGUUAUUUUACUUUUGUAUUUUCUGUCAUCAUAUUUGAUUAAUUCAUUCGAAUUCAGACUCUCAUUAUUUAAAACCAUUUUCAGGUGGCUUGCACGCUAAUUAAGUUAAUGCAGAAGCUAUACUCUAGACAAAGAUGAGCAAAUUGAAGAUGAUAAAUACAUAUAUGGUGGCCAAGUCGCUCAUUACAUUUCAUCUCUCAUACGAACAUGAUUCUGAAUUUGAAUUUCGAUCAAUAAUAGUCAGGCUGGUGCAGAUAUUCUUAAAAGGGCAUUAAGCUACCUUAUGAAAUUGGAAAGUUAUCAUUGCUUGAAUGAAAGCACCAUCUUCUGUUGUCAAGGCUUUCCCCACACGAUGAGAUUCUGUGCUUGUUAUCGGCCACUUAAUUAUUUAUUAAAUCAGGUUUUUGUUAUCAAGUACAUCAUCUUAUUCACCAUUUUGGCUAUAUAUAAAGAUUAAAAUUUCUAACAGUUGUUUCGGAUUCUUGUGUACUCAGGUUAAUAUAGCAAAUGUCAUAAUGAAGAUUGGUCAGUGCAACCGGUAUAGCAAGGAUGAUAGUGGUGAGGAAGAUUGUUGGCAAGUCAAAUAGAGCCCUCCAUUUUGAGAAAUAUCAUCCUCAAAUUUGAGUUGUUGAGCAUGUGAAGUGAAGCUAUAGCCUUAAUAAUGAGACCUUCCUGUGAAAGUUUCAUUUGAGUGAAUUGAACGUUCUUAGUGGGUAAGAAAUUAAGUUCCCAGCUUGUUUAAAUGCUGUGUAAUUUUUACCCAAGAUUAUGCAAUUGACUUAUGCAAUUCACUUACAGUGUUCUGAGUACUUGAGUUUCAGAUUUCCAAGAUGUGUAAUUUUAGUUGCCAUUGAAAUAUUUAGUCGCUCAUUCUUAAAAAUCUGUUCUAAUUUUCCUGUUAUUUUGGGCCAUAAACAGUUUAACAAGUCUGCAUGUGGUUUCUAAAGAUUGAUGGUUAUGAUAUAUAUUGUGAGGUAUGAAAUAUUAAUUUGCUAUAAAUAUGUGUACAAAUUUUUCCUAUUACAUGGGGACUGAAAUUGUAACUUGCAGGGUCAAAAGAAAUCUUAAUUUGCUUAAGUGUCUGCAUUUGUGUACAAAGGAAAAAUAAGAAAUUCUGCUACGUGGGGACCGAAAUUUUAAUUGGCAGGGUCUUCAUCAAAUGUUUGUUAUCAAUACUGAUCCCGGAAUGUGUGGAACACGGUGAAAAGUUUUUCAUAGUUUUGUGAAGAAGGCUGAUUUAUCUGAUUCAUAGAAUUGUUAAAAGGGCAUCGGGCGGGGGACAAAAGAAGUGUUGAAAUUAAAAAGGUUAAUGGUUAAAGCAUGCAGUUUCUGUUGCAUUUGCAUUGGCCUGGGUUUAGGGAACUGUCAGAACUUUCAGAAGAAGAUGGAGUUUCUCAAACCAAAUCUAAGAAGAUAUCUCACAUUCCCCACAUGGUCUCAACGCACAGGUAAGUUCUUCUCUAGCUCUGUUUUUCAUUGUUUGUUUUAUCUAUUUUUAAUUCACAUGUCCACAGUAAUUUCAUUUUAGUUUGAGCUGAGUGAUGACUUUUCAAGGCUCACUUACUCAUUGGGAGAAGCUGCAGGACGCAGGCUGCAAGGAUUUAGAUUUUCAUUCGAAGGCUCACUUGCUCAUUAGCUUGUGCAAUUCCUGUUAAGAGGCACAUCCAUUCGAAGUAAUUCAAUUUUAUAUUUUCAUAGUGUGCGUGUUUCGUUGCGAUUAAAAUGAUUAGUCUCUCGUUCUUAAUGUUUUCUAAUUUUCCGGUUAUUUAGGGCCAUAAACAUUUUCCAAGUACUGCAUGUGGCUGCCAAAGAUUGAUGAUGAUAAUUAUAUCUUGAGGCCUGUGUCUUGCUUUUGAGCACUCGCAGAAACAGAGCUCAAGGGAAAGAAAUUGGAAGAUGCUCUAAAUAUAAUGAAAGUAUAUUUCUACUUGUGGUCAAUUUACAUUUGUUUCUUGUGUCAUUAUGCAGAUUAAUUUAUUCAAAUUUUUCCUAUCUCAUUCAUUUAUUUUAGACAAAGUUUGAAAAAAAAUUAUAAGUAUACAAUUUCCAAUGGAUUUGAUAGAGCGGUCAUCAACCAUAUUGAUGUUAUUGGAGUAGCACUGUUCUUAAGCACUGCUUUGAGGUCUCUCCCUCUCUAUAUACAUUGAUAGACUAUUCUGGUCGUACCAAAUUAUCCUUGUUUUAAUGUUUUGUUUGUUAAACUUUGACUGGGGGAAUCUGUUUAUUUGUCUGAUAUGAUGUUAGUGUGGUUUCUAUUGAAGUGUGUUAGAUCUAUCACCAAUUAUUAUUUCAAUUUUUCUUACCAAAUCGACUUGCAUACUUUCCAAGUCUAGAUCCUUAACAAUAGUGAGACUACGCUACAGAAGUACGAUUUCUCUAGUUUUGUAGUUAAAUACGUUAGAAUGGUUUUAAAUUAACAGAACUUUGAGAUAGUUCUCUGAGGAAAUACAAGUGGUGAAUAUGGUUCCAACUUUUAAGUGCCUUAAUAUUCCCAUUUGUUCAGCCCUGUGCGUAAACAAUUAGUAAUUUCUGUCCAAAUUCUUCUUUAAUGCCUAUAUGUGUUGGACUUUGUCUAUUGUUCAACUUCUCAAAUGGAUUCCAUGCAGGGUUCUUAAUGUCCAAUUAGGAGAAAGAUCAAGGCUUGCUUGGCUAGGAGUGGAAGCGGAUCCACUACUUCAGUCAGAUGACCUUUUGAAGAAGGCUUGCAACAGGCCGUCUCAGGAUGUCAAUGGCUCAACUCAAAAGUCCUCAAAGUGGCUGAUAUCAAAGAAUGCCAUUGUCUCUGGGCUUGGGCUCCUUGGCAUCAAACAAGGGAAUGUCGACUCUGUUGAAGGGGAAGCAAGGUGUUGAUGCGGGAUUCCGGUUCUCCUCGUUCUACGACCAGGAUCUCUGCUCGAUCAACUUCAUCACGACCAGGAGGUCUCCUCGUAAGGCUUCUUCUCCAGAGGUUCCUGCGCACACAGACAAGUCAGAGUACGCCGGUUGUUUUCCCGGCGCAAACCCUCCGACGCUCAAGUCAGAUAUCAAGGUUCGAGGAACGUUUGCCACAGAUCUUAUGGCUUUUUCGUGGUUUUCUCUCUUUUUAAUUUCUUUUCUAAAAAAAUGCCAACCCUUUUACCUCGUUGGCUACCUUUUUAUAGGCUUCCUCUGAAUCCCAGUUUUCUGCUUUUUUCGAGACGGUAUGGGACUCUGACUGCUGCGUUAUGGGCAAACGUGGGAUCUUGCGUGUUACGCCACGGUCCUGGGGAAAGCGUGGCUGUCGUGGUUCUGUGAGAUCUUGCGUGUUACGCCACGGUUCUGGGGGAAGCGCGGCUGUCGUGGUUCUGUGAGAUCUUGCGUGUUACGCCACGGUUCUGGGGGAAGCGCGGCUGUUGUGCCUAGAUUCUCGGGCUGGAGAGCAUGUCUUGCCAACUGUCGUUGACCGGAUCUCCUCGCCUCUCGACCUCUAGCCGGAAUGGCCUUAUGCCUCUUACAGGAAAUUGGCCUCGCGGAUGACGUGCUCGUGGACGAGCAGGAUAUUUCUGCUCCUGUUCCCCCGCGCGCCAGGCUCUUACGGAACACACCGGUUCGCAGAACUAUGCCACCAGAUAUCUGCUCACCAUGCCUGGUCUCGUCGACGUAUUUCUCCCAAACACCGGUCCCCCAGUUUCUGGUGUUGGGCAAUGUAGUGGACCAGCAGUAGAAACUCGAUAGUACUCGCUCGCGUGGGAUUGGAAAAGGCUGCCAAGAGUCAUGUCGCAUUUAAUUGCGGACGAGGUGACGUGGCAGAAAUCCCCCCCCCCCUCCAUUUGAAUUUCAAACCGACGGUUAUGAGACCCUCGGGAUUCGGCGCUGUUAAAUGCUGGCAACCUAAGAGUCCGUCCUCAGUAGGAAAACCAAAUCCUCUCGAACGGCAUAUUCGCCAUUCACUCCGUCUCCGUCUCUGUCUCUCCGGCAAAGAAGUUCCGGCAUAAAGGUCCUCCAUCUCUGAUUUUCACCGACUGAACCAUUACUUCAGGUAUUUCUUCUAUCUCCUUGGUCUCGGAUAGUUGUAGAUAAUUUCUCUUCUCUUCUGUUUGGGGUAGUAGUUGGUGGUGUUGUGGUUAGAGCUUAGGGAAUGUCGAAAGGCAAGGAGAAGGUCAUUGAGGUUGAUGACGACGAGUUGGACUUCCUGCCUAGUCUGCUCACCGAUCCUGCUUUUGACCCCGGGAUCCCUUUAGAGCCCAUUAGGUCUAGUGUCGGGACUAGUGCUAGGAGGAUGUCUCCCCAAACAACCUCUACGAGCGGAAGUAAUGGUGAGGAGAGAUCUUCUGGCUCCGAGGAUACUUUGAGUGAGGAUGGCGAAGGUGAUUCUGGUGAGGUGUCUCCAUCUGGAACGUCACGACCAGAAGGACGGGGUACAGUAGGGGGUAGAGCCUUGUUGCGUGAUUAUGCCAUCGACUAUAUGACGUGCACGACCACGUUUGACGAGCUCGAUGACCUCCGUCUUAGGUACAGCAUUCCUGGUGAAAUACUUCUCAAGGUCCCAGGCAAGAAGGAUACCCCUAGCUGGCCUCCUAGGGGAUAUGUUACCCUGUAUCUGGAUAGCUUUAAGUAUGGGCUUAGGUGUCCCUUGCAACCUUACUUUGCCCGGAUACUUAGCGGGUUGAAUCUAUCUCCUGGUCAGUUGAACCCAAACGGUUGGAGAGUGCUCUCUGGUCUGUUCAUACUGUGGGACAGAUGUUGCCAAAGCGAGCCCACGGUCGACGAGGUGAUGCACCUGUACCAGCUGAAAAGCAGCCCAAAAGAUGCCGGCUGGUAUUACUUCCAAUCAAGUACCAAGACCAGGAAACCCAUAACCGAUCUCCCUACUGGUGGUGGUGGGAAUUGGAAGAGGAAGUUCUUCUUCGCAGGGGGUCCCUGGGGUCAAGUUGCACGGGUUGAUGGGGAAGACUUCCGCGUCCCACCCCGUUUCGUGGUCCCAGGUUGCCUGCUCGUAUUAGAUGUCUUGUCUCCCUUGUCGUUUGCGCUUUACUGGUUUGUCUCUAAUCAAAUGUUUGUUUGUGUUGCAGGUUCUUGGGGUGUCCACUUCCCGCUUGAACCUGACCAGCUCAAACGGGUCGAGGCUGUACUAGCCAAUUCCUGCUCAAGCCGAGAACUGUUAACUACAUACAACUUGCUCGAGUCUCGCUUGAUACUUCCUGGCCAUAGGAUGGAGGACGCUGUGAUUGGGGCUCUGACCCGAAAACGUUCUUGACCUCCAACCACGAAAAGGGACCAGAGUAAGGAUGCCCCUGCUGCGAAGCGGGCCAACAUCGUGCAGCAGGUCCCAUCCUUGAAGAUUUUACCUCCUGCUCCUGUAAAAGUCGGGGAAGCUAGUGGAGCAGCCACAGAUCCUGCUUCCUCUUCUCCUCCUGUCGGGCCUCGAUCUCGCUUACCUGACAGCCGAGCAGAACACCUGGUCCCCUACCUCAAUGAGUUAUCUAAACUCGUGAGCAAGAAGGACCUGGAGGACUUUGACGGCUGCACCUUGGGUGAGCUGGUGGGGGCCAUGCAGCAUAGCGCUUUCCACCUCAGCUGCAUGACCACCUAUUACAAGGCUAAGAUUGGCCGCUACGACCGGAAGAUGAAGGAGGAUAUUCAAUCGGCGACGACCAGAGCUGACGUUGCCGAGCAGAAAGCAGGGGAGCUGAAUCUCGAGAAUCUGAAGCUGAUAGAGCAAGAAUCACUUGCUCAAGCAAAAGCCAUUACCCUCGAGGAGGAGCUUACCAAGGUCAAGGAGGAUCUGCAAAGGCAGAAGGCUAUGUAUGAGGCUCAGCUCGAAUCUCUCCACGACUCCCACCGAGCUCAGGUCGAGAAUUUGGAGAGGGAGGCCGACAACCAGUACGACCAGGGACUUCGGCAUUCCUAUCGUUGCAUCAUGGCCGUCCUCGGGAAGCAACACCCUGAUCUGAAGAUGGAUGACCUUGCAGCUGGUGUUGCUCAACAUACGGACGAGGAGGCGGCCAAGGAAGAUGCCGAAAGGGUAGAGCCGAUUGUGAUUGAGGAGGAAAACUAUCCUCCUCGUGCAGUCCCUGCUGAUGUUGGCGAGGCGAGCACCCCCCCUGACGCAACUGGUGAUACCCCUCCUGCACCUGAGGAGGUCCAACCAACCGAUGCUGCUGGGCUUACUGAUCCACCAUCUUCUUGAUAUAUUUCUUAUAUUGUAAUGAACAAUGUUUAUGGAGAUUAUCCCCUCUGUUAAUUAUUAACAAAUUAAUAAAAAUGUUUUUUGAUUACUUUCUUGUGUUGUAAUUAUGAAUUAAUUUUCGUUUGAGAAUCUGCUCGUCUUUGUCUAGACGAGCAGGUUCCGGCUUGGCUCAUGGUUUUGUGCCACAUGCCUUUGAAGAUUCUUCAAUGCCUGGGUUUCGGCUCGCAUUCGCGCGGUCAAGCAGAUCCUGGUACGCUUGACUUCUAUCUCGCUAUAAAACAGGCUUUGAGACUUGGUGAGCCUUUACAUGCCUUGGGAAUUUCUUCGAAUGCUUUGGAGUCUGCUCGCCUUCUCGUGGUCGAGCAGAUCCUGGCAUGCGUGGCUUCUGUCUCGCCAUAAGACAGGCUUUGAGACUUGACGGGCCUUUGCAUGCCUUGGAUAAUUUCUUCAACGCUUGGGAUUCUGCUUGGCUUCUCGUGGCCAAGCAGAUCCUGGCAUGCUUGGCUUCUGUCUCGCCAUAAGACAGGCUUUGAGACUUUGUCGAGCCUUUGCAUGCCUUGGAUAAUUUCUUCAAAGCUUGGGAUUCUGCUAGCCUUCUCGUGGCCGAACAGAUCCUGGCAUGCUUGGCUUCUGUCUCGCCAUAAGACAGGCUUUGAGACUUUGUUGAGCCUUUGCAUGCCUUGGAUUCUUCGAGGAUUGGGAUUCUGCUCGCCUUCUCGUGGCCGAGCAGAUCCUGGCAUGCUUGGCUUCUGUCUCGCCAUAAGACAGGCUUUGAGACUUUGUUGAGCCUUUGCAUGCCUUUGAUUCUUCGAGGAUUGGGAUUCUGCUCGCCUUCUCGUGGCCGAGCAGAUCCUGGCAUGCUUGGCUUCUGUCUCGCCAUAAGAAAGGCUUUGAGACUUUGUUGAGCCUUUGCAUGCCUUUGAUUCUUCGAGGAUUGGGAUUCUGCUCGCCUUCUCGUGGCCGAGCAGAUCCUGGCAUGCUUGGCUUCUGUCUCGCCAUAAGACAGGCUUUGAGACUUGACGGGCCUUUGCAUGCCUUGGAUAAUUUCUUCAAAGCUUGGGAUUCUGCUAGCCUUCUCGUGGCCGAGCAGAUCCUGGCAUGCUUGGCUUCUGUCUCGCCAUAAGACAGGCUUUGAGACUUUGUCGAGCCUUUGCAUGCCUUGGAUAAUUUCUUCAAAGCUUGGGAUUCUGCUAGCCUUCUCGUGGCCGAACAGAUCCUGGCAUGCUUGGCUUCUGUCUCACCAUAAGACAGGCUUUGAGACAUUGUUGAGCCUUUGCAUGCCUUGGAUUCUUCGAGGAUUGGGAUUCUGCUCGCCUUCUCGUGGCCGAGCAGAUCCUGGCAUGCUUGGCUUCUGUCUCGCCAUAAGACAGGCUUUGAGACUUUGUUGAGCCUUUGCAUGCCUUUGAUUCUUCGAGGAUUGGGAUUCUGCUCGCCUUCUCGUGGCCGAGUAGAUCCUGGCAUGCUUGGCUUCUGUCUCGCCAUAAGACAGGCUUUGAGACUUUGUUGAGCCUUUGCAUGCCUUUGAUUCUUCGAGGAUUGGGAUUCUGCUCGCCUUCUCGUGGCCGAGCAGAUCCUGGCAUGCUUGGCUUCUGUCUCGCCAUAAGACAGGCUUUGAGACUUGACGGGCCUUUGCAUGCCUUGGAUAAUUUCUUCAAAGCUUGGGAUUCUGCUAGCCUUCUCGUGGCCGAGCAGAUCCUGGCAUGCUUGGCUUCUGUCUCGCCAUAAGACAGGCUUUGAGACUUUGUUGAGCCUUUGCAUGCCUUGGAUUCUUCGAGGAUUGGGAUUCUGCUCGCCUUCUCGUGGCCGAGCAGAUCCUGGCAUGCUUGGCUUCUGUCUCGCCAUAAGACAGGCUUUGAGACUUUGUUGAGCCUUUGCAUGCCUUUGAUUCUUCGAGGAUUGGGAUUCUGCUCGCCUUCUCGUGGCCGAGCAGAUCCUGGCAUGCUUGGCUUCUGUCCCGCCAUAAAACAGGCUUUGAGACUUGACGGGCCUUUGCAUGCCUUGGAUAAUUUCUUCAACGCUUGGGAUUCUGCUUGGCUUCUCGUGGCCGAGCAGAUCCUGGCAUGCUUGGCUUCUGUCUCGCCAUAAGACAGGCUUUGAGACUUUGUCGAGCCUUUGCAUGCCUUUGGGAACUUUCUCGGUCUCAAGCGAAAGAAAUUCUUCGACGUUCCAUUAAUGGCAGGAUUCGACUUACAUGAAAUUGUUUGGACAUAAAACGUGAAAGAUAAAUGAUAAUGAACAUGAGCAAAAAUAGCUUUCAAAUGUGAACAAGUCUUACUGGAAGUAUUUUCGGAGGUGUGCUGCGUUCCAUGGGCGUUUCACCUCGUGGCCGUCCGUGCGAACCAGCUUGUAAGCUCCGGGUCCCGCUAUCUGCUUGACUCUAUAUGGCCCUUCCCAAUUCGGUCCCAGUACUCCUUGAGUCGAAUCUUUGGUGCUCUGAUUCACUCUUCUCAGUACCCAGUCUCCGAAUUGCCGUAUGUUCACCUUCUGGUUAUAGUACCGAGCAACCCUCUGUUGGUAAAUGACUGAUCGCUCGGCUGCUUGCUCCCUCCUUUCCGUUAGCAGAUCAAGAUUCAAACAUAUCUGCUCGUCGUUCUCCUGCUCAUUGAAAUGAUUUGUCCGGUGUGUGGUCGUUCCUAUCUCAGCCGGCACGACCGCUUCAUGUCCGAAAGCCAAAGCGAACGGUGUCUCCCCAGUUGCGGUUUUGUGGGUUGUUCUGUAUGCCCAUAGCACACAUGGCAGCUCGUCAACCCACGCACCCUUUUUUGCUCCAAGCCUGGUUUUCAGAAGCCUCUUGAUGGUCUUGUUGGCUGCUUCUACUUGUCCAUUUGAUUGAGGGUGAGCAGGCGAGCAAUACUUCAGCUCUAUCCCGAGGUUCUGGCAGAAAUCCCUGAAGCUGUGAUUAUCGAACUGCCUGCCAUUAUCCGUUACCAAGGCAUAAGGGAUCCCGUAUCGACAGACCAGGUUUCUCCACACGAAGUCUGUUGUUUUCUUCUCUGUGAUCCUGCUAAGGGCUUCUACCUCAAUCCACUUCGUGAAGUAAUCUAUAGCAACUAUUGCAUGUGUUGCUGCUCCUCGUGCCUUUGGCAAUGGGCCGAUCAGAUCAAUUCCCCAUUGAGCAAAUGGCCAGGGGGAGGUCAUGGAGGUGAGUUUCUCUGGUGGUUGGUUAGAGAAAUUUGCAAAACUCUGGCAGCUUACACAACUCCUGGUCUUCUCUUGCGCAUCCUGGUGCAUUGUCGGCCAGAAAUAUCCCUGCCUUAGAACCUUGUGGGCCAGGGACCUCCCGCCAGAAUGAUUUCCGCAGAUUCCUUCAUGUACUUCUCUCAGUACGUAAUCCGCGUCGUCCUCAUCCAAACACCGAAGGAACGGUAGUGUAUAUCCUCGCCGAUACAGUACCCCAUCAAUCAUCGUGUAUCUCGAGGCCUGGGCUCUAAUCUUGCGAGCUCGCAGCUUAUCUGGUGGUAAUACCCCGUCUCUAAGGUACGAAACUAUCGGGUCCCUCCACGAGCAUUUUUGUUCUAUCCGCAACACCCCCAAAUUCUGAUCGAUACUUGGGCUGGACUUCACCUCCAGAGGGACCGACUUUGGCAUUUUUGGGUCGGCUACUGCUGCCAUCCUAGCCAAAAUGUCUGCUCGACUAUUCUGCUCCCUGGGGAUUUGUAUCACCUCCACUGCUUCGAACUUCCCCAUCAUCUGCCUGACUAUCUUCAGGUACUGCUCCAUCUUUUCCUCUCUUGGUUGGAAUCUUUCACUGACAUGAUUCGCAACCAGCUGGGAAUCAGUUCUGAUCUUACCUCUGUCUGCUUUCACGGCCUUAGCCAAUUCCAGACCUGCUAUCAAGGCUUCAUACUCUGCCUGGUUAUUCGUGGCUGCAAAUUCCAACUUUACAGCAUAAGAGAUCUCCUCCCCCUCUGGGCCUUCCAAGACAAUCCCUGCUCCUGAACCCCGCUCCCCUGAUGACCUGUCCACAGACAUCUGCCAUACUUGAGUUUCGUCAUUGCUUAUAACUGCAUCUUGUUGAUCUAAGCAUACUUCGGGCUCUGUGAAUUCAGCUACGAAAUCGGCCAUUGCCUGGGCUUUUAUCGCUGCGCGAGGUUUAUAGUCUAUGUCGAACUCGCUCAGCUCUACAGCCCACUUGACGAGCCGACCAGAAGCAUCUGGCUUGUGCAGAGUUUGACGCAAUGGCUGGUUUGUUAUUACCGAGACCGAGAAUGCUUGAAAAUAUGGCCUCAACUUCCGAGCAGCAACCACAAGGGCAAGUGCCCAUUUCUCCAACGGUGGGUAUCUGGUCUCAGUGUCGAGCAGGGCCUUGCUAGUGUAGUAUAUCGGAUGCUGAACUCCUUCUUCCUCUCUCACCAGAACAGAACUGGUGGCCCGAUCCGAUACCGCCAAAUACAGAUACAACUUGUCCCCAUCCCUCGGUGUGGACAGCAGCGGAGCUUGCUGCAAGUAUUGCUUCAAGUUCCGGAAGGCUUCCUCGCAUUCCGGGGUCCAUUCUGUUUUCUUUCCCCUCCUUAUCACUUGAAAGAAUGGCUGACACUUAUCUGUAGCCUUGGAUAUGAAUCUGCUCAACGCCGCCAACCUCCCCGUGAGGCUCUGCAUCUCCUUCAGGUUACGAGGAGACGUCAUUUACACAAUCGCCUGGAUUUUCUCGGGAUUUGCUUCAAUCCCCCUAUGGCUCACCAUGAAUCCAAGGAAUUUCCCUGACUCGACCCCAAAAGCACACUUUUCCGGGUUGAGCUUCAUCUUAUACUUCCUCAAAAGCUCGAAUGUCUCCUCGAGGUGUCUGACAUGUUCCUCCGGGAUUUUGGACUUGGUGAUCAUGUCAUCCACGUACACCUCCAUGGUUUUCCCAAUCAACGGCUUAAAGACUUUGUUCACCAACCUUUGAUAGGUGGCCCCAGCAUUUUUGAGACCGAAUGGCAUUACCCUGUAACAGAACAAACCUUGGUUAGUGAUGAAAGCCGUGCUCUCCUCAUCCUGCUCGUACAUGGGGAUCUGGUUGUAUCCCGAGAACGCGUCCAUGAAGCUAAGCAGACCAUGUCCAGCCGUUGAAUCCACUAACUGAUCGAUCUUUGGUAAAGGGAAGCUGUCUUUUGGGCACGCCUUAUUGAGGUCUGUGAAAUCCACACACAUCCUCCACUUGCCAUUCGCCUUCUUUACCAACACCACAUUCGAUAUCCACUCGGGAUAAUUGACUUCCCGAAUGAAUCCUGCUCUCAAGAGCUUUUCUACCUCGCCAUUUAUAGCCUCAUACCUCUCCUGGUUGAAGCACCUCCUCUUUUGCCUUACUGCCCGAGCACCUUUCUUUAUUGCCAGCUUAUGACAUGCUACCUCAGGGUCAAUCCCCGGCAUGUCUUCAUGUGUCCAAGCAAACACAUCAGCAUGAGCCUGUAAGCAUUUCACCAACUCCUGCUUUUGCUCUCUCUUAAGUCUCGACCCGAUUCUGAUCGUCUUUCCCGGGUUCUCUGGUCCUAGGCUUACUGUUUCCAGAUCCUCUACAGGUUCUUGUCUGCCCUUCUUGUUUUCCACUCGGGUAUCGAGGGAUGUUAUCUGCAUUGCUUCCCUUGCUGCCGAGGAGUAGCAGCUUCUUGCGAUCCUCUGGUCUCCUCGUACCACUCCUACUACCCCAUUCACCCGGUACUUCAGAGCCAGAUAAUGGUUGGACAACACCGCUUUGCUCAUCCGUAAAAAUGGCCGACCUAGGAUCAUCUGGUAAGGACCUUCCUCAUCCACUACGACAAAGUCCAGUAUCAUUGUUCUUUCUGUCGGGGAGCUCCCAAUUGUGAUAGGCAGCUCGACCACGCCCAGAGGGACCAGCUUCCCUCCUCCGAACCCCUUCAAGGAGGUAUUCCUGUAUUCCAACUUCCGGUUGGCUAUUCCCAUCUCUUCCAGGGUUGACUUAAAUAACACAUCAACUGAGCUCCCUGUAUCAAUCAGGAUCCGGUCAAACUUCUUGCUAGCGACAGUAGCCUUGAUGACUAAAGCAUCCUCGUGGGGGUAUAGAAUCCCUUCCUCAUCCUCAUCCGUCCACAUGAUUGGCACUUGCCUGACCCUUGCUCGUUUGGCUGCUGGGGUGUUGAAGAGUACCUCUUUACUGGUCAUGGCGUACCUAGCAUAAUUUUUUCUCGAUCUGUUGGAAUCUCCGGCCAAUGUUGGGCCCCCAGCUAUCACCCUUACUGCGGGCUGCUCGCGCCUCAAGUUUCUACCACUCUGCUCCCCUUCACCUGUUGUGGCCACCAUCGGGAAAGUCCCAUCCAUAAACUCGUCCAGGUACCGAUUUCUCACCAAAUCUUCGACCUGGGUCUUGAGAUCUCUACACUCUGCUGUGGUAUGGCCAUGGGUGCCAUGGAACUUACAAUAACGUCCUCUAUCCCUCCUGUUGGGUAGCUUUGUUAUUGGUGUAGGGAGGUGCAGCAGCCCUCGAUCCUUUAUGGCCUCGUACACCUCAUCCAGGGACAUCUUCAAGGAAGUGUACCGCCCAUAGUCCGGGUUCUGGUCGAUCAGGCGCACUGCUCUUUCUCUGUUUGCCCCGCUCUGAGUUGGGGGCAGUGGGAGUACUUCUGGUCCGCUCGCUCUGCUACCGUGGGGAUGUUGAUGAAGACCACCAGAUGCCGACUCAUGCCUUCUCCAAGGCUCCCUAGCUGGGGAACGAGGAGGUUGCGCCCUGCUGCGCUGAUACUGUGGUGGCCUCUGAUGAGGCUGGUAUGCAGUUACCCGACCUCCUGCUCCACUACCGGAGGCCUGGUGGUCCCUCCUCCUGAUCGGCCCAUUCCCCGGUAAUGCUUUCUUCUCUUUCCUCCCCAACCCUUCUAACUGGUCUGUCUUAAUCCGUGCAGCCUUCUCCUCUUCAAUCUCGAUGUCUCUCUUAGCCUGUUCGUAUGCGGCUGCAUACGUUAUAAUAGCUGGGCUUCUUAAAUUGUACCACAGCCUUCCUAUCUUCACCCCUUCUUUCAAUCCCCUUAACGCCUGAGGGUGGUUGAAGGCUCCCAAGUCGAGGACAGCCCGAUGAAACCUCUUGAUGAAUUCCCGAAGGGUUUCUUGCUCCCCCUGUUUCAUGCUUUUCAGCUCCAUCAUGUCAUCUUCCGGUGCCAUUGCCCCACAAAACUGCUCCGCGAAUUCCUGACACAUCUGCUCGAAGGUUUUAAUGCUGCCCCGAGGAAGUUUUCUGUACCAUUCUCGUGCACGUCCCUCAAGGGAUAGUGGGAACACCCUGCACCUUUGGGAUUGGGAUAAUCCUUGUACCCCAGUUAUGUCGUUGAAGCGCUCUAUGUGCACCAGCGGAUCUGUUCUUCCUGAGUAUCUGAGGUCUGGGAGGCGGAAAUCUCUCGGAAUAACUGCCCUCAUGAUCUCUGCUGCGAGCGGUGAUUCUCCGUCCAGCAUUAUCCUCCAACCAGGGGCUCUGUUCCUUCCUUGCAUGUCGUCAAUUAUCUGUGCUAGUCUGCGCACUUCCUCCUCCAGCUGCACUGCACGACCAGGGUCACGUGCUGCAACUUGAUCCCGUUCUUGCUCUACAUCAUGCAAGUGUUGCCUCAACUCUGUUUCCUCUGCAUUCACCACCCCGUCGUCCUCGUCACCAGUCUGUCUUACCGGGGACUGCUCUCUUUCUCUAUGAAAUUCUCCCCGCAGAGGUACGUUACCUCUCUCACCACCAAAUCUCCCGGUGGUUUGACUUCUCCCCGCACUAUCGGGACCUGGUGCCACUCCACCGCCUCUCACCCUUCCCUCUUGGGUUACCCUUCGCUCGCUCCGCAGCUCAUGCAGGAUGGUUGUCAAGGUCUCCAUCUGCUUUUCCAUCCGUUCCAUCCGGUCGAACAUGACUUUUUCCCGUGCUUCACUGACUAUCUCCCUCAGCGUCACGGAAUCGUUAAGCCUCCUAUCACCCCCUUGUGCACUACUUCCUCCUGUCUCCAUCGCUUUUUACUUGCUUCGCCCCUCUUCUUGCUAUCAACAGAAGCUUUUUGCUUUCUCCCCACAGACGGCGCCAAAAUGUUGAUGCAGGAUUCCGGUUCUCCUCGUUCUACGACCAGGAUCUCUGCUCGAUCAACUUCAUCACGACCAGGAGGUCUCCUCGUAAGGCUUCUUCUCCAGAGGUUCCUGCGCACACAGACAAGUCAGAGUACGCCGGUUGUUUUCCCGGCGCAAACCCUUCGACGCUCAAGUCAGAUAUCAAGAUUCGGGGAACGUUUGCCACAGAUCUUAUGGCUUUUUCGUGGUUUUCUCUCUUUUUAAUUUCUUUUCUAAAAAAAUGCCAACCCUUUUACCUCGUUGGCUACCUUUUUAUAGGCUUCCUCUGAAUCCCAGUUUUCCGCUUUUUUCGAGACGGUAUGGGACUCUGACUGCUGCGUUAUGGGCAAACGUGGGAUCUUGCGUGUUACGCCACGGUCCUGGGGAAAGCGUGGCUGUCGUGGUUCUGUGAGAUCUUGCGUGUUACGCUACGGUUCUGGGGGAAGCGCGGCUGUCGUGGUUCUGUGAGAUCUUGCGUGUUACGCCACGGUUCUGGGGGAAGCGCGGCUAUUGUGCCUAGAUUCUCGGGCUGGAGAGCAUGUCUUGCCAACUGUCGUUGACCGGAUCUCCUCGCCUCUCGACCUCUAGCCGGAAUGGCCUUAUGCCUCUUACAGGAAAUUGGCCUCGCGGAUGACGUGCUCGUGGACGAGCAGGAUAUUUCUGCUCCUGUUCCCCCGCGCGCCAGGCUCUUACGGAACACACCGGUUCGCAGAACUAUGCCACCAGAUAUCUGCUCACCAUGCCUGGUCUCGUCGACGUAUUUCUCCCAAACACAAGGGCUCCUAAAGUUCGAAGAAAGAGAAUAGUCCGGAAGAAGGUGAUCGCAUAAAUUUCUUGGGAGUUAAUCCUAGUCAAUAGCCCAAUUUUGCUGCCUGUCGAAGAGAUACAACACGGAAGUCCUCAUCAAACUCUUUUGAGACAUCUAAGAACUAGUAGGGAGGUGGUGGUAUUUCACCGUGUUUCCUGGCAAGUAUAGUUCACUGAUAGAGGGAUUCUUUUCUUGAUGUCUAAAUACUAUAUGUGAUACAACGUCGUAUAUUCCAAUUUUUCUCCAGUUAAAUUAUAGUAAGUUAGAAAAGUUAAUUUUGUUCUAGCGAUGAAUUGUUUUCUUAAUAAUAAUAAUGGCCUGUUGCUUUGGAAUCUUAUUCACUCUCUGUAACCCAAUUAAAUUGUGCAAAUUCUACUGCAGAUUUGUCAAACAGAGUGUCUCUGUGAUUGUUUUGAUACACCUUUUAAUUACUAGAUUGUACUCGAGUUCCUAUUUAUUACUACUGUGUUGUAGUUAUAGUUAUUGUGAAAAAGGAACUGAAACUAUAAUAUAAAUGUUGAUCUUCUGUUGUAUAUAUGAUUUUUAAAUAAUAAUUUUGACAAAAUUAAUAAAUGUAUCAUUGAUUUUUUUAUACUCCCAACUUAAUUUUUAAGUCACCAUAAUAAAUAUUUAUUAAAUACUUUGAUACUGUAACUUUAAAACUAUGCUCCGCGGCACUCUUAUCUAAUUUUAAUUGUACUUUAUAGCUCGAUUAUAGAAAUCCUUACUCGAUGUACUUUACCAUACAAGAUGUUAGUUUACUUAAUCUUACUCGACUUUAAUUGCAUAUUUUAUAACGAAAUUUUUGUCAAAAAAUUGGUCCCGAUUCCAGCAAAACAGUAACUUCCAUUCAAAAGGGUUCCACGUUGAGUGCAUGUAAUCUGCACCAAGUUUGAGAAGAAAUAACCAAAAAAAAAAAGAAACCCGCGUCCAAAGAGGCCGUCAUUGAAUUCAAAAAUUAUGAUCCAAAAUCCAAAAAUAGAAGAAGAAUUGGAAACAUAGUCGGAGUUUUAAAUUGAUAUGAGAAAAGAAUUUAUCAUUUUUUUAACAAAAUUUAAGCUAAGACGAAAAAAUAUGCCUAAAACACCCCUCACAUUAUCCCAAACUUUCGAAACUCCCCCAUUCCUCUGACCAUCAUCUCUCCCAAAUCAAUCUUCCCCCAAAACCAGCCAUGGCUUCAAAUUCAAUCAGCUUAACACUCCAAUAUUGCUUGUAAGCCACCCACAAGUCCUCAACUUCAUAUGGACUCAAGACCAAACCCUAGCUUCCUUCCCACACAUCCUCAUUCACUCCAUCAUUACUUACCUCUCCCUCACAUCCAUCCUUUACCACACAUCAACAUCAACAUCACCAUCACCAUCAUCAUCACCUCUCAUUGGACCCCACAUCCUCAGACCCAUCACAGCCAUCCAUAACAUUUUUCAUUUUGAUGCUGUAUGAUCAUUUUACGGGAUUUGGUUUCCCUGGGUUUUGGGGUUGGUGCUUCAAUACUGUGUUUAAUGCUUCCCUUUUGGCCCUUUUUGUUAAUUUUCAUUACAAGAGCUAUGCUAAGAAAAAGAAGCAGGGAUGAUCAAAACAACUAGUAGUUAUCCUUGUUUUGUGUUUUCUUUUUUAAUUUAUCUCUAUCAUUGCCAUUGACAGAGAUGUUUCCAGUUGCCUAAACUUUGUUUUUUCAAUUUUGGUACUACGUGUAAUUUGUCACCACAUUUGUUUAGUCUCUCCCUUUUAAAUUCCCUCUCGCACACAAAAAAUUCGGAUUUGUAUUUUGUAGACUAAUAUUUUUCAUUUUGUUAAUGAAUUAACUAUUAUUAUCUACAUUAAUGUGAUGGAACACAAGCCACAUCAACUAGAAUUAGAUUAUGAAUUUUUGCAGCCCCAGCAAAAAACAUUUAUGAAAGAUGUUUAGGUAAGGAUUAUUUUGGUAUUCUAAAGAGUAGAAUAAAAAUUAAUGUUCAAAAUAUUAGAACAUAUAUAUUCCCAGCCUUAAUAAAAUUUUGCGACAUGAAAUGUACAAAGUUAGAAAUAUAGAAUGCAUAUUAGUACAUGUCAAUAACAAGACCAAUUAGAUUAUGGCAUUACUUUAUUUUAUUUAUUUAUUUUUUUUAUUCUUUUGAAACAAGAUCAAUUAAUUAGAUCAUGCUAGAAGUUAAAUUGUUUUUUUUCAAAUGAAAAAGGAGCAGUCAUACAAAGUUUGAAUAUAAAAUUUAUAAUCUAAAAUUAAUGAUGUGACAAUUAACAUGUUAUUAACCUAUCUAAUAGAGUAGGAAGUCCCAAAUACAUCAUAUUCUGCUCCCGAAAUCAAUUCCACCUAGAAUACUUCUUUCUAUUGAAAUUAAUGAUGAUUUGUUUGUUUGCAUCAUGAAAGUCAAAAAUAAUUUUGUGAGUAAUUUGAUUCUUUACGGUACAAAAAAUAAAUUCGGAAAGUACUAAUUUCUGUCAUACUUUUCGGGCUAAAAAAUAAAUGUAAGUCUAUCAUAUUUAUUAUUUAAUGGUUUUAUAUCAAUCAUCUGUAUGUAUUUUUCUUGGGAGAAGCUCAAUUAAUUUCUCUCAUACUUUUUGAUCUGAUCCAAUUCUAGCCUAAUCAACCUGAAACCCAUUCAAGUUGAUAUGAACACAAAUUUGCCCACUCCGGAGAUUGUGACCCUACAAACUUUGAAAAAUUUUGAGGUUUCGAAGUAAAACAUUAAAAAUUAGAUAUAAAAAGACUGAUUUGACCCCUAAGCACUUGAUGUAUAAACUUUAUACAUAUAAUAGAAAUUUAAUUUAUAUUUUGUAAAAUAAAAUCAAGUAAACUCGAUUUUUUUUUGUUAAUUAUUUUUUCAUUAUGACAAAAUGAAAAAUAGCCUUUUAUUAAAAUUUUUAUAAAUAAUCGGGCCUAAGUCUUUGAUUUUUAUUUUGUUAAUUAUUUUUUAGUUUUACUUGCAACAGUAAGUUCAAUUAUGAAUCAAAGUCGGCAAAUCAAAAUCGCUGCAGCCUGUAGCCACAAGCAAAAUUCUCAAAUUUCGAAAUUCCUAACGACUACAUAAUAACUAUAAAUAGAAUAACAGUCUAAAAUUAAUCCCCAACUAACAUUUUAAGUGAAGUUGGGCCUUCCGAAGAUUUACCCCAUAUGGAACAAAAUAUUAGUUUUGCUACUAAAAUUGCGAACUACGUUUUUCUUUGUAUUUUCCGCUCAAGGAUGAAGAAAUUUCACUCAACUGUUGUGCUGAAUAUCUUGCGAACAUAUGACAAUUUAAGACCCGUUUGGGGCAGCUGCGCGGUGGUCCUUAAUCUUUGGCUGAGACUUGUUUAAAAUAAAAAAUGACACUUUAAAGCAAUAGGAGAGUUUUAUAUAUCAAAAUGGUAAACGGAUGGAGAAAACUCAAAAUAAUUUUUUUAACUUUUUAUCUAUUUUGACAUUCGAAUUUUAAACUCGAGAAGUCAAGCAAUGAAUAAACCUUUUUGAGGGGCUAAUUAAAUUCUUAGUAAUUUCACAUAAUUUUAUUUCAUCAGAACAGUUUUAUCAAAAGCAAUUUUAUAAAUCGUUGUUGAAAGAUUUAUUCCUUAAUUAUCUUUCACAUAUUUUUUUGGUAAUAUGAGGUAAGUCAUAGACCAUAGUAUGAUAUUUAUUAAAUAUCAAAAUUAAUAUGAUAUUUAUUAAAUAUCAAAAUUAAUUAGACAUGUCUUUAUAAUAAGACAUCAUUUAUUUUGAAAUUGUUCCAGCACUAAGAUUAUUCUAGAUCAAAUUAAUCUAUUAUAUAUAACUUCAGAAGAUUUCUCGGUGGAUUGCUUUAAGGUUUUACAGGAGCUGAUGCUGAGUAGUCUGAAUAAUUAUUAUGAAUCAUAGAAACGGGGCAGAUGCUGUUAAAUUAUUGAGGUGGUGGAGCAGAUGCUCAGUAGUCUGAAUAAUAAUGAUGAAUCGGAAAAAUAGGGCAGAUGCUGUACAAUUAUUGAGGUGGUGGAGCAGAUGCUCAGUAGUUUGAAUAAUUAUUAUGAAUCGGACAAACAGGGCAGAUGCUGUACAAUUAUUGACGUGGUUGAACAGAAAGCUAGCCCCAGACGGUAACUCCUGUGGGGACUCCUUUAAUUUUGCAUCACAAAAGAACGUUCACACUGACAUUGACUCACGGGUAAAAAUUAAAUAUCUCAUAUGGUAUAAGAAGAAUGCAAACAUGCUUGAAUCAACAUUCUCACAGAAUACAUAAAACCUACUUUCCUCUGAGCAUUUUAUCAAGAAAAGCAAUUGCUGCAUUUACCAUUUGAUCUAAUAUCAGAAUGGUUGAUGCGAUCGUUUCCGCUCUCCUGGAGCAGCUGAUCUCUGUUGCGGCUGAUGAAGUGAAACAGCAGGUGAGGCUUGUGACUGGUGUCCGAGAAGAGGUGAAAAAGCUUACCAGCAAUCUUCGAGCCAUUCGAGCUGUGCUGGAAGAUGCAGAGAAAAGGCAAAUGCAGCGCAACAAUGCUGUUACUUUUUGGCUGGAUCAGCUCAAAGACGCAUCUUACGACAUGGAAGACGUGUUGGAGGAGUGGACCACUGCAAGGCUCACAUUGCAGAUUGAGGGCGUUGAUGAUGACACUGCUCUUGCUCUUGCUCCUCAUAAGAAGAAGGUACGCUCCUUCUUUUGUGCUGCAUCAAACUGCUUUGGUAGUUUCAAACAACUUAGUCUUCGUCAUGACAUUGCCGUCAAGAUUAGGGAAAUCAAUGGAAAGCUAGAUGAUAUUGCCUCCCAAAAAGAUACGUUUAAAUUUGUUGAGAAUGUGAGCAACAAUGUUAGGGAACCAGAGCUAGUGGGAACCACCUCCUUCAUUGAUGAGGGAAAGGUUUGUGGUAGAGUUGAUGAGAAAAAUGAGCUCUUAAGCAAAUUGUUGUGUGAAAGUAGUGAACAACAAGAAGGCCUUCAUGUCAUCUCACUAGUUGGGUUAGGGGGUAUAGGUAAAACCACUCUUGCACAACUGGCCUAUAAUAAUGAUGAGGUGAAAAGAAAUUUUGAAAAAGUUAUAUGGGUGUGUGUAUCAGACACUUUUGAGGAGAUUAGGGUUGCGAAAGCAAUCAUUGGAGGUCUAGGUGAGUCAACUUCUAGUUUAAGUGAAUUCCAAUCUCUUAUGAGCCAUAUCCAUCGAUCAAUUGAAGGAAAAAAGUUUUUUCUUGUUUUAGAUGAUGUAUGGGAUGGGAAUUACAAUAAAUGGGAACCAUUCUUCCUUUGUCUAAAGAAUGGUCACCAUAGAAGUAAAAUUUUAGUUACCACACGUAAUGAGUCAGUUGCACGUAUGAUGAGAUCAACAAAUAUUAUCUCCAUUAAGCAAUUGGCUGAAGAGGAAUGCUGGUCAUUGUUCGAGCAGUUAGCAUUUUUCAGUCGUUCUCUUGAGGAUCGUGAAAAAUUAGAACCAAUGGGGCGAAAAAUUGCACACAAGUGCAAAGGCUUGCCUCUUGCUGCAAAGGUAAUAGGGAAUCUUUUGUGCUCUAAAAGUACAGAAAAAGAGUGGCAAAGUAUUUUAGAGAGUGAAAUGUGGAAAGUAGAAGAGAUUGGGCAAGGUCUUUUGGCUCCUUUGUUGUUGAGUUAUAACGAUUUACCCUCCAAUUCUGUGGUAAAACGGUGUUUCUCAUAUUGUGCUGUCUUUCCAAAAGACUACAAUAUGGAUAAAGAGGAAUUGAUUAAUCUGUGGAUGGCUCAAGGUUACCUUAAUGCAGAAGAAGACGAAGAGAUGGAGAUGAUUGGGGAAAAGUGUUUCAACAUUUUAGCAGCACGCUCUUUCUUUCAAGAAUUUCAGAAAAAUGACGAUGAUGAUAUUCUGAGGUGUAAGAUGCAUGACAUAGUACAUGAUUUUGCCCAAUUUAUAAGUAGAAAAGAAUGUUUGUGGCUAGAAAUAAAUGGUACCAAAGAAACAGUCAUAAACUCUUUUGGUGACAAAGUCCGUCACUUAAGGUUAAAGUUUCAAGGAGGAGCUUCAUUUCCUAUGUCCUUUUUUGAAUUUGAUAGAUUGCGUACCCUCUUAAUUUAUGAUGAAAGUCUUUCCAAUACAUCUUUAUUUGAUGAUGAAAGUCCUUCCAAUCCAUCUCUUAAUAGUAGCAUCCUUCGGAAGUUAUUUAGUAAAUUGGCGUGUUUAAGGGCAUUAGUUAUAAGACAACUGUCCCCACCUUUUUGUCCUAAUCACCCAAAUUUGAUUAGAGAAAUUCCAGAAAAUGUUGGAAAAUUGAUACAUUUAAAAUAUCUUAAUUUGUCUAGACUGUGUAUAAAGAGACUGCCUGAGACUUUGUGUGAAUUAUAUAAUUUACAAAAGCUAGAUAUUAGGCGGUGCCGAAAUCUUAGAGAAUUGCCAGCGGGGAUUGGGAAGUUAAUGAACAUGAGGAGUUUACUGAAUGAUAAAACUCGUUCUUUGAAGUACAUGCCAGUAGGGAUUUCCAAAUUAACCAGUCUUCGAACAUUAGGCAAGUUUGUGGUGGGUGGAGGUGUUGAUGGUAGCAAUACGUGUAGGCUUGAAUCUCUGAAAAAUCUUCAACUCCUUCGAGAAUGUGGAAUAGAAGGGCUGGGUAAUGUAUCCCAUUUAGAUGAGGCCGAGAGAUUAGGACUUCACAAUAUGGAAAACCUCCUUCGUUUGCGUCUUGUGUUUGAUGGAGUCGUAGAUCUUGUGUUUGAUGGAGUCGUAGAUGGGGAAGAUGAAGAAAGGAGGAGGAGGAAUGAGAAAGACAAACAACUUCUUGAAGCUUUACAACCGCCUUUGAGUGUAGAGAAAUUAUGGAUUGUAUCCUACGGAGGCAACAUUCUUCCCAAAUGGUUGACUUUGCUAACCAAUCUAAGGGAUUUAAGCCUUUCCUCGUGCGUUAACUGUGAGCAUUUGCCUCCUUUGGGAAAAUUGCCUCUGGAAAAACUCACAAUUAACAACUUGAAAAGUGUAAAAAGAGUGGGUAAUGAGUUUUUGGGAAUAGAAGAAAGCAGUGAGGACGACCCAUCUUCAUCUUCAUCGUCAUCAUCAGUUAUUGCCUUCCCCAAAUUGAAAUCUCUCAAUAUUGAGGAAUUUGAUGAAGUGGAAGAGUGGAAUUACAGGAUUACGAGGACGGAAAACAUCUCCAUCAUGCCACGUCUUUCUUCCUUGACGAUUUCUUCUUGCAACAAAUUAAAGGCGCUGCCGGAUUACAUUCUUCAAACGACGGCACUGCAGGAACUGAGUAUAUAUUUUUGUGAUCUUCUAGAAGAACUGCCCAUUCUAGAAGAUCACAGGACAACAGCCAUACCACGUCUUUCUUCCUUGGAAAUUAGUUGUUGCCCCAAAUUAAAGGUGCUGCCGGAUUACCUUCUUCGGACGACGACGCUGCAGAAAUUGACAAUUUGGGGAUGUCCCCUUUUGGAAAACCGUUAUAGAGAGGGGAAAGGAGAAGACUGGCAUAAGAUAUCUCACAUUCCCCACAUCAAGUGGUCGCUGUUGCCGCCGGUAAUUUCUCCUCCUCCUCUGAUUUACUUCGUUGUUGCUUGCAAUGAAAUUAAUAAAAAUAAUUAUAUUUUGACUUAAAAUUUUAUAUAAAAUCAAUCAUGGUAUAAAUAUGAAAAACUUCCUAGUUAUCAAAUCUGUUAAACUUGUUUUCUAAAGAUUAAAUAAUAAAAAAAUACAAGUGUAGUCUGUUGAAAUUUCUAUAUUUAUUUACUUUUAAAAAAUAUGUGCUCUUUUGUAAAAGUUCAUACAAUAUCAUAGAAAUGUUAUGUGUAACUUCCUGAGAGACAAAAUCUCUGUGAUACAUUUGCAGUAAUGUUGAAAACUAAAUGUCAUUAGCCCACCUUGUUUUAUUUCAUACGAGUUUAAUUAUGUUCACCAGGGAUUCGAGGAAAUGUCAGAACUACACUAGCAAUUCGCAGGUCCACGCUAAUUUGGUUCUAAUGAUGCACGCAGGAGAGCAAGACUAUGAAAAUGAAAAGUUUAGCCAAAGGAUUGCUAAAAUGUUCUGCUGGUAAUUCACUUGCUUUAUUUUAUAGAAUUCAUUUCCAUCUUCUUCUAUUGAUAUCUUGUUGUGAAUAACAAGAACAGAGAAGUAAAGAUAUAUCAAAAUUUACUAUUGCGAUGAUGCUAAAGCAAGCUCAAGCUCAAGCAUUGCAUUUUUAUUUUAUUUAAUUUAUAGAAUUUUCAUUUCCACCUGCAUUGCAUUUUUAUUUAUUUUUAGGUUGACUUUGAAUACUUCAUGGUGAACAUUGGGGUGACCAAGGAUUAGGCUGGCAGUGGAACGACUACCACUGUGGUUAUUGUGCGACUUUGAAGAAGAAAGUGAUGGCUGGGUCUGCUCUGUUUCUAUCUUUUUUCAUUCUUUGAUCGGUUUAUCCUACAUAAACAUAUGGAAUUAUGCUAAUAUUAUCAAUUUUUUCACCCAAUUUUCAUUGUUGGUUGUGAUAAAAAUUUCAGGCUCUCAAAAGCUACAAAGCAAAGCAUUUGUGGGCUGAUCAUAUGUUUCAAUUGAGGAAGGAGUUUGGUGUUGGCAAUAUUGUCCAGGUAACCACAGCUGAUAAUUUCCACAAAUUUGCAUUGUCAGAACACACUUUAAUGUUCAUUGUGUUCCUAUGUGUUAUCAGGUUAUUGUGGUAUGUAAAGUAUCAUCUUUAAGGAUUUGUAAGAGACUUCGCAGUAAACUUAGUUGGCACCAGCUCGUGCAAUUCCUCAUUCAUUCAAGAGUACUUCAAAAUUAGAUUUUCAAGGUUUGUAUGUUUAGUUGCGAGCAAAAUGUUUAGUCACACAUUCGUAAUCUUUUCUGAUUUUCAAGUUCUUUAGGGCCAUAAACAGUUUUCCAACUCAUUCUUAAUUUUUAGGUUGAUUUCGAGUACCCUGUUGAGGACAUUCUUGAGACCAAGGAUUAGGCUGGCGAACAAACUACUACCUCUGUUGUUAUAGUGCAGGGUUUGAUCAUUGGACCUUGAAUAAGAAUGCCUUACACACACUCUGUAAUUCAAGCAUUCUCUAAGGAAAAGAGCAGUCGAAGGGAUAGUGAUGGCCGGAUCUGCUCUAUUUUAGUUGAAGAUCUCUGUGAUGUCGAUGAACUUAAAGCAGUUGAUACUUCUUGAAAAUUGUUAUUACGGAUGAAAUUGAUUACAGGAGACGGGUAUCCAAAGGCGGAUUUUCAUAAACUUCCUUCUUUAACAAAUGUUCCAACGCUUGCUGUAGUAACAAUUUCAUAGCUUGUAUCUCUCGGGUGCAUCAUGUUCACGGGUUGGAAAAAGCAUUUGUGGUAAAGCUUCAAAGCUUGUAAAAUGGCUGUGAAAAGGCACAUUCAAUUCGGUAUGCUUUGGUGCGGUCUCCUAAUGCUAAUAUUAUAUUUUGUAUAGCAAUCUUAAUAUGCAAAAAAUCAUUGUGUCCAAAGUUUUCUAUUUAUUAUAUGGUGACUGAAAUUUUAAUUAUCAUAUCAAUCUUAAAAAUUUUUGUAACCCUAUUUUACUUUGCUUGUACAGAAUACCUGUUUUCGCUGAUAUGUCGAAUUCCCAGAAAUUCAUUUCCAUCGGUUUCCAUUGGUUUUAGCACAAACAGAAACAUAGAGCACUGGGAAAAAGUUUUACUUUUGGUGGUAUUAUGCCUUAUUUUCUUCAUUCAUCAUAUUUGUUUCGAAUUCAUGCUCUCAUUAAGAGAGUAAAGCCUUUUCCAGGCUGCUUUGUAGCCAAAUUUUGAUGCCAUCGAUGCGUGAUUGUCAUUUAGAUUUUCGAAAUAAUUGUCAGAUUGGAGACGAAUCAGAAGAUAUUGUUCAAAGGGUAUUUAAUUAGCACCCUCUGAAUUUAGUUGCCAAUAAUGCAUUGAAAUGGUUGGGGAAAGUUAUUGUCUUAAUUAAAUUACAGGUGAUAAGAUGCUGCUUCAAUUUUGCAAGCAUCUUGUACUGCAAAGAUUCUGCCCACAUGAGAUGCUGUGAUUCUUGACAUCAGGAUAACACAGGUCAAAUUUUAGUAUCAAUAUAUAUCAUCUUCUUUACUGUUCUGCCUCUAAAUAUUAAACUUUAAGCAAGUUGUUUUUGUUUGUGUAAGUUAUCAGGUUAAGGAUACUAAGCCGCUUAUUAAGGCAAAUGUCAGAAUGAAGAUUGUUCACCACACCUGGUAUGCAUGAUGGCCAGUAAGAUUAAUUGUUCACAAGCCAAUUUGAUCAGUGUUAGAUUUUUUGCCUCCUUUCGAGGGUCAUCAUCAUCAAAUUUGAGUAGAGAAUCUUUGAAGGGAAUUUUGUUGUAAGAGUUUCACAGUAGUGAAUUCUGGGAGCUCGAACUCACUUGAGUGAGAUAUUAGGGAGUGUUGGGGAUUUGGGUUAUGAGUAAUCAUUAUCCUUCCAAUAUGUGUAAGCACUCACUUGUUAGUAAAAUCAUCUUCGUAUAUUGACUAUGUUUCUUUGAGUAAUUCAGUUUCAGAUUUUCAGGGCAUGUAUGUUUAAUUAGUUUUGAUUAAAAUAUUUAGUCACUCAUUCUGAAUCUUUUCUAAUUUUCAAGUUCCUUAGGGCCACAACCAGUUUUCAGGGUCUGCAGAAACUAUCUUGAGGGUUGAGGAAUUGCGUUUGAGCACACACAGAAACAAGGCUAAUGGAAAAGAACUUGACAGAAGAAUUAUGCUCUAAAUCUAACAAAAGUAUAUUUCUACUUCUUGUGGUUAUUUUACUUUUGUAUUUUCUGUCAUCAUAUUUGAUUAAUUCAUUCGAAUUCAGACUCUCAUUAUUUAAAACCAUUUUCAGGUGGCUUGCACGCUAAUUAAGUUAACGCAGAAGCAAUACUCUAGACAAAGAUGAGCAAAUUGAAGAUGAUAAAUGCAUAUAUAGUGGCCAAGUCGCUCAUUACAUUUCAUCUCUCAUACGAACAUGAUUCUGAAUUUGAAUUUCCAUCAAUAAUUGUCAGGCUGGUGCAGAUGUUCUUAAAAGGGCAUUAAGCUACCUUAUGAGAUUGGAAAGUUAUCAUUGCUUGAAUGAAAGCACCAUCUUCUGUUGUCAAGGCUUUCCCCCACACGAUGAGAUUCUGUGCUUGUUAUCGGCCGCUUAGUUAUUUAUUAAAUCAGGUUUUUGUUAUCAUGUUCAACAUCUUAUUCACCAUUUUGGCUAUAUAUAAAGAUUAAAAUUUCUAACAGUUGUUUCGGAUUCUUGUGUACUCAGGUUAAUAUGGCAAAUGUCAGAAUGAAGAUUGUUCAGUGCAACCGGUAUAGCAAGGAUGAUAGUGGUGAGGAAGAUUGUUGGCAAGCCAAAUAGAGCCCUCCAUUUUGAGAAAUAUCAUCCUCAAAUUUGAAUUGUUGAGCAUGUGAAGUGAAGCUAAAGCCUUAAUAAUGAGACCUUCCUGUGAAAGUUUCAUUUGAGUGAAUUGAACGUCCUUAGUGGGUGAGAAAUUAAGCAUAUAUCAGCGAUUACUGAAUGUUUUUCUUUAACAUUAGUACACUCUUAUUUCUUAGUAAAAUUCUCUUCACGUCUCUGACUGUGACGUAGACCAAAAGCUGAACAAUGUAAAAUUAUAUUGUUAUUUCCUUAUGCUUGUUUUGCUAUAUAUCAUUUUUGUGCAAUAAAGAAUGUAAUUUUGUAAUUAUUUAACUCUGCUUCUGCGAACAUGCGGUAUUACAAGUGGCAUCUUGCAGAUUUUUUUCCCCUUUUUUUCUUUCUGCAUUAAAACUGCAACAAAUGGAAGUGACUGGCUUGAUUUUAGCUAAUGUAAAAAAGUGCUUGGGGCAAUGUCUUUUGUAUCAGCAAGUCAUCAAACAUCAUAGUUUAAAUAUAGAAUCCUGAGUUGCCGUAUAUUGACAAAGCUAACCGUCUGUGGGCUGAAAUGCUUCCACGGAUCAGGAAGGAAUUUGGGGUUGACACUAAAUGUUAUGCAGAUAACUACAGUUGAUAAUUUUUACCCAAAAUAUGUCACAGUUGACAAUUCACUUACAGUGUUUCCUUGUGUUAUCAGGCUCUCAUAUGUGAAUUGAAAGAUUAAGAAAAAGCAUUUGCACUAAAUUUCAAUUUUAAAGUUCCCAGAUUAAGAAAGAUUGUUUGUUAUGCAAUUGAAGAUUAUGAAAAAGCAUACGCACAGGUAAGUUCUUCUUUAGCUCUGUUUUUCAUUGUUUGUUAUAUCUAUUUUUAAUUCACAUGUCCACAGUAAUUUCAUUUUAGUUUGAGCUGAGUGAUAACUGUUCAAGGCUCACUUACUCAUUGGGAGAAGCUGCAUGACGCAGGCUGCAAGGAUUUAGAUUUUCAUUCGAAGGCUCACUUACUCAUAGUGUGCAUGUUUCGUUACGAUUAAAAUGAUUAGUCUCUUGUUCUUAAGUAUACAAUUUCCAAUGGAUUUGAUAGAGCGGUCAUCAACCAUAUUGAUGUUAUUGGAGUAGCACUGUUCUUAAGCACUGCUUUGAGGUCUCUCCCUCUCUAUAUACAUUGAUAGACUAUUCUGGUCGUACCAAAUUAUCCUUGUUUUAUUGUUUUGUUUGUUAAACUUUGACUGGGGGAAUCUGUUUAUUUGUCUGAUAUGAUGUUAGUGUGGUUUCGAUUGAAGUGUGUUGAUCUAUCACCAAGUAUUAUUUCAAUUUUUCUUUACCUAAUCAACUUGCAUACUUUCCAAGUCUAGAUCCUUAACAAUAGUGAGACUCCGCUACAGAAGUACGAUUUCUCUAGUUUUGUAGUUAAAUACGUAAGAAUAGUUUUAAAUUAACAGAACUCUGAGAUAGUUCUCUGAGGAAAUACAAGUGGUGAAUAUGGUUCCAACUUUUAAGUGCCUUAAGAUUCCCAUUUGUUCAGCCCUGUGCGUAAACAAUCAGUAAUUUCUGUCCAAAUUCUUCUUUAAUGCCUAUAUGUGUUGGACUUUGUCUACUGUUCAACUUCUCAAAUGGAUUCCAUGCAGGGUUUUGAAUGUCCAAUUAGGAGAAAGAUCAAGGCUUGCUUGGCUAGGAGUGGAAGCGGAUCCACUACUUCAGUCAGAUGACCUUUUGAAGAAGGCUUACAACAGGCCGUCUCAGGAUGUCAAUGGCUCAACUCAAAAGUCCCCAAAGUGGUUGAUAUCGAAGAAUGCCGUUGUCUCUGGGCUUGGGCUCCUUGGCAUCAAACAAGGGAAUGUCGACUCUGUUGAAGGGGAAGCAAGGGCUCCUAAAGUGCGAAGAAAGAGGAUAGUCCGGAAGAAGGUGACCGCAUAAAUUUCUUGGGAGUUAAUCCUAGUCAAUAGCCCAAUUUUGCUGCCUGUCGAAGAGGUACAACACGGAAGUCGUCAUCAAACUCUUUUGAGACAUCUAAGAACUAGUAGGGAGGUGGUGGUAUUUCACCGUGUUUCCUGGCAAGUAUAGUUCACUGAUAGAGGGAUUCUUUUCUUGAUGUCUAAAUACUAUAUGUGAUACAACUUCGUAUAUUCCAAUUUUUCUCCAGUUAAAUUCUAGUAAGUUAGAAAAGUUAAUUUUGUUCUAGCGAUGAAUUGUUUUCUUAAUAACAAUAAUUGCCUGUUGCUUUGGAAUCUUAUUCACUCUCUGCAACCCAGUUAAAUUGUGCAAAUUCUACUGCAGAUUUGUCAAACAGAGUGUCUCUGUGAUUGUUUUGAUACACUUUUGAUGGCAAGUUCAAGUUUGAAUCAUCUUGUAAUGCCAAAAAACCAUAGCGCUUUUAAUUACUAGAUCGCACUCGACUUCCUAUUUAGUACUACCGUGUUGCAGUUAUAGUUAUUGUGAAAAAGGAACUGAAACUAUAAUAUAAAUGUUGAUCUAGUGUUGUAUAUAUGAUUUUUAAUUAAUAAUUUUGAUAAAAUUAAUAAAUGUAUCAUUGAUUUUUUUAUACUCCCAACUUAAUUUUUAAGUCACAAUAAUAAAUAUUUAUUAAAUACUUUGAUACUGUAACUUUAAAAUUAUGCUCCGCGGCACUCUUAUCUAAUUUUAAUUGUACUUUCUAGCUCGAUUAUAGAAAUCCUUACUCGAUGUACUUUACCAUACAAGGUGUUACUUUACUUGAUCUUACUCGACUUUAAUUGCAUAUUUUAUAACGAAUUUUUUAUCAAAAAAUUGGUCCCGAUUCCAGCAAAACAGUAACUUCCAUGAUGAUUUUUAAUAUUAUAUUAGUGAUUAUUAAAUUUAAUACAAUCAAUAAUGAAAGAAAUUAUUAAAUGGUUAAUUUUAUUGACAUAUUAUCAAAUACGCAAGUAAUGAAAAAUUAAUCUCAAGAGUUAGUUGAAGUAAAGUUCCAAUUUAAUAGAUAAAUAUAAAUUUUAAGUAAAUCAUAAAUUAAAAAAUUAAUUAAUAUUAAGUAUAAAUAAAUAAUAAUGACAUAAAUUAAAGUCUCAUAAAUGGAUAACUUUUUUUCUUUAAUCUUAUCUCAACUAAAGUAAUGUGUAAAUUAGGAUUCUUAAUCCCAUAAUUUUAGGAAUAAAUUUAAAUUUAGUUCCUAAAUCCAAUUCAAUUAAGCUUACCAAACAUGAGAUAAAUUUUUAAUCACAAAAUUAGUCCAAUUCCAUACUUACUCCCAGUAUCCGAACAUGGCCUGAUAACAUAAUUUAGGUAAUAUACUACUAUGACUCACAAUUUAAAUAAAUUUAAGAAUUUAUAUAGGGGAUGGAAAAUUCACAAUAAUCAUAACAUAUGCUAUCUUUUCUCCCUUUUCUUAAUUAAAUAAAAAAAAAUUAAUGACAGAAUAACUACUGUUUAAAAGGGUCGGCUGCAUGAUUUUUCCAACUAUUGUUUUAUUUUUCUCUUUUCCACUACAAAUUAAUUUGAGAAUGUUACAUUUUCCAAUUCUCUUUUUGUCGUGACAUAAUAGACUAAAACGGAAUCACAUACUUUUUCAAAUGUCCAAAUGGCUUUGGCCUACCUGAUAAUAAAAGGAAUGGAUCCAUACGUUAGUAUGGAUAAAUUGAAAAAUAUAAUAAAUAAAUUGUCAGGAGAUGAUUUUAUCAAAAAUUUCACUCGCACGGUCCCGACCAAAAUCGACUGUAUUAUAUGUGAACUCGCAAGAUUCAUAGAUAGAUUGCACUGAGCUUUUUGUUGCAGUUUACAAAUAUUUUGUUACUAAUUAUCUCAAGAGCAGCAUGUAACUAAAUACAAAUGUAAGGAAUUUUACAAGUGCUGAUGCUGUGUACUCUGAAGAAUUAACAAUGAAUUAUUAUGAAUAAGAGAAACAGAGGGCAGAUGCUGUGCAAUUAUUGAGGUGGUGGAUCAGAAAGCUAGCCCCAGAUGGUGACUCCUUUAAUUUGCAGCACGAAAGAACGUUCACAUUGACAUUGACUCAAGGGUAAAAAUUAAAUAUUUCAUAUGGUAUAAGAAGAAUGCAAACAUGCUUGAAUGAACAUUCUCACAGAAUACAUAAAACCUACUUUCCUCUGAGCAUUUUAGCAGCAAGAAAAGCAAUUGCUGCAUUUACCAUUUGAUCUAAUAUCAGAAUGGCUCAUGCGAUCGUUUCCUCUCUCUUGGACCAGCUGAAAUCCAUUGCUCAAGAUCAGGUGAAAGAAAAGUGGAGGCUUGUGACGGGUGUCGAACAAGAAGUGGGAAAGCUUACUACCAAUCUUCAAGCCAUUCAAGCUGUACUGGAAGAUGCAGAGCAGAGGCAAAUGAAGCAGGACAAAGCUGUUACUCUUUGGCUGGAUCAGCUCAGAGACGCAUCCUACGACAUUGAAGAUGUGUUGGAAGAGUGGAUCACUGAAACAAGGAAAUUGCAGCUUGAUGAGGGCGGCGAUGAUGACGAUGCUCUUGCUCUUGCUCCUCCUAAGAAGAAGGUAUGUUCCUUCUUUCGUGCUGCCUCAAACUACUUAGGUGGUUUCAAACAACUCAUUCUUCGUGAUGAUGUUGCUGUCAAGAUUAGCGAAAUCAGUGAAAAGCUAGAUGGUGUUGCCACUCGAAAAGAUAUGUUUAAAUUUGUUGAGAAUGUGAGUAACAAUGUUAAGAAACCAGAGCGAGUGCGAACCACCUCCUUGAUUGAUGAGGGAGAGGUUUUUGGUAGAGAUGACGAGAAAAAUGAGCUGUUAGGUAAGUUGUUGGGUGAGAGUGGCGAACAACAUCCUCAUAUCAUCUCACUGGUUGGGUUAGGGGGUAUAGGUAAAACCACUCUUGCACAACUAGCCUAUAAUAAUGAUGAGGUUAAAAGAAAUUUUGAAAAAGUUAUAUGGGUGUGUGUAUCAGACACUUUUGAUGAGAUGAGGGUUGCUAAAGCAAUCAUUGAAGGUCUAGGCGAGUCAACUUCUGGUUUAAGCGAAUUCCAAUCUCUUAUGAGCCAUAUCCAUAGAUCAAUUGAAGGAAAAAAUUUUUUUAUUGUCUUAGAUGAUGUAUGGGAUGGGAAUUAUAAUAUAUGGGAUCAAUUCUUCUUUUGUCUAAAGAAUGGUCUUCCCGGAAGUAAAAUUGUGGUUACCACACGUAAUGAGUCAGUUGCACGUAUGAUGCGAACAAUAGAGUUAGAUAUUAUCUCCAUUGAACAACUAGCUGAAGAGGAAUGCUGGUUGUUGUUCAAGCGGUUGGCAUUUUUCGGUCGCUCUUUCAAGGAUUGUGAAAAAUUAGAACUAAUCGGGCGAAAAAUUGCACGCAAGUGCAAAGGCCUGCCUCUUGCCGCAAAAGUAAUAGGGAAUCUCUUGCGCUCUAAACGUACAGUAAAAGAGUGGCAAAGAAUUUUAGAGAGUGAAAUGUGGAAGGUAGAAGAUAUUACGAAAGGUCUUUUGGCUCCUUUGUUGUUGAGUAUAAUGAUUUGUCCGCUAGUUCUAUGGUAAAACAGUGUUUCUCAUAUUGUGCUGUCUUUCCAAAAGACUACAAGAUGGAUAAAGAGGAAUUGAUUGAUCUCUGGAUGGCUCAAGGUUACCUUAAUGCAGAAGAAGACGAAGAAAUAGAGAUGAUUGGAGAAGAGUAUUUCAACAUCUUAGCAACACGCUCUUUCUUUCAAGAGUUUGAAAUAUAUGGUGCCGAUGGUGAAUAUGUGAAGUGUAAGAUGCAUGACAUAGUACAUGAUUUUGCUCAAUUUGUGAGUAGCAAAGAAUGUUUGUGGCUAGAAAUUAGCGGUACCAAAGAAUCAGUCAUAAACUCUUUUGGUGACAAAGUCCGUCACUUAGGGUUAAAGCUUAAAAGAGGCGCUUCAUUUCCUAUGUCCAUUCAUGGACUUAAUAGAUUGCGUACCCUCCUAAUUAGUGAUGAAUUUUAUAAUCUGUCCCUUAGUAGUAGCAACCUUGCAGAGUUAUUUAGUAAAUUGGCAUGUUUAAGGGCAUUAGUUAUAAAGCAAUUUUACCCAAAUAGGAUUAGAGAAAUUCCAGAAAAUGUCGGAAAAUUGAUACAUUUAAAAUUCCUUAAUUUGUCUAGACUAGCUAUAGAGAGACUACCUGAGACUUUGUGUGAAUUAUAUAAUUUACAAAAGCUAGAUAUUAGGCGGUACGAAUAUCUUAGAGAAUUGCCUGCGGGGAUUGGGAAGUUAAAGAACAUUAGGAGUUUACUAAAUGCUAGAACUCCGUUAAAGCAUAUGCCAAUAGGGAUUGCCAGGUUAACCAGUCUUCGAACAUUGGACAGGUUUGUUGUGGGAGGAGAUGUUGAUGGUAGCAGUACAUCUAGGCUUGAAUCUCUGAAAAAUCUUCAACUCCUUCGAGAUUAUGUAAUAGAUGAGCUGAGUAGUGUGUCACAUUUAGAUGAGGCUGAGAGAUUAGAACUCCACAAUAUGGAAAACCUCCUUCGUUUGUGUCUUGUGUUUGAUGGGGGAGAUGAAGAUUGGGAAGAUGAAGAAGAAGAAGACGCAGAAGUUGUAGAGGGGUUAGAUGAAGAAGGGAGGAGGAAGAAUGAGAAACUUCUUGAAGCCUUACAACCGCCUUUGAAUGUAGAGGAAUUACGGAUUGUAUCCUACGGAGGCAACAUUUUUCCCAAAUGGUUGACUUCGCUAACCAAUCUAAGGGAACUAAAACUUCUCUUGUGUUUUAACUGUGAGCGUUUGCCUCCUUUGGGAAAAUUACCUCUGGAAAAACUCCAACUAAAGAACUUGAAAAGUGUAAAAAGAGUGGGUAAUGAGUUUUUGGGAAUAGAAGAAAGCAGUGAGGAUGGCCCAUCUUCAUCUUCAUCGUCACCAUCAGUUUUUGCCUUCCCCAAAUUGAAAUCACUCGAAAUUCACGGAAUGGAAGAAUUGGAAGAGUGGAAUUACAGGAUUACGAUGAAGGAAAACAUCUCCAUCAUGCCCCGUCUUUCUUUCUUGGAAGUUAGUUCUUGCAACAAAUUAAAGGCGCUGCCGGAUUACCUUCUUCAAACGACGGCACUGCAGGAACUGAGUAUUUGUUCUUGUGAUCUUCUAGAAGAACUGCCCAUUCUAGAAGAUCGCAGGACAACAGACAUACCACGUCUUACUUCUUUGUGGAUUUCUGAUUGCCCCAAUUUAAAGGUGCUGCCGGAUUACCUUCUUCAAACACUGCAGCUAUUGAUAAUUUUGGGCUGUGACCUUCUAGAAGAACAUUAUAGAGAGGGGAAAGGAGAAGACUUGCAGAAGAUAUCUCACAUUCCCCACAUCAAGUGGUCACCGUAAGAUAUCACUCGCCGGUAAUUUCUCCUCCUCCUCUGAUUUACUUCGUUGUUGCUUGCAAUGAAAUUAAUAAAAAUAAUUAUAUUUUAAAUUAAAAUUCUAUAUAUUGCCAAUGUCUGACAAGAAUAUAUAAUAUUUUUCUAAUAUUUUGAUUUGCAUAUUGAAUUUUGUUUACUUUAACCAUUAAUUUAAUGGGUCACUUUAUGAUGCUGUUAUAAAAAUUAUAGAAUCAAUCAUGGUAUAUAUAUUUUAAUUUAAGUUAUUUAAAAUUUAAACUUCCUAGUUAUCAAAUUUAAACUUCCUUAACAUCAUGCAAAAAUAAUCAUCAUGUCUUUUAGCCGAAGGAUUGCUAAAAUGUUCUGCUGGUAAUUCACUUGCUUUAUUUUAUAGAAUUUCAUUUCCAUCUUCUUCUAUUGAUAUCUUGUUGUGAAUAAACAAGAACAGAGAAGUAAAUAAUUGAACCACAGAGAAGUAAAGAUAUAUGAAAGUUCGCUAUUGUGAUGGUGUUAAAGCAAGCUCAAGCUCAAGCAUUGCAUUUUUAUUUUAUUUUAUUUUUAGAAUUUUCAUUUCCACCUGCACUGCAUUUUCAUUUCAUUUUUAGGUUGACUUUGAAGACUCUAUGGAGAACAUUAGGGUAACCAAGGAUUAUCACUAUGGUUAUUGUGCAACGUUUGGUUGCUGGACUUUGAAGAAGGAAGCGAUGGCCGGGUCCGCUCUGUUUCAAUUGAGGAUGGACAGCUGCCUGAAAGACAUGAUGAUUAUUUUUGCAUGAUGUUAAGGUGCUAAGAUCAUCAUUUAUAUCUUGUUUCAUUCUUGGAAUCAUUUAUCCUAUAUAAACAUAUUGAAUUGUGCUAAUAUUAUCAUAUGCUUCAAUGGAGGCAGGAAUUUGGUGUUGACACUACUAUGCAGGUAGCCACACUUCAUAGUUGGCACAAAUUUGCGUUGUCAGAAUAUCCUUUAAUAUUCAUUGUGUUUCUUUGCGUUAUCAGGUUAUCAUCUCCAAGGGUUUGAAAGAGUCUUUGCAGUAAAGGCAGUUGUCACCAGCUCGUGCAAUUGCACAGUCAUUCAGAGUACUUCAAUAUUGGGUUUUCAAGUUUUGUAUGUUUAGUCGAUUAAAAUGUUUAGUCACUCAUUCUUAAUCCUUUUUUCUGAUUUUCAAGUUCUUUAGGGCCAUAAACAGUUUUUCAAACUCAUUAUUAUUUUUUAGGUUGAUUUCCUACUCGUGGAGAACAUUGGCAAGUCCAAGGAUUAGGCUGGCGAUGGAACUACUACCUCUGUUGUUAUUGUGCAAGGUUUGAUCGCUGGACCUUGAACAAGAAUGCCUUACACACAUUCUGUAAUUGAAGCGUUCUCUAAAGCAAAAGAGCAGUAGAAGGAAUAGUGAUGGCCGGAUCUGCUCUUUCUUAAUUGAAGAUGUCUGUGAUGUUGAGGAGCUUAAAGCAGUUAAUGCUCUUUGAAAAUUGUUAUUACAGAUGAAUUGAUUCCUGAAGACGAGUAUCUAAUGAUUGUUAAGGCGUAUUUUCAUGAACUUCCUUUCUUAACAAAUGUUUCAAUGCUGGCUGUAGUAACAAUUUCAUAUCUUGCAUCUCCCGGGUGCAUCAUGUUCACGGGUUUGAAAAAGCAUUUGUGGUAAUGCUUCAAAGCUUGUACAAUGUCUCCCAAUGCUAAUAUCAUAUUUUGUAUGGCAAUUAAAAUUUAGCUAUACAAUCUUAAUAUGCAAUAAAUCAUUGUAUACAAAGUUUUCUAUUGAUUAUAUGGUGACUGAAAUUAGAUUGGAGAAGAAUAAAAAGAUACUGUUAAAAGGUUAUUUAAUUAGCGCCCUCUGAAUUUCUUGGAGUUAAUGUAGUCAAUUGCCCAAUUUUGCUGCCUGUGGAAGAUACACAGUAUGGAGUCCUCAUCAAACUCUGAGACACCUAAUAAAUAGUAGGAGGGGUUGGUAUUCGCCUGGUGUUAAUUUCCUGGCAAGUAUAGUUCACAGAUAAAGGGGUUCUUUUCUUGAUGUCUAAAUACCGUAUGUGAUACAACAUCGUGUAUUCCAAUUUUUCUCCAGUUAAAUUUUAAUAAGUUAGGAAAGUUAAUUUUGUUUUAGCAAUGAAUUGUUUUCUUAAUAAUAAUUGCCAUGUUCCUCUGAAGUCUUAUUAAUGCCAAACCAACAACUACUAGGUUCAUCUCUCGUUCACUUCCUCAGGGAUUCUCGAGGGCAUUCUUUGGCAGGUAGUCUUUCUUGUUGAGCUCCUGGAAUUACUUUUAAUUUAUCAUCUGUUGGGUUUUGCUUUUUGAUUGCUUUGUGAUUUGUGUUUUUAUCGCUUUGUCGCUCAUUAAUCUUGGCUGUUUUGAAUCUGUGUUGGAUUUAGACGUUUGGAGUUGAAAACAGUUAAAGCUUAGACUAGUAGAAGAGAUUUAUACAUUCAUUUAUCUUGGACAAAGUUUUUGGGGGAAAAGAAAAAUUAUAAGUAUACACUUUCCAAUGGUUCGGUGAUGUUUGAUUGGUUUAAAGAUGUUGGAUCUCUCAUCAGAUUUCUUAUGUAUCGACUGCUGUUGCCACAGGAUGCUCGCAGAUCCUGCUUUUUUGUAUAAACUUCUACCAGAGCAGGCUGCCACAAUUGGUUGCACUGUUUUGUGGGAGUUGGAGAAUCACAAGGAGAGGUGUUUUUUCUCUCAUAACAAAGGAACUCUCCCCUUCCUUUUUAUUCUCAUUUUAUAUAUUAAGCUAAUAAAUGUUUGUUUCUGUUGUGAUGGGAUAAAGCAAGAAUGGGAUCUUUGCCCUAAUAAAUGUGCUCACAGUAACAGCAUGUAAUGCUUUUGUUGUUUGGUCGCUUGCUCCUUGUCAUUCUUAUGGAAACACCUUCCGGUUUGACUUGCAAAUUACAUUACAAAAGCUCCCAAACAAUAUAUUUGAACGGCGGUACCCAUUUCGAGAAUUUGACUUGCAAAAGAGAAUCCACUCCCUUUUUUACAAGGCUGCAGAGUUGUGUAUGGUGGGAUUAAGUGCAGGAGAAGUGCAAGGUUCUUUGUCAAACUAUCUUGCUGGUAAAAAGGACAGGUAAACAUGGUUGCAAAACUUCCUUUUCAUUCCUCGUUCACUUAUUCGUUAUAAAUAAAGAAAACUUAGAAGAUUGUUCUGUUUACUGUCUAAGCCAGUUUAACAUUUAUUAAAUUACCCUUGUAAAAGAGAAUCCACUCCCUUUAAUGUCUGACAGGUUAUCUGUGACAAACAUGAGAUAUCAGCUAUUGUGUGGAUUUGAUAGAGCGGUCAUCAACCAUUUUGAUGUUAUUGGAGUAGUACUGUUCUUAAGCACUGCUUUGAGGUCUCUCCCUCUAUCUCUUUUACGCAUUUGUUUAUUGAUCUACAUCUCUAUAUACAUUGAUAGACUAAUCUGGUCGUACCAAAUUACCCUUGUUUUAAUGUUUUGUUUGUUAAACUUUGACUGGGGAAUCUGUUUAUUUGUCUGAUAUGAUGUUAGUGUGGUUUCUAUUGAAGUGUGUAGAUCUAUCACCGAGUAUUAUUUCAAUUUUUCUUUGCUUAAUCAACUUGCAUCCUUUCCAAGUCCAGAUCCUUAACAAUAGCGAGACUUCGCUACGGAAGUACAAUUUCUCUAGUUUUACAGUUAAAUACGUAAGGAUGGUUUUAAAUUAACUGAACUCUGAGGUAGUUUUCUAAGGAAAUACAAGCGGUGAAUAUGGUUCCAAGUUUUAAGUGCCUUAAUUAACCCAUUUGUUCAGCCCUGUGCGUAAACAAUCAGUAAUCGCUGUCCAAAUUCUUCUUUACUGCCUAUAUGUGUUGGACUUUGUCUAUUGUUCAACUUCUCAAAUGGAUUCCAUGCAGGGUUCUUAAUGUCCAAUUAGGAGAAAGAUCAAGGCUUGCUUGGCAAGGAGUGGAAGUGGAUCCGCUACUUCAGUCAGAUGACCUUUUCAAGAAGGCUUACAACAGGCCAUCUCAGGAUGUCAAUGGCUCAACUCAAAAGUCCCCAAGGUGGUUGAUAUCAAAGAAUGCCAUUGUCUCUGGGCUUCGGCUCCUUGGCAUCAAACAAGGGAAUGUCGACUCUGUUGAAAUGGAAGCAAGGGCUCCUAAAGUGCGAAGAAAGAGGAUAGCCCGGAAGAAGGUGACCGCAUAAAUUUCUUGGGAGUUAAUCCUAGUCAAUAGCCCAAUUUUGCUGCCUGUCGAAGAGAUACAACACGGAAAUCCUCAUCAAACUCUUUGAGACAUCUAAGAACUUGUAGGGAGGUGGUGGUAUUCACCUUGUUUCCUGGCAAGAAAUUUAUGGAACUUAUCUUCUAAAAACCAGCCAUGGCUUCAAAUUCAAUCACCUCAACACUCCAAUAUUGGCUUGUAAACCACCCACAAAUCCUCAACUUCACAUGGACACAAAACCAAACCCCAGCUUCCUCCCCACACUUCCUCAUUCUCUCCAUCCUCACUUACCUCUCCCUCACAUUCAUCCUCUACCACACAUCAACAUCAACAUCACCACCAUCAUCACCUUUCAUUGGACCCCACAUCCUCAAGCCCAUCACAGCCGUCCAUAACCUCACCCUCCUCCUCCUCUCCCUCAUCAUGGCCGUUAGUUGCACUCUCUCCAUCAUCGUCCAUUUGCCCCACCUCCAUUACACCCUCUGUUUCCCCCCCACCAUUUCUCCGUCUGGCCCCCUCUUCUUCUACGCUUACCUCUUCUACCUCUCCAAAAUACUCGAAUUCGUAGACACCCUUUUGAUCAUUUUGUCAAACUCCGUCCAACGGCUCACGUUCCUCCACGUCUAACACCAUGCAACCGUCGUCGUAAUGUGCUACCUUUGGUUACAGACGAAGCAGUCUUUGUUUCCUAUUUCACUUGUGACCAAUGCAAGUGUGCAUGUGAUCAUGUACGGGUACUAUCUAUUGUGUGUGAUGGGGUUGAGGCCAAAGUGGAAGAGAUUGGUCACUGAUUGUCAGAUUGUUCAGUUUGUGUUUAGUUUUGUUGUUUCGGUUUUGAUGCUGUAUUAUCAUUUUACGGGAUUUGGUUGCUCUGGGAUUUUGGGUUGGUGCUUCAAUGCUGUGUUUAAUGCUUCUCUUUUGACACUUUUUGUUAAUUUUCAUUCCAAGAGCUACGCUAAAAAAAAGCAGGGAUGAUCAGAACAAAUAGUUUUUGUGAUUGUUUUGUGCGUGCGUGUGUGUGUGUGAUUUUUUUUUUCAAGUUUGAUUUUGUUUAAUUAUGAAGGGUUGUGAUCUGUUCAUUGCAAUUGACAGAGAUGUUUUCAGUUGCCUAGACUUCGUAUUUUCAGUUUUAGUAAUAAAUGUCGUUUUUCACCACAUUUGUUUAGUCUCUCGCUUUUAAAUCCCCUCUCACACACAAAAAAAAUUGGAUUUGUAUCUUGUAAACAAAUAUUUUUCAUUUUGUUAAUGUAUUAAUUAUUGUUAUCUACAUUUAUGUGAUAGGGCACAUGCCACAUCGACUAAAAUUAAGUUAUGAAAUUUUGCAGCCCCUGAGCACUCAAUGUUUGUAGGCACAAGUUCAAGUCCCACCAUUUGUUAGGAUUUAAAUAAAGAACAUUAUAACCAUGCGUCCAAGAACUUAAAGAUAGCUUAAGUGCAUGGAUUCGAGUCCUAGUUAUUGUUGGAAUUCGAUUUCCUUUCUAAUUAAAUUGGGUAAGGGUAAAAUUAUCUCUCAAUUAAUAAGGACAGAGUAGAUAUUUCUCUCGAUUUUCCUCCCAAUUAAAUUAGUUAGAAGUAAAAUUAUCUCUCAAUUAAUAACAGUAGAAUAAAUAUCUCUCUAGUAUUAUGCAAGGGUAGAAAUUUGGGCUGUACCAUGUUAGAAUUAUCAAGGAUAGUUUUGGUAGAAUUCUAAUUGUAAUAUAUGAGUGUAUAAAAAAAAUGAACAUCAAUGAAAGAUUUUAGGCAAGAACUAUCUUGGAAUAGAAUUUUGAUUGUAAUAUAUCAGUAUAUAAAAAAAUUUUAUGAAAAAUGUUUAACAAGGACUAUUUUGAUAUUUUAAUGAAUAGUAAAAAUUAAUGUUAAAAUUUGAUAGACGAGUGUAUAGUAAGAUGUGCAAAGUAUUAGAACAUAUAUAAAUAAUCCUAGCUCUAAUAAAAUUUUGCUACAAAAUUAGUUUAUCCCUUAAAGAAACAUAUCAAAAAAAUAUACAAAAACACAAUGCAUGAGUACAUGUCAAUCACAAAUGAAAGCAAUUAAGAUAAAGGAUAUGAUUUAUUUUAUUUUAUUUUAGUUAUUUUUUUAAUUAUUUUUUGUUUCUUUUGAAACAAGACCAAUUAGAUCAUGCAAGAAGUAAUUUUUUUUUUAAAUAAAAAAGGAGAAAUGAUGAAACCCACGUCCAAAGAUGCCGUUGUCGCGGAGGCCUAGAUCUCACUACACCCCAUCCCCUUCUACCAUAUUUUAUAAUUGAAGAGGCCAUUAUUGAAUUGAAAAAUUAUGAUUCAAAAACCCAAAAAUAGAAAAAGAAAAGCAAUUGUUGGAAACACACUCGGAGUUUUAAAUUGACAUGAGAAAAGAAUAUAUUCAUCAACCUCAUACGUUAAAGAUGCGACGAGUUUGAGAUUAUGAGCCAAAUUCCUAACGUGUGGGAAUUUAAAGAUGUUACUACAAAACAUGUGUUCGUCGGUGGAGUAGAAUCAGGGAAAUUAAAGAUGCUACUACAACCACUAACGUGUGGGUGGGGAUAAGCAUAACUUUUUUCAUCAAAUGCCAAAUCCCCCCAGGUGGAGAGUGGGGACUCCUUCGCAUAAAUGUUGAUAAAAUUUUGAUUAUGAUGUUAUUAGAAAUUAGGAAAAACCUGUGGUGCAACUGUGGUACCGUGUUAUAGUUGCAUCCAGCCGUUGGAUACUAGUGGACCCUAUUGUUAACAUAUAUGUUUCCAUAAUAUUGAUUUUGAUGAUAACAAACAAAAUUAAGAAUGAUUAAUCUUUUAAGCUCAAAUUAUUUAAUAUUCUUUUUAAAUAAAUCAUUAUUUUCACAUUAUAAAUGUUUUAUAUUUAAUGGAAAAAUGAUUUUAUGAAAUUGAUUGUUUUUAUUCUCUUUAAAUAAAUCAUUAUUUUUACAUUAUAAAUGUUUUAUAUUUAAUGGAAAAAUGAUUUUAUGAAAUUGAUUGUUUUUAUUCUUUUUAAAUAAAUCAUUAUUUUCACAUUAUAAAUGUUUCAUAUUUAAUGGAAAAAUAAUUUUAUGAAAUUGGUUGUUUUUCAAAGUUUAUGGUUUAAUUAAAAGAAUUUUGAAAACUUUGAAAUAAAUGCUUGAAAUUUUGGAGGACUUAUUUGAAAAGUGUCAUAGCAUUUUUAGCUAUAUCAUAAUUUCAGAAAGUUUUGGGAUUAGCAAAGCAUUACUUAUAAAUUCUAAAAUUGGACCUAUUUAAAAAGUUUUAUAACUUUUUGGGCCGUAAUAUAGUUUUGUAAAGUUUUGGGGUCAAACUGUAAUUUCAGAAAAUAAUGCACUAUGCAGGUUACUGUAGCAUCCGGCUUACCGGAUAUAAAAAACUAGAAAACCGGAUACGGGGCAGUAAGCAUCCGGAACGCAAACGGCUUAUCGGAUUUCGUAACCGGCAAGCCGGUUAGGCAAAAUUCAAAUUUUUGCCUUAGUGGUAACAUAAAUCCAGCUUACCGGAUUCCUUAAACGGCAAACCAGAUACGCUCAGAAUGUGUAUAAUGGGUAGUUUUUGAGUUCAAACUAUAUAAACUCAAAAUCAAUUCAUUUUUGGUAAUACAAGAAAGCAAGAACAAGUGCACACAACAUAUAUUGAGCUUCAAUUUCGUGAAUCAUCAUUCAUUAAAUCAUCUUUGUUCUUAAAUUUGUAUAUCCACUCUUAAAGAGAGUUUGAUUGUUGUAUUUUUCAUUUCUCAUUAAAUUGUGAGAGUACAAGUGUGAGAAACACUUGGAGUGAAGAGAUUGGAGAGAUAAUCUCUUGUUGUAGAGGUUCAUUGACACCUUAAAGUCAAUUGUAAACAUUUGAAGCCUUGGAAAGGCUUGGAUAGUGAAAUCCUCAAGCCCGGUGUGGUUGGAGGCGUGGACGUAGGCGGGGAUUGCCGAACCACGUAAAAAUCCUUGAGUUUGCUUUCUCUUCCCUUACUCAUUUAUUAUUGUGCUUUCAUUGAAUUUAUUGUUUUCGAAUUUAUUAAGGCAUUAGAUUGGAUUUGUGUGGUUUGCUUUACUUAAUUUUUAAAAUUCUAAUUCACCCCCCUUCUUGGAUUGCCUAGUUAGUAUUUCACAUAUCCAUGCAAGUGUAUCCAACAACUGGAUGCAACUAUGGUAAGGUACCACAGUUGCACCGUAGCCGGACCCUAGAAAUUAAGAUAUUAUCUCUCUACAUAUUUUUGCACGAAAUAAUAUGCAAAUAUAAUAUUUUAGUUUAUUAUUAAUAGUUUUACAAUAAUAAAAAUCAUUUUGAUAGACUGGAAAAUGUCGUAUUCGCACUUUAUUUUGUACGAACGUCUGCGAGAAAGAAUAUAUCUAUAUAUAUAUAUUGGAACAUGUAUUUAAGAUUUAGCUAGUGUGAAGUUGGGAAAGUUUUUUUUUUUUUUAACCCAGGCUAAAAAUAUUUCAAUAAAUUUUGAUCAUGGAGACUAAUAAGAUUUUUUUGGUUAUAUUUAUUAAUUUUUUAGGGACUGACAUGAAUAUUAAUAUUUUUAUUGAGAUUAUUAAAAAAAUGUGCUAUUUUACAUCUAUGACUUUUCCAAUCUUUUUUUCUUUCGUUAUUUAUUCCUUUGUGAAUUUUAGUUAAUGCUUGAUAUUAUUUGUUUGCUCAUUUUUUAAAGCAGUAAUUAAAUCUGAACCCUUACAGUAGAAGAUUAUGAAAAAGUAAAGACACAAAAAUCAUAAAAAUCAUUGUAGGUCCAAAUUUGUGCUAUUUUCAUACAUAAUUUGAGAAUAUUUAUAAUUACGCAUCACAACUAGUGGAGUAGAAUCAGGGAAAUUAAACAUUCUACAAUCAUUGACGUGUGGGUUGGGGAUAAGCAUAAACCUUUUCUAUGCAGUAUAAAAGAAUGCAAUAACUCCUUUUCUUUCAGCAUUUUCGCAACAAAAGCACAUCUAAUAACUCUUCAGAAUUCUCGUCUUCUUUGUCAGAAUGGUUGAUGCGAUCGUUUCCUCUCUCCUGGUGCAGCUGAGCUCUGUUGCGGCUGAUGAAGUGAAACAACAGGUGAGGCUUGUGACUGGUGUCGAGGAAGAAGUGAAAAAGCUCACCCGCAAUCUUCGAGCCAUUCGAGCUGUGCUGGAAGAUGCAGAGAAAAGGCAAAUGCAGCGCGACAAUGCUGUUACUUUUUGGCUGGAUCAGCUCAAAGACGCAUCUUAUGACAUGGAAGACGUGUUGGAGGAGUGGACCACUGCAAGGCUCAAAUUGCAGAUUGAGGGCGUUGAUGAUGACAAUGCUCUUGCUCUUGCUCCUUAUAAGAAGAAGGUACGUUCCUUCUUUUGUGCUCUAUCAAACUGCUUUGGUAGUUUCAAAAAACUCAGUCUUCGUCAUGACAUUGCCGUCAAGAUUAGGGAAAUCAAUGGAAAGCUAGAUGAUAUUGCCUCCCAAAAAGAUAGGUUUAAAUUUGUUGAGAAUGUGAGCAACAAUGUUAAGAAACCAGAGCGAGUGCGAGCCAUCCCCUUGAUUGAUGAGAGAGAGGUUUGUGGUAGAGUUGAUGAGAAAAAUGAUCUCUUAAGCAAGCUGCUGUGUGAAAGUAGUGAACAACAAGAAGGCCUUCAUGUCAUCUCACUAGUUGGGUUAGGGGGUAUAGGUAAAACCACUCUAGCACAACUGGCCUAUAAUAAUGAUGAGGUGAAAAGAAAUUUUGAAAAAGUUAUAUGGGUGUGUGUAUCAGACACUUUUGAGGAGAUUAGGGUCGCCAAAGCAAUCAUUGAAGGUCUAGGCGUGUCAGCUUCUGGUUUAAGUGAAUUCGAAUCUCUUAUGAAACAGAUUCAGGAAUAUAUUACGGGGAAGAAAUUUUUUCUUGUUUUAGAUGAUGUGUGGGAUGGAGAUUACAAAAAAUGGGACCCAUUCUUUUCUUGUCUAAAGAAUGGCCACCAUGAAAGUAAAAUUCUAAUUACCACACGUGAUAGGUCAGUUGCACUACAGUUGGGAUCAAUAGAUAUUAUCCCUGUCAAGGAGUUGGGAGAAGGGGAAUGUUGGUUACUGUUUAAGCAGAUGGCAUUUCUACGUAGGUCCUUUGAGGAUCGUGAAAAAUUAGAACCAAUCGGGCGAAAAAUUGCACACAAGUGCAAAGGCUUGCCUCUUGCUGCAAAGGUAAUAGGGAAUCUUUUGCGCUCUAAAAGUACAGUAAAAGAGUGGCAAAGAAUUUUAGAGAGUGAAAUGUGGAAAGUAGAAGCAAUUGGGCAAGGUCUUUUAGCUCCUUUGUUGUUGAGUUAUAAUGAUUUGCCCUCCAAUUCUAUGGUAAAACAAUGUUUCUCAUAUUGUGCUGUCUUUCCAAAAAACUACAAUAUGAAUAAAGAGGAACUAAUUUCACUAUGGAUGGCUCAAGGUUAUCUUAAUACAGAAGAAGACGAAGAGAUGGAGAUGAUUGGGGAAGAGUAUUUCAACAUUUUAGCAGCACGCUCUUUCUUUCAAGAGUUUAAAAAAGAUGAUGAUGAUGAUAUUAUGAGCUGCAAGAUGCAUGACAUAGUACAUGAUUUUGCCCAAUUUGUAAGUAGAAAAGAAUGUUUGUGGGUAGAAAUUAAUGGUACCAAAGACUCAGUCAUAAACUCUUUUGGUGACAAAGUCCGUCACUUAGGGUUAAAUUUUCAAAGAGGCAUUUCAUUUCCUAUGUCCAUUCGUGGACUUAAUAGAUUGCGUACCCUUUUAAUUUAUGAUAGAAGUGAUUUCAAUCUGUCUCUUAGUAGCAUCCUUUUGUCUUUUAGUAGUAGCAAAGAAUGUUUAAGGGCAUUAGUUAUAAGGCUGUUGCGCCUAUGUUUUUGUCCAAACACAUAUAAGAUUAGAGAAACUCGAAAGUUAUUUAGUAAAUUGGCCUGUUUGAGGGCAUUAGUUAUAAGGGAAUCAUUAGUUAUAAGGCUUUCAUCCACGCCUGUUCGUCUUCACUCAAGUUUGAUUAGAGAAAUUCCAAAAAAUGUCGGAAAAUUGAUACAUUUAAGAUAUCUUAAUUUGUCUGAAUUAGGCAUAGAGAGACUACCUAAGACUUUGUGUGAAUUAUAUAAUUUACAAAAGCUAGAUAUUAGGCGGUGCCGAAAUCUUAAAGAAUUGCCAGCGGGGAUUGGGAAGUUAAAGAACAUGAGGAGUUUACUGAAUGGUGAAACUGAUUCGUUGAAAUACAUGCCAGUAGGGAUUUCCAAAUUAACCAGUCUUCGAACAUUAGACAAGUUUGUGGUGGGUGGAGGUGUUGAUGGUAGCAAUACGUGUAGGCUUGAAUCUCUGAAAAAUCUUCAACUCCUUCGAGAAUGUGGAAUAGAAGGGCUGGGUAAUGUGUUAUAUUUAGAUGAGGUCGAGAGAUUACAACUUUACAAUCAGCAAAACCUCCUUCGUUUGCGUCUUGAGUUUGGUAGAGUCGUAGAUGGGGAAGAUGAAGAAAGGAGGAGGAAGAAAGAGAAAGAUGAACAACUUCUUAAAGCCUUACAACUGCCUUUGAGUGUAGAGAAAUUAGGGAUUAUAUUAUAUGGAGGCAACAUUUUUCCCAAAUGGUUGACUUCACUGACCAAUCUAAGGAAUUUAUAUCUUCGCUCGUGCGUUAAGUGUGAGCAUUUGCCUCCUUUGGGAAAAUUGCCUCUGGAAAAACUCGUAAUCAUCCACUUGAAAAGUGUAAAAAGAGUGGGUAACGAGGUUUUGGGAAUAGAAGAAAGCAGUGAGGAUGGCCCGUCUUCAUCUUCAUCACCACCAUCAGUUAUUGCCUUCCCCAAAUUGAAAUCACUCAUAAUUGGGGCAAUGGAAGAAUUGGAAGAGUGGAAUUACAGGAUUACGAGGAGGGAAAACAUCUCUAUCAUGCCACGUCUUUCUUCCUUGGAAGUUCGUUCUUGCAACAAAUUGAAGGCGCUGCCGGAUUACCUUCUUCGAACGUCGACGCUGCAGGAAUUGACUAUUGACAAAUGUCCUCUUCUGGAAAACCGUUAUAGAGAGGGGAAAGGAGAAGACUGGCAUAAGAUAUCUCGCAUUCCCCACAUCAAGUGGUCGCGGUAAUUUAUCACUCGCCGGUAAUUUCUCCUGCUCCUCUGAUUUACUUCGUUGUUGCUUGCAAUGAAAUUAAUAAAAAUAAUUAUAUUUUGAAUUAAAAUUCUAUAUAGAAUCAAUCAUGGUAUAAAUACGUAAAACUUCCUAGUUAUCAAAUCUGUUAAACUUGUUUUCUAAAGAUUAAAUAAAAAAAAAAUACAAGUGUAGUCUGUUUAAAUUUCUAUAUUUAUUUGUUUUUAAAAAAUAUGUGCUCUUUUGUAAAAUUUCAUGCAAUGUAAUUUAUUUUUUAAUGUACGAAAAUUUGUUAUGUGUAACAAAAUCUCUGUGAUACGUUUGCAGUAAUGUUGAAAACUAAAUUAUCAAUUUUAUCUUAUAUAAUGAUAAUCGUAUUUUUUUAUAUAUAAUAUACGUGACAUUAAUUCUUUAAAGUAAUUGUGUAAUUGUUUUUAGUAGUACAUUAGCCCACUUUGUUUUAUUUCAUACUUGUUUAAUUAUGUUCACCAGGGAUUCGAGGAAAUGUCAGAACUACACUAGCAAUUCACAGGUCCAAUCUAAUUUGGUUUUAAUGAUGCGGGCAGGAGAGCAAGACUAUGAAAAUGAGAAGUUUAGCCAAAGGAUUGCUAAAAUGUUCUGCUGGUAAUUCACUUGCUUUAUUUUAUAGAAUUUCAUUUCCAUCUUCUUCUAUUGAUAUCUUGUUGUAAUAAACAAGAACAGAGAAGUAAAUAUAUAUAUCAAAAUUUACUAUUACGAUGAUGCUAAAGCAAGCUCAAGCUCAAGCACUGCAUUUUUAUUUUAUUUAAUUUAUAGAAUUUUCAUUUCCACCUGCAUUGCAUUUUUAGGUUGACUUUGAAGACUCUAUGGAGAAAAUUGGGGUAACCAAGGAUUAUCACUGUGGUUAUUGUGCAACGUUUGGUUGCUGGACUUUGAAGAAGGAAGUGAUGGCCGGGUCUGCUCUGUUUCAAUUGAGGAUGGAUAGCUGCCUGAAAGACAUGAUGAUUAUUAUCAUUGCAUGAUGUUAAGGUGCUAAGAUCAUCAUUUCGAUCUUGUUUCAUUCUUGGAAUCAUUUAUCCUGUAUAAACAUUUGUUUUAACAAAUGUUUCAAUGCCUGCUGUAGUAACAAUUUCAUCUCUUGCAUCUCUCGGGUGCAUCAUGAUCACGGGUUUGAGAAAGCAUUUGUGGUAAAGCUUCAAAGCUUGUACAAUGGCUGUGAAAAGGCACAUUCAAUUCGGUACGUUUGGUGCGGUCUCCUAAUGCUACUACCAUAUUUUGUAUAGCAAUUAAAAUUCAGGUAUACAAUCUUAAUAUGCAAUAAAUCAUUGAGUACAAAGUUAUCUAUUAAUUAUAUGGUAACUGAAAUUUUCAUUAUAAUUUUAAUUAUCAUAUUAAUAUUAAAGUUUUUUGUAACCCUCUUUUACUUUGCUUGUACAGAGUAUCUGUUUUGGCUGAUAUGUCUAAUUCGUAGCAAUUCAUUUCCAUCGGUUUCCAUUGGUUUUAGCACAAACAGAAACAAAAAUCUGGGGAAAAAGUUUUACUUCUUCUGGUAUUAUGCCUUUAUUUAUUCAUUCAUCAUAUUUGUUCGAAUUCAUGCUCUCAUUCAGAGAGCAGCCUUUUCCAGGCUACUUUGUAGCCAAAUUUUCAUGCCAUCGAUGCAUGAUUGUCAUUUAGAUUUUCCAAAUAAUUGUUAGAUUGAAGAAGAAUAAGAAGAUAUUGUUAAAAGGGUAUUUAAUUAGCACCCUCUGAAUUUAGUUGCCAAUAAUGCAUUGAAAUGGUUGGGGAAAGUUAUUGUCUCAAUUAAAUUACAGGUGACAAGAUGCUGCUCCAAUUUUGCAAGCAUCUCGUGUUUCGAGAUUUUGCCCACAUGAGAUGCUAUGAUUUUUGACAUCAGGGUAACAAAGGUCAAAUUUUAGCAUCAAUAGAUAUCAUCUUCUUUACUGUUCUGCUCGAAAUAUUAAACUUUAGGCAAGUUGUUUUUGUUUGUGUGAGUUAUCAGGUUAAGGAUACUAAGCAGCUUAUUAAGGCAAAUGUCAGAAUGAAGAUUUUUCACCGCACCUGGUAUGAAUGAUGGCGAGGAAGAUUAAUUGUUCACAAGCCAAUUUGAUCAGUGUUAGAUUCUUUUGCCUCCCUUCAAGAGAUAUCAUCAUCAAAUUUGAGAAGAGACUUUUGUUUUGACAUUUCACUGUAGUGAAUUUUGGGAGCUUGAACCCACUUGAGUGAAAUAUUAGGGAAUACUGGGGAUAUGGGUUAUGAGUGAUCGUUAUCCUUCAAAUAUUUGUAAGCUCUCACUUGUUAGUAAAAUCAUCUUCGUAUAUUGACUUUGUUUCUUUGUUGUCAGGCCGAGUGUGAUCUUCAAGGUUUGAGAAAGUCUUCGCAGUAAAAUUUCCACCACGUGCAAUUGCUGUGAAGGGGCAUAUACAUUUGAGUAAUUCAGUUUCAGAUUUUCAAGGCGCGUUUGUUUAAUUAGUUUCGAUUAUAAUAUUUAGUCACUCAUUCUGAAUCUUUUCUAAUUUUCAAGUUCUUUAGGGCCGCCAACAGUUUUUCAAGUCUACAUGUGGCUGCAAAAAGAUUGAUGGUCAUCAAAUUAUCUUGAGCCUUGAGGCAUUGCGUUCGAGCACAAAAGGAAACAGAACUAAGGGAAAUGAAGACAGUAGGAGAUGCUCUGAAUAUAACAAAAGUAUAUUUCUACUUCUUGUGGUUAUUUUAAUUUUGUUUAUCCUGUCAUCAUAUUUAAUUAAUUCGUUUGAAUUCACACUCUCACACAUUAUUUAAAACCAUCUGCAGGUGGUUUGCAAGCUAGCUAAGUUAAUGCAAAAACAAUACUCUAGACAAAGAUGAGCAAAUUGAAGGCGACAAAUGCAAAUUGGAUUUCAAUGAAUAAUUGUUAGGCUGGUGGAGAUAUUCUUAAAAGGGCAUUAAGCUAUCUUAUGGAAUUGGAAAGUUAUUAUUGCUUGAAAGCAAGCAGCAUCUUCGUUGCGAAGGCUUUCCCCACCUGAUAAAAUGCUGAGAUUGUUACCGGCCCCUUAAUUAUUUAUUAACUCAGGUAUUUAUUAUCAAUACAUCAUCUUAUUCACCAUUUUGGCUAUAUAUAAAGAUUAAAAUUUCUAACAGUUGUUUCGGAUUCUUGUGUACUCAGGUUAAUAGGGCAAAUAUCAGAAUGAAGAUUGCUCAGUGCAACCGAUAGAGCAAGGAUGAUAGUUGUGAGAAAGAUUGUUGGCAAGACAAAUAGAGCCCUCCAUUUGGAGAAAUAUCAUCCUCAAAUUUGAAUUGUCGAGCAUGUGAGGUGAAUCUAAAGCCUUAAUAAUGAGACCUUCCUGUGGAAGUUUCAUUUGAAUGAAUUGAACGUUCUUACUGAGUGAGAAAUUAAGUAUAUAUCAUCGAUUUUGGUCGUCUGUGAAUGUUUUCCUUCAAUAUUAAUACACUAGCAUUUCUUAGUAAAUUCACUUCACGUCACUUCCUCCUUGUUGGUGGGACUAGUAAACAAAUGUCAUUUCUUAGUACAUUUUGAGAAUUUUGAUUCCCAAAUAAGCCUGCAGAACGGUGUAUGGUGGGAUUAGCUGCAGGAUUCUUUGCCAAAAUUCCUUUUUAUUCCUUUGUUCACUUAUUCGUUAUAAAUAAAGUAAAAUUAGAAUAUUGUUCCGUUUACUGUCUAAGCUGGUCUAACAUUUGUUUAAUUUGGGCAAUUUUUAAUGCCUAACAGGUUAUCUGUGACAAACCCAUCGGUGAGUGUAUGCAACUAUUGGAUGGAUUUGAUAGAGCGGUCACCAACAAUUUUGAAGUUAUUGGAGUAGCAUGGCUUGGAGGUCUCUCCCUCCCUCUUUUACGUAUUUGUCUAUUGAUUGACAUGUCUAUAUAUACAUUGAUAGACCAACCUACUCUGGUUUUAAUGUUUUGUUUGUUAAACUUUGACUGGGGAAUGUUUAUUUGUCUCAUAUGAUGUCAAUGUGGUUCCUAUUGAAGUGUAUAGAUCUGUCACCUCAAAGUCUGAUUUCAAUUUUCCUUUACUUCAUCAACUAGCAUCGUUUCCAAGUCCAGAUACUUACCAAUAGUGAGACUUUUCUACGGAAGUACAAUUUCUCUUGUUUUACAGUUAAUUAUGUAAGAAAAGUUUUACAUUUACAGAAUUCUGGUAUAGCUCUCUUAAGGAAAUGCGAGUGGUGAAUAUGGUUCCAACUUUUAAUAGGCUUAAUAGGCCCAUUUGUUAAGCCACAGUGAUUGCGGUCUAAAUUCUUCUUUACUGUCUAUAUGUGUUGGAGUUUGUCUAUUGUCCAACUUCUCAAAUCGAUUCCAUGCAGGGUUUUGAAUGUCUAAUUAGGAGAAAGAUUAACGGAUGACCUUUUGAAGAAGGCUUACACAACAGGCCAUCUCAGGAUGUCAUGGCUCAGCUCAAAAGUCCCCAGGUGGUUGAUAUCAAAGAAUGCCAUUGUUUCUGGGCUUGGUCUCCUUGGCAUCAAACAAGAUAAUGUUGACUCUAUUAAAGGGGAAAUAAGGGCGACUAAAGCGCGAAGAAAGAGGAUAGUCCGGAGGAAGGUGACUGCAUAAAUUUGUUGGAGUUAAUGUAGUCAAUUGCCCAAUUUUGCUGCCUGUCGAAGAGACACAUCAUGGAAGUCCUCAUCAAACUCUGAGACACCUAAGAAAUAGUAUGAGGUGGUGGUAUUCCCCUGGUGUUAAUUUCCUGGCAAGUGUGGUUCACAGAUAGAGGGAUUCUUUUCUUGAUGUCUAAAUACCGUAUGUGAUACAACGUCGUAUAUUCUAAUUUUCCUUGAGUUAAAUUCUAGUCAGUUAGGAAAGUUAAUUUUGUUUUCGCUAUGGAUUGUUUCCUAGAUAAUAAUAGUUUCCAUGUUUCUUUGGGGUCUUAUUAACUCUCUGUAACCCAGUUCAAGUUUGCAAAUUCUAUUUCAGAUUUCUCAUAUAGUGUGCCUUUGUCACUUCUGUGAUACACUUUUGAUCACAAGUUUCCAUUUGAAGUAACCAAUAUUCUUUAUAGACUAAUUAUCUAAGGAUUAUUUUAUACAAAAAAAUCAAAACUUUAAUUAAUUGAUCAUACUUAACUUGGCUUUUGUUUGAUAUUACUAGCUGUUGUGAGAACCAAAAAAAUAGCAGAAAGUUGACAAUGUGCAGUAAAUGUAUGACUUUUAAAUAAUAAUUUAAUAAAAUUAAUAAAGAUAUUAUAAAUUUUUUAAUAAUAAAGUAUGAGAUCAAAUCAAAUUAAUUUUUAAGUCAAAAUUGUUUAAUUAUGUAGUUUAAAAGUAUAGUUAUCCAACCUCAACACAAUAGAGAGAUUUCUAUUUACCAAACUCUACCCAACUUUGGUUGUACUGACUCGAUCAUGCAAGUCCAUACUCGACGCGUUGACCAUACAAGAUGUUACUCAACUUUAACAAAUCUUACUCAAACUUUGCACGUUUAGCAUGCCGAAUGGAAUAUGAUAGUAGAUGAUGUGAUAGAUAUUAUAGGAAUAGUCGUAACAAAAUUAUAUUUAGUACUUUUUUAUAUUUUAUGUGAUGAACAGAUGUAGUAUAUGAAUGGAUUAUAUUACAAAUUUUAGUGUUAUCAUAAUUAAAAAAUUGAAUUAUUUUUUAUUAUUGAAAAACUGUAAUAUGUUAAAUAACAGUUAUUUUUAUUAAUUUUUUUUAAUGAAUUAUACUUUUAAAUUGUAAUCGAAAAUUCUUAUUACUGAACUAAUAAAAAAUUAAUUAGCUCAAGAGAUAAAUUCACUUAGUGUAGAACGAAAUGGUGUGUUAUUUUUAUGUGGGAUCCACAUCCUUUCCACAUCAACCUCAACAUCCAAACAUGAAAUUGGACUAAAAAUAGUUCUUUCCCAUGUAUUUACGUAACCUCCUCCCACUAAACGCAAAUAUUUAUUCUUGAUUUUACUAACAUAAUUUUCUCCCAUUUCCAUAUUGUCCGCGUUGAGUGCAUGUAAUCCACAAGUUUAAUUUUUUUUUUUUUUUUAGAGAGGUAUGUUAAAAUGAAUAUAUCACUUUUUUUUCUUUUUUCCUUUUUUUUGUGUGAGUGAUGGCUUCGUUGAAUGACAGUUGGCUGAUAAUAAGUUAUCUUUUAAUUUUGUUUUUGAUUUAAUAGAAAAUAUUAAUUUUUGUAGUUUCGGUAGAUGAAAUUUCGAAUCAAAUAUUAAUAUUGUUAAAGUACGCAACCCAAUAUUUGCUUAAAUUACAAAAAAGAUUAAUUGCUUUGCAUAAAAAAGAAGUGAUCACUUGAUUUAACUUCCUUUACUAAAUUUACGAUUUAAAAUCCAAAAUAAAAAAGAGAGUUUAUUAUUGAUUAUCAUUUUCCCAAAUUUAAGCUAAGACAGUAAUAUGUCCAAAAUACCCUCCACGUUAUCCUAAAACUUUAUGAAUUCCCCCGUUCCUCUCAACAUCAUCUCUUCCAAAUCUUUCUUCCCCAAAAAACCAGCCAUGGCUUCAUAUUUAGUUACCUCAACACUCCAAUAUUGGCUUGUAAACAGCAGCGGUUCAACCUCUAGGCAACUUAGGUGGUUGCAUAGGACUCCGCUUUAUAUGAAAGCCCUACAAGAUGAUUAUUUUGUAUAUAAAAGAGGAAAAUGAAUUUAAAAGUCAUUAUUAUUCAUUUAAUUUAUUAUUAUUUUGUAAUUAUCUUUUUCUAAAUAAACUAUCAAAUUCUUAUCAAGUUUAUUUAAUGUAGUACUUAAUUGUUUUAAUUUCUACAAAACCAAUAAAUUAAUAGUUUCAAUCCUAAAAAUUCUCUAUUUCAUUGUUAGAAUUAAUAAGUUAUAUUUCAAAAGUUUUAUAUUUAUUUUAAACCUCUAUAAAAACCCCACAUUUUAUUACUUAUCCAUUAAAUUUUUCGUUCAACAAUCAAGACAUCUUGGUGUUUGAGAGAAAGAAAGAGAGAGGGAAAAAAAUCUUGCUUCCUCUACUUUCUACUCUAGAAGAAAAAGAAAAAAUCAAAUAGUUUUCUCUAUUUUCUAUGACUAUUGGUUGCUACUCAAAUUUUCAAACAACAGCCUUAAUAUAAACAUAAGUUAAUUUAUGAUUUCAUCUCAAAUUUCUGAUUUUAUCUUUUUAUUAUUCUCUUAAUUAAUUGUGUUGUUAUUUGUUCUUAUUUCUUUUUAUAUAUUCUUUUCUUCAUCUACUUUUUUUGUGCUUGUUUUAUCUAUUUUGAAAUAAAACUAUAUCAAAAAAUUUUAGACAAUAGGAGAAUAAAAAAAUUAGAUUAAUUUAAAAAAAUAGUAAAAAAGAUAUAAUUUAACUUAAAAAAAAGUGAAAAUGUUAUAAUUGAAUUAAAAUUUUAUGACUUAACAACAAUAGAAUAAAUUUGUAUUUAAUAAUUUUAUAUUUUAAAGUAUUUAAAGAAUUAAUUUUUAAUAAAUAAUAUUAAUAUAUAUAUAUAUAUAUAAGUUACUUAUCUCUCCAUCCGCACUUAUCUCUCCCUCACAUUCAUCCUCAACCACACAUCAACAUCAACAUCAACAUCACCUCUCAUUGGACCCCACAUCCUCAAGCCCAUCACAGCCGUCCAUAACCUCACCCUCCUCCUCCUCUCCCUCAUCAUGGCCGUUGUUUGCCCUCUCUCCAUCAUCCUCCAUUUACCGCACCUCCGUUACACCCUCUGUUUCCUCCUUACCAUUUCUCCGUCUGGCACGGCCUAAUUCCGACGGAAUCAACGACGGUCGUGAUGGGUUUUGGCUGCGACUAUUCGCGCUUCAAACGGCGGCGUUUCGGUUGGUUUUUGGCGACAGUGACGGUGGGAAAGUGAUGGCUGGCUCAGGAGCUUUCUUUGCUACCAUCCAUGGCCGGUGAGGUGGCCGAAAAUCGGAUAUAUGUCUGCGUCGGGUUCGCAGUUUUGGGUCGGGUUUUCCGGGUCAGUUUGACAGCUUCCUCUAUCCCUCUCCCCCAUAAAACAUUACCCAGCUUCCUCUUAUUAUUAUUUUUUUUUUCACAUACGUUACAGAACAUUAAUGAGAGAUGUUUAGUAGUAAGGACUAUUUUGAUAUUUCGAUGAGUAGUAAAAACUAAUGUUAAAAUUUUAUAGACGAAUGUAUAGUAAGAUGCUCAAAGUACUAGAACAUAUAUAAAUAAUCCCAGCUCUUAUAAAAUUUUGCCACAUAAUGAGUUUUAUCCCUUAAGCAAAACAUAUCGAUAAAGUAUACAAAAGCACAAUGCAUGAAUGAUGGUCUUACAAAGUUCGAAUAUAAAGUUUAAGAUACAGAAUAUGAUUUAUUUCCUUUUAGUUUAGUUUUUUUUUUUUUUUUUGGUUUCUUUUGAAAGGAGACCAACUAGAUCAUGCAAGAAGUUAAUUUUUUUCUAAAAUAAAAAGGGAGAAAUGAUGGUCUUACAAAGUUCGAAUAUAAAGUUUAUAAUCUAAAAUUAAUGAUGUGACAAUUAACCUAAUGGAGUAAGAAGUCCCAAAUAGAUUAUAUUUUGCUAAAGAAGUCAAUUCUACCAAGAAUACCUCUUUCUAUUGAAUUUAAAUGAUGAUUAUUUGUUUAUAUCAUAAAAGCUAAAAUAAUUGUGUGAGUAAUUUGAUUCUUUUACAGUAUAAAAAUAAAUUCAGAAAAUGUUAGGGAAAGGUCUUACACUAUAAAUGACCAAUAGAAGAAUAGAAAAGAAUUUUAGAUAGUGGAAUGUGGAAGGUAGAAGAGUUUGGGAAAGGUCUUUUGGCUACUUUGUUGUUAAGUUAUAAUGAUUUGUCAUCCAUAAUAAAACAAUAUUUCUCACAUUGUUCUAUCUUUUCAAAAGGUUACAAUAUGUGUAAAGAGAAACUAAUUACACUAUGGAUGGCUCAAAGUUACCUUUAAAUGUAGAAAAAGGCAAAGAGAUGGAGAUCCGAUCCAAUAUGAUAAUAGUAGUUUAUUUUAAUUUUUAUUAAUUUGAUUUCAUAGGAGUAGUUUUCAUUUUUUGUUGAAAAUUGGUAAAAAAAAACUAAAAUGAGAUAAUUACUUUAAAACAAUCUUCAAGAACUAAAAUAAUUAAAAAAACUCAAAAUAAACAAAAAGGCUUAAAAAUAACCCUAAUCCGAAAAUUGUUUGAAUCCAUCCUAACUGGCCCGAAUAUGAUUUUAACCCAAACCCAAUCUAACUCGCUUAUAAUUAUAACCUAAUGCGAUCCAAAUUCAACUUGAAUUUUUGAUCCGAUCUAAUCCAAUUUGAAUAUUCUAACCCUAUCAACCAGAAACCCAAUUAGGUUGAUCUGAACCUACAUUUGUCCACUCCUAGAGGGGAUCAUGACCCUACAAACUUUGAAAGUUUUUUGAGAUUUCUAAGUGAAUAUUAAAAAUUAUGUAUAAAAAGACUGAUUUGACCCCUAAACACUUGAUAUAGAAACUUUAUACAUAUAAUAGAAAUUAAUUUUAUAUUUUGUGAAAUAAAAUCAAAGUAACUGAAUUUUUUAAUUUUUAUUUUGUUAAUUAUUUUUCUACUAUGACAAAAUGACUAAUAGCCUGGUGCCUAGCUCUUUGACUUUUAUUUUGCUAAUUAUUUUUUUUCAUUUCUCUUGCAACAGUAAAUUCAAUUAUCAAUCAAAGUCGCCAAAUCAAAAUCUCUGCAGCCUGCAGCUACAAGCAAACUUCUCAAAUUUCGAAAUUCCUUAUGACUACAUAAUAGCUAUAAAUAGAAAAAGCGUCUAAAAUAACUAUGUUUUCCUAAGUUUGAGCUUGAGCCCCCUGAAGAUUUACUCCAUAUGUAACAAAAUAUUAGUUUUGCUAGUAAAAUUGCUAACUAUGUUUUUCUUUGUAUUUCCGCUCAAGGAUGAAGAAAUUUCCCUAGACUUUUGUGGUGAAUAUCUUACGAACAUAUGACAAUUUAAUCUUUGGCUGAGACUUGUUUAACAUAAGAGAUGACACUUUGAAGCAAUAGGAGAGAGAGCUGAUAAGCUUUGUUCCUAAAAAAAAAACUAUUACUUCUUUCUUUGAACAUAUGCGCAUUCUCUCUAAUUGUUGCAAUGGAGGAAUUUCCCAUCUAAAGAACACUUCAAUCAUCCAUUGCUUUGUAAGAUGUGAAAAGGCUACGAUUCUUGUACACAUACUUGAUUGCACCGGAAUCUAUUCACUAUGCAUUAUCAUGUUUGAGAAUAUUAAUCUCAGAUAUCAUGACCAUAAAUUUUGUCCACAAAAUUUGUGUUCAAACACUUCUUUUCUUUCUUAAGAAGUUGACAGUCUUUUUUAAAGUGGCUUGGCUUUUCACAUUGGCCACAUGUACACUUCUUUUUUUUAUUCUGUUGGUUUGAUUCUAUUUGGAAUCAAACUUUUGCUUUUGGUUAUUAAUGCGGUCAUUAGACUGCUUAAGCUCCUUCUCCUCCUCCACAACAUUAAUUUUAGAGGACAUAGCAGGCUGUUCCUCAAGACUAUUAAGUCUAAGUUUCUAUUCAAUAUGAAGACUUUGCCAUGCCUUCCAAGCUAAUUUCCUCUUUGCUAUAUUUAAGACUUUUUUCAUAGUCUUUUCAAGAGGGGGGAAGUUUAUCAAUAAUUGAAGAAGUGGUGCAGUCAAUUAAAUGAGCGAACUCGAGAAUCAUAAGAGUACAUACAAUAGUGGCUACAAUAAUUAGGCCUGCUUCCUCUCUCACCAGAACAGAACUGACGGCCCGAUCCGAUACCGCCAAAUACAUGACACAACUUAAAAGUAAAUUUUAACUCCCAAGUAUAAGAGUGUCUUGUUGUAUUAUAACUCGGUGAGUCCGAGGUCGAUCCACAGAGAAAAGAUUUAAUUAGUUUAUUUUAUUUUAUCUAAAAAUUGAAAUUAAAACUUGAAUAUAAACAACUUAAUUUAAAUGAAACUAUGGAAUUGAACUAGUUAGGGUUAUGGAUCCACUCUUAGAAAUAAAUAAAACUUAAUAAAUUCUUUUUGCCAAUUUGUUUUAGAUUUAUUACUCAAAAGAUUAAUUAUACAAAUUAUUAUUAUUUUCCCUUUAAUUUUAUGAUGGAUUAAGUAUUUAUUGUGCCAAAAUUUAAUUUGUCUACAAUAAGUCAAAAUACCAUUUCACCAUGCCUUAUAUUAAGAUCUUAAGAAUUUAUUGUGCCAAAUUCAUUUGUUUGUCUACAAUAAAUCAAAUUUUCAAAAUAUAAAACAUGUAUAAAAUUAAAUAGAAAAUAAUUUAAUUUAUAAAAUUAAACAUAGAAUUUGAUUAAAUCAUAUUUAUUUCUUAAGAGUUUCACCUUCCCCUAACUAAUAUUAUUUAGUUAAGCAUAAUUAAAAUAAAAAGAAGUAGUAAAAUUGAAUUACUUAUAAUUAAAAGAAAUAAAAACAACUAAAAUUGGAAAUAAAACUAAUUUUAUUAAUGAAAAUAAUUAUACAAAAUAUUAAAAACACACCUGGAAAUCAAGAUUAUAAGGAGAUGGAGAGAAUUUGAGAAGAAGAGAGUUGUAGAGAGAUGAUUAAAACAUAAAAAUGAGGCUCUAUUUAUAGAAAAAUAAAUUCAUAAUCCAGUGCUUUGCGGUCCAUCAUAGGCUUCAUGCAUGUGCUCCUCACAACCCUUAGAUCAAGAUCCAAUGGCUGGUCAAACUUCAAAAGUCAACAUCACACAUGGCAUCAUUUGACUCGUCCGAUUUACCCAAAGAACGGUUGAGAUUUGGCGGGUUAAUGGAUGGAUCGGGUCGACCCGAAUACAAAGAUUCGGAUCCUCCAACUUGCUUCACCAACCAUUGCCACGUGGCACAAUCAUGGCCAUUGAAUCAUGAACGGUUGAGAUUUAGUCAAGAUUGCCAAUUAUCCCAUGCACUCAUAUCUAUUGUAAGCUCAUUUCAUCAUCCAAUCAGUGCUCGGUCAACAGGAAAAGUCAACUUUUUUUACACAAGCCCAAUUUUAAGCCGAUCUUGACUGAUCUUAAGGUUUUCGGACCUCCGGAAUCCAAAUUUGACCUCUGUUUAUCUGUUUGGAGCCUCGAAAUACGUGAAAUUAAUAUUUUUCCUAAUAAACACAUAAAAAUACACAAAAUUAAAUAUAUUUAAAACAUAAUUAAUAAUUCAUAAUAUAUUACAUAAACGCAAAUAUAAAUUAUAACAUAAGCAUAAAAUAACAUAUUAUCGCUUGAUAAUUAAACAAUUUUUAAUACUAAUCACACCCCCCAACCAGCUUAUUGCUAGCCCUCUAGCAAUUAAAGCGUUAUAUUAAGAUUUAUAAAAUUCACAUGCAAGUUAAUAGUUGUUCAUCUAUCCUCUAAAUUACCAAAUAAAUGAACUCUCCCAAAUUCCUUUACCACAUUGAUGUUCACUCAUUAUCCAGAAUAUCAUCAAACCUUCUUUUGUGCUCAAGUAAUUAACACAAUACUUAUGGGGCUUCAUUAAAAGAAAAACAACAUUUUCGUUCUAAAAUUCAUUAGAAAUUAUAUCUUUAGGCAAUAGAUUAUUCACACAUUUUUUUUUUAUAUUACAUUUCUAACCCGUGUAGCGAGCUUUAGGUCAAUGACUCCCAGACCAGUUGGCCUUAGGGCACUAGGUGUUGAAGCACCCCUACGGACUUAAUUACUCGGGUUUCUAAUAAACAAACAAUAUAUCUAUUACCCAUGUAGCGAGCUUUAUGCCAGUGACUCCCAGACCAGUUGACCUUAGGGCACUAGGUGUUGAAACACCCCUACGGACUUAAUUACUCGGGUUUCUAGAUAUAACAAAAUUAAAAACAUUUUUUCUUCUUCUUUUUUUUUGAUUUUUUUUUUUUUUUGGUUUUUUUGUUUUUGGAAAUAUACACUUUCUACUACCUUAGAUACUAUUCCUAAUAAAUCAAAAGAACUAAAUGCUGUAAAACUUUAACUUACAACCCACUAGUAUGUGUCAUAGUGUGUGUGUGAAGAAUGAUUCAAUAAUACCUGUUAAAUGAGUAAACAAUUAAAUAACUUAAUAACCAAGUGGAGAGUUCACAAAUUUGAGUAAUUCAAAGAAAAGGGAACAAAAACAACUUACUAUGAAUCUCAAAAUCAAAAUAUAAUACAACAAGACUAUUAGGAUGCGUCUCAAAAGUCGUGACUCUUUACACGGCCAUCCUAGACAAAAAACAAAUUUUUUUUUUUUGGUUUUUUUUUUUUUUUUAACAAAGAAAAGAAAAGAGAAAAGAGAAAAACAACACACAUAUUUAAAACAUACGUCAAUUAUCCCCACCCCACAACCUAAUCUAAACAUUAUCUUAACAUUUUAUAAUUUUACAGAUAUGCAAAAAAAUAAAAAUAAAAGAGAAUAAUAAAAGAAGAAGAAGAAGAGAUCUCACCUGAACUUGAUGCAGAAGCUUAAAAGCAAAUAACAAAGAUGAAGAAAGAGUCAAUUUUUUUUUUAACAACACCCUUAAGAUUAAGAAGAUGCGUUUCUAGAGAGACUACAUUCUCUAUAUCCUGCCAUCUUCGACUCAAAUUUGUCCUAAGUUAGUCUUUACAGAAAAAAAAAAUUUUUUUUUUUUGUUUUUUGUUUUUUUUUUUUUUUUGUAAACACAUAACCAGGACUAAGACAUUCCACAAUUAUCAACUAUUCCCUCCCCCCAACCUGAAAAAGACAUUGUCCUCAAUGUUUUAAAAGGAAAGAGAAAGAGUGUAGAAGACAUCACAUGAACACUACAACAGAAAAUAUUUACAAACGGAGAGUUAAAUCUAAAUCGCACUUCUUAUUACUGCUACUGUUACCGUUACCGUCAUUAGUCGACCAAUUCAGUGCAACAGUCUGUGGAUCUGGCUCUGGUGUAUAAGCUUGCAAAAGAUCAAGUAACUCAUUAGCAGUAGAAGCAGAGAUAAAGAGUUUUUUUACAGAAUGUGGAACAAAAUGAUUCUUUAUUGCAUGGUUAAUAAAAGUUAGCAAGCCGUCAUAAAAAUUAUUAACAUUUAACAAACCGAUGGGUUUUUGAUGAAUGUUCAAGUGGGCCCAAGAUGCAAAUGUAAUUAGUGCCUCAAAAGUUGCAAGAUCUCCUGGCAAGAAAAUAAAAGCAUCAGCAUGAUUCAUCAUUUCAGAUAUUCUCUCUUGCAUACUUGAUACCACUAAUUCUUCUCCAAUUGGUGGGCCAGACAUGCACACUAGCGGUUUCAUGGGUUUUGGGAUAAUGCCGAGUACUUGGCUUCCUCUGGUAAAAACAGCUUCUGAGACAAGUCUUGAUAACCCUCGUUCACCUCCUCCAUAUACAAGAUGCAGUUUCCUCUCUGCUAUGACACGACCAAGAUCUACAGCUGCCUGAACGAACUCUUUGUACUUUCCAUAGUGAAACCCAGAAAGCACACAAAUAUUUUUGAAUUGUUUACUCGAAGAUGAUGCCAUUGGACUAAUUUUUCAAAAACAAGUUGUGAGUGUUUGAAAAAUGAGCUCAUAUUUAAAGAUCUUGGUAACAUAAAUAAUGAGAAACAGCUGUAAAUGGGUUGGCAAUAUUUGUCAAAUGACGAGUAAAGCUCGUGGCUCAAUAAUUCAAAAACAAACAGUAAAAAGAAAGUAAUGAUUAGAAAAAGCAAACAGUAAAAGAAAACCAAAUAUUUAUUAAAUACAAAAUCACAUCGCUAAAUGCAAUAAUGCAAAUGAUAAAAUAACAGUAAAAUAAAAUAACAGUGAAGUGAAAGGAUAUUUACUGGUAGUUGUGAUUGUGGCUCACAUCUUCCUCUGGUUUUACGUCCAGUAACGGCUUGAACGCCCUCUAUGGGUCGAGGAUCGGCUUCCCAUCCAGUUUUCUUAUAAACUGGCAAACAGGGUCUUUUUGAGUCAGAUUCCCAAGACUUAACUGUGCACUUUGUUUUUGGAAUAGUAUCCACAAAUUGUAAAUCUCACGUUGCACAAUUCCGCUUCGAUGCGUCUCAAGAGAUCGUAAGAUAUCAUCCAACGAUUCUUUACUCAUGCCAUCUUUAACGAAUUUAAUUUUAUCUUCACGAGUAUCAGAAACCAUUCCUAAAGAUUUACAAUCUGGUCGUUUGCAACCAAGUCUCACACAGUUAUGACAUUUUGAGCCAAGUCGUUUAGCUCUCCUUUUCUUAGCAAACGUACUUUUACCAAAACCAGGCAUGUAAGAAACAAAUUGACCAGAAAAUUCACCUGCUAAUCGGACCUUUGCUUCAAUUAACCAACGAAUGUCAGAAGGAAUGCCAUUGAUCAUUAACAAACGCAGUCGUUCACAACGAGCUUUGUAAAUUUUCCUGAGGGCAUUCUGAGGGAGAGAGGGAAAAUGCUUAUGGAGUUUAUGUUGUAUUUCUUCCAUGUAUGAUUUUGGGGUUUCAGUUAUUGUGGGAAACUGAAGAUACCGACUUAAAAAGUCACGGAGUACCGUUAUCCGCCAUUUAUACGGGAAAAUAAAUCAAAACACACCAAAAUCAAAUCUGCAAAAUCAAAUCAAGCGUGAAAGCGAGCAAAAAGAAGCACACAAUAUAAAAGGAAAAUGAACUUACAUUCGUCCUCUCAUUGAGUUAACCUCAAGCUCCAUUUGAAAUUCAUAUAUGCCACUCUCUACUGUUCUGAGUUGUCCCUCUAGAUCCUCAACAUAGGACACGAAUUCUGGUGGUUGCAGAUCCCAAAGUGGAUGUGAUUUACAGCUUUGUAUCAGGCCUCUUAAGUGAAAUUUUAUACGCCGAAAUCUUUUAAGAUGUGCGAACAGGUAUUUUCUCAUUGAGGUGCUCAUGAUGUAAAAUGAAAAUUGAUGAGAGAAUGUACAACUGUCAAACAAACACGCUUACACAAGAAAAACAAUGUUAAAAAAAAACUAUGUACAGUGCAUCAAUCUAAGGAAAAAAAAAAGUCAAACAAUGAAACGGUAAAAUAAUAGUAAAACAAAAAAAAAUCAUUAAAAACUUAAUCAAGAACUGGUGGGUCAUCCAAAUUAAUUUCGGUGUCCUCGUCACGUGGGUGAUGUUCCAGAUAUGGUUUUAAUCUUUGACCAUUAACUUUAAAUGUGACACCAUUAUUUGGAUUCUCAAUUUCUAUGGCCCCAUAUGAAUAUACAUUUUUUACAACAAAUGGGCCACUCCAUUUUGACUUUAACUUUCCUGGAAAUAAAUGAAGACGAGAAUUAUAAAGCAACACUUUUUGACCAAUCUCAAAUGUUUUUCGAAAAAUUCUUUUAUCAUGAAAUGCUUUUGUUCUUGCCUUAAUAAUUCUUGAAUUUUCAUAUGCAUCAUUCCUUAAUUCCUCAAGUUCAUUCAAUUGCAAUUUUCGCACAUUACUAGCAUCAACCAAAUUUGAAUUAAAAGCUUUAAUAGCCCAAAGUGAUUUAUGUUCAAGUUCAACAGGUAAAUGACAAGGUUUACCAUAAAUUAACCGAUAGGGUGACAUUCCUAAUGAUGUUUUAAAUGCAGUGCGGUAAGCCCAAAGUGCAUCAUUAAGUCUAAGAGACCAAUCUUUUCGGUUUGGGUUAACCGUUUUUUCCAAAAUUUGUUUUAUCUCCCUAUUUGCUAAUUCAACUUGACCAUUUGUUUGAGGAUGAUAAGGGGUAGCAAUUUUAUGUGUAAUUCCAUAUUUCUUCAUUAAAGACUCAAAUGACUUAUUACAAAAAUGCUUACCUCCAUCACUGAUAAUGGCUCGAGGGAUUCCAAAUCGACUUAAAAUGUUUUCUCUUAAAAAUUUAAUCACAGUUUUACUGUCAUUAUUUCGACAAGAAAUUGCUUCAAUCCAUUUUGAGACAUAAUCAACUGCAACUAAUAUAUACACAAAUCCAAAAGAUGAUGGAAAUGGACCCAUGAAAUCAAUUCCCCAACAGUCAAAUAUUUCAAUUUCAAGUAUGGGAUUUAAGGGCAUCAUGUUUCUUUUUGUAAUUGAUCCCAAUUUUUGACAUUUUUCACAACUUUUGCAAAAUUCAUAUGUGUCUUUAAACAUGGUAGGCCAAUAAAAUCCACACUGCAAAAUUUUAGCAGUAGUUUUUCUUGAAGAAAAGUGACCACCACAUGCUUCAGAAUGACAAAAAUUAAUGACACUACUUACCUCAUUAUCAGGAAUACAUCGCCGAAAAAUUUGAUCUGGGCAAUAUUUGAACAAAUAAGGAUCAUCCCAAUAAAAUUUCUUUACUUCAACAAAAAAUUUCUUCUUCUCUUGAGCAUUCCAUUGCAAAGGCAUUUUACCUGUAACAAGAAAAUUAACAAUAUUAGCAUACCAUGGCAUUGAAGUAACAGAAAAUAAAAAUUCAUCAGGGAAAGAAUCAUUUAUGGGUGUUAUAUCAUUGCAGAAUUCGGAUGUGAGUCUUGAUAGAUGAUCAGCAACAACAUUUUCAGCACCCUUUUUAUCUUUGAUGGUAAGGUCAAAUUCUUGUAGUAACAAAAUCCAACGAAUUAGUCUCGGUUUGGCAUCCUGUUUACUCAUCAAAUAUCUCACAGCAGCAUGGUCAGUAAACACAACAGAUUUAGAGCCAAGCAAAUAUGAACGGAAUUUGUUUAAUGCAAAUACCACAGCAAGUAAUUCUUUUUCAGUUGUAGAAUAAUUCAUUUGAGCACUAUCCAAAGUCUUGCUCGCAUAAUAAAUCACAAAAGGCUUACCAUCCCUUCUUUGUCCUAAAACAGCACCAACAGCAAAAUCACUUGCAUCACACAUUAAUUCAAAUGGCAAAGACCAAUCAGGAGAUUGCAUAAUAGGUGCAGAUGUUAAAAGACAAAUUAUUUUUUCAAAAGAUUUUUGGCAAUCAUCAUUCCAUUCAAACGGUGCAUCUUUUAAUAAGAGGUUACAAAGUGGUUUAGAUAUGGCACUAAAGUUUUUUAUAAACCUCCUAUAAAAUCCUGCAUGUCCUAAAAAGGAUCGCACAUCUCUAACUGUUUUUGGUUGUGGCAAUUUAGAUAUGACUUCGAUUUUUGCUUUGUCAACUUCAAUUCCUUUAAUAGAAACAACAUGACCCAAAACAAUUCCAGAAGUAACCAUGUAGUGACAUUUUUCCCAAUUCAACACGAGUUCUUUUUCAACACAUCUUUUUAAAACUUUCUCCAAAUUAUCAAGGCAAUCAUCAAAAGAAUUCCCAAACACAGUCAAAUCAUCCAUAAAGACCUCUAAACAAUGUUCAACCAUAUCACAAAAAAUGCUUAACAUACAUCUUUGAAAUGUUGCAGGAGCAUUACAAAGCCCGAAUGGCAUUCUUUUAAAUGCAAAUGUUCCAAAAGGACAUGUGAAUGUGGUCUUUUCUUGGUCCUCAAGUGCUAUAGGAAUUUGAUAAUAACCUGAAUAUCCAUCUAAAAAACAAUAGUAUGGAUGUCCUGCUACUCUUUCUAAGAUUUGGUCAAGGAAUGGUAAUGGAAAAUGAUCUUUUCUAGUGGCUUCAUUUAAUUUUCUAUAAUCAAUGCACAUGCGCCAACUAGAUGUAAUUCGUGUUGGAAUUAAUUCACCUUUUUCAUUUUUAACAACAGUGAUUCCAGAUUUUUUAGGCACUACUUGUGUAGGACUUACCCACUUACUAUCAGAAAUAGGGUAGAUAAUUCCCACAUCAAGUAAUUUAAGGACUUCUAUUUUGACUACCUCUUUCAUGUGUGGGUUUAUCUUCUUUGAGGUUGUUGACAUAUUUUAGCAUUUUCUUCCAAAUUAAUUCUAUGUGUGCAGAUUAAGGGAUUAAUGCCUUUAAUGUCAUUUAAAGUCCAUCCUAUUGCAUUUUUAUGCUUUUUAAGAACAGUAAGUAACUUACCUUCUUGGUCGCUUGUUAAAGUAGAAGAAAUCACAACAGGAUAAGUUUGUUCUUCUCCAAGAAAAGCAUAUUUCAAUCCUUCAGGCAAAGGUUUCAAUUCCAUUUUAGGCGCUUCUUGUUGUUCUAUCUUUUCAAUACUUCCAAGCUCCUCAAAUUUUGGCUCGUCAUCAUAAUUUUGCGAAGUCUGCAUAGAAUCAAGCAACGAAUUUAUAUUAGAAAUAUCAAGUUUAAGUUGCUUAUUUGACUCAAUUGAAUUAACUAAACAAACAUUAGAAAGUUCAGAAAAAUCCCCUUUUUGAAUAUUUUCCUCGAUACAAGAUUCAAACAAUUCCUUUUGUUCAUCAGUAUCAUCUUCAUUCUCAUUUUCUUCAUUAGGUUGCCUGCACAUGUUGAAAACAUUCAAUUCCAAAGUCAUAUUCCCAAAGGAUAAAUUCAUUAAACCAUUCCUACAAUUAAUCAAAGCAUUAGCAGUUGCUAAAAAUGGUCGACCUAAAAUUACAGGAAUUGGUUUGUAAUUAUUCACAACAGGUUCAGUUUCCAAGACAAUAAAAUCCACAGGAUAAAUAAAUUUAUCAACUUGUACUAAAACAUCUUCCACUAUUCCUUUUGGUACUUUAACUGAUCUAUCGGCAAGCAAAAGUGUAGUUGAAGUUGAUUUUAACUCACCAAGAUUAAGUUGAAGAUAAACUGAAUAUGGAAGCAAAUUAACACUAGCACCAAGAUCUAGUAAAGCAUGCUCAAUUCUGUGGUUACCAAUAAUACAAGAAAUGGUAGGACAACCAGGAUCUUUAUAUUUCAACUUAUUAUUAGUAGACAGAAUUGUACUUACCUGUUCGGCCAUGAAAGCACUCUUUCUUACCUUCAAUUUCCUCUUAACAGUGCACAAGUCCUUUAAAAAUUUGGCAUAUGAAGGAACCUGCUUGAUUGCAUCUAAUAGAGGAAUGUUAACUUUCACUUGCUUAAAGAUUUCAUAAAUUUCAGAAGAGUGGUUUGAUUUCUUUGGUUUAUUCAAUGCAUGCGGAAAUGGUGGUUCAGGUGGAACACUAGUUAUUUCUUCACUAGGUGUAAGUUCAUUUAGUCCUUCCUUACCCUUUGAAUUUUCAUCAUUUUCAUAAGGUUCAGGCAUAGGUCUAUCAACAACCUUACCACUACGAAGAGUUAUAACUGACUUGACUUGGUCUGUGGGUGGAUUUUGUUGAAUUUUAGGAUUUGGUUGUGGUUGGGCUGGAAAUUUUCCUUUUUCUUGAAUGGUGAGUGCAGAAGCAAUUUUAGCAAGAGUAUCUUUCAAAUCAGAAAAAGUUUGUGCAUUUUGAUUGUUAAUAACAUCUUGCUUUCUGAUGAAUGAAUGCAUUGUGUCCUCCAGAUUUUUCCAAGGUGGUGGAACAUAUGGUGCAUAAGGCUGAGGAUUUUGAAAAUUUUGUGGAGGUGGUGCUUGUGAAGAUUGUGCAUUAUUAUUAUUCCUCCAACUGAAAUUCGGAUGAUUUUUCCAACCAGGAUUAUAAGUCUGUGAAUAUGGGUUUGGUUUAUUGAAAGUGUUAAUAACAUUAGCUUGAUCAUUUAGACAUUCUUUAAGUGCAGGCAAAGUGGGACACUCUUGAGUGAAAUGAUCAUUCGAAUUACAUAUGUUACAUGCAAUUUCUUGAACAGAUUUUACUUGAUCACUCUUUUUAUGCUCCAAAGCUUCAACUUUCCUAACUAGGGAUGCAAAUUUUGCUUGUAAAUCAUGAUCUUCCCUAAGGUUAUGGAUUCCUCCACUAGAUGGAGAUGAUUGUUGCUUAUUUGUCAAUUCAAAAGUUCCAACAGUAUCCCAAUGUUGUGCAUUUUCAGCUAAUUGGUCAAGGUAAUCUAGUGCAUCUUCAGGAUUUUUAUCCCUAAAUUCACCAUUACACAUCAUUUCAACAACCUGUCUACUUUGGGGUAUUAAGCCUUCGUAGAAAUAAGUGACCAAUCGCCAAGUUUCAAAACCAUGAUGUGGGCAUAUGUUAAGCAACUCUUUAAACCUAUCCCAACAUUGGUAUAAUGUUUCUCCAUUUUUUUGAGUGAAAGAAGUGAUUUGCCUUUUAAAAGAAUUUGUUCUAUGAGGUGGAAAGAAUUUUUUCAAAAACUGUUCUUGCAUGUUAUUCCAAGUUCUUACUGAUCCAGAUCUAAGGUUUUGUAGCCAAGUUUUAGCUUUAUCUUUUAAUGAAAAAGGAAAAAGCUUUAAUCUAAUUAUGUUCAUGCUACAAUUUUGGUCCGUGUAUGUAUUACAAACUUCCUCAAAAUCUCUUAGAUGCAAGUACGGAUUCUCAGAUUCUAAACCAUGAAAUGUUGGUAAAAGUUGGAUAAUACCUGGUUUAAAAUUGAAUCGAGAUGCUUCUGGAGGAAAUACUAUACACGACGGUGCUCCGGUUCUGGUUGGAUUCAUGUAGUCUCUCAGAGUCCUUGGUUGAUUCUGAUCAUGCCCAUGUUGAGAUUGGUUGUCUCCCUGAUCAAUUUGAGGAUUAGGUUCGCCCAAAACGUUUUCGCCUUGAUUCUCAUCCAUGAUUGGUGGUGGAGAUUGAGAUCUACGAAUUAACCUGCCACUUGAAGAUCGAGACCAAUGUCUCAUGCAAGGGUUAUGUUAUAAAGAUAAUAUUUACACAAAUUGAUAACAAAAUAAAAUAAAAAAAUAAAUAAGUAAAUAAUAUAAGUAUACAAAAGAAAAUUAAAUAACAAAAAUGGUGGUUGAACCCACCAAUUAAAAAAAUAAAAAAUGCAAAAUUAAAUAAAUACUGAAAAUUAAAUAACUGAAAAUAAAAGUUAAGGGUUAGUAGUUAGUUUGGUGGUUAAACCCACCAAUAAAGCAAAAAAAAAUAAAUAAAUAAAUAAAUAAAUACGAAAUAAAAUAAAUGCAGAAAAUUAAAUAACUGAAAUUAAAUAAAAGUUAGGAGUUAGCAGUUAGUAAGUUAAGAGUUAGUAAUUAGAGUUAGUAGUUAAAGUUAGUUUGGUCCAAAAUAAGUCCAAAUAUGUCCAAAGUAUGUCCAAAUAUGUCCAAAGUAUGUCCAAAUAUGUCCAAGUCUUGAUUAUGUUGAGGAAUUUCGUCUAGGGAUUCUAUUGCAAAUUAUUUUUAAUUUUAUGGUCAAACUAUAAUUUUUAGAAGUUUAGAAUUAGCAAUUUGGGAUGAAAGUGAAACAAUUGAAAGAUAUCGCGGUCCGAACAUAAUUACCAGAAGAUUGGGCUAGAAACGGAAAUUGUUGGGGUGAAAUUAGAAUUAUGAAAGAUAUGGGGACAAAAGAGAAUUUAAGAAAAGGAAAAGGGGGCAAACGAAAUUUUACAUAUAAGAGAAAAAUAAAAACGGAAAAACAAACCAAAUAAAAAACUUUUCCCCGGCAACGGCGCCAAAAACUUGACACAACUUAAAAGUAAAUUUUAACUCCCAAGUAUAAGAGUGUCUUGUUGUAUUAUAACUCGGUGAGUCCGAGGUCGAUCCACAGAGAAAAGAUUUAAUUAGUUUAUUUUAUUUUAUCUAAAAAUUGAAAUUAAAACUUGAAUAUAAACAACUUAAUUUAAAUGAAACUAUGGAAUUGAACUAGUUAGGGUUAUGGAUCCACUCUUAGAAAUAAAUAAAACUUAAUAAAUUCUUUUUGCCAAUUUGUUUUAGAUUUAUUACUCAAAAGAUUAAUUAUACAAAUUAUUAUUAUUUUCCCUUUAAUUUUAUGGUGGAUUAAGUAUUUAUUGUGCCAAAAUUUAAUUUGUCUACAAUAAGUCAAAAUACCAUUUCAUCAUGCCUUAUAUUAAGAUCUUAAGAAUUUAUUGUGCCAAAUUCAUUUGUUUGUCUACAAUAAAUCAAAUUUUCAAAAUAUAAAACAUGUAUAAAAUUAAAUAGAAAAUAAUUUAAUUUAUAAAAUUAAACAUAGAAUUUGAUUAAAUCCUAUUUAUUUCUUAAGAGUUUCACCUUCCCCUAACUAAUAUUAUUUAGUUAAGCAUAAUUAAAAUAAAAAGAAGUAGUAAAAUUGAAUUACUUAUAAUUAAAAGAAAUAAAAACAACUAAAAUUGGAAAUAAAACUAAUUUUAUUAAUGAAAAUAAUUAUACAAAAUAUUAAAAACACACCUGGAAAUCAAGAUUACAAGGAGAUGGAGAGAAUUUGAGAAGAAGAGAGUUGUAGAGAGAUGAUUAAAACAUAAAAAUGAGGCUCUAUUUAUAGAAAAAUAAAUUCAUAAUCCAGUGCUUUGCGGUCCAUCAUAGGCUUCAUGCAUGUGCUCCUCACAACCCUUAGAUCAAGAUCCAAUGGCUGGUCAAACUUCAAAAGUCAACAUCACACAUGGCAUCAUUUGACUCGUCCGAUUUACCCAAAGAACGGUUGAGAUUUGGCGGGUUAAUGGAUGGAUCGGGUCGACCCGAAUACAAAGAUUCGGAUCCUCCAACUUGCUUCACCAACCAUUGCCACGUGGCACAAUCAUGGCCAUUGAAUCAUGAACGGUUGAGAUUUAGUCAAGAUUGCCAAUUAUCCCAUGCACUCAUAUCUAUUGUAAGCUCAUUUCAUCAUCCAAUCAGUGCUCGGUCAACAGGAAAAGUCAACUUUUUUUACACAAGCCCAAUUUUAAGCCGAUCUUGACUGAUCUUAAGGUUUUCGGACCUCCGGAAUCCAAAUUUGACCUCCGUUUAUCUGUUUGGAGCCUCGAAGUACGUGAAAUUAAUAAUUUUCCUAAUAAACACAUAAAAAUACACAAAAUUAAAUAUAUUUAAAACAUAAUUAAUAAUUCAUAAUAUAUUACAUAAACACAAAUAUAAAUUAUAACAUAAGCAUAAAAUAACAUAUUAUCGCUUGAUAAUUAAACAAUUUUUAAUACUAAUCAUUUCUUACUUGUGGUGUCUUCCUUAAUGUACUUAGACUCCAAUAAGUCCUCUAUUUCUUUUGCUGUGGAUUUUGUUGUGGUACUUAUCAAAACAAAGUACUAGCAAUGGCAUUGUAAAUGUGUCCUAUGCACAGGUAGACAUCUUGCUUCCACUUUUGCCACACUCAAGUUUCUCAUCCUCACGUUCUUCAGGCUUUCAUAUUGUAAGAACAUAAACAACAUUGAGGCUUGUCAACAAGAAAUGUAAUGUUUUUUGCCAACGUAUAAAAGUUGUGACUAGGGGUGGGCAUGGGUUGGUUUGGGUUGGUUUUUAAGUCAAUCCAAACCAAACCAUAAAAAUUUGGAUCCAACCCAAACCAACCCAAAUAUUUUUAACCCAAACCAAACCAAACCAUUUGGGUUUGGUUUGAAUUUUAUUAUCAAAAUAAUUUUUAUUUUAAUAAAAUUUAAUUAUAUCAAAAUUAUAAUAAUUAUUAAUUGUUAUUAAUUAUUAAAUUGAUAUUAAAAUAUAAAAAAAUAUAGUGGAUAAAAAUUAUAAAUUUUACAAUAACUUAAUCCUUAAAUUAAAGAAUACUAGAAAAUCAAAAUAAAGUUUAAUCACAAAAAUUAUUAUUUCUCAAUAAAUAAGAACAUACACUUUAAUAAUAAACUUUCACAAACAUGACAUUAACAAUCUAAUAAUAAAUUAUUUUUAACAUAUAUUAUUUUUCCCCCUUCUCCUUUUAUAAUGGCCAAAAACCCCUCUAAUAGUAUAAGUUUACAAUAUUACCCUUAUUUUCAACUACUCUUUUAUUUCUAUUUAUUCUAAAUUAAAUAAAUCAUAUGAAUAGAAACUAAAUAAAAAAUAAAGCAUUAAAAAUAAGAAAUAUAUGUUUUGAUAUGAACAAAAAAAUUAAUAAUAAAAUUUUUUUAUACUUAUUUAUUUUGUGAAAAUUUUCUUAUAAUAAAUAUAUAAGAAAAUUAUUAGUCAAAUGAUAAAAAAAUUUUAUAAGAAAACUUGAAUGACAAAUAAAAAUUUAUUAUAAGAUAAAUAAUAAAAUAUUUUACCUAUACUUUUUACAUUUAAUUUUAAAAUAUUACAAAAUAUUUAUUAUAAGAAAAUGUUCACAAAAUAAAUAAUUACAAGAAAAAAUUUUAUUAUUAAUUUUUCUGCUCAUAUCAAAACAUAUAUUUCGUGUUUUAAUACUUAAUAUAGGCAUUACAUUCAAUUAUUGACCAAAAAUUAGCCGCCAUCUAGCAUAUCGGACCCAGUCCAAGCCGAGUUAUUAUUGAUCAUUAGUAGAGUCUCCUGCUCUUUCUAUGAUGAUCCUUCCAUGUGGGAGGAAUUAUUUUUGUAAAUAAGAAAAAAAAUUAUUUAUGUUAUUUACAAUAAUAUUUAUUUAAUUUAAAUUUAUUUUUACUAUUAUUUUCAUUUUCUAACUGUUGACAAUUGAUCACGCUGUAAAAAAUUUAAUGGUGGUCUUUCACUUAUUUGUGUUCAUUUAUUUUGUUUUCAUUUAUUUCAUUUGAAAAAUUUGAGUGUUGGGGUUUUGUCAAUAACCCAUGGGUAAACCAUACCCAAACCAUAAUGAAAUGGUUUUCUACAUAAAACCCAUAUCUAACCAAUUUUCAUGAUUUACCCAACCCAAACCAUUUAAUUUGGUUUGAGUUUGGAUAAACCCAUGGGUUGUGGGUUUAUGCCCACCCCUAGUUGUGACCAUCAACUGCUCUAAUUUAACAAAAUCUACUGUGAAUUGCGGAUGAGAUGAGCUCAGUGUCAUUGUUACAGAAAGAACGUCUUAUGAAUGUCGGGAAAAUAUAUUUUUAGGGAAUGAAAAAUGUAAUAAUGGCAAACGUAGAGAGUUACAGUAAUAAUGAUUAUGCCACAAAGAUAAUGAGUCAAUUAUGUAAUAAUGACAAACAUAGAGAGUUGCAGUAAUAAUGGUGGAAUUUUUUUCUAAUAAAAUAAUGAGUUUACUACUCUGUAGGUACAACGAAAAUAAUAGUAAUAAGUAAAUUGUAGAAAUUAACGUGUAUUUCAAGGCACUUUACAAAUAUUACUUUCUUUAGACGUUAUUCGCCCCCAUCAAUUGAGUGAUGAAUAUGGGUUAAACAAAUACGCAUCUACGAUACAAUGAAACACUUAUUUAUUUGUUUGCAUUGGGUAUCGACAAAAGCAAACCUAAAUACUCUUGAAUGUUGCAAGCUUGUCAAGAAUCAAUAUAAUUGUUCCUGUAGUAAACAAUAUGUUGGAUAUUUAAUGCAUAAAAUAUAGAUGUUAUAUGAUAAAAUUCGUUUUAGAAAGGAGAGUUUAGAAAAGAGUGUUAUAAGAAUGUUAUUUUCAUGUCUAAAUGGCCUAAACAUGGCCUCUAUUUAUAAAUAUAAUUGUGCCCUCCAUUUGGAUUGUCAUUUUUCAUGAUACCCAUUCGUUUAUGGUCAUUGGAUCAAGAUUUGAUUUUAAUCAAUUGUCUAAAUAAGUACAUCACCAUUUCAAAUGAAAUGACAAUGUGAAAUGAUACAUUUUUAAGUGGAAAGAUACCUUUUAUAUGGGACAAUUACUAGGACAAGUUUUUAUAAUAAAACAUCAUUUAUUUUGAAAUUGUUACAGCCCUAAGAUUAUUCUAGGUUAAGUUAAUCUAUUAUGUAUAACUUCAGAAGGUUCAUCGGUAGAUUGCUUUAAGUUUUUGUCAUAGUUUACAAAUAUUUUGUUACUUAUAAUGUAAGAAAUUUUACAAAUGUUGGUGCUGAGUAAUCUGCAUAAUUAUUAUGAAUCAGAGAAACAGGGCAGAUGUUGUACAAUUAUUGUUGUGGUGGAGCGGAAAGUUAGCCCGGACGGUGACUGCUAUUGGGAUUUCUUUAAUUUGCAGCAUAAAAGCAUUUACAUUGACAUCGACUCAAGGGUAAAAAUUAAAUAUCUCAUGUAGCAUAAGAAGAAUGCAAAAAUGCUUGAAUGAGCAUUCUCACUGAAUACACAAAAGCUACUUUCCCUUGAGCACUUUCGCAACAAAAGCAAAUGUAAAAUGUAGCAUUUAAUUCUAACAUCAAAUGGUUGAUGCCAUCGUUUCCAUCCCUUGGGGAAAUUGAAUUCCUCUAUCUGAUAUUACAGUCUGGAGCGGCUCUUAAGUACCUCAGGCAACUUAGGGCAAUUUAGGCGGUUGCUCAGGGCCCCACAUUUAACCUAGGAUCCCAUUAUAAAUGAAGGUUUCUAAGUUAAUUCUUAAAUUAUAGUUAUUAAUUAUUGAUUUAUAUUUAUUAUUUAUAACUAUAUUUUCCAUAAACAAACUACUAGAUUCUUUCAAAUCCCCUUUUAAUAUUAUAAUUAACAAUUUUAAUCCAUUUAUUUCCUCCGUAUAUUUCAUUUAAAACUCUAUAAAGGCCACACCUUUUUUAAAUUAUUAUCCAUUAAUAUCUUUUUCCAAUUAAAGAAAAAAACAAAACCUUCAUUACUUUGGUGAAAAAACUACUUUCUCUACCUUACUUUUUGCAUAAGGAAGAAAAGAAAAUCAAUCGUUUUACUUUCUUUUGAUCAUUGUUGCUCAAAGUCUCAAUCCAUCAAAGUUAAAUUUCUCAAAUUUUCAGGUUUUAUCUUCCGAUUCUCUUAUUAAUUAAUUGUGUUAUUUAGGUGUUUUUGUUUCUUUGUAAAAAUAUUAUUCUGUUCAUAGGUUGUUUUCUUUUAAUUAUCUAGCAUAAUAGUUUGCAUGAUUACUCUUGUUUCAUUAGAAAAAAAAAAUGUCUACUAAAAACUAUGCAUCAUGAUACAAAAAACUUCAUAAAAGGAGAAGAACAGAAAAGUUAGUUUAAUCUAAAAAACAAUGCUAUUGAUAAAAAAAUAUUUAAGAUCACCCAUUUCAUAAGAAAGAUUAAAUAGGUUAACUAUAUUGUCUAUUGAGAAAGAUAUAUUAGCAAAAUUAGAAUAUAAAAAGUUGACUAAUAAUUUUGCAUCUAAGAAAGUUAGAGAAAUUGAUUUUAAAUAAAUAAAACUUUAAUAAAUUAAUACAUAUAUUUCACCUCAAUUUUUUUAGAAGGCCUAAUUAAAUCAAUUUAUUUAAGACCUAAAAUAUGAUUGAGCCGCCUUGAAAUUGCAGUAAGAUAGAAAAGUGAAAUAGACAGAACACUUGCUCAUACGUAAAGAUGCGACGAAUUUGAGAAUACUUAUUAUUAUGUGCCAAAUUCCUAAUGUGUGGGAAUUUAAAAAUGUUAGUGCAUAACAUGUGUUUAUCGGUGGAGUAGAAUCAGGGAAAUUAAAGAUAAGCAUAAUUUUUGCAUCCAAUGCCAAAUUCCCCCAGGGAGAGAGUGGGGACUCCUUUGCAUAAAAGUUGUUAAAAGUUUAUUGUUAAUAAUAAAAAUAACAUGCAGAUACAGUAUUUUAGGUUAUUGUUAAUAGUUUUACAAUAAUAAAAAUCAUUUUGUUAGAUCGUAAAAUGUAGUACUCAUACUCUAUUUUGUGCAAAAGUCUGCGAGAAAGGAUUUCAGAUUUACCUAACGGGGAAGUUGGGAACUUGCUUUUUUACCUAGGCUAAAAAUAUUUCAAUAAAUUCUGAUCGUGGAGACUACCUGAAACGACCCGCCCCGAAACCCCCCAGGCGAGUCUAUCUAGUUACAUCAAAACAGACUUAAAAAUAAUAUUAUACGUAAAGAAUCUGCUGAAAAUUCGACAGAGUCUCCUUUAUAUAUAUAACACUCCCAAAGUACAAAUAUGAAUAUACAACAAACUCCAGUGCUCAACAUACUCAACCAAAAAUACUGAGUUAUAUAAUAUACAACCCCAAAAGAACAAGAUGACCAAGAUGUCCCAACAGAAACAUUUAUAUACUCUAGCACCAUCACGUGGCCAAGACUCAAAAUAUAUACAGUCGCUGGGUCGGUCUGGUGUACCUGCAACCUCCUGGUGAGGGGGGGAAAAUAUAAUAAAAACGGGGUGAGUUUAAAACUCAGUGAGAUUAGUGAGUGGAUAGUAGGUUUGAAAAUUGAUCUUUACUUUAAAAGAAAUAAGCAUAUCCAAACACGGUUUCAUUAAACCAUAAGUGAGAAAUCAGAAAUAAAUCAUUAAAUAUUUAAAUCAGAUUACCAACCAUAGAAAUCAUAUCACCAAAUCAUAUCGAUUUCACAAAUCUGAAAAUCAUAUCUCAUCAUAUCUCUGCAUGCAUAAUCUAGUCCCCAAAGGACAAAAGCGCCCAAGCACACGGCCCAAAGCCUCUGUGUGUACUCAGACGGGCCCCAAAGGCCUCCUUACAAUCAGAGCGCGCACCUCCCUUAUUACCCCUCAGUUUGGCGGGCCUCCCUUAUUACCCCUCAUCUAUAUCACUGUACUCAUAUUCACAUACCUCUUUACCACAUUUUAAAUCAUACCACAUUUGAAUCCACUUUUCUUAACUUUCAAAUAAUAUCACACUUUAUUCAAAAUCGAUACGCAAAAUUAUUAACCAAACAUUUUCAUAUAAUAUCAACAAGUGAAUAAAAUCCAUUUCGAGAAAUCAUUAAAUCAGCACAUUUAAAAAUACUUAUUCCGCAACCAUGCUUUACUAUCAUAAUUAACUCUAAAAAUAAGUUUCGUAUAUUCCACUCACAGUGACGGUGUUCAUAGUCGGUUAUCGUCUACGUCCGCGGACCGGUUCUCGCUCGCGGAUCCUCCUAAAUCAAGGAAACGACAUAAUUAUUCUCCGUAAAUCGGAAUUCCGACUAAAUAUAUGCAAUAACUCGAAACGAACAUUUAUCCAUAAUUAACAACUCCCGUGACGAUAAAAUUACUAAAAUGCCCUUGAGUCCGUAAAUCAUUAACAUGCUCCGAAAUCGUAAAUCACCGAAUUAUCCUCGAAAUCGUAAUUACACCCAAUUCACAAUUCUAUGAAUUACUGAAAUAUCCACAGGCUCAGAAAUGACAAAAUUGCCCUCAUAGUGUGAAAUUACCAAAAUGCCCUUGCCGGUCAACGGUCACCGGAAUUUGGUCAACGCUGGCCAGGAAGCUCAAAUCUUAAAGUGCCAAUCACGCUGAGUUCAAUGGUACCGGCGGUGAGCUCCAACGCGCGGCAACGACGCCGGAAUCUAGCUCGACAGCCGUGAGUUCCAACAAUCGACCGGCAGCAAAACGACGACUCUCGGUGCCUAUGAAUGGUCGGAAAUGGAAGAGGGAGUCAUGAGGAACAAAAUCCAACCGGUGGUGUCACUCAAAACCGGCGAAAAUCUCGGCGGAGUAAAGUGAAGCAGUCGCGGGUUUCAAGCUUCGAUCGCCGGCGUUCCGGUUCGUUUUCGGCAGUGAGGAUGGCAGGGGAACGACGGUCGGCUUCUAAGCUUCAGAUCGGUACCAAGCUCGGCCAAAACGGUGGUCGGAAACGUGAAAUCCGUCCGGGUUAAAGUCGCGGGUCGGGUCGGAUCCGGCGGGUCAAGAUCGGGUAAGUUGGCAGCUUCUCUCUCUCUGUUUUGCACGUGCAUGUGUUUUUCCUCUGUUUCCAACAUAUUCCUUUGCUUAUAAACUCUUUCACCGCCUCAUGCCAUUUUACAUUCACAGGUAUUACACUACCAAGAGUUUUUUUUAGUCAUAUAUAUUUAUUUUUUAGGGACCAAUAUGAAUAUUACUAAUUUUAUCGAGAUUAUUAAAAAAACAAUGUGCUAAUUUACCAAUAUGAUUUCUCCAAUCUUUUUUCUUUUCGUCAUUUAUUCCUUUGUGAAUUUGAGUUAAUGCUUGAUAUUAUUUUUGUGCUCAUUUUUUAAAGUAGAAGAUUAUGAAAAAGUGAACACACAAAAAGCAUAAAAAUUAUUAUUAGAUCCAAAUUUGUGCUAUUUCAUACAUAACUUGAGAAUAUUUAUAAUUACGCAUCACAACUAGUGGAGUAGAAUCAGGGAAAUUAAACAUUCUACAGUCAUUGACGUGUGGGGUGGGGAUAAGCAUAAACCUUUUCUAUGCAGUAUAAAAGAGUGCAAUAACUCCUUUUCUUUCAGUAUCAUCGCAACAAAAGCACAUCUAAUAACUCUUCAGAAUUCUCGUCUUCUUUGUCAGAAUGGUUGAUGCAAUCGUUUCCUCUCUCCUGGAGCAGCUGAUCUCUGUUGCGGCCGAUAAAGUGAAACAACAGGUGAGGCUUGUGACUGGUGUCCGAGAAGAAGUGAAAAAGCUUACCAGCAAUCUUCAAGCCAUUCGAGCUGUGCUGGAGGAUGCAGAGCAAAGGCAAAUGCAGCAAGACAAAGCUGUUACUUUUUGGCUGGAUCAGCUCAAAGACGCAUCCUACGACAUGGAAGAUGUGUUGGACGAGUGGGUCUUUGCAAGGCUCAAAUUGCAAAUUGAGGGCGUUGAUGAUGACAAUGCUUUUUCCCUUGCUCCUCACAAGAAGAAGGUACGUUCCUUCUUUCCUGCUGUAUCAAACUGCUUUGGUAGUUUCAAACAACUUAGUCUUCGUCUUGACAUUGCUGUCAAGAUUAGGGAAAUCAAUGAAAAGCUAGAUGAUAUUGCCUCCCAAAAAGCUAGGUUUAAAUUUGUUGAAAAUGUGAGUAACCAUGUUAAAAAACUGAAACAAGCGCGAACCACCUCCUUGAUUGAUGAGGGAGAGGUCUGUGGUAGAGUUGACGAGAAAAACGAGCUCUUAAGCAAGUUGUUGUUUGAAAGUAGCGAACAACAAAAAGGCCUUCAUGUCAUCUCACUAGUUGGGUUAGGGGGCAUAGGUAAAACCACUCUUGCACAACUGGCCUAUAAUAAUGAUGAGGUGAAAAGAAAUUUUGAAAAAGUUAUAUGGGUGUGUAUCAGACACUUUGGAGGAGAUUAGGGUUGCCAAUGCAAUCAUUGAAGGUCUAGCCGAGUCAGCUUCUAGUUUAAGCGAAUUUCAAUCUCUUCUAAGCCAUAUCCAUAGAUCAAUUGAAGGAAAAAAAAAUUUUCUUGUCUUAGAUGAUGUAUGGGAUGGGGAUUACAAAAAAUGGGAACCAUUCUUCCUAUGUUUAAAGCAUGGUCUCCACGGAAGUAAAAUUUUGGUUACUACACGUAAUGAGUCAGUUGCACGUAUGAUGGGAUCAACAAAUAUUAUUUUCAUUGAGCAAUUGACUGAAGAGGAAUGCUGGUCGUUGUUCAAGCGGUUAGCAUUUUUCGGUCACUCUUUCGAGGAUUGUGAAAGAUUAGAACCAAUCGGGCGAAAAAUUGCACGCAGGUGCAAAGGCCUGCCUCUUGCUGCAAAGGUAAUAGGGAAUCUCUUGCGCUCUAAAAGUACAAUAAAAGACUGGCAAAGAAUUUUAGAUAGUGAAAUGUGGAAGGUAGAAGAGCUAUGGAAAGGUCUUUUGACUCCUUUAUUGUUGAGUUAUAAUGAUUUGUCGUCCAAUUCUAUGGUAAAACGAUGUUUUUCAUAUUGUGCUGUCUUUUUGAAAGACUACAAUAUGUAUAAAGAGGAACUAAUUUCACUAUGGAUGGCUCAAGGUUACCUUAAUGCAGAAGAAUAUGAAGAGAUGGAGAUUACUGGGGAAGAGUGUUUCAACAUUUUAGCAGCACGCUCUUUCUUUCAAGAGUUUGAGAAAAAUGAUGAUGAUGAUAUUAUGAGUUGCAAGAUGCAUGACCUAGAACAUGAUUUUGCUCAAUUUGUAAGUAGCAAUGAAUGUUUGUGGCUAGAAUUUAGUGGUACCAGAGAAUCAGUCAUAAACCCUUUUGGUGAGAAAGUCCGUCACUUAGGGUUAAAUUUUAAAGAAGGCGCUUCAUUUCCUAUGUCCAUUCAUGGACUUAAUAGAUUGCGUACCCUCCUAAUUGAUGAUGAAAGUCCUUUCAAUUCAUCUCUUAAUAAUAGCAUCCUUCCAGAGUUAUUUAGUAAUUUGGCGUGUUUGAGGCCAUUAGUUAUAAGGCAAUCAUCCUUGCUUUUUCGUUAUCCCCCAAAUGGGAUUAGAGAAAUUCCAGAAAAUGUCAGAAAAUUGAUACAUUUGAAAUGUCUUAAUUUGUCUGAAUUACACAUAAAGAGACUACCUGAGACUUUGUGUGAAUUAUAUAAUUUACAAAAGCUAGAUAUUAGGGGGUGCCGAAAUCUAAGAGAAUUGCCUGUGGGGAUCGGGAAGUUAAAGAACAUGAGGAGUUUACUAAAUGGUGUUACUCGUUCGUUGAAGUACAUGCCAAUAGGGAUUUCCAAAUUAACCAGUCUUCGAACAUUAGACAAGUUUGCUGUGGGUGGAGGUGUUGAUGGUGGCAGUACGUGUAGGCUUGAAUGUCUGAAAAAUUUUCGACUCAUUCAAAAAUGUGGAAUAGAAGGGCUGAGUAAUGUGUCACAUUUAGAUGAGCCUGAGAGAUUAGAACACAAAAAUAUGGAAAACCUCCUUCAUUUGUAUCUUUUGUUUGAAGUUGUAGAUUAGGAAGAUAAAGAAGAGGAUGAAGAUGAAGGUGGGGAAGAUGAAGGUGAAGAUGGAGGAUAUGAAGAAGAAGGAGGUGAAGUUGUAAAUGUGGAAGAUGAAGAAAGGAGGAGGAAGAAUGAGAAAGAUGAACAACUUCUUGAAGCCUUAAGCCGCCUUUGAAUGUAGAGGAAUUAUGGAUUUUAUUAUAUGGAGGCAGCAUUUUUCCCAAAUGGUUGACUUCGCUAACCAAUCUAAGGAAUUUAUUUCUUCACGGGUGUCUUAACUGUGAGCAUUUGCCUCCUCUGGGAAAAUUGCUUCUGGAAAAACUCGCCCUGCAAAAUUUGAAUAGUAUAAAAAGAGUGGGCAAUGAGGUUUUGGGAAUAGAGGAAAGUAGUGAUGAUGACCCGUCUUAAUCUUCAUCAUCAUCAUCAGUUAUUGCCUUCCCCAAAUUGAAAUCACUCAAAAUUUGGGACAUGGAAGAAUUGGAAGAGUGGGAUUACAGGGUUACGAGGAAGGAAAACAUCUCCAUCAUGCCACGUCUUUCUUCCUUGGAAAGGUGUUGCCAGAUGACCUUCUUCAAACGUCGACACUGCAGGAAUUGAGUAUUGGGGGAUGUCCUAUUUACUUCAGUGUACGAUAAUUUGUUACGUGAAACUUCUUGAGAGACUGAAUUUCUGGGGUACUUUGUAGUAAUGUUGAAAACUAAGUGAUGGCUGGGUCUGCUCUGUUUCAGUUGAGGAUGGUUUGCUUCCUGGAAGACAUGCUGAUUAUUAUUGCAUGAUAUUAAGGUGCUGAGAUCAUCAUUUCUAUCUUGUUUCUUUCUUUGAUCGGUUUAUCCUCUAUAAGCAUAUGGAAUUAUGCUAGUAUUAUCACUUCUUCACUCAAUUUUCACUGUUGGUUGUAAUAACCAUUUCAGGUUCUCAAAAGCCUCAAAGCAAAGCAUCUUUGGGCUGAUCAUAUAUUUCAAUUGACGAAGCAAUUCGAUGUUGGCACUAUUAUGCAGGUAACCAGAGUUGAUAAUUUGCACAAAUUUGCAUUGUCAGAAUACCCUUCAUAUUCACUGUGUUUCUUUGUGUAGGUAUGUAGAGUAUCAUCUUCAAGGGUUGUAAGAGCCUUUGCAGUAAAUUUAGCUGCUCGUGCAAUUGCUCAUUCAUCGGAGUACAAUUUUGGAUUUUCAAGGUUUGUAUGCUCAGUUGUAAUUAAAAUGCUUAGUCACUUAUUCCUAAUCUUUCUGAUUUUCAAGUUGUUUUAGGUCCAUAAACAGUUUUCAAACAUGUUUCAAUGCUUCUUGUAAUGACAAUUUCAUAUCUUGCAUCUCUAACGUGCAUCACGUUUGAAACAGCUUUCGCGGUAAAGUCUUCGAUGCUUCUACAAUGGCUGUGAAGAGGCACAUUAAAUUCGGUACAUUUUGGUACGGCCUCCCAAUGCUGGUAUAAUGUUGUGUAUAUUUAGUUUGCAAUUAAAACUUAGGUAUACAAAUCUUAAUCUGCAAUAGAUCGUAGUGUACAAAGUUUUCUAUUAAUGAUAUGGUGACUGAAAGUUUAAUUAUCUUAAAAUUUUUCUAUGACUCUCUUUUACUUUCUUUGUACAGAGUACCUGUUUUGGCUGAUGUGUCUAAUUCAUAGAAAUUCAUUUCCAUCGGUUUCCAUUGGUUUGAGCACAAACAGAAACAGAGGUCUGAGGAAAAGUUUUAUUUCUUGCGGUAUUAUGCCUUUGUUUCUUUAUUCACCAUAUUUGUUCGAAUUCAUGCCCUCAUUAAGAAUUUAAAGCCUUUUCCAGGCAGCUUUGUAGGCUACCUUAUGAAAUUGGAAAGUUAUUAUUGCUUGAAUGCAAGCACCGUCUUCUGUUGCGAAGGCUUUCCCCACAUGAUGAGAUGCUGUGAUUGUUACCGGACCCUUAAUUAUUUAACUCAGGAUUUUAUCAUCAACCACAUCAUCUUAUUCACCAUUUUGGAUAUAUAUAAAGAUUAAAAUUUCUAACAGUUGUUUCGGAUUCUUGUGUAAUCAGAUAAAUGGGGCAAAUGUCAGAACAAAGAUUGUUCAGUGUUGCUGGUAGGGCAAGGAUGAUGAUGGUGAGGAAGAUUGUUCACAAGCCAAGUAGAGCUAGGGAUGGCAAAACAUCGGGUCGGGCUCGGGCUUGGCCAAACCCGACCCGACCCGAUCAACAAAGAAUUAAAGCCCGACCCUAAAAAAGCCCUACCUAUUUAUAAUUAGGGUUGGGUCGGGCUCGACCCGAAUCGGACCAACCCUACCGAAAUCUAUAAUAGCAACAGCCACCACAGAGCUAUUUUCCAAAUUCACCAAAUCGAACUCUGAAAAUCCAAUCAAACUUUGGCUUAUAAAGCCAAAAUCAUUGCUUAAUUAAACCUAUACAGAAAAUAAUACUUCCACUCGCUGAAGAUUUUCCUCGAGUCCUCAUAUGUUUCUCUGUUUACUUGUCUACGAACAGCAAACAAGAAGUUUGCUAUUUCAUAUCAGUGUCGCACAAUAAAAUAAUUAAUUAAACAAAUUAUUAAAUUUACAAAGAAAUCAAUCCCUAAGCUGGUAUAGCAUCCACUAGACUACUCUUUUUAAUCGUUAAUUAAUAAAUAGUUACUGAUCUAUAACAAAUUCUUUCCAUCACCACAAAAAUAAAAUAAAAAUUCAUUGCCAUCUAAUUGGAUUAUAAGAUACAAUAACAAUUGGCAAUUGUAUUGCCAUCUAAUUUCAUUACCUAAACUUAAUUAUAAGAAACAAAUUGGCUGCUGGAAUAGAGGACAUAAAGAAGUCAAAAAUUGAACUUACAAUUUUGGUCAUAAACUUAAUUUGAACUUACAAUUUUGGUCGGAAAUAAUUACAGAACCGAUCGAGAGUAUUGCUGGUUUUAUGGGUAAAUAAAAAAUUGUAUGCAGUGCGGCGACGGGCGGCUGGCUGGUUCACUCACGUCGCGGCGUCGCGGACGGUCACGAUGGCGGAUUGGCGGUGAGANNNNNNNNNNNNNNNNNNNNNNNNNNNNNNNNNNNNNNNNNNNNNNNNNNNNNNNNNNNNNNNNNNNNNNNNNNNNNNNNNNNNNNNNNNNNNNNNNNNNNNNNNNNNNNNNNNNNNNNNNNNNNNNNNNNNNNNNNNNNNNNNNNNNNNNNNNNNNNNNNNNNNNNNNNNNNNNNNNNNNNNNNNNNNNNNNNNNNNNNNNNNNNNNNNNNNNNNNNNNNNNNNNNNNNNNNNNNNNNNNNNNNNNNNNNNNNNNNNNNNNNNNNNNNNNNNNNNNNNNNNNNNNNNNNNNNNNNNNNNNNNNNNNNNNNNNNNNNNNNNNNNNNNNNNNNNNNNNNNNNNNNNNNNNNNNNNNNNNNNNNNNNNNNNNNNNNNNNNNNNNNNNNNNNNNNNNNNNNNNNNNNNNNNNNNNNNNNNNNNNNNNNNNNNNNNNNNNNNNNNNNNNNNNNNNNNNNNNNNNNNNNNNNNNNNNNNNNNNNNNNNNNNNNNNNNNNNNNNNNNNNNNNNNNNNNNNNNNNNNNNNNNNNNNNNUGUUAUUAGAGUGAGUAGAAAUUAAGCACAUAUCUGCGAUUUGGGUUGUCGGUGAAUGUUUUCCUUUAAUAUUUGUACACACCCAUUUCUUAGUAAAAUUUUCUUCAUGUCUAUUACUAUGACAUAGGCUAAUAGCCGUACCAUAUAACAUUAUCUUCUUAUUUCUUUAUGCUUGGUUUUGCUACAUAUCAUUUCUGUACAUUCAAGAAUGCAAUUUUGUAACUACUUAACUCUGCUUCGGCAAAGUUAAGUAGUUACAAAAUUCUUUUUUUUUUCCUUUUUCUUUCUCCGAUAAAAUUGCCACAAAUGGAAGCGAUUGGCUUGAUUUUUGCUUCUGUAAAAAGUGGUGGGAGCAAUGUCUUGUGUACCCGCAAGUUAUAAAUCGUCAUAGUUUAAAUGAAGAAUCCAGAGUUGCCAUCCAAAACUAAAGAAAUUGCAAAUUAAGUAGUUCAUUACAAAUGAUAUAUUUUGAGUUGCUAAUUAUUAAGUAUUUUAUUCAAAAAUGUUCUCGUUCCCACAAUUCCUAAUGUUUAAAGUGCAUCAUUGCUCUACUUCCGUCAUAACAGCAUAAGAGAAUUUAACAUAAUACUAAGAAAAUGAUUAUUUUACCCUAAAUGUAAAUGAUUAUUCUACCCUUGACAUAAAAUAACUAAUUUGCCCUAAUUUAAUAACGAAAAAAAUAGAUGACUGCAAUAUAGAUAUUAAAUAAUAAAUAAAAUAAAAAAUCAGAAUUAAGCUAAUUUGUUCAAGACAAUAUCUUUAGUUGGCAUGUAAUUUUCAUUAGCCGGCGUCUACUCUUAAUUUAUGUCAAAUUAAGUAAUCGCUUCGCCCCAAUAAUGUUGCCUUUGAUCUCUCAGCCCCAGUAAAAGAAUUGGCUGAAAGAGAAUGUUGGUCACUGUUUAAGCAAGUAUGCUUUUGGCGGUCCUUUGAGGAUCUUCAAAAUUUAGAACCAAUCAAAAAUAAAAAAUUUCAUACAAGUGUAAAGGCUUGCCUCUUAAUGCAAAGGUAAUACGAAGUCUCUUGCUGACAUAUACAUCCUUUACUUUAUAAUCUUUUACUUUUGCUCUUAAGCUAAAGCAUUAAAAGGCCCCAUAUCCACUCUUUAUAUAUAUAUAGGGAGAAUGACAAUUUUCUCCCAUACUAUAAUCAAUAUAUAUCAUUUACGUCCUACUUUUUUAUAAUAACCAAUAAUCCUUGGAUAGCAUAAUUUAACAAUAUUAUUUUUGGUUUAUUUUAAUUUUUGUUCAUUUGAUUUCAUAGUAGUAGUUUUCAUUUUUUUAGUUUAAAAUUUGUAAAAUGAACUAAAAUGAGAUAAUUUUGAAAAAGAAUCAAAACAAAAAAAGGCCCAAAAUUACCCCUGUUCCGAACAUUAUCUGAAUCCAUCAUAAUUGACCCAAAUUCAAAUUUAACUCAAACCCAACCUUGGCCUCAUAUAAUUAUAACCUGAUCCGAUCUAGACUCAACCCCAAAGUUUUGAUUUGAUCUAAUCCAAUUCGAAUAUUCCAAGCCAAUCAACCUAAAACCCAAUCAAGUUGAUCCAAACCCAAAUUUGCGCACUCCUAGAGGGGACCAUCACCCUAUAAGCUUUGAAUUUUUUUUGAGGUUUUUAAAUGAAAUAUUCAAAAUUAGGUAUAAAAUGACUGAUUUGCCCUGGAAUACUUGAUACAUAUAAUGAAACUUUAAUUGUAUAUUUUGUGAAAUAAAAUCAAUUAAACCUGAUUUUUUUAUUUGUUAAUUAUUUUUCAUAGCCUUUUUUAAAAGUUUGUAAGUUUGGGCCUACCUCUUUGAUUUUUAUUUUGUUCAUUUUGCUUUCUCUUGCAACAAUAGUUUCAAAUACCAGUCACAAAAUUCUCAAAUUUUGGAAUACCCUACAUACUAGCUAUAAAUAGAAAAAACUGAAUAAAAUUAAUCCCCAACUAACACUUGAAAUUUGAACUUGGGCCUCAUGAAGAUUUACUCAGAGCUCCGCCCCUGAUAUGCAAUAAAAUAUUAGUUUUGCUAGUGAAAUUGCCAAUUAUGUUUUUUUUUUUUGUAUUUUCCGCUUAGGGAAGAAGAAAUUUCCUACAACUAUUGUGGUGAAUAUCUUGUGAAUUUAUGACAGUUUAAUCUUUAGUUUGCCACUUGCUUAAAAUGAAAAAGGGAAAAGGGUAUUUAUAUCUCUAAGGUUUGGAGAAAUAGUCACCAACACUACAAGUUUUUUAAAAAGGACAUCAAGACUCCUUUUUGACCACAAUACCCUUUACCUUUAGUAUCUCGAAAAAUUUAACUUGCAAAUGAAUAAAUACAAAUAUUAUAUAAAUAAUGUAAUCUACGUUGUAGAUUAAUAAUAUUAAAAUAUUAAAAUAAAUUUAAAUAUGUAAAUUAAUAUAUUUAUUUAAUAAUAUAUUUGUAUUUAUUGUAGAGAUUUUAAAUAAAUAUUUGCAUUAAAUACAUUUUACAAUUAAAAAAGUCUCACAUACUAAUAAUGUUAAAAUUAUUAUUUUACAUAAUAAUUUAAAUUUUAAUACAUUUAUUUUAAUAUUAUGUUUACAUUUAUCAUAAAAUUUACUUUAACAUAAUAAAAUAUAUUAAUAGAUUGUAAAAUAUUAAAAUAUUUUUAAAUAUUGAAAUUAUUUUAAAAUGUAUAAAUUAUUACAUUUAUUUUAAUAUUAUAUUUCUCUUUACUAUAAAAAAUUAAAGUUAACUUUUGGGAUAAUAAAGGUAAAGGGUAUUGUAGUAAGAAAGAAGUUUUAGUAUCUUUUCUUGAAAACUUAAGAGCGUUGGUAACCAUUUCUCCAAACUUUGGGGAUAUAAAUGUCUUUUUCCUAACAAAAAAUGACAUUUUUAAUAGGAAAUAUAAUAAGCUUUGUUCUAUAGAAAAAUCCAUCAGAUAUAUUAUGCCCCCGGUUGCUAUGUUAAAAAUAAGUAAUUCUUCUUUUUGUAUAUUAAAAUAGUAAAAGGGUGGAUAAUAUUUAAAUUUUUUUUUUACCUUUUAUCUUUUUUGACAUUCGAAUUUUAAACUCGAGAAAUAGACUUCCUGAGAGGUUAACUAAAUUCUUAGUAAUUUGAUAUAAUUUCAUAACCGUUCUCCAAAAGCAAUUUUAUAAAUCAUUGUGGAAAAGCUUUAUUCCUUAGUUAUCUUUCGCAUAUUUUCUUUGUAGUAUGAUAUUUAUUAAAAUCAUUAUGGGACUGAUUUUAUUCUCUUUUUUUUCUCAACAAAAUAUCCGACUGCAGAUGUAAUAAAUUACUAAUUACAAUUAUUUGAGUCCCACUCUAAAUUAGAUUUUGAAAUAAAGUUACAUUCUCAAAUGACCAAAUGAAUUAACGAGUCUGACAAAAAGAUGUUGUCGGCCAAGUUGAAAAAUAUAAUAAAUAAAUUGUCAGGAGAUGAUUUUUUCUGAAAUUUCACUUUCAAGGUCCAGAACACAUUCAAAUUUCCGUUGAAAUUCAUAAUGGAUUCAUAUGAUCGGGCGAAAUUACACUAUACAAUUUCAUCAAUACCUAUUAAACGAUAAAAAAUUUAUUGAUUAUUUAUAAUUAAAAAAAAUCUAUCUACUAAGACUAUUCUAGAUCAACAAUUAAUAUAUUAAAUAUAACUUCAGAAGGUUCAUCGGUGUAUUGAUCUAAGCCUUUUGCAGUAGUUUAUAAAUAUUUUGUUGCUUAUAAUGUAAGAAAUUUUACAGGAGUUGAUGCUGAGUAGUCUGAAUAAGAAAAUUAAUUAUAUUGUAAGUUAUUGGGUAUUCAUAAUAAAAUAAACAAAUAAAAAAUGAAUAAAAAUUUAAAUACUUAAUUAAUUUUUAUCAAAUUCUUAUCAAAUAUUUAAAAUAUAUAUAAAAUCAAUUAAUUGAUGAUGUUGUUAAUUUUCAUGAUAUUUUUAAUAUUAUAUUAGUGAUUAUUAAAUUUAAUACAAUCAAUAAUGCUAUAAAUUAUUAAAUGGUUAAUUUUAUUGACAAAUUAUCAAAUAUGCAAAUAAUGAAAAAUUAAUCUCAAGAGUUGGUAGAAGUAAAGUUCCAAUUUAAUCAGAUGAUAGAUAAUAAAUAAAAAUAAUUUUUAAGUAAAUUAUAAAUUAAAAAAUAAUUAAUAUUAAGUAUAAAUAAACAAUAAUGAUAGAAAUUAAAGUCUCAUAAGAGUAUCUCCAAAAGACUCUUCAAAUAAGAUUCUACUUCUUAUUUGAAGAGCCAUAUCAAUAUUUAACACUCCAAAAGACACGUUAAUUUAGAUUCUUCAAAUAAGAUUUGUUUCUCACUCUUCAAUAUUGCCGAGUGAGUUUCUCCCUCUUCUAUUAAUAUUUUAUUAUUAUUUAUUGAAAAGAUAAGACUGCAAUAAUUAUUAUUUAUGUUUCUUUUAAAAAAUAUAAUAACAAUACAAUUUGAUAGUGGGAAAAUUUGAUUAAAAUAAUAUUAAUUUAUUCUUAUUUGGUGAGUCUUUUGGACGGGAUUAUAUUUUUUUAUACACUUAUUUGCCACAUCAGUAAGCAAAUUGAAAUUUAAAGAGUAAAAUUUAAAGAUCCUUUUGGAGAUGCUCUAAAUAGAUAACUUUUUUUCUUUAAUUUUAUCCCAACUAAAAUCAUGUGUAAAUUAGAAUGAUUAAUCCCAUAAUUGUAGGAUGAAACUUAAAUUUAGUCCCCGAGUCCAAUUCAAUUAAGUUUAACAAACAUGAGAUAAAUAUUUAAUCACAAAAUUAGUCCAAUUUCGUACUUAAUCCUAGUAUAUGAACAUGGAUUGAUAAAAUAAUUUAGGUAAUAUGCUUCUAUGACUUACAAUUUAAAUAAAUUUGAGAAUUUAUAUAAGGGAUGGAAAAUUCAUAAUAAUCAUAACAUGUGCUAUCUUUUCUUCCUUUUCUUAAUUAAAUAAAAGAAAAAUAUUCAUCACAGAACCACCGCUGUUUAAAAUGACCCGAUGAUCGAUGAAGUCGCAUUCGCCUAUCUAAUAUUGCGCAAUCAGAUAAAUUCUCAAAUUUAAAAUGAAUUUAAUCUGCAAUUAUAUCAAUAACUACACAAUAAAGAUUAAAAAAUUUCAAAUUAUACUUGAGUUAAAAUUUAAUUCUUUUUUAUUGUUUAAAGUAAUUUAUUUAUAAUUAUUUUAACCCAAUUAGAUUUAUUUUUUUUAAUGCUUGUUCUAUGACAGAAUUGGUCCUCAAAGUUUAAUUAAGCUUGAGAUGGAUACUCUCAGCAAUUUAUUACCUAUUUUAUUAGAAUCUAAGAGGAAAAGAGAGUUGCGAUUUGUAUGUGUAGAAAGAAAAUGUCAAAACGAAAUGUUAAUGUCACUUGUAGAGAGAGAGUUGGGACUGAUGACCAUAUACAUUUUUCCGCCCCUAAUAAGAGCUUGCUUGACGAUAGUGAAGAACUAAUGAGACUGAGGAUCUGCAAUUUAGUCAUGAAAAAUUAGUGACUAAAUACAACUAAAUUUCAGUUUUCUCUUUCUAAUUUCUUUGGGAUCCAGAAAAAAACAUUUCCCCCUCAAUUUUCUGUUUGCAAGGGGGUAACUGUAAGCACAGUCUGAUUUUAUUUUCAGGGAAUAAUAUCGGUGAACCACCGUCGGGAAAAAUUUGAAGUCUAAACAGGUCAUUCACAGAUAAGGCCAAAGAGUAAAACAGGUCGUUCAUCGUGCGUUUGGAUUCCUUUCAUCUUGUUAAUUAUUGAAGACAAGAUGAAAACGCAACUAAUGGGGGCCGUGUAUGGUGUAUAAAAUAGCAUUAAUUGUUGUCUGUGUUUGUUGUUUAAUGCUAUUUUAUACACCAUACAUGGCCCCAAUUCCAAUUAGGGGAAUUCAAUAUUUUAAUUUUUUGCAAGAUGACUUUCAUCUAUCUCAUUGGCAGGCCGGCCAAGACAGUAAUCAUCCAUUUCAUCUUAUGAAUUAUUGAAGACACGUAGCUGUUCGACGCCUGCACUUUUCAAAUCUGAAGAGCAAUUAGACAAUAUUUCUAUUUCAAAUUGGGGCCACACUCCAAAAACAUUGCAAUAAUUCUCUGUUUUAUACCUAAUAUUGCGCAAUCAGAUAGAAAAAAGGGUCGGCUGCAUGAUUUUUCCAACUUUUGUUUUAUUUUUUCUCUUUUCCACGGGCAUGGGCCCCGACCACCACAAAAUAAUUUGAGAAUGUUAUAUUUAACAAUUCUCUUUUUGUCGUGACAUAAUGGACUAAAACGGAAUCACAACUUUUUCAAAUGACCAAAUGGCUUCGCCCAACGUGAUAAUAAAAGGCCAUAUAGAUGAGAAAUGGAUCCAUACGUUAAAGCUAUAUUGAAACAUAUAAUAAAUAAAUAGUCAGGAGAUGAUUUUUAUCAAAAAUUUCACUCGCACGGUCCCGACCAAAUACAAAUUUGUGAUGAUAUUCAUAAUGAAUUUAUACAAUUAGGCGAAAUUACUCUAUAUAGUUCCAUCGAUAUAUAUUAUAUCAUUAAAAAUAUACUAAUAUUUAUAAUAAAAAAAAUUUAUGACUAUUCUAAAUCGACUGUAUUAUAUGUGAACUCACAAGAUUCAUCGAUAGAUUGCACUGAGCUUUUUGUUGCAGUUUACAAAUAUUUUGUUACUAAUUAUCUUAAGAGCGGCAAGUAACUAAAUACAAAUGUAAGAAAUUUUACAAGUGCUGAUGCUGUGUACUCCGCAGAAAGCUAGCCCACGACGGUGACUCCUGUGGGGACUCCUUCAAUUUGCAGCACAAAUUGACAUUGACUUGAGGGUAAAAAUUAAAAUAUCUCCAAUUAGUAUAAGAAGAAUCCAAACAUGCUUGAAUGAACAUUCUCUCAGAAUACAUAAAACCUACUUUUCUCAGAGCAUUUUAGCAGCAAGAAAAGCAAUUGCAUCAUUUACCAUUUGAUCUAAUAUCAGAAUGGCUCAUGCGCUCGUUUCCUCUCUCUUGGACCAGCUGAAUUCCAUUGCUCAAGAUCAGGUGAAAGAAAAGUGGAGGCUUGUGACGGGUGUCGAACAAGAAGUGGGAAAGCUUACCACCAAUCUUCAAGCCAUUCAAGCUGUGCUGGAAGAUGCAGAGCAGAGGCAAAUGAAGCAGGACAAAGCUGUUACUUUUUGGCUAGAUCAGCUCAGAGACGCAUCCUACGACAUGGAAGAUGUGUUGGAAGAGUGGAUCACUGAAACACGGAAAUUGCAGCUUGAUGAGCGAGGCGAUGAUGAUGAUGAUGAUAACGACAGUGCUUUUGUUACUUUUUUGACGAAGGUAUGUUCCUUCUUUCCUGUUGCCUCAAACUGCUUUGGUGGUUUCAAACAACUCAGCCUUCGUCAUGAUAUUGCUGUCAAGAUUAGAGAAAUCAGUGAAAAGCUAGAUGUUAUUGCCAGACAAAAAGAUAGUUUCAAAUUUGUUGAGAAUGUGAGUAACAAUGUUAGGAAACCAGAGCGAGUGCGAACCACCUCCUUGAUUGAUGAGGGAGAGGUUUUUGGUAGAGUUGAUGAGAAAAGUGAGCUAUUAAGCAAGUUGUUGGGUGAAAGUAGUGAACAACACCCUCAUAUCAUCUCACUGGUUGGGUUCGGGGGUAUAGGUAAAACCACUCUUGCACAACUAGCCUAUAAUAAUGAUGAGGUGAAAAGAAAUUUUGAAAAAGUUAUAUGGGUGUGUGUAUCAGACACUUUUGAGGAGGUUAGGGUGGCCAAAGCAAUCAUUGAAGGUCUAGGCGAGUCAAAAGAAGCUUCUGAUUUAAGCGAAUUCCAAUCUCUUAUGAGCCAUAUCUAUAGAUCAAUUGGAGGAAAAAAAAUUUUUCUUGUCUUAGAUGAUGUAUGGGAUGGGGAUUCCAAUAAAUGGGAUCCAUUCUUCUUUUGUCUAAAGAAUGGUCUCCACGGAAGUAAAAUUUUGGUUACCACACGUAAUGAGUCAAUUGCACGUAUGAUGGGAACAACAGAGUCAGAUACUAUCUCCAUUGAACAACUGGCUGAAGAGGAAUGCUGGUUGUUUUUCAAGCAGUUAGCAUUUUUUGGUCGCUGUUUCGAGGAUUGUGAAAAAUUAGAACCAAUCGGGCGAAAAAUUGCAUGCAAGUGCAAAGGCCUGCCUCUUGCUGCAAAGGUAAUAGGGAAUCUCUUGCGCUCUAAAAUUACAGUAAAAGAGUGGCAAAGAAUUUUAGAUAGUGAAAUGUGGAAAGUAGAAGAGAUUGGGCAAGGUCUUUUGGCUCCUUUGUUGUUGAGUUAUAACGAUUUGCCCUCCAAUUCGAUGGUAAAACGGUGUUUCUCAUAUUGUGCUGUCUUUUCAAAAGACUACAGUAUGAACAAAGAAGAAUUGAUUAGUUUGUGGAUGGCUCAAGGUUACUUUAACGUAGAAGAAGACGAAGAAAUGGAGAUGAUUGGAGAAGAGUAUUUCAACAUCUUGGCAACACGCUCUUUCUUUCAAGAGAUUGAAAAAGAUGAGGAUGAUGAUGAUUUUAUGAGCUGUAAGAUGCAUGACAUAGUACAUGAUUUUGCCCAAUUUGUAUGUAGAAAAGAAUGUUUGUGGCUAGAAAUUGAUGGUAACAAAGAAUCAGUCAUAAAUUCUUUUGAUGACAAAGUCCGUCACCUAGGAUUAAAUUUUGAAGGAGGCGCUCCACUUCCUAUGUCCAUUCAUGGACUUAAUAGAUUGCGGACCCUCCUAAUUGAUGAUGGAAGUUUUCUCUAUCCAUCUCUUCAUAGUAGCAUCCUUCCGGGGUUAUUUAGUAAAUUGGCGUGUUUAAGGGCAUUAGUUAUAAGGCAAUCGUCCUCAUUUUCUGAUCCUAGCCCAUAUUUGAUUACAGAAAUUCCAGAAAAUGUUGGAAAAUUGAUACAUUUAAAAUAUCUUAAUUUGUCUAAAUUAUGUAUAGAGAGACUGCCUGAGACUUUGUGUGAAUUAUAUAAUUUACAAAAGCUAGAUAUUAGGGGUUGCGUAUAUCUUAGAGAAUUGCCUGCGGGGAUUGGGAAGUUAAUGAACAUGAGGAGUUUACUGAAUGGUGAAACUGAUUCGUUGAAGUACCUACCAAUAGGGAUUUCUAGAUUGACCAGCCUUCGAACAUUAGAAAAGUUUGUUGUGGGUGGAGGUGUUGAUGGUGGCGGCACGUGUAGGCUUGAAUCUCUGAAAAAUCUUCAACUCCGUGGUAAAUGUUGUAUAGAAGGGCUGAGUAAUGUGUCGCAUGUAGAUGAGGCUGAGAGGUUACAACUUUACAAUAAGAAAAACCUCCUUCGUUUGUAUCUUGAGUUUGGUGGAGCCGUAGAUGGGGAAGGCGAAGCAGGGAGGAGGAAGAACAAUGAGAAAGAUAAACAACUUCUUGAAGCCUUACAACCGCCUUUGAAUGUAGAGGAGUUAAGGAUUAUAUUCUACGGAGGCAACAUUUUUCCCAAAUGGUUGACUUCACUAACCAACCUAAGGGAUUUAAUACUUUUCUUCUGCGUUAACUGUGAGCAUUUGCCUCCUUUAGGAAAAUUGCCUCUGGAAGAACUCGGACUAUUGAACUUGAAAAGUGUAAAAAGAGUGGGAAAUGAGUUUUUGGGAAUAGAAGAAAGCACUGAGGAUGAUCCAUCUUCAUCUUCAUCGUCAUCAUCAGUUAUUGCCUUCCCCAAAUUGAAAUAUCUCGAAAUUUGGGGAAUGGAAGAAUUGGAAAAGUGGAAUUACAGGAUUACAAGAAAGGGAAACAUCUCCAUCAUGCCACGUCUUUCUGCCUUGUCGAUUUGUGAUUGCCCCAAAUUAAAGGUGCUGCCGGAUUACAUUCUUCAAACAACGACACUGCAGGAAUUGAGGAUUGAGGACUGCCCUAUUCUAGAAGAACGUUACAGAGAGGGGAAAGGAGAAGACUGGCAUAAGAUUUCUCACAUUCCCCACAUCAAGUGGUCGCCGUAAGAUAUCACUCGCCGGUAAUUCCUCCUCCUCUGAUUUACUUCGUUAUUGCUUGUAAUGAAAUUAAUGAAAAUAAUUAUAUUUUGAAUUAAAAUUCUAUAUUAUUAUUAUUUCUCUCCUCGAAUGGUUGAAAUUUCACUCGCCCCGUAAAUUCUCGAAUGGUUGCAAUUACUAUCACCCGCCGGUAAUUUCUCUCCUCUGUUUUACUUCAACCAUUAAUUUAAUGGGUCACUCUAUGAUGUUGUUAUAAAAAUUAUAGAAUCAAUCAUGGUAUAAAUAUGUACUGUUAGAUUUAAUCAAUGGUUCAUGAAGUUAAAAGUUAAUUAGGAUAAUAUUUUAAAUUCAAUUAUUUAAAAUUUAAACUUCCUAGUUAUUAAAUCUAUUAAACUUGUUUUAUCAAAGCUAAAUAAUUAAAAAAAAAGUAUAGUCUGUUGAAAUUUCUAUAUUUUCUUUUAAAAAACAUGUAGUCUUUUGUAAAAUUUCAUACAACAUCAUAGAAAACCUAACGUAUUUUAUUUUUUAAUGCACGAAAAUUUGUUAUGUGUAACUUCCUGAGAGACAAAAUCUCUGUGAUGCAUUUGCAGUAAUGUUGAAAACUAAAUUAUCAAUUUUAUCUUGUAUAAUGAUAAUCGUGUUUUUUUAUAUAUAAUUUAUGUGACAUUAAUUCUUUAAAGUAAUUGUGUAAUUGUUUUUAGUAGUACAUUAGCCCACUUUGUUUUAUUUCAUACGAGUUUAAUAAUGUUCGCCAGGGAUUCGAGGAAAUGUCAGAACUACACUAAGAAUUCACAGGUCCAAGCUAAUUUAGUUUUAAUGAUGCAGGUAGGAGAGCAAGACUAAGAAAAUGAAAAGUUUAGCCAAAAGAUUACUAAAAUGUUCUGCUGGUAAUUCACUUGCCUUGUUUAAUAGAAUUUCAUUUCCAUCUUCUUCUAUUGAUAUCUUGUUGUGAAUAAACAAGAACAUAGAAGUAAAUAAUUGAAACGCAGAGAAGUAAAGAUAUAUCAAAAUUCGCUAUUAUGAUGAUGUUAAAGCAAGCUCAAGCAUUGCAUUUUUAUUUUAUUUAAUUUAUAGAAUUUUCAUUUCCACCUGCAUUGCAUUUUUACUUCAUUUUUAGGUUGACGUUGAAGACUCUUAUGGAGAACAUUGGAGUAACCAAGGAUUAUUACUGUGGUUAUUGUGCAACGUUUGGUUGCUGGACUUUGAAGAAGGAAGUGAUGGCCGGGUCUGCUCUGUUUCAAUUGAGGAUGGAUAGCUGCCUGAAAGACAUGAUGAUUAUUAUUGCAUGAUGUUUAGGUGCUAAGAUCAUCAUUUCUAUCUUGCUUCAUUCUUGGAAUCAUUUAUCCUAUAUAAACAUAUUGAAUUGUGCUAAUAUUAUCACUUGUGUCAAUGGAGGCAGGAAUUUGGUGCUGAAACUAUUAUGCAGGUAACCACACUUGAUAAUUUACACAAAUUUGCGUUGUCAGAAUAUCCUUUAAUAUUCAUUGUGUUUCUUUGUGUUAUCAGGUUAUCAUGGUAUAUAGAGUAUCAUUUUCAAGGAUUUGUAAGAGCUUUCGCAGUAAAGUUAGUCAUCACCACCUUGUGCAAUUGCACAUACAUUCAUAGUACUUCAAUAUUAGAUUUUCAAGGUUUGUAUGUUUAGUUGAGAUUAAAAUGUUUAGUCACUCAUUCUUAAUCUUUUCUGAUUUUCAAGUUCUUUAGGGCCAUAAACAGUUUUUCCAACUCAUUCUUAUUUUUUAGGUUGAUUUCGAGUACUCUGUGGAGAACAUUGGUGAGACAAAGGAUUAGACUGGCGAUGGAACUGCUGCCUCUGCUGUUAUUGUGCAAGGUUUGAUCACUGGACCUUGAACAAGAAAGCCUUACACGCAUUCUGUAAUUCAAGCGUUCUCUAAAACGAACGAGCAGUAGAAGGAAUAGUAUGACCGGAUCUGCUCUAUUUUAAUUGAAAAUCUCUGUGAUGUUGACGAGCUUAAAGUAGUUGAUGCUUUUUGAAAAUUGUUAUUACGAAUGAAUUCAUUCCUGAAGACGAGUAGCUAAUGAUUGUUAAGGCUUAUUUUCUUAAAGUUCCUUUCUUAACAAAUGUUUCAAUGCUGGCUGUAGUAACAUUUUCAUAUCUUGCAUCUCUCGGGUGCAUCAUGUUCGCGGGUUUGAAAAAGCAUUUUUGGUAAAGUUUCAAAGGUUGUACAACGGCUGUGAAAAGGCAUAUUCAAUUCGGUACGUUUUGGUGUGGUCUCCUAAUGCUAAUAUCAUAUUUUGUAUAGCAAUUAAAAUUUAGGUAUACAAUCUUAAUAUGCAAUAAAUCAUUGUGUACAAAGUUUUCUAUUAAUUAUAUGGUGACUGAAAUUUUAAUUAUAAUUUUAAUUAUCAUAUCAAUCUUAAAUUUUUUUGUAACUCUUUUUUACUUUGCUUGUACAGAGUACCUGUUUUGGCUGAUAUGUCUAGUUCGUAGAAAUUCAUUUCCACUGGUUUCCAUUUGCUUUAGCACAAACAGAAACAGAGCUCUGGGGAAAAGUUUGACUUCUUGUGGUAUUAUGCCGUUGUUUCUUCAUUCAUCAUAUUAUUCGAAUUCAUGCUCUCAUUCAGAGGGUGAAGCCUUUUCUAGGCUGCUUUGUAGCCAAAUUUUUACGCCAUUGAUGCAUGACUGUCAUUUAGAUUUUCCAAAUAACUGCUAGAUUAGAGAAGAAUAAGAAGAUAUUGUUAAAAGGGUAUUUAAUUAGCGCCCUCUGAAUUUAGUUGCCAAUAAUGCAUUGAAAUAGUCGGGGAAAGUUAUUUUCUUAAUUAAAUUACAGGUGAUAAGAUGCUGCUUCAAUUUUGCAAGCAUCUCGUAUUGCGAAGAUUUUGCCCACAUGAGAUCCCACUAUUCUUGACAUCAGGGUAACGCAGGUCAAAUUUUAGUAUCAAUAUAUAUCUUCUUCUUUACUGUUCUGCCUCUAAAUAUUAAACUUUAGGCAAGUUGUUUUUGUUUGUGUAAGUUAUCAGGUUCAGGAUACUAAGCAGCUUAAUUGUUCGCCACACCUAGUAUGAAUGAUGGCCAGGAACAUUAAUUGUUCACAAGCCAAUUUGAUUAGUGUUAGAUUUUUUGCCUUCCUUCGAAAGAUAUCAUCAUCAAAUUUGAGUUGAGAAUAUUUGAAGAGAAUUUUGUUUUGAGAGUUUCACUGUAGUGAAUUUUGGGUUUGCGUUUGAGCACACACAAAGGAUGCACUAAAUAUAACAAAAGUAUAUUUCUACUUCUUGUGGUUAUUUUAAUUUUGUUUCUCGUGUCAUCAUAUUUGAUUAAUUCGUUCGAAUUCACACUCACACAUUUCCAUGAAUAAUUGUUAGGCUGGUGGAGAUAUUUUUAAAAGGGCAUUAACCUACCUUAUGGAAUUGGAAAGUUAUUAUUUCUUGAAAGCAGGCAGCAUCUUCGUUGCGUAGGCUUUCCCCACUUGAUAAGAUGCUGACAUUGUUACCGGCCCCUUAAUUAUUUAUUAACUCAGGUAUUUAUUAUCAAGUACAUCAUCUUAUUCAACAUUUUGGCUAUAUAUAAAGAUUAUAAUUUCUAACAGUUGUUUCGGAUUCUUGUGUACUCAGGUUAAUAGGGCAAAUGUCAGAAUGAAGACUGUUCAGUUUAACCCGUAUAGCAAGGAUGAUAGCGGUGAGGAAGAUUGUUGGCAAGCCAAAUAGAGCCCUCCAUUUUGAGAAAUAUCAUCCGCAUAUUUGAAUUGUUGAGCAUGUGAAGUGAACCUUCUUAUGGAAAUACCUUCCUGUUUGACUUGCAAAAUACAUUACAAAAGCUCCCAAACAGUAUAUUUGAACAGAGUUACCCAUUUUGAGAAUUUUGACUCCCAAACAAGACUGCAGAGUUGUGUAUGGUGGGAUUAGCUGCAGGAGCAGUGCAAGAUUCUUUGUCAAACUAUCUGGCUGGUAAAAAGACUGUUGCCAAACUUCCUUUUCAUUCCUUUGUUCACUUACUCGUUAUAAAUAAAGUAAAAUUAGAAUAUUGUUCCGUUUACUGUCUAAGCCGGUCUAACAUUUGUUUAAUUUGGGCAAUUUUUAAUGCCUGACAGGUUAUCUGUGACAAACCCAUCUGUGAGUACUAAUGUGCUUGGUUAUGGUGCUUUCAUUGGACUACAUGCAAACAUGAGAUAUCAGCUAUUGUGUGGAUUUGAUAGAGACGUCGCCAACCAUUUUGAAGUUAUUGGAGUAGCAAUGUUGUUAAGCACGGCUUUGAGGUCUCUCCCACCCUCUUUUACGUAUUUGUCAAUGAUCGACAUCUCUAUAUAUACAUUGAUACACCAAAUUACUCUUGUUUUAAUGUUUUGUUUGUUGAACUUUGACUGGGUUAUUUGUUUAUUUGUCUCAUAUGAUGUUAAUGCGGUUCCUAUAAAAGUGGAUAUAGAUCUAUCACCUCAAAGUCUGAUUUCAACUUUCCUUCACUUAAUCAACUAGCAUCCUUUCCAAGUCCAGAUACUUACCAAUAGUGAGACUUUGCUACGGAAGUACAAUUUCUCUUGUUUUACAGUUAAAUAUGUAAGAAUAGUUUCAAAUUUACAGAAUUCUGAUAUAGUUCUCUAAGGAAAUGCAGGUGGUGAAUAUGGUUCCAACUUUUAAUAGGCUUUAAUAGGCCCAUUUGUUCAGCCACAGUGAUUGCGGUCUAAAUUCUUCUUUACUGUCUGUAUGUGUUGGAGUUUGUCUAUUGUCCAACUUCUCCAAUGGAUUCCAUGCAGGGUUUUGGAUGUCUAAUUAGGAGAAAGAUCGACAGAUGACCUUUUGAAGAAGGCUUACACAACAGGCCAUCUCAGGAUGUCAUGGCUCAGCACAAAAGUGCCCAGGUGGUUACUGAGCAAGAUAGAGAGAGAAGUUUUUUCUUCUUCAGGCUACCUUCCGCAGCUGUGGCAUACAUGAACUAAGUAGCUACGCGAUCAACAGAAAGUUAGUGACGUGACUUGGGGAUCGAGGGAUUGAUACCAAAGAAUGCCAUUUUUCUGAGCUUGGGCUCCUUGGCUUCAAACAAAACAGUGUUGACUCUAUUGAAGGGGAAAUAGGGGCAACUAAAGCUCGAAGAAAGAGGAUAGUCCGGAGGAAGGUGACUGCAUAAAUUUCUUGGAGUUAAUGUAGUCAAUUGCCCAAUUUUGCUGCCUGUCGAAGAGACACAGCAUGGAAGUCCUCAUCAAACUCUGAGACACCUAAGAACUAGUAGGAGGUGGUGGUAUUCUCCAUAUUUCCUGACAAGUAUAGUUAAUUUUGUUUUAGCUAUGAAUUGUUUCCUAGAUAAUAAUAAUUGCCUUGUUCCUUUGGAGUCUUAUUUACUCUCCGUAACUCAGUUCAAUUUUGCAAAUUCUAUUUCAGAUUUCUUAUAUAGUGUGUCUUUGUUACUUUUGUGAUGCCUUUUUUAUCGCAAGUUUCCAUUUGAAGUAUCCGAUAUUCUUUACAGACUAAUUAUCUAAUGAUUAUUUUAUACAAAAAAAAUCAUAACUUUAAUCAAUUGAUCAUACUCAACUUAGGUCUUGUUUGAUGUUACUAGCUGUUGUUAAAAUAAAAAAAGCUGAAAUUUGACAAUGUGUAAUAAAUGUAAGACUUUUAAAUAAUAAUUUUUAAUACAAUUAAUAAAGAUAUUAUAAGUUUUUUUAUUAUAAUAAAAUAUGAGAUCAAAUCAAAUUAAUUUUUAAGUUACAAUAGCAAAUAUUUACCAAAACUGUUUAAUUAUGUAGCUUAAAAAGUAUAGUUCUCCAACCUCAACAUUAUAUAGGGAUUUUCCAGACUCUACCAGACUUUAGUUGUACUCACUCGAUCAUGCAAAUCCAUACUCAAUGUGCUUGGCCAUACAAGAUGUUACUCAACUUUAACAAGUCUUACUCAAACUUUGCAUGUUUGGCAUGCCGGAUGGAAUAUGAUAGUAUAUGAUGUGGUAGAAUAUUAUAGGAAUAGUAAUAACAAGAUUACAUGUAGUACUAGGUUACAUUUUACGUGAUGUGGUAUAUGAAUGGAUUAUAUUACAAAUUUUUUUGUUAUAAUAAUUAAAAAUUUGAAUUAUUUUAUUAUUGAAAAAAUGUAAUAUGUUAAAUAACAGUUAUUUUUAUUAAGUAAUUUCUUUGUAAUGAAUUAUACUUUUAAAAUAUAAUCGAAAAUUCUUAUUACUAAACUAAUAAAAAGUUAAUUAUUUGAGUUAUCUCCUAAACUACUUAGCUCACGGGAUAAAUUCACUUAGUUUAGAACGAAACAGUGGAUUUUAGAGCAUCACCAAAAGACUCUUCAAAUAAGAUUUUAUUACUUAUUUGAAGAACCACAUCAACAUUUAAAACUCCAAAAAACACUUCAAUUAAAACUUUUCAAAUAAAAAAUGAUUCUCUUUCUUCAAAUUUGGAGAGUUGCUUUCUCCCUCUUCAAUUUAUAUUUUAUUACUUUUUAUUAGAGAGAGAAAGAGAAGUGCUUUAAUUGCUAUUAACUUUUCCUCUAAAAAAAAUAAUUAUUUGAUUAAAAUAAUAUUAACUUAUUUUUAUUUGAAGAGUUUUUUGGCGAGUAGUAUAUUUUUUACCUUUCUAUUUACCACAUAAGUAAGUAAAUAAAUAGUUGAAAAGUAAAAUGUAUUAAAACUUUGAGUGGGACUACUGGCACCCCUCUAAAUACCUUUUAACACCCCUUUAGUUAUUUUAUAAUUUUAACCUUUAUUAAAAUUACAUAAUAAGACAAUCAUGAAUUUUACAAUUCUAAAUACCUCUUAACACCCCUUUCUUUUGUUUUUAUUUUAUUUUUUUAACAUUUCCGAGUUUACUCCAACUGCAAAUUAAUUUAUGAAUUAUGAUCUACAUACUAUAAAUUUAAGUAAUGCUACAAGCGACUGUAAAUAUUAAAAUAUCAGCAGAAAAAUAAAAAUAUCUUGAUUAAGAGACAAAAUAAAUAGUACCUGAAAUUGAAAUUCAGCAUUUUAAAAAUUAAGAAAGUUACUUUUUCAUCUUAUUUUCUGGUGAGGAAUUAUCGACAUCAGCAACUCAUCAUCAACAAACUUCAGAGAAGAAACUGAGACCUAUGAGGGAAAUUAAGAAAAAAGAAGGUAAUUAUGAAGCAAAGGACGAGCUUAACAAUCAUCAGAAUUAUUUUCCCACCGACAUGUUUUCCAGUGCCCCAGUUGUCUUUCUCCACAAAGGCACGCAGUCUUUCGAAGAAUUCGUGAUUCUGCAUUUUCAGAAGCUUGUGCUCAACAUCUUCAUCAGUAAACCAAAUUAGCACUUGGCCUUAUAAUUACACGCAUGGUAGCCAAGUGUUUGCAAGGUGUCAUUAUCAAUUACAAUGAGUUUAAAGUGCUGGCCAUGUGGUGUUUCAAUGAUUUGCCACAUUGAAGUCGAAGUUUCGUGGAGCAAGUUCCCUUUUCCUUUUUUUUUUUCCUUCUCUCUCUCUUUUUUUUCAAUAGAUGAUUAAUUGUCUCAAAAUCAGUCAAAAAUUAAAUGGGGUUUAUAUUAAUAAAUUUGAAUUAAGGAUAUUUUUAUCAUUAAAAGGGUGUUAAAAGAAUUUUAUAAUAUUUUUAAAUAUUUUAAUAGGGUUAAUAAAAAAAAGAGGUGUUGAGAGAUAUUUAGAGGGGUGCCAAUAGUCUCACUCAAAAACUUUUGAAGAUGCUCUUACUAACAUAAUUUUCUCCCAUUUCCAUAAUGUCCGCGUUGAGUGCAUGUAAUCCACGAGUUUGAUUGAGCAGAAUAGCCGAAAGUCUAAUGAUACCCACAUCCAACUUUGUCACAAAGGCCUGGACGCCAUUCCUUAAGCCCAUGUUGUUUCGGUUUUGAUGUUGUAUUAUCAUUUCACGGGUUUUGGUGCUCUAGGAUUUGGGGAUGGUGCUUCAACGCUGUGUUUAAUGCGUCCCUUUUGGCACUUUUUGUUAAUUUUUAUUCCAAGAGCUAUGCUAAGAAAAAGAAGCAGGGAUGAUCAAAGUGUUGUGAUUGUUUUGUGUUUUCUUUUUUAAUUUAUUUGAUUUUGGUUAAUUAUGAAUGGUGGUAAUUGGUUGAAUGCAAUUGAAGAGAUGCUUUCAAUUGCCUAAACUUUGUUUUUUCAAUUUUUGUAAUAAAUGUCAUUUGUCACCACAUUUUUUUAGUCUCUCCCUUUUAAAUUCCCUCACACAAACUUCGGAUUUGUAUUUUGUAAACUAGUACUUUUCAUUUUCGUUAAUGUGUUAGCUAUUAUUAUCUACAGUUAUGUCAUACGACACACAUGUCACAUUAGCUAAAAUUAGAUUAUGAAUUUUGGGCACAGGACCAAGUCCCACCGUUUGGUAGGAAAUAAGUGUUGGAUCAUAAACUUGAUCCAAAAUAAAUAAAUUCAAGUCCAACUCAUGGAAGAUUCCAUGAGUAGGUAUACUUGGUGAGGUUUGAAUUAUUUGUGUUAGGUGUGGUAGGUUUUAAUGGAUGGUGAGAAUUUGUGUAUUAGUUGAAUAAAUAGAUUGUUGUGAUUAGUUUGUUUCAUGUUUAAAUACCCCCCUCCCCUUUGGUUUAAAUAUAAAGUGAAGUAACAAAAUCUCUAAGGUGUAGAGAGUGAAAAAUAAGAGUUGUAAUUAGUGAGGAGUGUUAUUGAAGAAAUAAAAUAGUGUGUUUUAUUUGUUAAUUCUCCAAAAAAUGGUAUCAGAGCUAGUGUUUGAUGCUAUAUAUAGUAAUAUAGCAUAUCAAAUCGAAGAUCUCGACGAGAGGAACGUGACGCCGCAAAAAUCAUCCCGAUCCGAGACUGGACGCGCCCACACAUGCCGCCGGAAGCUUUAUGUCCUGAAGCUAAGUCGACUCACCGAGUUGAACCAAGCUGAGCCGAACCGAACCAAGCCGAGUCGAGCUGAACCGAAUCAAGUCGAACCAAGCCAACUGGAGCUGAAUCAAUCCGGACCGAACCAAGACUAUUAAGCCAACGCUGACCGUUGACCGUUGAUUGAAAGUUGACUCGAGUCCUUCCCAAGGUUUUUUGAUGUGCCAGAUCCAUCUGUGCUUUUAGAAUCUCCAAAUUCUCACUCAAUUUAUGAGUUAUGGAAAAUGGUGGUAUGAUGUCAUUUCAAGUUCUACAAUUAAAGGGAAGUAAGUUUGACCAUUGGAGUAUUAAAAUGAAGACUCUAUUGGGUGCACAGACGUAUGGGAUGUCAUGGAAAAAGGAUUUAUUGUGCUAGAAAAUGAAGCUACUUUAACUGUGGCGCAGAAGGAGAAUUUAAAAGACUUGAAGAAGAAAGAGAAUAAAGCAAAGUAUCUCAUCUUUCAAUCAUUAGAAGAAGAUGCUUUUGAAAAGAUUGCUGGUACAACCUCCUCAAAAGAAGCAUGGGAGAAACUAGAGAUCUCUUACAAAGGAGCGGAGCAAGUUAAGAAGGUUCGUCUCCAAACAUUAUGAGGAGAAUUUAAGUCCUUACACAUGAAGGCGUCGGAGUCAAUUUCUGACUACUUUACUCGGGUUGUGACCGUUUCUAAUGAAUUAAAUAGAAAUGGCGAGGAGUUAAAAGAGGUAAGGAUCAUUGAAAAGAUACUUCGAUCAGUAGACUUGAAGUUUGACCAUAUUGUUGUGACAAUUGAGGAAACAAGAGAUCUAGAGGAUAUGACGAUCGAGCAACUUCAAGAAAGGCUGCAAGCCUAUGAAGAAAAACAAAAAAAGAAGCAAGGAAUCAAAGAACAACUUCUCAAGAUGGAGGUCAAUCCAAAGAAAAGAGAAGAAAGCUCCGACAACGGAAGAAGACAUAUUUAUCUCCCAUGAAAGCUAUACAAAGGAGAUUCUAAAAAGGUUCAAGAUGAAUGAUUGCAAGCCUAUAAGCACGACAAUGGAAUGCAGAGUCAAGUUAUCCAAACAUGAUGAAGGGGAAGAUAUAGAUCCAACAUUCUUUAAAAGUUUGGUCGGAAGCCUAUGUUAUUUGACAUGCACGAGACUAGAUAUCUUUUAUGUUGUUGGACUUGUGAGCCGAUACAUGAAGAAUCCAAAGACCACCCAUUUUAAAGUUGCAAAAAGAAUCCUUUGCUACAUCAAAGCUACAACUAAUUUCGACUUGUUAUACUCAUUUUCUAAUGACUACAAGCUUGUUGGAUAUAAUGAUAGUGAUUGGGGUGGAGAUGUAGAUGAUUGAAAGAGCACAACAUGAUUUGUGUUCUUCAUGGGAGAUACUGCUUUCACAUGGAUGUCAAAGCAGCAACCAAUUGUCACGCUAUCCACUUGUGAAGCUGAAUAUGUAGCUGCCACAUCAAGUGCUUGUCAUGCAAUUUGGCUUAGAAAUUUGUUGAAGGAGUUGGGUUUGCCACAAGAAGAGCCAACCAAAAUUUAUGUUGAUAACAAAUCAGUAAUUGCCCUCUCCAAGAAUCCAGUCUUUCAUGAUCGAAGCAAACACAUAGGCACUCGCUAUCAUUUCAUAAGAGAGUGUAUUGAAGAAAAGAAGUGCAAGUCAAGUAUGUAAAAUAACAAGAUCAAGCAGUUGAUAUCUUCACUAAGCCACUCAAGCAAGAAGACUUCGUAAAAUUCAGAAGUUUGCUUGGUGUCACAAGAUCAAGUUUAAGGGGGGGUGUUGGAUCAUAAACUUGAUCCAAGAUGAAUAAAUUCAAGCUCAACUCAUGGAAGGUUCUAUGAGUAGGUAUGGUUAGUGAGGUUUGAAUUAUUUGUGUUAGGUGUGGUAGGUGUGGUUGGUGAAGUAGGUGAGUGGUAGGUUUUAAUGGAUGGUGAGGAUUUGUGUAUUAGUUGAAUAAAUGAAUGGUUGUGAUUAUUUUUGUUUCAUGUAUAAAUACCCCCUCUCCCCUUUGGUUUAAAUAUCAAGUGAAGUAACAAAAUCUCUAAGGUGUAGAGAGUGAAAAACAAGAGUUGUAAUUAGUGAGGAGUGUGGUUGAUAGAAUAGAAUAGUGUGUUUUUUUGUGUGUUUUGUUUGUUAAUUCUCCAACAAUAAGGAGCAUUAAUGAAAUAUGUUUAAUUAAGUAAUAAUUUGUUAUUUUAGAGUGAAAAAUAAGGGUAAAUUGUAUUCUACCCCAUAUUAGAUUGACAAACUUCAAUUUACCCCCUAAAAGUACAAAAACUUCAACUUAUCUCCAAAUACCAUUUUCUUCCCGUUAAAUUCAACUAUCGAAAGCAUAAAAUUAUAGUCUUACAUUCUCUUAACAGUCAACUAACGGAUAAGGUAAUUUCCAUAAAACCCAAAUGUAGGGGCGGGCAACGGUUUGGUUUAGAAGUUAGGAACCGAAUGGUUUGAAAACAAACGAACCGAUUGGUUUAUAUUUGGUUUAGUUUGAACUGACAAACCGAUUGGUUCGCUUCAACUUAAUUAAAAAUACAUUUAUUUUAAAAUAUAAAUGCUUAAAAUAUUUUUUUUUUCAUUUUUCAGUUUCCUAAUCUAAAAAUGUUUCAUAACCCUAAAUCAACAGCCAUCUCUCUCAAGUUCGGCGGAGGCACAACAAGCUCUCUCGGUCUCUCCCUCGCAAUCUCAUGGUGAUUGAAUUCUUGUGAUGUCUCCACUUUUGUUUCUUGUUCUUGUGUGAUCGAAUUCUCUCUAUACACACAUACCCCAGCCUCUUGUUCUUUGGCUUAAUGGAGUUUCGUUUCUUUUCUCUCAGUUUCUUUCCUGUUGAAUUCUCGUGAUGUUUCUAUUUUUUUCUUGUUUUUUAGACGUGUUUUCGAAAUUGGCAUAAUGCGAACCAAACCCGAACUGAAUUUCAAAAUCGAAUCAAAUUGAACCAAACUGAAAUUUUUAUGUUCGGUUUGGUUCAAUUAAAAAAUUUGGUAUGCAUUCGGUUCUCUUUCUUAAGAACCAUUUGGUUUUAGUUCAGUUCGGUUUUGGUCUAGAAAAGAACCGAACCGAACCAAAACAAACCAUAUACUGGCCACCUUGCUCAAAUGUUUCAACAAAUUUCAAUGCACACUUAAACAUGUCAAUAAAAUUCGCUUUGUACCCAAAUUGAUAAUUUUUAUUUUUUAAUUAGUUAAUUUUUAACUGCAGAAGCAUAAAAAAUUAUUUCUUUUUAAAAUAAGAAAAAUAAUUUUUUUUCUAACUUUUUUCCUUUUUUUAUUUUCUAGUUAAUUUCUUUAUCUGGUUCGGUUCAUUUUUCCCUUUUUUAUUUCUUACUGUUUUCUGCAUGUUCUCCACGCUUCAACUUCGCCAAGCAUCAUAAGGCCACAAUAGCCAUGCCAGCAAUGGUGCAGCAACGUUAACGCCACUGUUCCAAGUCUUGGCCCAUCAUCUGCUUUUCAACAAACCUUAGCUUCUUCCCAAAUUCAUCAAUGAACCCCAGAACCAGACUAAUCAUUAAAAUUAUUAACAACCAUUUGCUUGGAUCAAUGUAUGCUUGGCAUGUCUAUGGGCUUACUUGUUAUGGUCGCUGAUGGCCUUGGGCUUGCCUGGAAUGGUCGCAACGCGCAGCCAUGGGCUUGCUUGGAAUGCCCGAACCCAGCUGCCAAGGUUUUGCUAGCGUAUCCAUGGAUUUUGCUGGACAUGGCAGUGCGAGGCCAUGGGUGUUGCCGGGCAAUGGACAUGGGUUUUGCUGGGCUGAUUUGGAAUUAACAGUGGCUAUGGAGUUGUUAAGUGUGUGAAAGAUAAAAAAAAAACGAACCAAGAAGAAGAUGAACAGGGAAUAGAACGAAGAAGAUGAAGAAAGUAGAAGAGAGGGAAAAAAUAUUUUGCUUUUUUAUAAAUUUUCGGAUUUUUAUUUCAAAAUUUAUAAUUUUUGUUUAAAUUUGAGAAUCUUAAGGGUAAAAUUUUCUUUGUAACUAUGUAGAAGGAGGUUUUCAGAUGGUUUUUGGUUGGGUUAACAUGAAAUAUGCUUGUUUUAUGAAAUAUUAUUAUUGAGGUUUUGUUUUAUUUUCUAAAAGUUAGAUUAGAGGAUGAUUUUCAUUAAUGACAUCCAUAAAGUUUGAAUUAGUUAUAUUAUAGAAAAAUAGGGAUUUAAAUGAUAUAUCUUUCCAACAUAAAUAUAUCAGUAACAUAAGUUAUUCUAUAAUUAACAGGGGUAUUAUCGUAUUUUAGUGAGUCAAUAUUGGUUGAUAGUUAAAUUUAACAGAUUUUAGAGAGUAAAUUGAAGUUUUUAUUUUUAUUUUUGAGUAAAUUAAAGUAUGUCAAUCUCAUAAGGGGUUAAAAUAUAAUUUACCCAAAAAUUAGUGUUAAAAUUUUAUAGAUGAGUGUAUAUUAAGAUGUUCAAAGUAUUAGGACAUAAUGAAUAUUAUCCUCAACCUCAAGAGAAACAUAUCAAUAAAAUAUACAAAAAUAGAAUGCAUUAGUACAUGUCAAUAAGAAGACCAAUUAGAUCAUGUCAUAUUUGUUAUGUGGUUAUUUUUAAAUUAAGAAAAGGAACAAUGAUGGUUUUACAAAGUUUGAAUAUAAAAUUUAUAAUCUAAAAUUAAUGAUAACGUGUUAUUAAGCUAAUAGAGUAAGAAGUCCCNNNNNNNNNNNNNNNNNNNNNNNNNNNNNNNNNNNNNNNNNNNNNNNNNNNNNNNNNNNNNNNNNNNNNNNNNNNNNNNNNNNNNNNNNNNNNNNNNNNNUUAGCUAUAGAGUAGAGUCCCAAAUGCAUGUACAUCAUAUCUUGGUAAGAAAUUGGUUCUACCCAAAAUACUUCUUUGUAUUGAAAUCAAUGAUGAUUGCUUGUUUAAAUCAUGAAAGUUAAAAUAAUUUUGUAAAUCAUUUCAUUCUUUAAUUUACGGUAUAAAAAUAAAUUAAAAAAAUGUUAAUUUCUCCCAUACUUUUAGGACUCAAAAAAUAACAAAAAGUCUUAACAUAUUUAAUGGUUAUAUAUAAAUCAUCCGUAUGUAUUUUUCUUGAGAGAAGCUCAAUUCGAUAGGCAAUGCUCCCCAUAGUUUUCUUUUCUAAUUAGAUAAAAGAACAAAAGAAAUUGAUUACAAUAAUUCACGGCGAAGUCACCUUGGUCUACCUGAUAUAUAUUACAGAGGUAAGCUUCUUUUUAAUGCCAAACUAGAAUAACAAACUUUAAUUUACUUCUUAAAGGGUAAAAACCUCAAUUUGUCCUUAUAUUUGUUCAAAAGAUACAUUUUGUCUUCUUAAUAUAAACAAGUUAAAUUGAUGUUUCACAUCUUUUAGAAAUAAAUUAAAAAUUGUUAUUCUAAGUAGGAGGUAAAUUUCAAAUAAAACAUGUGUUCAUAUGAUAGAUGUGCAUUUUACAAUAAUUAAUAAACAAAAAGGGUAGUGAUAUUUUCACCCUGCAAUUUUUGUAAAUCCACCCCCACUCCCAAGAAAUAAUUACAAUAAAUUCACAUAAUUUUUUAAAAACUCAAUAAAGAAAAUUUUUGGAGAUUUAAACUAUUAUAUACAAGAGGAUAGGAGUAAACAUUUUUCAUGCAGUAUAAAAAGAAUGGUGACACUCCUUUUCUUUCGGUAUUUUCGCACAAAAGCACGCUUAAUAACUGAUCAAAAUUAUUUCUCCUUUUCUUUGAUCGCUGAUUCGCUUCCCCUCUCCUGGAGCUGCUGAACUCCUUUGUUGCUGAUGAAGUGAACAGGUGAGGCUUUUCAAAUGACCACAAUAUGUAUAAAGACGAACUAAUUACACUAUCAGUGGCUCAAGGUUACCUUAAUGCAGAAGAGGGCAAAGAGAUGGAGAUUCGAUUCGAUUCGAUAAUAGUAGUUUAUUUUAAUUUUUAUUCAUUUAAUUUCAUAGCAGAAAUUUUUAUUUUCAUUUUUUUGUUGAAAAUUGGUAAAAACGAACUAAAAUGAGAUAAUUACAUUAAAACAAUCUUCAAUGACUAAAGUAAUUUGAAAAAAUAAAAAUAAAAAUAAACAAGCUCAAAAUUUACCCCUAAUCCGAACAUUAUCCGAAUUCAGCCUAAUUGACCCAAAUCUAAUUGUAAUCCAAACUUGACAUGACCCGCAAAUAAUUAUAACUCGAUCAGAUCCAAACUCAACCUGAAUUUUUAAUUCAAUACGAUCCAAUCCAAAUAUUCCAACCCCAUCAAAUUGAAACUUGAUCGGGUUGAUCCGAACCCGAAUUUGCCACUUCCGGAGGAGACCAUGACCCUAAAAGCUUUGAAAUAAUCUUUGCGGUUUCUUAAUGAAAUAUUAAAAGUUAUGUGCAAAAAGACUGAUUUGACCCUAGAAUACAUGAUAUAUAAAUUUCAGACAUUAUAUUCUGUGAAAUAAAGUCAAAGUAAACUGGUCGUUUGAUUUUUUAUUAAUUAUUUUCCAUUAAGACAAAAUGACAAAUAGACUUUUUUAAAAGUUUAAUAAAGUUUGGGCCUAACUCCUUGAUUUUUAUUUUUUAAUUAUUUUUCAUUUUGUUUUUUACUUGCAACAUUAGCUUUAAUUAUCAAUCAGUCUCCAAAUCAAAAUGACUGAAACCUGUAGCUACAAGCAAAAUUCUCAAAUUUUGAAAUUUCUAACGACUACUUAAUAGCUAUAAAUAGAAAAAUCAUCUAAAAUUAAUCCUCCUUCAGAGGCAGAUUAAAUUCUUAGUAAUUUCAUAUAAUUUCAUUUCAUCAGAACAAUUUUUCAAAAGCAAUUUUAUAAAUGGUUGUCGAAAGCUUUAUCCCUUAAUCAUAUUUCACGUAUUUUCUUUGUAAUAUGAGGCGCGUCCAUAGACCAUAGUAUGAUAUUUAUUGUAAUUAAAAUCAUUAUGGAACUGAUUUUAUUCUUGUUUCUCAAACAAAGUAUCUAACUGCAGAUGUAAUAAAUUACUAAUUGCCAUUAUUUGAGUCGCGCUCUUUGAAUUCGAUCUUGGAGUUUCAAAUGACCAAAUGAAUUAGUAAGAUAAUGGCUUUUCGUUCCGAGAGCUAUGCUAAGAAAAAGCAGGGAUGAUCAGAACAAAUAGUGUGUUGUGAUUGUUUUGUGUGUGUGUGUGUGUGUUUUUUUUUUAAGUUUUAUUUUGUUUAAUUAAGAAGGGUUAUGAUCUGUUCAUUGCAAUUGACAGAGAUGUUUUCAGUUGCCUAGACUUCGUAUUUUCAGUUUUAGUAAUACAUGUCGUUUUUCACCACAUUUGUUUAGUCUCUCCCUUUUAAAUCCCCUCACACACAAAAAAUUAGGAUUUGUAUUUUGUAAACUAAUAUUUUUCAUUUUGUUAAUGUAUUAAUUAUUAUUAUCUACAUUUAUGUGAUAGGGCACAUGCCACAUAAACUAAAAUUAAGUUAUAAAAUUUUGCAGCCCCUGAGCACUCAAUGUUUGUAGGCACAAGUUCAAGUCCCACCAUUUGUUAGGAUUUAAAUAAAGAACAUUAUAACCAUGCGUCCAAGAACUUAAAGUUAGCUUAAGUGCAUGGAUUCGAGUCCUAGUUAUUGUUGAAAUUCGAUUUCCUUUCUAAUUAAAUUAAGUAAGGGUAAAAUUAUCUCUCAAUUAAUAAAGACAGAGUAGAUAUCUCUCUUGAUUUUCCUCCCAAUUAAAUUAGUUAGAAGUAAAAUUAUCUCUCGAUUAGUAAGAGUAGAAUAAAUAUCUCUUUAGUAUUAUGCAAGGGUAGAAUUUUGGGUUGUACCAUGUUAGAAUUAUCAAGGAUAGUUUUGAUAGAAUUCUAAUUGUAAUAUAUAAGUGUAUAAAAAAAAUGAACAUUAAUGAAAGAUGUUUAGGUAAGGACUAUCUUGGAAUAGAAUUUUGAUUGUAAUAUAUCAAUAUAUAAAAAGAAAUUUAUGAAAAAUGUUUAACAAGGACUGUUUUGAUAUUUUAAUGAGUAGUAAAAAUUAAUGUUAAAAUUUGAUAGAACUUAUAUAAAUAAUCCUAGCUCUAAUAAAAUUUUGCUACAUAAUUAGUUUAUCCCUUAAAGAAACAUAUCAAAAAAAUAUACAAAAACACAAUGCAUGAGUACAUGUCAAUCACAAAUGAAAGCAAUUAAGAUAAAGAAUAUGAUUUAUUUUAUUUUAUUUUAGUUAUUUUUUUGUUUCUUUUGAAACAAGACCAAUUAGAUCAUGCAAGAAGUAAUUUUUUUUAAAAAAAUAAAAAAAGGACAAAUGAUGAAACCCACGUCUAAAGAUGCCGUUGUCGCGGAGGCCUAGAUCUCACUACACCCCAUCCCCUUCUACCAUAUUUUAUAAUUGAAGAGGUCAUUAUUGAAUUGAAAAAUUAUGAUUCAAAAAUCCAAAAGUAGAAAAAGAAAAGCAAUUGUUGGAAACACACUCGGAGUUUUAAAUUGACAUGAGAAAAGAAUAUAUUCAUCAACCUCAUACGUUAAAGAUGCGACGAGUUUAAGAAUAUAUUCCUAACGUGUGGGAAUUUAAAGAUGUUACUACAAAACAUGUGUUCGUCGGUGGAGUAGAAUCAGGGAAAUUAAAGAUGCUACUACAACCACUAACGUGUGGGUGGAGAUAAGCAUAACUUUUUUCAUCAAAUGCCAAAUCCCCCCAGGUGGAGAGUGGGGACUCCUUCGCAUAAAUGUUGAUAAAAUUUUGACUAUGAUGUUAUUAGAAAUUAGGGAAAACUUAUGGUGCAACUGUGAUAUCGUGUCAUAGUUGUAUCCAGCCGUUGGAUGUCAAUGGACUCUACCCAUACAAGUGUAUCCAACGGCUGGAUGUAAUUAUGGCACGGUACCACAGUUGCAUCGUAGCCGGACCCUAAAAAUUAAGAUAUUCUCUCUCUACGUAUGUCUGCACGAAAUAAUAUGCAAAUAUAGUAUUUUAGUUUAUUAUUAAUAGUUUUACAAUAAUAAAAAUCAUUUUGAUAGACAGGAAAAUGUCAUAUUCGCAUUUUAUUUUGUACGGACGUCUGCGAGAAAGAACAUAUAUAUAUAUAUAUAGAGGAACGUGUAUUUAAGAUUUAGCUAGUGUGAAGUUGGGAAAUUUUUUUUUUUGAACCCAAGCUAAAAUUAUUUCAAUAAAUUUUGAUCAUGGAGACUAACAAGAUUUUUUUAGUUAUAUUUAUUAAUUUUUUAGGGACUAAUAAAUUUUGAUCAUGGAGACUAAUAAGAUUUUUUAGUUAUAUUUAUUAAUUUUUUAGGGACUAACAUGAAUAUUAAUAAUUUUAUUGAGAUUAUUAAAAAAACAAUGUGCUAUUUUACAUCUAUGACUUUUCCAAUCUUUUUUUCUUUCGUUAUUUAUUCCUUUGUGAAUUUUAGUUAAUGCUUGAUAUUAUUUUUUUGCUCAUUUUUUAAAGUAGUAAUUAAAUCUGAACCCUUACAGUAGAAGAUUAUGAAAAAGUAAAGACACAAAAAUCAUAAAAAUCAUUAGUAGGUCCAAAUUUGUGCUAUUUUCAUACAUAACUUGAGAAUAUUUAUAAUUACGCAUCAGAACUAGUGGAGUAGAAUCAGGGAAAUUAAACAUUCUACAAUCAUUGACGUGUGGGGUGGGGAUAAGCAUAAACAUUUUCUAUGCAGUAUAAAAGAAUGCAAUAACUCCUUUCUUUCAUAUCUUCGCAACAAAAGCACAUCUAAUAACUCUUCAGAAUUCUCGUCUUCUUUGUCAGAAUGGUUGAUGCGAUCGUUUCCUCUCUCCUGGAGCAGCUGAUCUCUGUUGCGGCUGAUGAAGUGAAACAACAGGUGAGGCUUGUGACUGGUGUCCGAGAAGAAGUGAAAAAGCUUACCAGCAAUCUUCAAGCCAUUCAACUUGUGCUGGAAGAUGCAGAGAAAAGGCAAAUGCAGGACGACAAAGCUGUUACUUUUUGGCUGGAUCAGCUCAAAGGCGCAUCUUACGACAUGGAAGAUGUGUUGGAGGAGUGGACCACUGCAAGGCUCAAAUUGCAGAUUGAGGGCCUUGACGAUGACAAUACUCUUGCUCUUCCUGCUCAUAAGAAGAAGGUAUGUUCCUUCUUUCCUUCUGCCUCAAACUGCUUCGGUAGUUUCAAAAAACUCAGUCUUCGUCAUGACAUUGCAGUCAAGAUUAGAGAGAUCAAUAAAACGCUGGAUGAUAUUACCUCUCAAAAAGAUAGGUUUAAAUUUGCUGAGAAUGUGAGUAACAAUGUCAAGAAGCCAGAGCGAGUGGGAACCACCUCCUUGGUUGAUGAGGGAGAGGUUUGCGGUAGAGUUGAUGAGAAAAAUGAGCUCUGCAAGUUGUUGUGCGAAAGUAGUGAACAACAACAAGGCUUUCAUGUCAUUUCACUAGUUGNNNNNNNNNNNNNNNNNNNNNNNNNNNNNNNNNNNNNNNNNNNNNNNNNNNNNNNNNNNNNNNNNNNNNNNNNNNNNNNNNNNNNNNNNNNNNNNNNNNNNNNNNNNNNNNNNNNNNNNNNNNNNNNNNNNNNNNNNNNNNNNNNNNNNNNNNNNNNNNNNNNNNNNNNNNNNNNNNNNNNNNNNNNNNNNNNNNNNNNNNNNNNNNNNNNNNNNNNNNNNNNNNNNNNNNNNNNNNNNNNNNNNNNNNNNNNNNNNNNNNNNNNNNNNNNNNNNNNNNNNNNNNNNNNNNNNNNNNNNNNNNNNNNNNNNNNNNNNNNNNNNNNNNNNNNNNNNNNNNNNNNNNNNNNNNNNNNNNNNNNNNNNNNNNNNNNNNNNNNNNNNNNNNNNNNNNNNNNNNNNNNNNNNNNNNNNNNNNNNNNNNNNNNNNNNNNNNNNNNNNNNNNNNNNNNNNNNNNNNNNNNNNNNNNNNNNNNNNNNNNNNNNNNNNNNNNNNNNNNNNNNNNNNNNNNNNNNNNNNNNNNNNNNNNNNNNNNNNNNNNNNNNNNNNNNNNNNNNNNNNNNNNNNNNNNNNNNNNNNNNNNNNNNNNNNNNNNNNNNNNNNNNNNNNNNNNNNNNNNNNNNNNNNNNNNNNNNNNNNNNNNNNNNNNNNNNNNNNNNNNNNNNNNNNNNNNNNNNNNNNNNNNNNNNNNNNNNNNNNNNNNNNNNNNNNNNNNNNNNNNNNNNNNNNNNNNNNNNNNNNNNNNNNNNNNNNNNNNNNNNNNNNNNNNNNNNNNNNNNNNNNNNNNNNNNNNNNNNNNNNNNNNNNNNNNNNNNNNNNNNNNNNNNNNNNNNNNNNNNNNNNNNNNNNNNNNNNNNNNNNNNNNNNNNNNNNNNNNNNNNNNNNNNNNNNNNNNNNNNNNNNNNNNNNNNNNNNNNNNNNNUAGAAAAGAAUGUUUGUGGGUAGAAAUUAAUGGUACCAAAGAAUCAGUCAUAAACUCUUUUGGUGACAAAGUCCAUCACUUAGGGUUAAAGUUUGAAGAAGGCGCUUCAUUUCCUAUGUCCAUUCAUGGACUUAAUAGAUUGCGUACCCUCUUAAUUUAUGACCAAAGUCCUUACAAUCCGUCUCUUAGUAGUAGCAUCCUUCCGGAGUUAUUUAAUAAAUUGGCGUGUUUAAGGGCAUUAGUUAUAAGGCAAUCGUACUUAUUAUUUUUGUAUCCUGAGGCAAAUAGGAUUAGAGAAAUUCCAGAAAAUGUCAGAAAAUUGAUACAUUUAAAAUAUCUUAAUUUGUCUGAAUUACACAUAGAGAGACUGCCUGAGACUUUGUGUGAAUUAUAUAAUUUACAAAAGCUAGAUAUUAGGCGGUGCCCAAAUCUUAGGGAAUUACCUGCGGGGAUUGGGAAGUUAAUGAACAUGAGGAGUUUACUGAAUGCUGAAACUCGUUCGUUGAAGUACAUGCCAAUAGGGAUUUCCAAAUUAACCAGUCUUCGAACAUUAGAAAAGUUUGUUGUGGGUGGAGGUGUUGAUGGUGGCAGCACGUGUAGGCUUGAAUCUCUGAAAAAUCUUCAACUCCUUCGUGAAUGUAGAGUAAAAGGGCUGAGUAAUGUAUCGCAUGUAGAUGAGGCUGAGAGGUUACAACUUUACAAUAAGAAAAACCUCCUUCGUUUGGGUCUUCAGUUUGGUAGAGUCGUAGAUGGGGAAGGCGAAGAAGGGAGGAGGAAGAAUGAGAAAGAUGAACAACUUCUUGAAGCCUUACAACCGCCUUUGAAUGUAGAGGAAUUAGAGAUUGAAUCCUACCGAGGCAACAUUUUUCCCAAAUGGUUGAAUUCACUAACCAAUCUAAGGAAUUUAUAUCUUUCCUCGUGUUUUAACUGUGAGCAUUUGCCUCCUUUGGGAAAAUUACCUCUGGAAAAACUCGAAAUCAUCCACUUGAAAAGUGUAAAAAGAGUGGGUAAUGAGUUUUUGGGAAUAAAAGAAAGCAGUGAGGAUGAGCCGUCUUCAUCUUCAUCAUCAUCAUCAGUUACUGCCUUCACCAAAUUGAAAUCUCUCAAUAUUUGGGACAUGGAAGAAUUGGAAGAGUGGAAUUACAGGAUUACGAGGAAGGAAAACAUCUCCAUCAUGCCCCGUCUUUCUUCCUUAACAGUUGGUUCUUGCAACAAAUUAAAGGCGCUGCCGGAUUACCUUCUUCAAACGACGGCACUACAGAAACUGAAUAUUAAUUGUUGUGAAAAUUUGGAAGAACUGCCCAUUCUAGAAGAUCACAGGACAACAAGUGUAGUCUGUUCCUUGAUGAUUUUGGAUUGCCCCAAAAUAAAGGUGCUGCCGGAUUACCUCCUUCGAACGACGACACUGCAGGAAUUGACAAUUGUGGGAUGUCCUCUUCUACAAGAACAUUAUAGAGAAGACUGGCAUAAGAUAUCUCACAUUCCCCACAUCAUGGUGCCGGUAAUUUCUCCUCCUCCGAUUUACUUCGUUGUUGCUUGCAAUAAAAUGAAUAAAAAUAAUUAUAUCUUUAAUUCUAUAUAGAAUCAAUCAUGGUAUAAAUAUGUAAAACUUCCUAGUUAUCAAAUCUGUUAAACUUGUUUCCUAAAGAUUAAAUAAAAAAAAAAACAAGUGUAGUCUGUUUAAAUUCGAUAAUUACUUUUAAAAAAAUAUGUGCUCUUUUGUAAAAUUUCAUGCAAUCUCAUAGAAAAUCCCAAUGCAAUUUAGUUUUUAAUGUACAAAAAUUUGUUAUGUGUAACUUCCUGAGAAACAAAAUCUCUGUGAUACAUUUGCAGUAAUGUUGAAAACUAAAUUAUCAAUUUUGCCUUGCAUACUGAUAAUCGUAUUUUUUUAUAUAUAAUUUAUGUGACAAUAAUUCGUUAAAGUAAUUGUGUAAUUGUUUUUAGUAGUACAUUAGCCCACUUUGUUUUAUUUCAUACGAGUUUAAUUAUGUUCAUCAGGGACUCGAGGAAAUGUCAGAACUACACUAGCAAUUCACAUCGUCAUCAUCGUCAUCAUCGGUUACUGCCUUCCCCAAGUUGAAAGCACUCAAAAUUAAUUAUUUGGAUGAACUGGAAGAGUGGAAUUACAGGAUUAGGAGGAAGGAAAACAUCUCCAUCAUGCCACGUCUUUCUUCCUUGUGGAUUCGGUAUUGCCCCAAACUAAAGGUGCUGCCGGAUUACCUUCUUCAAUUGACGACACUGCAGAAAUUAAGGAUUGAGCUAUGUCCUCUUCUGGAAAACCGUUAUAGGGAGGCGAAAGGAGAAGAUUGGCAUAAGAUAUCUCACAUUCCCCACAUCGAGAUAUCACCCGACGGUAAUUUCUUCUCCUCCUCUGAUUUACUCUGUUGUUGCUUGCAAUGAAAUUAAUAAAAAUAAUUAUAUUAUGAAUUAAAAUUCUGUAUAUUGCCAAUGUGUGACAGGAAUAUAUUAUAUAUUUCUAAUAUUUUGAUUUGCAUAUUGAAUUUAACUAUUUACUUCAGCCAUUAAUUUGCCAAUAAUUUAAUGGGUCACUCUAUGAUGCUGUUAUAAAAAUUAUAAAACCAAUCAUGGUAUAAAUAUGUACGGUUUGAUUUAAUCAAUAGUUCAUAAAUUUAAAAGUUAGUUAGGAUAAUAUUUUAAUUUUAUUUAUUUAAAAUUUAAACUUCUUAGUUAUCAAAUCUGUUAAACUAAUUUUCUAAAGAUUAAAUUAUUAAAAAAACUGUAAUCUGUUGAAAUUCCUAUAUUUUCUUUUAAAAAAUAAGUAGACUUUUAUAAAAUUUCAUACAACAUCAUGGAAAAUCCUAAUGUAAUUUAUUUUUUAAUGUACCAAAAUUUAUCAUGUGUAACUUCCUGAGAGACAAAAUCUCUGUGAUACAUUUGCGGUAACGUUGAAAACUAAAUUAUCAAUUUUAUCUUGUAUAAUGAUAAUCGUAUUUUUUUGUAUAUAAUUUAUGUGACAUUAAUUCUUUAAAGUAAUUGUGUAAUUUUUUUAGUAGUACAUGAGCCCACUUUGUUUUAUUUCAUACGAGUUUAAUUAUGUUCACCAGGGAUUCGAGGAAAUGUCCGGUCCAAUCUAAUUUCGUUUUAAUGAUGCAGGCAGGAGAGUAUGCUAAGAAAAUGAAAAGUUUAGCCAAAGGAUUGCUAAAAUGUUCUACAGGUAAUUCACUUGAUUUAUUUUAUAGAAUUUCAUUUCCAUCUUCUUCUAUUGAUAUCUUGUUGUGAAUAUACAAGAACAAAGAAGUAAAGAUAUAUCAAAAUUUACUAUUACGAUGAUGCUAAGGCAAGCUCAAGCUCAAGCAUUGCAUUUUAUAUUUUAUUUAGUUAAUAUAAUUUUCAUUUCCACCUGCAUUUCAUUUUUUGGUUGACUUUGAAGACUCUAUGGAGAACAUUGGGGUAACCAAGGAUUAUCACUGUGGUUAUUGUGCAACGUUUGGUUGCUGGACUUUGAAGAAGGAAGUGAUGGCCGGGUCUGCUCUGUUUCAAUUGAGGAUGGGUAGCUGCCUGAAAGACAUGAUGAUUAUUAUUGCGUGAUGUUAAGGUGCUGAGAUCAUCAUUGCUAUCUUGUUUCAUUCUUGGAAUCAUUUAUCCUGUAUAAACAUUUGUUUUAACAAAUGUUUCAAUGCCUGCUGUAGUAACAAUUUCAUAUCUUGCAUCUCUCGGGUGCAUCGUGAUCACGGGUUUGAGAAAGCAUUUGUGGUAAAGCUUCAAAGCUUGUACAAUGGCUGUGAAAAGGCACAUUCAAUUCGGUACGUUUGGUGCGGUCUCCUAAUGCUACUACCAUAUUUUGUAUAGCAAUUAAAAUUCAGGUAUACAAUCUUAAUAUGCAAUAAAUCAUUGAGUACAAAGUUAUCUAUUAAUUAUAUGGUAACUGAAAUUUUCAUUAUAAUUUUAAUUACAUAUUAAUAUUAAAAUUUUUUGUAACCCUCUUUUACUUUGCUUGUACAGAGUACCUGUUUUGGCUGAUAUGUCUAAUUCGUAGAAAUUCAUUUCCAUCGGUUUCCAUUGGUUUUAGCACAAACAGAAACAGAAAUCUGGGAAAAAGUUUUACUUCUUCUGGUAUUAUGCCUUUAUUUAUUCAUUCAUCAUAUUUGUUCGAAUUCAUGCUCUCAUUCAGAGAGCAGCCUUUUCCAGGCUACUUUGUAGCCAAAUUUUCAUGCCAUCGAUGCAUGAUUGUCAUUUAGAUUUUCCAAAUAAUUGUUAGAUUGAAGAAGAAUAAGAAGAUAUUGUUAAAAGGGUAUUUAAUUAGCACCCUCUGAAUUUAGUUGCCAAUAAUGCAUUGAAAUGGUUGGGGAAAGUUAUUGUCUCAAUUAAAUUACAGGUGACAAGAUGCUGCUCCAAUUUUGCAAGCAUCUCGUGUUUCGAGAUUUUGCCCACAUGAGAUGCUAUGAUUUUUGACAUCAGGGUAACAAAGGUCAAAUUUUAGCAUCAAUAGAUAUCAUCUUCUUUACUGUUCUGCUCGAAAUAUUAAACUUUAGGCAAGUUGUUUUUGUUUGUGUGAGUUAUCAGGUUAAGGAUACUAAGCAGCUUAUUAAGGCAAAUGUCAGAAUGAAGAUUUUUCACCGCACCUGGUAUGAAUGAUGGCGAGGAAGAUUAAUUGUUCACAAGCCAAUUUGAUCAGUGUUAGAUUCUUUUGCCUCCCUUCGAGAGAUAUCAUCAUCAAAUUUGAGAAGAGAGUUUUGUUUUGACAUUUCACUGUAGUGAAUUUUGGGAGCUUGAACCCACUUCAGUGAAAUAUUAGGGAAUACUGGGGAUAUGGGUUAUGAGUGAUCGUUAUCCUUCAAAUAUUUGUAAGCUCUCACUUGUUAGUAAAAUCAUCUUCGUAUAUUGACUUUGUUUCUUUGUUGUCAGGCCGAGUGUGAUCUUCAAGGUUUGAGAAAGUCUUCGCAGUAAAAUUUCCACCACGUGCAAUUGCUGUGAAGGGGCAUAUACAUUUGAGUAAUUCAGUUUCAGAUUUUCAAGGCGCGUUUGUUUAAUUAGUUUCGAUUAUAAUAUUUAGUCACUCAUUCUGAAUCUUUUCUAAUUUUCAAGUUCUUUAGGGCCGCCGACAGUUUUUUAAGUCUACAUGUGGUUGCAAAAAGAUUGAUGGUCAUCAAAUUAUCUUGAGCCUUGAGGCAUUGCGUUCGAGCACAAAAGGAAACAGAACUAAGGGAAAUGAAGACAGUAGGAGAUGCUCUGAAUAUAACAAAAGUAUAUUUCUACUUCUUGUGGUUAUUUUAAUUUUGUUUCUCCUGUCAUCAUAUUUAAUUAAUUCGUUUGAAUUCACACUCUCACACAUUAUUUAAAACCAUCUGCAGGUGGUUUGCAAGCUAGCUAAGUUAAUCCAAAAACAAUACUCUAGACAAAGAUGAGCAAAUUGAAGGCGACAAAUGCAAAUUGGAUUUCCAUGAAUAAUUGUUAGGCUGGUGGAGAUAUUCUUAAAAGGGCAUUAAGCUAUCUUAUGGAAUUGGAAAGUUAUUAUUGCUUGAAAGCAAGCAGCAUCUUCGUUGCGAAGGCUUUCCCCACCUGAUAAAAUGCUGAGAUUGUUACCGGCCCCUUAAUUAUUUAUUAACUCAGGUAUUUAUUAUCAAUACAUCAUCUUAUUCACCAUUUUGGCUAUAUAUAAAGAUUAAAAUUUCUAACAGUUGUUUCGGAUUCUUGUGUACUCAGGUUAAUAGGGCAAAUAUCAGAAUGAAGAUUGCUCAGUGCAACCGAUAGAGCAAGGAUGAUAGUUGUGAGAAAGAUUGUUGGCAAGACAAAUAGAGUCCUCCAUUUGGAGAAAUAUCAUCCUCAAAUUUGAAUUGUCGAGCAUGUGAGGUGAAGCUAAAGCCUUAAUAAUGAGACCUUCCUGUGGAAGUUUCAUUUGAAUGAAUUGAACGUUCUUAGUGAGUGAGAAAUUAAGUAUAUAUCAGCGAUUUUGGUCGUCUGUGAAUGUUUCCCUUCAAUAUUAAUACACUGGCAUUUCUUAGUAAAUUCGCUUCACGUCACUUCCUCCUUGUUGGUGGGACUAGUAAACAAAUGUCAUUUCUUAGUACAUUUUGAGAAUUUUGAUUCCCAAAUAAGCCUGCAGAACGGUGUAUGGUGGGAUUAGCUGCAGGAUUCUUUGCCAAAAUUCCUUUUUAUUCCUUUGUUCACUUAUUCGUUAUAAAUAAAGUAAAAUUAGAAUAUUGUUCCGUUUACUGUCUAAGCUGGUCUAACAUUUGUUUAAUUUGGGCAAUUUUUAAUGCCUAACAGGUUAUCUGUGACAAACCCAUCGGUCACUAACAAUUUUGAAGUUAUUGGAGUAGCACGGCUUUGAGGUCUCUCCCUCCCUCUUUUACGUAUUUGUCUAUCGAUCGACAUGUCUAUAUAUACAUUGAUAGACCAACUUACUCUUGUUUUAAUGUUUUGUUUGUUAAACUUGACUGGGGAAUGUUUAUUUGUCUCAUAUGAUGUCAAUGUGGUUCCAAUUGAAGUGUAUAGAUCUGUCACCUCAAAGUCUGAUUUCAAUUUUCCUUUACUUCAUCAACUAGCAUCCUUUCCAAGUCCAGAUACUUACCAAUAGUGAGACUUUGCUACGGAAGUACAAUUUCUCUUGUUUUACAGUUAAUUAUGUAAGAAUAGUUUUAAAUUUACAGAAUUUUGAAAUAGCUCUCUUAAGGAAAUGCGAGUGGUGAAUAUGGUUCCAACUUUUAAUAGGCUUAAUAGGCCCAUUUGUUAAGCCACAGUGAUUGCGGUCUAAAUUCUUCUUUACUGUCUAUAUGUGUUGGAGUUUGUCUAUUGUCCAACUUCUCAAAUCGAUUCCAUGCAGGGUUUUGAAUGUCUAAUUAGGAGAAAGAUUAACGGAUGACCUUUUGAAGAAGGCUUACACAACAGGCCAUCUCAGGAUGUCAUGGCUCAGCUCAAAAGUCCCCAGGUGGUUAAUGACAAUGUGCCAUUGUUUCUGGGCUUGGUCUCCUUGGCAUCAAACAAGAUAAUGUUGACUCUAUUAAAGGGGAAAUAAGGGCGACUAAAGCGCGAAGAAAGAGGAUAGUCCGGAGGAAGGUGACUGCAUAAAUUUGUUGGAGUUAAUGUAGUCAAUUGCCUAAUUUUGCUGCCUGUCGAAGAGACACAUCAUGGAAGUCCUCAUCAAACUCUGAGACACCUAAGAAAUAGUAUGAGGUGGUGGUAUUCCCCUGGUGUUAAUUUCCUGGCAAGUGUGGUUCACAGAUAGAGGGAUUCUUUUCUUGAUGUCUAAAUACCGUAUGUGAUACAACGUCGUAUAUUCUAAUUUUCCUUGAGUUAAAUUCUAGUCAGUUAGGAAAGUUAAUUUUGUUUUCGCUAUGGAUUGUUUCCUAGAUAAAAAUAGUUUCCAUGUUUCUUUGGGGUCUUAUUAACUCUCUGUAACCCAGUUCAAGUUUGCAAAUUCUAUUUCAGAUUUCUCAUAUAGUGUGCCUUUGUCACUUCUGUGAUACACUUUUGAUCACAAGUUUCCAUUUGAAGUAACCAAUAUUCUUUAUAGACUAAUUAUCUAAGGAUUAUUUUAUACAAAAAAUCAAAACUUUAAUUAAUUGAUCAUACUUAACUUGGCUUUUGUUUGAUAUUACUAGCUGUUGUGAGAACCAAAAAAAUAGCAGAAAGUUGACAAUGUGCAGUAAAUGUAUGACUUUUAAAUAAUAAUUUAAUAAAAUUAAUAAAGAUAUUAUAAAUUUUUUAAUAAUAAAGUAUGAGAUCAAAUCAAAUUAAUUUUUAAGUCAAAAUUGUUUAAUUAUGUAGUUUAAAAGUAUAGUAUCCAACCUCAACACAAUAGAGAGAUUUCUAUUUACCAAACUCUACCCAACUUUGGUUGUACUGACUCGAUCAUGCAAGUCCAUACUCGACGCGUUGACCAUACAAGAUGUUACUCAACUUUAACAAAUCUUACUCAAACUUUGCACGUUUAGCAUGCCGAAUGGAAUAUGAUAGUAGAUGAUGUGAUAGAUAUUAUAGGAAUAGUCGUAACAAAAUUAUAUUUAGUACUUUUUUAUAUUUUAUGUGAUGAACAGAUGUAGUAUAUGAAUGGAUUAUAUUACAAAUUUUAGUGUUAUCAUAAUUAAAAAAUUGAAUUAUUUUUUAUUAUUGAAAAACUGUAAUAUGUUAAAUAACAGUUAUUUUUAUUAAUUUUUUUUAAUGAAUUAUACUUUUAAAUUAUAAUCGAAAAUUCUUAUUACUGAACUAAUAAAAAAUUAAUUAGCUCAAGAGAUAAAUUCACUUAGUGUAGAACGAAAUGGUGUGUUAUUUUUAUGUGGGAUCCACAUCCUUUCCACAUCAACCUCAACAUCCAAACAUGAAAUUGGACUAAAAAUAGUUCUUUCCCAUGUAUUUACGUAACCUCCUCCCACUAAACGCAAAUAUUUAUUCUUGAUUUUACUAACAUAAUUUUCUCCCAUUUCCAUAUUGUCCGCGUUGAGUGCAUGUAAUCCACAAGUUUAAUUAAUUUUUUUUUUUUUGAGAGAGGUAUGUUAAAAUGAAUAUAUCACAUUUUUUUCUUUUUUCCUUUUUUUUGCGUGAGUGAUGGCUUCGUUGAAUGACAGUUGGCUGAUAAUAAGUUAUCUUUUAAUUUUGUUUUUGAUUUAAUAGAAACUAUUAAUUUUUGUAGUUUCGGUAGAUGAAAUUUCGAAUCAAAUAUUAAUAUUGUUAAAGUACGCAACCCAAUAUUUACUUAAAUUACAAAAAAGAUUAAUUGCUUUGCAUAAAAAAGAAGUGAUCACUUGAUUUAACUUCCUUUACUAAAUUUACGAUUUAAAAUCCAAAAUAAAAAAAAGAGUUUAUUAUUGAUUAUCUUUUUCCCAAAUUUAAGCUAAGACAGUAAUAUGUCCAAAAUACCCUCCACGUUAUCCUAAAACUUUAUGAAUUCCCCCGUUCCUCUCAACAUCAUCUCUUCCAAAUCUUUCUUCCCCAAAAAACCAGCCAUGGCUUCAUAUUUAGUUACCUCAACACUCCAAUAUUGGCUUGUAAACAGCAGCGGUUCAACCUCUAGGCAACUUAGGUGGUUGCAUAGGACUCCGCUUUAUAUGAAAGCCCUACAAGAUGAUUAUUUUGUAUAUAAAAGAGGAAAAUGAAUUUAAAAGUCAUUAUUAUUCAUUUAAUUUAUUAUUAUUUUGUAAUUAUCUUUUUCUAAAUAAACUAUCAAAUUCUUAUCAAGUUUAUUUAAUGUAGUACUUAAUUGUUUUAAUUUCUACAAAACCAAUAAAUUAAUAGUUUCAAUCCUAAAAAUUCUCUAUUUCAUUGUUAGAAUUAAUAAGUUAUAUUUCAAAAGUUUUAUAUUUAUUUUAAACCUCUAUAAAAACCCCACAUUUUAUUACUUAUCCAUUAAAUUUUUCGUUCAACAAUCAAGACAUCUUGGUGUUUGAGAGAAAGAAAGAGAGAGGGAAAAAAAUCUUGCUUCCUCUACUUUCUACUCUAGAAGAAAAAGAAAAAAUCAAAUAUUUUUCUCUAUUUUCUAUGACUAUUGGUUGCUACUCAAAUUUUCAAACAACAGCCUUAAUAUAAACAUAAGUUAAUUUAUGAUUUCAUCUCAAAUUUCUGAUUUUAUCUUUUUAUUAUUCUCUUAAUUAAUUGUGUUGUUAUUUGUUCUUAUUUCUUUUUAUAUAUUCUUUUCUUCAUCUACUUUUUUUGUGCUUGUUUUAUCUAUUUUGAAAUAAAACUAUAUCAAAAAAUUUUAGACAAUAGGAGAAUAAAAAAAUUAGAUUAAUUUAAAAAAAUAGUAAAAAAGAUAUAAUUUAACUUAAAAAAAAGUGAAAAUGUUAUAAUUGAAUUAAAAUUUUAUGACUUAACAACAAUAGAAUAAAUUUGUAUUUAAUAAUUUUAUAUUUUAAAGUAUUUAAAGAAUUAAUUUUUAAUAAAUAAUAUUAAUAUAUAUAUAUAUAUAUAUAUAUAUAUAUAUAAGUUACUUAUCUCUCCAUCCGCACUUACCUCUCCCUCACAUUCAUCCUCAACCACACAUCAACAUCAACAUCAACAUCACCUCUCAUUGGACCCCACAUCCUCAAGCCCAUCACAGCCGUCCAUAACCUCACCCUCCUCCUCCUCUCCCUCAUCAUGGCCGUUGUUUGCCCUCUCUCCAUCAUCCUCCAUUUACCGCACCUCCGUUACACCCUCUGUUUCCUCCUUACCAUUUCUCCGUCUGGCACGGCCUAAUUCCGACGGAAUCAACGACGGUCGUGAUGGGUUUUGGCUGCGACUAUUCGCGCUUCAAACGGCGGCGUUUCGGUUGGUUUUUGGCGACAGUGACGGUGGGAAAGUGAUGGCUGGCUCAGGAGCUUUCGUUGCUACCAUCCAUGGCCGGUGAGGUGGCCGAAAAUCGGAUAUAUGUCUGCGUCGGGUUCGCAGUUUUGGGUCGGGUUUUCCGGGUCAGUUUGACAGCUUCCUCUAUCCCUCUCCCCCAUAAAACAUUACCCAGCUUCCUCUUAUUAUUAUUUUUUUUUUCACAUACGUUACAGAACAUUAAUGAGAGAUGUUUAGUAGUAAGGACUAUUUUGAUAUUUCGAUGAGUAGUAAAAACUAAUGUUAAAAUUUUAUAGACGAAUGUAGAGUAAGAUGCUCAAAGUACUAGAACAUAUAUAAAUAAUCCCAGCUCUUAUAAAAUUUUGCCACAUAAUGAGUUUUAUCCCUUAAGCAAAACAUAUCGAUAAAGUAUACAAAAGCACAAUGCAUGAAUGAUGGUCUUACAAAGUUCGAAUAUAAAGUUUAUAAUCUAAAAUUAAUGAUGUGACAAUUAACCUAAUGGAGUAAGAAGGCCCAAAUAGAUUAUAUUUUGCUAAAGAAGUAAAUUCUACCAAGAAUACCUCUUUCUAUUGAAUUUAAAUGAUGAUUAUUUGUUUAUAUCAUAAAAACUAAAAUAACUGUGUGAGUAAUUUGAUUCUUUUACAGUAUAAAAAUAAAUUCAGAAAAUGUUAGGGCAUGUUCUGUGUUUUAUUUUUAAAUUUAUAUUAUGAGAAUGAAAAUGGUGUUUUCAAGUUGAUAAAUUUUCAAUUGAAAUAUGUGUUUGUUAUUAUUUCAUUUAUCCUAUAUUUUCAAAAUGAAAAUAACCGAUAGAUAAAGUUAAAAAUGAUAAAAUAAUGGAUAUAUUAAGCAAUUUUACUACAUGCAAAUUAUUUUCUGUGUUUAAAGUUCAUAUAAAGCUUGUUUAUUUUUCAACAUACCAACUUACAACAAUAAUAAUAAAAUUUUUGUGAUAUCCAAUAUUAACUUUUUAAAGUAAUUAUUUUUUGUUAAUGUGUCCGCUGUUCAAUCGAUCUUCCUACUUUCUAUGCUUGAGAUUAGAUCAUUUGCUUCAAAGAUUCGAACUGGACUUAUAGUAGGAAAAAGAAUUUUCUUCAAUAUGAACUCUAAUUCUCUUUUAUAUAUAUAUAUAAAAAAAUCUAAUUCUCCUUUCAACAUUUUAACAUUUUGAUGAAAUAAAAAAUUAUUGGCGAAAGAUUACAUGCUUCCUUACUUUAGAGAACCAAAUACUCAGAUAGGUAGUGUAAAUCUCUACUGAUCGUUGGUGAUUUUAUCAAAAUAAAAUUCAAUAAAAUGUAUAAGAACACUUAAAUCCGUCCAAAAAAAAAAAUGACCCAGCAAAUAAAGAAAAGUACUGUGAAGUAAAAAUUGAACAAACCUAGAAAGAAGAGAAGAAGAAGAAUGGAAGAAGGAGAUUCGGUUCAUAAAUCAUGGAGGGAGAUGAGACUUAAGAGAUAGGGUUAGUGAGACAGACGAGGUCCUAGAGUCUUAAAGAUGAAGACUAUCUAUUAUUAGUUACUUAUUAUAAUGAUGUUUAUUAUUAUAAUUUAUUUUACAAUUUUUUUUUAUGAAACAAGUAAAACAUGUUUAAGUUGUUUUGUAAUUUAUAACUGUUAGAGGCAAGUCAGAUUCUGUGUUUUACAAUUAAAUUUUAUGAGGACUACUGAACGCUUAUUUUACUUAGAUUUAUAAAACGAAAAUGAGAAUGGCCAGUAAAAAACAAUACCGAAUGCCCACUUACUUCAUCUCAUACUCUUAGGUCACAAAAAUAGCAAUAACUCUAACAAAUUUAUUAUUGAAUGUGAAUGGUUAUAUAUCGAUCAUUUGAUACGUAUUUUUCAAGACAGAACCUCAAUUCAAUGGACAAAAGCUCCUCUUAAUUUUUCUUUUCUAUUUAAAUAAAAGAACAAAAGAAAUUGAUUACAGAGCCAUUACUUUUCCAAGAAUUAAUAAACGAAAAGGCCCAUAAUUUUUGUAAACCCACCCCACUCUCAAGAAAUAAUUACAAUAAGUUCAAAUUAUUUUUUAAAAAUUGAAAUAAAGAAGAUGUAAUUACAAUAAUUUGGAGAUUGAAUCAAAUAAAAUAAAAGGGUUAUUUUUACAUACCUCCCCUGAGGUUUCACCUAAUAUCAGUUUAAUAGAAAGUAUCUCCGUAUUUUUACAUCCCUCCCCUACAGUUAGUAUAAAGUUAUGUAUAUCAUCAGUACACAAGGCUAAAAUCGUAAAAGCUCAUUUAAAAUUCGUUUUAAUCGUAUCAAGUGGCAUCGUAAUCAAAGCCAAUAAACCACCAGCCAUGGCUGCACUCACUCCCUGAAACGCCAUCACAGUUUUUGAAUCCGGCCUAAUCAUCAUCAUAUCACCCUCACGGUCACCAUAUUUCCUGCGCAAGAAACACCCAACUCCACCCCAAACAAGCCUUUGAGCAACGGAAUAAGACGCCCACCAAACUGCAUUUGAUGGUGCAUUUGUCAAGAUUGAAAUCCCGGAGCCCAUAUACAAUCCUCUAACCCCAUCAUUUCUAACAAUCUUCCUAAACAUAUCAACCCCAUUUACGUAUCUAGCAUCGGCCCCAUUAGCCACCAUAAGCCUCUGAGUCAAAACAUCAACUGGGGUCCAGACAAGCUGAGCAGCCAUGGCAGCACUCAAUCCACCAACAGCACUAGCGACCGCCGCCGCCGCAGUAAACCCUAAGUCACUAACAGCAAAGCUGCCAACUUUAGUUAAAUAAAAUUAAUUUAUUUGCUUUGAUUACGAUUAACAGAUGCAUAUCUUUGUGAAAACUUUGACCGGCAAGACCAUCACUCUCGAGGUGGAGAGCUCCGACACGAUCGACAAUGUCAAGGCUAAGAUCCAGGACAAGGAAGGGAUUCCACCGGACCAGCAGCGGCUGAUCUUCGCCGGAAAGCUCAUCUUUUAAUAAACUUUAGGAAAAGACCCCAUCACCAUCAUCGUGACCAUCUGCUUCCCUCCUUGUUUGUUGUUCCUUCAUUUUCUUUUUAUUUCUUCUUCGUGGAAUCGGUCUUAUUUUCUUCUUCUCUCACUAUUGUAGGUUGUUGUUGGCAGAGGGACGAAUUGUGUUUAUUUGCUUUUAGAAUUGGCUAAUUUAAUUGAUAUAAAUUGUUUUGGUUGUGCCGCGGACAUAAAUUGAAGUUUAGUCGACGGUGCUUUCAUAGCAACAUUUGGUGCUGUUAUUAUGGAUACCAAGCUAAAGUAAGAUGACGUUGGACAUGUUAUGAGGUUUAGUUUUUUUGAAUUGAUUUUUUAUUUGAAUUUUUGGGGAAAAAUAUCAAAAAUGGAAAGCUUGAUUUUAAGAAAACAAGGAUGUGGUUUUGUUGGCGAGGUGGUACAGGGGAUUUUAGUUUUUGUUGGAUGAAAGAAGACUGUCAACCUUGAAAGGGUAUUUUCAUCCUCUUGUUAGUCCACUAACGGUCAACUGACGGAAAUACUAACUGCAGGGGAGGGAUGUAAAAAUACGGAGAUACUUUCUAUUAAACUGAUAUUAGGUGAAACCUCAGGGGAGGUAUGUAAAAAUAACCCUAAAAUAAAAUACCCAAACUAUUAUAUACAAGAACUCUUGAUUUUUGGGGUAUUUUAGUCAUUUUAUAUUAUCAUGGUAAAUUAGUCAAAUAAAACUUAUCUUAAAGCAACCUAAACGGUCAAAGACACCUAAGUUAAAAAAAAAAUUAUACGAAUGAUUUAAUUUAUUGAUUGUCUAUACGUUUUAUUGAUUUAUAUAUUUUAAAAAUAGUAUGAACGUAUUACAAUUAUUUUCUGACAGCAAGGUAGAUUUGUAAAAUAAGUGGGUAGAAAAUAUCCCCGUCCUCAAACAAAUAAAUGAAUUAUCGGUGAUGCAUGCUUUUUUCCAACUUUUUUUUUUUUUCUUUUGGUUUUUUGUUUUUGUUUUAAAUGGCACUGGCCCGACCACUACAAAUUAAUUAGAGAAUAUUUACAAUUAUGUAUCACAGCUGUGGAGUAGAAUUGGGGAAAUUAAAAAUGCUAAAAUUAUUGACACGUAGGGUGGGCGACAAUAACCACAAACAUUUUUCGUGUAGUGUAAGAAGAAUGCAACAACUCGUUUCUUUCAGUAUUUUCGCAACAAAAGCACGUUGAACAACUUAUGAAAUUAUUUCUCUUUUUCUUUGCCAGAAUGGAUGUGAUCGCUUCCCCUCUCCCGGAGCAGCUGAACUCCUUUGCUGCUUGUGACUUACCAUAAAUCUUCAAGCCAUUCAAGCUGUGCUUGAAGAUGCAGAGAAGGCAAGUUGAUAUAAGAUUGUUGCAUGGAAUAAGCAGGGCAUCUUCCGAGGCUAGAAGUUGGGCUACGAGUAUUCGUUUUGGACAUAUAAUAUAGUUUCCAAGCUUGCGAUGAGUCGAACCAAAUGCAGAACAACCUAGGCUGUUAUGCUCUGCGAUUGAACUAAAAAUUUCACUUCUUUUAUAGUCGUUUUUUAGUUUUAAGAUAUUUUUCUAUUUUUCUUGAUUCUUCUAGGAUUUUUAUCAUUUUUUCUAGAUGUUGGAUUUAAGUGCCAUCUGUUUUCUUUCUCUUAUUUAGAUUCGAAGAAUUUUAUUAUCAUAUAAUAUUUUGAAUUUGCUUAGUUUGUUAAAUUUGCUAUAUUUAGGCUCCUAUAAAUGGGAUUAAAAACCCUAAUUUUGUUCAUUCAAAUUAUUCUCAAUAAAACUUAUUAUUCAAAUACUAGUUUAUAUUAUCUAAUAGCUUUUUAGUGUUUCUGCAUCAUCAGCUGGUAUCAGAGCAAGUUCACUUGUCAUCAUGGUGCGACCACACAAUCAAAGGAGCAACCAUCCCGGAGACGAUGUUCAAAUAUUAGGUUAUCUCUUGUAAGCCAUAUUCAUAAAUGUAUUGAAGGAAAGAUACUUUUUUCUUGUCUUAAAUGAUGUGUGGGAUGGACGUUACAAUUAAUGGGAACCAUUCUUUUGUUGUUUAAAGAAUAGUCUCUACGAUAGUCAAAUUUUGAUUACUACACGUAAUCAGUUAGUAGCAAGCAUGAUGAGAUCAACAAAUCUUACCUUUCUUAAGGAAUUAAUUGAAGAAGAAUGUUGGUCAUUGUUUAAGCAGGUAGCAUUUUUGGGUCAAUUCUUCAAGGAUCGUGAUCAAUCGAUCAAAAAAUUGCAUUUAAGUGCAAAGGCUUGCCUUUUGUUGCAAAGAUAAUAGGGAAAUUCUUACACUAUAAAUGACCAAUAGAAGAAUAGAAAAUAAUUUUAGAUAGUGGAAUGUGGAAGGUAGAAGAGUUUGGGAAAGGUCUUCUGGCUCCUUUGUCGUUAAGUUAUAAUGAUUUGUCGUCCAUAGUAAAACAAUAUUUCUCACAUUGUGCUAUCUUUUCAAAAGGUUACAAUAUGUGUAAAGAGGAACUAAUUACACUAUGGAUGGCUCAAAAUUACCUUAAAUGUAGAAAAAGGAAGAGAUGGAGAUCCAAUCCAAUCUGAUAGUAGUAGAUUAUUUUAAUUUUUAUUAAUUUGAUUUCAUAGGAGUAGUUUUCAUUGUUUUGUUGAAAGUUGGUAAAAAAAAAACUGAAAUGAGAUGAUUACUUUAAAACAAUCUUCAAGAACUAAAAUAAUUAAAAAAACUCAAAAUAAACAAAAAGGCUUAAAAAUAACCGUAAUCCGAACAUUGUUUGAAUCCAUCCUAACUAGCCCGAAUAUGAUUUUAACCCAAACCCAACCUAACUCGCUUAUAAUUAUAACCCAAUGCGAUCCAAAUUCAACUUGAAUAUUUGAUCCGAUCUAAUCCAAUUUGAAUAUUUUAACCCUAUCAACCAGAAACCCAAUUAGGUUGAUCUGAACCCACGUUUGUCCACUCCCAGAGGGGAUCAUGACCCCACAAGCUUUGAAAGUUUUUUGGAAUUUCUAAGUGAAUAUUAAAAAUUAUGUAUAAAAAGACUGAUUUGACCCCUAAACACUUGAUAUAGAAACUUUAUACAUACAAUAGAAAUUUAAUUUUAUAUUUUGUGAAAUAAAGUCAAAGUAACUGAAUUUUUUUUUAUUUUGUUAAUUAUUUUUCUACUAUGACAAAAUGACAAAUAGCCUUGUGCCUAGCUCUUUGACUUUUAUUUUGCUAAUUAUUUUUUUCAUUUCUCUUGCAACAGUAACUUCAAUUAUCAAUCAAAGUCGCCAAAUCAAAAUCUCUGCAGCCUGCAGCUACAAGCAAACUUCUCAAAUUUCGAAAUUCCUUAUGACUACAUAAUAGCUAUAAAUAGAAAAAGCGUCUAAAAUAACUAUGUUUUUCUAAGUUUGAGCUUGAACCCCCUGAAGAUUUACUCCAUACGUAACAAAAUAUUAGUUUUGCUAGUAAAAUUGCUAACUAUGUUUUUCUUUGUAUUUCCGCUCAAGGAUAAAGAAAUUUCCCUAGACUUUUGUGGUGAAUAUCUUACGAACAUAUGACAAUUUAAUCUUUGGCUGAGACUUGUUUAACAUAAGAGAUGACACUUUAAAGCAAUAGGAGAGAGAGAUAAUAAGCUUUGUUCCCCAAAAAAAUCUAUCAGAUAUAUUAUGCCCCCGGUUGCUAUUUCUAAAAAUAGUCAUAAUUACUAAAAAAUAAGUAAUUCUUUUUUCAUAUAUUAAAAUGGUAAACUGGUGGAUAAAAUUUAAAAUAACUUUUUAUCUGUUUUGACAUUCGAAUUUUAAGCUCGAGAAGUCAAGCAAUAAAUAAACCUUUUUGAGAGGCUAACUAAAUUCUUAGUAAUUUCAUAUAAUUUCAUUUCAUCAGAACAGUUUUAUCAAAAGCAAUUUUCUAAAUCUUUGUGGAAAGCUUUAAUCCUUAAUUAUCUUUCACAUAUUUUCUUUGUAAUAUGAGGUAAGCCAUGGACCAUAGUAUGGUAUUUAUUGUAAAUAAAAUCACUAUGAAACUGAUUUUAUUAUUAUUUUUUUCACAAACAAAGUAUCUAGCUAACUGCAGAUGUAAUGAAUUACUAAUUACCAUUAUUUGAUUCGCUCUCUAAAAUAGUGUUGUGUGUUGAUUCUGUUAUGCAUCUAGGAAUUUCAAAUGUUAUGACAUAAGUUGCAUUGGAUAUAUGUAUAUCAUAGAUUACAUUAUGAAGAAGACAAGAAAUGGAUCCAUACGUUAAAGCAAAAUUGAAAAAAAAAAAUUGCUAGGAGAUGAUUUUAUCUGAAAUUUCACCUGCACGGUAUUGGCCACAUAUAAAUUUGUGAUGAAAUUCAUAACGGAUUAAUAUAAUUGAACGAAAUUACUCUAUACAAUUUCAUAAGUAUGUAUUAUACAAUUAAAAAUCUAUUGAUAUUUUCAAUAAAAUAAUAUCUCUACUAUAAGUGAUGGGAUAUAUAUUUGUGGGGAAUGACAAAUGUAGAAAAUUGCAGUAAUAAAGGUGGAAGUGGAACUUUGUAAUAAUUAAUUAAUGUGUUUACAAUUCUGUAAGUAUAAUAAAAUAAUAGUAAUAGGUAAAUUGUAGAAAAUUAAUGUGUACUUUAAGGCACAUUACAAAUGUCUCUUUCCUAAAGAUAUUAUUUUUCCCACCAAUUCAGUGAUGCAUAUAGGCUAAACAAAUAUACCUCCGGGAUACAACGAAUCACUUAUUUGUUUGCUUGUGUUUUUCAUCGAUGAAAGCAAACUUGAAUACUUUUGAAUGUUGCAAGCUUGCCGAGAAUCAAUAUAUUAUUCCCGUAGUAAACAAUAUAUUAGAUAUUUGAUGCAUAUAGUAUAGAUGUUAUACAAUAAAAUUUGUUUCAGCAAAGAGGGUUGAGAAGAGAGUGAUGUAGUAUCAUUAUUUCCAUGUUUAAAAAUUAAUUCUAAAUUAACUACAACAUGCAAUCUUUUAAUAUUCACAUGUCCUAAAUGAAUAUGCUACAAAAAUAAUGAGUCAAUCAUGUAAGCAGAAGAAACAUUAAUUUUAUUAAUAUUGGGCUUGAACAUUCCCAAAUACAUGUAUCCUUUCCCAAUAAAGGUACCACCCUUAGACAAUGCAAAUUUGCUUUGACUCAAAUAAGGUACCACCCUAAUAUAGAUACAAGAUUUUUCCUACCUUUAGAUACAUGAUAAACAUCAAUAUGAGUUAAAGUUUUUCCACAAGUGAACUCUAGUUGCACAUUCCCUCUAAUUGUUGCAAUGGAGGAAUUUCCCAUCUAAAGAACACUUCAAUCAUCCAUUGCUUUGUAAGAUGUGAAAAGGCUACGAUUCUUGUACACAUACUUGAUUGCACCGGAAUCUAUUCACCAUGCAUUAUCAUGUUCAAGAAUAUUAAUUUAAGAUAUUAUGGCCAUAAAUUUUGUCCACAAAAUUUGUGUUCGAACACUUCUUUUCUUUCUUAAGAAGUUGAUAGUCUUUUUUAAAGUGGCUAGGCUUUUCACAUUGGUCACAUGUACACUUUUUUUUUUUUUGUUGGUUUGAUUUUAUUUGGAAUCAAAGUUUUGCUUUGACAGUCUUUUUAAAGUGGCUAGGCUUUUCACAUUGGUCACAUGUACACUUCUUUUUUUUAUUUUGUUGGUUUGAUUUUAUUUGGAAUCAAACUUUGGCUUUUGGUUAUUAAUGUGGUCAUUAGACUGCUUAAGCUUCUUCUCCUCCUCCACAACAUUAAUUUCACAGGACAUAGCAGUCUGUUCCUCAAGACUAUUAAGUCUAAGUUUCUAUUCAAUAUGAAGACUUUGCCAAGCCUUCCAGGCUAAUUUCCUCUUUGUUAUAUUUAAGACUUUUUUCAUAGUCUUUUCAAGAGGGGGGAAGUUUAUCAAUAAUUGAAGAAAUAAUAGUAAACUUAUUACUUUUCAUGUUGUGUUGGUUGAAUUGAUCAAGAAUGCAAAAAUUCUCAUUAUAUUGUUCAAUCACAAGUCUAUUAUCAAUCUUUUUAUAACUAAAAAAAAUUAGAAGUCAAGAAUUUCUUACUUGUGGUGUCUUCCAUUAGGGGUGGGCAAAAUCGGGUUCGGGUCGGGUUCGGGUCAAUCCGAUCGGGUUUCGGGUUGUUCGGGUUAGACAAAAAUUAAUCCGAACGUAACCCGAAUUAUGAACCCGACCCGAACUGACCCGAACUAAGUUCGGGUCAGGUCAAUUGUUAAAUGGAAUUGGAAUUCGUAUAUUUAAUCAAAAACUCCAAAUUAGAACCGUUAGAGAACCGAACUGAAAAAACUUGAAAAGAAUGAAUCUGGCUAUAUUUGUGAACCAGAAACAAGCCAGCGUUAUGCUUACGCCAUUUCAUUCUAUCCUGUCACCCAUAGACAAAAUGAAUCUAGAUGCAUUAUGGCUUUUCUCCUUAAACCUCAAGAGCAUUUUCGUCCUCUCAGUCAAGCGUGAAACUGCAUGUACGAACUGCUUCGCUUUCACGCACCGGUAGCUACAGCGGCAAGAGCAUUUUCGUCCUCUCAGUCAAGGGUGAAACUGCAUGUACGAACUGCUUCGCUUUCACGCACCGGUAGCUACAGCGGAAGACCCAGGCCGAGAUAAUUUAUUUCUUCCAACCACAAACUAUGUUUUGUUCACGAAUUACAAACUGUGCAGCUUGUGAUUUCUGCCGUUCUGCGUAUGUGAGUGCAGCAGCGAUAUGUGUAGUGUUAGGCUGUUAGCUUAGGUUUUUUUUUUUUUGGGAACCCGAUCAGGUAUUCGGAUCGGGUCGGGUUUGAUCCGAACCGAUCACAACCCGAUCGGGUUUGUAAAUUUCAAUCCGAUCGGGUUUCAAUCCCAACCCGAUCCGACCCGAACCCGAAAUUUAUCGGGUCGGGUCGGGUCGGAUCGGGUAAAAUGCCCACCCCUAUCUUCCAUCAUGUACUUAGACUCCAAUAAGUCCUAUAUUUCUUUUGCUGUGGAUUUUGUUGUGGUACUUAUCAAAACAAAGUACUAGACAUGGCAUUGUAAAUGUGUCCUAUGCACACGUAGACAUCUUGCUUCCACUUUUGCCACACUCGAGUUUCUCAUCCUCACGUUCUUCAGGCUUUGAUAUUGUAAGAACAUAAACAACAUUGAGGCUUGUCAACAAGAAAUGUAAUAUUUUUUGCCAACGUAUAAAAGUUGUGACCAUCAACUGCUCUAAUUUGAUAAAAUCUACCAUUGAAUUGCGGAUGAGAUGAGCACAGUGUCAUUGUUACAGAAAGAAUGUCUUAAGAAUGUUGGGAAUAUAUAUUUUUAGGGAAUGACAAACGUAAUAAUGGCAAAUGUAGAGAGUUGCAGUAAUAAUGAUUAUGCCACAAAGAUAAUGAGUCAAUCAUGUAAUAAUGGCAAACAUAGAGGGUUGCAGUAAUAAUGGUGGAAUUUUAUUCUAAUAAAAUAAUGAGUUUACUACUCUAUAGGUACAACGAAAAAAAUAGUAAUAAGUAAAUUGUAGAAAUUAAUGUGUAUUUCAAGGCACUUUACAAAUAUUACUUUCCUUAGACGUUAUUCGCCCCCACUAAUUGAGUGAUGAAUAUGGGUUAAACAAAUACGCAUCGACGAUACAAUGAAGUACUUAUUUGUUUGUUUGCAUUGUGUAUCGACGAAAGCAAACCUAAACACUCUUAAAUGUUGCAAGCUUGUCAAGAAUCAAUAUAUUAUUUGCUGAUAUAUUGUUCCCGCAGUAAACAAUAUGUUGGAUAUUUAAUGCAUAAAAUAUAGAUGUUAUAUGAUAAAAUUCGUUUUAGAAAGGAGAGUUUAGAAACGAUUGUUAUAGGAAUGUUAUGUUCAUGUCUAAAUGGCCUAAACAUGGCCUCUAUUUAUAAAUAUACUUGUGCCCUCCAUUUGGAUUGUCAUUUUUCAUGAUACCCAUUCAUUUAUGGUCAUUGGAUCAAGAUAUGAUUUUAAUCAAUUGUCUAAAUUGGUCCAUCACCAUUUCAAGUGAAAUUACAAUAUGAAAUGAUACAUUCUUAAGUGGAAAGAUACCUUUUAUAUGGGACAAUUACUUGGACAUGUUUUUAUAAUAAAACAUCAUUUAUUUUGAAAUUGUUACAGCACUAAGAUUAUUCUAGGUUAAGUUAAUCUAUUAUAUAUAACUUCAGAAGGUUCAUCGGUAGAUUGUUUUAAGUUUUUGUCGUAGUUUACAAAGAUUUUGUUACUUGUAAUGUAAGAAAUUUUAGAAAUGUUGGUGCUGAGUAAUCUGCAAAAUUAUUAUGAAUCAGAGAAACAGGGCAGAUGUUGUACAAUUAUUGUUGUGGUGGAGCGGAAAGGUAGCCCGAGAUGGUGACUGCUAUUGGGAUUUCUUUAAUUUGCAGCAUAAAAGCAUUUACAUUGACAUCGACUCAAGGGUAAAAAUUAAAUAUCUCAUGUAGCAUAAGAAGAAUGCAAAAAUGCUUGAAUGAGCAUUCUGACUCAAUACACAAAAGCUACUUUCCCUUGAGCACUUUCGCAACAAAAGCAAAUGUAAAAUUUAGCAUUUAAAUCUAACAUCAAAUGGCUGAUGCCAUCGUUUCCAUCCCUUGGGGAAACUGAAUUCCUCUACAUGAUAUUACAGUCUGGAGCGGCUCUUACCUUAGGCAACUUAGGAUAAUUUAGGCGGUUGCUCAGGACCCCACAUUUAACCUAGGACCCCAUUAUAAAUGAAGGUUUCUAAUUUAAUUCCUAAAUUAUAGUUAUUAAUUAUUGAUUUAUAUUUAUUAUUUAUAACUAUAUUUUCCAUAAACAAACUACUAGAUUCUUACAAAAUCCCCUUUUAACAUUAUAAUUAACAAUUUUAAUCCACUUAUUUCCUCCAUAUAUUUCAUUUAAAACUCUAUAAAGGCCACACCUUUUUUAAAUUAUUAUCCAUUAAUAUCUUUUUCCAAUAAAAAAAAACACAAAACCUUCAUUACUUUGGUGAAAAAACUACUUUCUCUACCUUACUUUUUGCAUAAGGAAGAAAAGAAAAUCAAUUGUUUUACUUUCUUUUGAUCAUUGUUGCUCAAAGUCUCAAUCCAUCAAAGUUAAAUUUCUCAAAUUUUCAAGUUUUAUCUUCCGAUUCUCUUAUUAAUUAAUUGUGUUAUUUAGGUGUUUUUGUUUCUUUGUAAAAAUAUUAUUCUGCUCAUAGGUUGUUUUCUUUUAAUUAUCUAGCAUAAUUGUUUGCAUGAUUACUCUUGUUUCCUUAGAAAAAAAAUGUCUACUAAAAACUAUGCAUCAUGAUACAAAAAACUUCAUAAAAGGAGAAGAAUACAAAAGUUAGCUUAAUCUAAAAACGUGCUAUUGAUAAAAAAUUAUUUAAGAUCAACCAUGUCAUAGGAAAGAUUAAAUAGGUUAACUAUAUUAUCUAUUGAGAAAGAUAUAUUAGCAAAAUUAGAAUAUAAAAAGUUGAUUAAUAAUUUUGCAUCUCAGAAAGUUAGAGAAAUUUAUUUUAAAUAAAUAAAACUUUAAUAAAAUUAAUACACAUAUUUCACCUCAAAUUUUUUGAAAGGUCUAAUUAAAUCAAUUUAUUUAAGACCUAAAAUAUGAUUGAGCCGCCUUGAAAUUGCAGUAAGAUAGAAAUGUGAAAUAGACAGAACACUUGCUCAUACGUUAAAGAUGCGACGAAUUUGAGAAUAUUUAUGUUUAUGUGCCAAAUUCCUAAUGUAUGGGAAUUUAAAAAUGUUAGUGCAGAACAUGUGUUCAUCGGUGGAGUAGAAUCAGGGAAAUUAAAGAUAAGCAUAAUUUUUGCAUCCAAUGCCAAAUUCCCCCAGGUAGAAAGUGGGGACUCCUUUGCAUAAAAGUUGAUAAAAGUUUGACUAAGAUCUUAUUAGAAAUUAAUAUAUUCUCUCUCCACAUAUUUCUGCACGAAAUAACAUGCAGAUAUAGUAUUUUAGGUUAUUGUUAAUAGUUUUACAAUAAUAAAAAUCAUUUUGUUAGAUCUUAAAAUGUACUCACACUCUAUUUUGUGCAAAAGUCUGCGAGAAAGGAUUUCAGAUUUACCUAACGGUGAAGUUGGGAACUUGCUUUUUUACCUAGGCUAAAAAUAUUUCAAUAAAUUCUGAUCGUGGAGACUAACAAGAGUUUUUUUAGUCAUAUAUAUAUUUAUUUUUUAGGGACUAAUAUGAAUAUUACUAAUUUCAUCGAGAUUAUUAAAAAAACAAUGUGCUAAUUUGCCAAUAUGAUUUCUCCAAUCUUUUUUCUUUUCGUCAUUUAUUCCUUUGUGAAUUUGAGUUAAUGCUUGAUAUUAUUUUUCUGCUCAUUUUUUAAAGUAGAAGAUUAAGAAGUCUACUGCUGUUUAGCUUGGUAGGCUAUAAAUAAAGAGGCGCAUAUAUAGAAGGCUUAGAAAUAACUCUCAUUCUCAUCAUUGCAAAAUGGCUUCUCUUCGUUUUCUCCUUGCAGCUGCUCUUGUAGUUGCAUUUGUGCUUGAGGGAUCAUAACCAGAUCAAGCUCAACUUUCUCCCUCUUUUUAUUCUUCCACAUGCCCUAAUGUAACCAACAUAAUUCGGGAGGUGCUUCAGAAUGCUUUCUUGUCCGAUAUUCGCAUCGGUGCCAGCCUCGUCAGGCUUCAUUUCCAUGACUGUUUUGUUAAUGGCUGUGAUGCAUCGAUUUUUCUGGACAAUACUACUACCAUAGAAAGCGAGAAAUUUGCUGGGCCAAAUAAUAAUUCAGCGAGGGGUUUUGAAGUUGUUGAUGACAUGAAAGCUGCCGUUGAAAGGGCCUGUCCAGGCGUUGUUUCCUGUGCUGAUAUUCUUACUAUUGCAGCUGAACAAUCUGUUGCUCUGUCAGGGGGUCCUUCAUGGACAAAUCUAUUGGGAAGAAGAGACAGCAGAACAGCAAACAGGACUCUUGCAAAUGAAAAUCUUCCAGUACCGAACAAUAGUCUUGAGAGGCUCAAAGAUAGAUUCAGAAAUGUUGGCCUCAACGAUAAUUUUGAUCUUGUUGCACUCUCCGGAGCUCACACAUUUGGAAGGGCUCAGUGCCGAACUUUUAGCGAUAGAUUAUUCAAUUUCAACAACACUGGCAAUCCAGACCCAACACUUAACACAACCCUCUUACAGCAACUUAGGCAACUAUGCCCACAAGGUGGAAACGGCAGCGUUCUAACUAAUCUUGAUGUCACAACACCUGAUGUGUUUGACAACAAAUACUUCUUCAAUCUUCAAAUACACAAGGGCCUUCUGCAGAGUGAUCAAGAGUUGUUUUCGACUCCCGGUGCCGAUACCGCUGCCAUUGUCAAUAACUUUGGCAGGAACCAGACUGCUUUCUUUGUAAACUUUGUGACUUCAAUGAUUAGAAUGGGCAAUUUGAAACCACUGACGGGAAAUCAAGGGGAGAUUAGAUUGAACUGCAGGAGGGUCAACGGAAACAGCAAUAUCGCAACAAGAUCAUCAUCAUCGGAGGGUGAUUUGAUCAGCUCUUUCUGAAUAAGCUAGUUUGCAGCUAACGCGAGAGAAAGAGUUUGUGGGUAACAAACUCAUGAAUUUACUCCUAUGUUUUGCCUGAAACAUGCUUUGUAUUUUCAAUAAACUAAAGUUGUGGUUGUGUAUUCACGUCCUGCUUUCUAUGUAUCAGAAAUCCUUGUCAUAUUGUAUGUGUUUCUUUUUCUUUUCUUUUUUUUCUCCCAAAGUCAUCGAUAUGUAUUUUCAUUUGAGUCACAAGUUUUUAAUACCCCACUUUAUCCUCUAGCUUUUAAAAAAAAAAAAGUAGAAGAUUAUGAAAAAGUGAACACACAAAAAGCAUAAAAAUCAUUAUUAGAUCCAAAUUUGUGCUAUUUUCAUACAUAACUUGAGAAUAUUUAUAAUUACGCAUCAGAACUAGUGGAGUAGAAUCAGGGAAAUUAAACAUUCUACAAUCAUUGACGUGUGGGGUUGGGAUAAGCAUAAGCUUUUUCUAUGCAGUAUAAAAGAAUGCAAUAACUCCUUUUCUUUCAGUAUCAUCGCAACAAAAGCACAUCUAAUAACUCUUCAGAAUUCUCGUCUUCUUUGUCAGAAUGGUUGAUGCGAUCGUUUCCUCUCUCCUGGAGCAGCUGAUCUCUGUUGCGGCUGAUGAAGCGAAACAACAGGUGAGGCUUGUGACUAGUGUCCGAGAAGAAGUGAAAAAGCUUACCAGCAAUCUUCAAGCCAUUCGAGCUGUGCUGGAGGAUGCCGAGCAAAGGCAAAUGCAGCAAGACAAAGUUGUUACUUUUUGGCUGGAUCAGCUCAAAGACGCGUCCUACGACAUGGAAGAUGUGUUGGACGAGUGGGUCUUUACAAGGCUCAAAUUGCAAAUUGAGGGCGUUGAUGAUGACAAUGCUUUUUCCCUUGCUCCUCACAAGAAGAAGGUACGUUCCUUCUUUCGUGCUGUAUCAAACUGCUUUGGUAGUUUCAAACAACUCGGUCUUCGUCAGGACAUUGCUGUCAAGAUUAGGGAAAUCAAUGAAAAGCCAGAUGAUAUUGCCUCCCAAAAAGAUAGGUUUAAAUUUGUUGAGAAUGUGAGUAACCAUGUUAAAAAACCGAAACAAGCGCGAACCACCUCCUUGAUUGAUGAGGGAGAGGUCUGCGGUAGAGUUGACGAGAAAAACGAGCUCUUAAGCAAGUUGUUGUUUGAAAGUAGUGAACAACAAAAAGGCCUUCAUGUCAUCUCACUAGUUGGGUUAGGGGGCAUGGGUAAAACACUCUUGCACAACUGGCCUAUAAUAAUGAUGAGGUGAAAAGAAAUUUUGAAAAAGUUAUAUGGGUGUGUGUAUCAGACACUUUUGAGGAGAUUAGGGUUGCCAAUGCAAUUAUUGAAGGUCUAGGUGAGUCAGCUUCUAGUUUAAGCGAAUUCCAAUCUCUUCUAAGCCAUAUCCAUAGAUCAAUUGAAGGAAAAAAAAAAUUUCUUGUCUUAGAUGAUGUAUGGGAUGGGGAUUAUAAUAAAUGGGAACCAUUCUUCCAUUGUCUAAAGCAUGGUCUCCACGGAAGUAAAAUUUUGCUUACCACACGUAAUGAGUCAGUUGCAUGUAUGAUGGGAUCAACAAAUAUUAUCUUCAUUGAGCAAUUGACUGAAGAGGAAUGUUGGUUGUUGUUCUAGCAGUUAGCAUUUUCCGGUCGCUCUUUCGAGGAUUGUGAAAAAUUAGAACCAAUCGGGCGAAAAAUUGCACGCAAGUGCAAAGGCCUGCCUCUUGCUGCAAAGGCAACAUGGAAUCUCUUACGCUCUAAAAGUACAAUAAAAGAGUGGCAAAAAACUUUAGAUAGUGAAAUGUGGAAAGUAGAAGAGAUUGGGCAAGGCCUUUUUGCUCCAUUGUUGUUGAGUUAUAAUGAUUUGCCCUCCAAUUCUAUGGUAAAACGAUGUUUUUCAUAUUGUGCUGUCUUUCCGAAAGAGUACAAUAUAAAAAAAAAGGAACUAAUUUCACUAUGGAUGGUUCAAGGUUACCUUAAUGCAGAAGAAGAUGAAGAGAUAGAGAUGACUGGGGAAGAGUAUUUCAACAUUAGCAGCACGCUCUUUCUUUCAAGAGUUUAAAAAAGAUGAUGAUGAUGAUGAUAUUAUGAGCUGUAAGAUGCAUGACAUAGUACAUGAUUUUGCCCAAUUUGUAAGUAGAAAAGAAUGUUGGUGGGUAGAAAUUAAUGGUACCAAAGAAUCAGUCAUAAACUCUUUUGGUGAUAAAGUCCGUCACUUAGGGUUAAAUUUUGAAGGAGGAGCUUCAUUUCCUAUGUCCAUUCAUGGACUUAAUAGAUUGCGGACCCUCCUAAUUUAUUUCCAAAGUCCUUCCAAUCCGUCUCUUAAUAGUAGCAUCCUUUCGGAGUUAUUUAGUAAAUUGGCGUGUUUCAGGGCAUUAGUUAUAGGGCAACAGAACUUUAUAUUUGAUCCUUACCCAAAUUUGAUUAGAGAAAUUCCAGAAAAUGUCAGAAAAUUAAUACAUUUAAAAUAUCUUAAUUUGUCUGAAUUAUGUAUAGAGAGACUGCCUAAGACUUUGUGUGAAUUAUAUAAUUUACAAAAGCUAGAUAUUAGGUGGUGCGAAGAUCUUAGAGAAUUGCCGGCGGGGAUUGGGAAGUUAAAGAACAUGAGGAGUUUACUGAAUGGUGGCACUCCUUCGCUGAAGUACAUGCCAAUAGGGAUUUCCAAAUUAACCAGUCUUCGAACAUUAGAAAAGUUUGCUAUGGGCGGAGGUGUUAAUGAUAUCAGUACGUGUAGGCUUGAAUCUCUAAAAAAUCUUCAGCUCCUUCGAGAAUGUGGAAUAGAAGGGCUGAGUAAUGUGUCACAUUUAGAUGAGGAUGAGAGAUUAGGACUUCACAAUAUGAAAAACCUCCUUCGUUUAUCUCUUGAGUUUGAUGAGGAAGGUGAAGAAGGGAGGAGGAAGAAUCAACAACUUCUGGAAGCCUUACAACCGCCUUUGAAUGUAAAAGAAUUAGGGAUUGUAUCCCACGGAGGCAACAUAUUUCCCAAAUGGUUGACUUCACUAACCAAUCUAAGGGAUUUAAGACUUAAAUCGUGCGUUAUCUGUGAGCAUUUUCCUCCCUUGGGAAAAUUACCGUUGGAAAAACUCACCCUUUAUGGCCUGUACGGUGUGAAAAGAGUGGGUAAUGAGUUUUUGGGAAUCGAAGGAAGCAGUGAGGAUGACCCAUCUUCAUCUUCAUCAUCAUCAUCAGUCAUUGCCUUCCCCAAAUUGAAAUCACUCCACAUUGGGGCAAUGGAAGAAUUGGAAGAGUGGAAUUAUAGGAUUACAAGAAAGGAAAACAUCUCCAUCAUGCCGCGUCUUUCUUCCUUGACGAUUUGGUAUUGCCCCAGAUUAAGGGUGUUGCUGGAUUACCUUUUUCAAUCGACGACAUUGCAGAAAUUGAGUAUUUCUUAUUGUCCAAUUAUGGAAGAACUGCGCAUUCUAGAAGAUCACAGGACAACAGACAUACCACGUCUUUCUUCCUUGGAAAUUGAGUAUUGCCCCAAAUUAAAGGUGCUGCCGGAUUACCUUCUUCGGCGACGACGCUGCAGCAAUUGAGUAUUCAGGGAUGUCCUCUUCUGGAAAACCGUUAUAGAGUGGAGAAAGGAGAAGACUAGCAUAAGAUAUCUCACAUUCCCUACAUCGAGUCCGAGUGGUAAAUUCUCGAAUGGUUGCAAUUACUAUCACCCACCGGUAAUUUCUCUCCCCUAUUUUACUUUGUUGUUACUUCAAACAACGACACUGCAAACAUUGACAAUUUGGGGUUACAGAGAAGGGGAAGGAGAAGACUGGCAUAAGAUAUCUCACCCUCCCCACAUCAUGCGGUCGGCGUAAGAUAUCACUCGCCGGUAAUUUCUCCUCCUCCUCUGAUUUACUCUGUUGUUGCUUGCAAUAAAAUUAAUAAAAAUAAUUAUAUUUUGAAUUAAAAUUCUAUAUAUUGCCCAAUGUCUGACAGGAAUAUACAAUAUUUUCUAAUAUUUUGAUUUGCAUAUCGAAUUUAACUAUUUACUUCAACCAUUAAUUUAUUGGGUCACUUUAUGAUGCUAUUAUAAAAAUUACAGAAUCAAUCAUAGUAUAAAUAUGUAGUGUUAAAUUUAAUCAAUAGUUCAUAAAGGUUAGUAAGAAUAAUACUUUAAUUUUAAUUAUUUAAAAUUUAAACUUCCUAGUCAUCAAAUUUGUUAAACUUGUUUUCUAAAGCUAAAAUAAUAAUAAAAUAAAGUAAAAAAAACAAGUGCAGUCUGUUGAAAUUUCUAUAAUUUCUUUUAAAAAAUAUGUAGUCUUUUGUAAAAUUUCAUACAACAUCAUAGAAAUAAUUUAUGUGUAAGUUCCUGAGAGACAAAAUCUCUGUGAUACAUUUGCAGUAAUGUUGAAAACUAACUUAUCAAUGUUAUCUUGUAUAAUGAUAAUCGUAUUUUUUUAUAUAUAAUUUAUGUGACAUUAAUUCUUUAAAGUAAUUGUGUGAUUGUUUUUAGUAGUACAUGAGCCCACUUUGUUUUAUUUCAUACGAGUUUAAUUAUGUUCACCAGGGAUUCGAGGAAAUGUCAGAACUACACUAGCAAUUCGCAGGUCCACGCUAAUUUGGUUCUAAUGAUGCACGCAGGAGAGCAAGAUUAUGAAAAUGAAUAGUUUAGCCAAAGGAUUGCUAAAAUGUUUUGCUGGUAAUUCACUUGCUUUUUUUUAUAGAAUUUCAUUUCCAUCUUCUUCUAUUGAUAUCUUGUUGUGAAUAAACAAGAACAGAGAAGUAACUAUAUAUAUAAAAAGUCCCUAUUAUGAUGAUGUUAAAGCAAGCUCAAGCUCAAACAUUGCAUUUUUAUUUUAUUUUAUUUAUAGAAUUUUCAUUUCUACCUGGAUUGCAUUUCUAUUUCAUUUUCAGGUUGACUUUGAAAACUCUAUGGAGCACAUUGGGGGGGUAACCAAGGAUUAUCAUUGUGGUUAUUGUGCAACGUUUGGUUGCUGGACUUUGAAGAAGGAAGUGAUGGCCGGGUCUGCUCUGUUUCAAUUGAGGAUGGAUAGCUGCCUGAAAGACAUGAUGAUUAUUAUUGCAUGAUGUUUAGGUGCUAAGAUCAUCAUUUCUGUCUUGUUUCAUUCUUUGAUCGGUUUAUCCUAUAUAAACAUAUGGAAUUAUGCUAAUAUUAUCAAUUUUUUCACCUAAUUUUCACUGUUGUUGUGAAAACAAUUUCAGGCUCUCAAAAGCUACAAAGCAAAGCAUUUGUAGGCUGAUCAUAUGUUUCAAUUGAGGAAGGAGCUUGGUGUUGGCAAUAUUGUCCAGGUAACCACAGCUGAUAAUUUCCACAAAUUUGCAUUAAACUUAGUUGUCACCAUCUCCUGCAAUUUCUCAUUCAUUCAAGAGUACUUCAAAAUUAGAUUUUCAGGGUUUGAAUGUUUAGUUGCGAUCAAAAUAUUUAGUCACUCAUUCGUAAUCUUUUCCGAUUUUCAAGUUCUUUAGGGCCAUAAACAGUUUUCCAACUCAUUCUUAAUUUUUAGGUUGAUUUCGAGUACCCUGUUGAGGACAUUCCUGAGACUAAGGAUUAGGCUGGCGAAGGAACUACUACCUCUGUUGUUAUUGUGCAAGGUUUGAUCAUUGGACCUUGAAUAAGAAUCCCUUACACGCAUUCUGUACUUCAAGCAUUCUCUAAAGGAAAAGAGCAGUAGAAGGGAUAGUGAUGGCCGGAUCCGCUCUAUUUUAGUUGAAGAUCUCUGUGAUGUCGAUGAACUUAAAGCAGUUGAUACUUCUUGAAAAUUGUUGUUACGGAUGAAUUGAUUCCUGAAGAUGGGUAUCCAAAGGCAUAUUUUCAUAAACUUCCUUUUUUUAACAAAUGCUCCAAUGCUUGCUGUAGUAACAAUUUCAUAGCUUGCAUCUCUCGGGUGCAUCAUGUUCACGGGUUGGAAAAAGCAUUUGUGGUAAACCUUCAAAGCUUGUAAAAUGGCUGUGAAAAGGCACAUUCAAUUCGGUAUGCUUUGGUGCGGUCUCCUAAUGCUAAUAUUAUGUUUCAAUGCUGGCUGUAGUAACAAUUUCAUAUCUUGCAUCUCUUGGGUGCAUCAUGUUCAAGGGUUUGAAAAAGCAUUUGUGGUAAUGCUUCAAAGCUUGUACAACGGCUGUGAAAAGGCACAUUCAAUUAGGUACGUUUUGGUGCGGUCUCCCAAUGCUAAUAUCAUAUUUUGUAUAGCAAUUAAAAUUUAGCUAUACAAUCUUAAUAUGCAAUAAAUCAUUGUAUACAAAGUUUUCUAUUGAUUAUAUGGUGACUGAAAUUUUAAUUAUCAUAUCAAUUUAAAGUUUUGGCUGAUAUGUCUAAUUCGUAGAAAUUCACUUCCAUCGGUUUCCAUUGGCUUUAGCACAAACAGAAACAGAGCUCUGGGGAAAAGUUUUACUUCUUGUGGUAUUAUGCCUUUGUUUCUUCAUUCAUCAUAUUUUUCGAAUUCAUGCUCUCAUUCAGAGGGUAAAGCCUUUUCCAGGCUGCUUUGUAGCCAAACUUUGACGCCUUUGAUGCAUGACUGUCAUUUAGAUUUCCCAAAUAACUGUUAGAUUGGAGAAGAAUAAAAAGAUACUGUUAAAAGGGUAUUUAAUUAGCGCCCUCUGAAUUUCUUGGAGUUAAUGUAGUCAAUUGCCCAAUUUUGCUGCCUGUCGAAGAUACACAGCAUGGAAGUCCUCAUCAAACUCUGAGACACCUAAUAAAUAGUAGGAUAGUAGGAGGGGGUGGUAUUCGCCUGGUGUUAAUUUCCUGGCAAGUAUAGUUCACAGAUAGAGGGGUUCUUUUCUUGAUGUCUAAAUACCGUAUGAGAUACAACAUCGUGUAUUCCAAUUUUUCUCUAGUUAAAUUUUAAUAAGUUAGAAAAGUUAAUUUUGUUUUAGCAAUGAAUUGUUUUCUUAAUAAUAAUAAUUGCCAUGUUCCUCUGAAGUCUUAUUAAUGCCAGACCAACAACUACUAGGUUCAUCUCUCGUUCACUUCCUCAGGGAAUCUCGAGGGCAUUCAUUGGCAGGUAGCCUUUCUUGUUGAGCUCCUGGAAUUACUUUUAAUUUAUCAUUUGUUGGGUUUUGCUUUUUGAUUGCUUUGGGAUUUGUGUUAUUAUCGCUUUGUCACUCAUUAAUCUUGGCUGUUUUGAAUCUGUGUUGGAUUUAGAAGUUUGGAGUUGAAAACAGUUAAAGCUUAGACUAGUAGAAGAGAUUUAUACAUUCAUUUAUCUUGGACAAAGUUUUUGGGGGAAAAAAAAAUUAUAAGUAUACACUUUCCAAUGGUUCGGUGAUGUUUGAUUGGUUUAAAGAUGUUGGAUCUCUCAUCAGAUUUCUUAUGUAUCGACUGUUGUUGCCACAGGAUGCUCGCAGAUCCUGCUUUUUUGUAUAAACUUCUACUAGAGCAGGCUGCAACAAUUGGUUGCACUGUUUUGUGGGAGUUGGAGAAUCAUAAGGAGAGGUGUGUUUUUUCUCUCAUAACAAAGGAACUCUCCCCUUCCUUUUUAUUUUCAUCUUAUAUAUUAAGCUAAUAAAUGUUUGUUUCUGUCGUGAUGGGAUAAAGCAAGAAUGGGAUCAGCUUGGUUUUGGUGCUUUCCUCGGACUAUAUGCAAACAUGAGAUAUCAACUAUUGUGUGGAUUUGAUAGAGCGGUCAUCAACCAUUUUGAUGUUACCAGGUUAUCUCUCCCUCUCCCUCUUCUACGUAUUUGUUUAUUGAUCUACAUCUCUAUAUAUAUUGAUAGACUAUUCUGGACGUACCAAAUUACCCUUGUUUUAAUGUUUUGUUUGUUAAACUUUGACUGGGGAAUCUGUUUAUUUGGCUGAUAAGAGGUUAGUGUGGUUUCUAUUGAAGUGUGUAGAUCUAUCACCAAGUAUUAUUUCAAUUUUUCUUUACUGAAUCAACUUGCAUCCUUUCCAAGUCCAGAUCCUUAACAAUAGUGCGACAUUGCUACCGAAGUACAAUUUCUCUAGUUUGACAGUUAAAUACGUAAGAAUGGUUUUAAAUUAACUGAACUCUGAGAUAGUUCUCUAAGGAAGUACAAGUGGUGAAUACGGUUCCAACUUUUAAGUGCCUUAAUAUAUCCAUUUGUUCAGCCCUGUGCAUAAAAAAUCAGUAAUUGCCGUCCAAAUUCUUCUUUACUGCCUAUAUGUGUUGGACUUUGUCUAUUCUUCAACUUCUCAAAUGGAUUUUUUGAAUGUCCAAUUAGGAGAAAGAUCAAGGCUUGCUUGGCUAGGAGUGGAAGCGGAUCCGCUACUUCAAUCAUAUGACCUUUUGAAGAAGGCUUACAACGGGGCGGCUCAGGAUGUCAAUGGCUCAACUCAAAAGUCCCCAAAGUGGUUGAUAUCAAAGAAUGCCAUUGUCUCUGGGCUUGGGCUCCUUGGGAUCAAACAAGGGAAUGCGACUCUGUUGAAGGGGAAGCACGGGCCCCUAAAGUGCGAAGAAAGAGGAUAGUCCGGAAGAAGGUGACCGCAUAAAUUUCUUGGGAGUUAAUCCUAGUCAAUAGCCCAAUUUUGCUGCCUGUCGAAGAGAUACAACACGGAAGUCCUCAUCAAACUCUUUGGGACAUCUAAGAACUAGUAGGGAGGUGGUGGUAUUCACUGUGUUUCCUGGCAAGUAUAGUUCACUGAUGGAUGGAUUCUUUUCUUGAUGUCUAAAUAUCAUAUGUGAUACAACGUCGUAUAUUCCAAUUUUUCUCCAGUAAAAUUCUAGUAAGUUAGAAAAGUUAAUUUUGUUCUAGCGAUGAAUUGUUUUCUUAGUAAUAAUAAUGGCCUGUUGCUUUGGAAUCUUAUUCACUCUCUGUAACCCAAUUAAAUUGUGCAAAUUCUACUGCGGAUUUGUCAAACAGAGCGUCUUUGUGAUUUCUUUGAUAGACUUUUGAUCGCUAGUUUAAGUUUGAAUCAUCUUGUAAUGCCAAAACAGAGCGCUUUUAAUUACUAGAUCGUACUCGAGUUUUUAUUCAGCUUUUAAUUACGAGAUCAGCUUUUAGUAUUAGCGAUAAUUAUAAUAUAAACGUUAAUUAUGAAACUCUUACCAAACAAGAUGUUACUCAAUUUUACUUAAUCUCACUCGUCUUUGAUUUGUAAAUUUUAUGCCUAAAUUUUUGUCAACAAAUUGGUCCCAGUUCCACGUUGAGUGCACGAGAUCCACAAGUUUGAUUGGGCAGAACGCAGAAGCAGCUAAAAAAAACUGAUGAAACCCACGUCCAAAGAUGCUGUUGUCGCGGAGGCCUAGACACGACUCCCCAUCCCCUUUUACCAUAUUUUAUAAUUGAAGAGGCCAUUAUUGAAUUGAAAAAUUAUGAUUCAACCGUUGGAAACCAACUCGGAAUUUUAAGUUGAUAUGAGAAAAGAUUUUUUCAUCAUCAUCAUCAUCAUUAUUAUUUCUUUUUAACAAAAAUUUAAGCUAAGACAACAAUAUAUGCCCAAAAUACCCCUCACAUUAUCCCAAACUUUCUAAACUCCCCCAUUCCUCUCAACAUCAUCUCUUCCAAAUCUUUCUUCCUCCAAAAAGCAGCCAUGGCUUCAAAUUCAAUCACCUCAACACUCCAAUAUUGGCUUGUAAACCACCCCCAAAUCCUCAACUUCACAUGGACUCAAAACCAAACCCCAGCUUCCUCCCCACACUUCCUCAUUCUCUCCAUCCUCACUUACCUCUCCCUCACAUUCAUCCUCUACCACAAAUUAACGCCAACGUCACCAUCAUCAUCACCUCUCAUUGGACCCCACAUCCUCAAGCCCAUCACAACCGUCCAUAACCUCACCCUCCUCCUCCUCUCCCUCGUCAUGGCCUUUGGUUGCACUCUCUCCAUCGUCCUCCAUUCACCCGACCUCCGUCACACCCUCUGUUUCCCCCCCACCAUUUCUGCCUCCGGUCCCCUCUUCUUCUACGCUUACAUCUUCUACCUCUCCAAAAUACUCGAAUUCCUAGACACCCUUUCGAUCAUUUUGUCAAACUCCAUCCAACGGCUUACAUUCCUCCACGUCUACCACCAUGCAACCGUCGUCGUAAUGUGCUACCUUUGGUUACAGACGAAGCAGUCUUUGUUUCCUAUCGCACUUGUCACCAAUGCAAGUGUGCACGUGAUCAUGUACGGGUACUAUCUAUUGUGUGUGAUGGGGUUGCGGCCAAAGUGGAAGAGAUUGGUCACUGACUGUCAGAUUGUUCAGUUCGUGUUUAGUUUUGUUGUUUCAGUUUUGAUGCUGUAUUAUCAUUUUGCGGGAUUUGGAUGCUCUGGGAUCUUGGGUUGGUGCUUCAAUGCUGUGUUUAAUGCUUCCCUCUUGACACUUUUUAUUAAUUUUCAUUCCAAGAGCUAUGCUAAGAAAAAGCAGGGAUGAUCAAAACAAAUCGUCGUUGUGAUUGUUCUCUGUGUGUGUGUGUUUUUUUUUUUUUGGUUAAUUAUGAAGGGUUGUGAUCGGUUCAUUGCAUUUGACAGAGAUGUUGAAGGGUUAUGUACUGGAAAAUAGAAAUUAAACCAACAUUAUCACUAUAACUGGUACAUUAUUACCAUCACAGAUCAAGAUCUGAAUGGACGCAUAGCAGCCAUCCUCAAAACCAAAGGAGGAGAAAAUUGAAAUAGAACAACCACCUUAAGGUGAAUAAGGCCAGAACAAGACACACAUCCUCAAAUCAUAAGGAAGAGGUGGGUGCAACCGAAAAAAAAAAGAAAAAAAGAAAUCAAGAAUCCACUGGAGAAGGCAAGAAAGAUAUUUGCCUCCGAAGAUUUGGUGAGGAAGAGAUGAGGAGUUAGAAAAGUUUUCGGAGAGAUCUACAGAUUAGCUUUAAAAGUGUGUUUUAAAGAAAAAGUUGUUGAGAACUUGAGAGGAUACAUGCGCAAUCAAUCCUUUACUCUUCAUGUUUGUGGAAUGUUUAUCCACUGAGUGUAAUCGUAAUCACACGGUUGAUAUUAGUUGGUUCUAUGUUGGAGUUGAUCCAUCAUAGCCGGAGCCUUUAAAUAAAAAACAUUACAACUAGAGAUGGCAAUGGGGCGGGGUGGGAGUGGGGAUGCCUACCUCAUUCCCCACCCCAUUAAAAAUUUUUGUCUCCAUUCCCCACCCUAUUCCCCAAUAAAUUUAGUGGGUUGAGGAUGAGGAAUCCCUACGUGGGGAAUGAUUCUCCCAUUCCCACCUCAUUCCCCAUUUACUUAUUUUAUAGUAGAUAUAAAAAUAUAAUUUUAGUAAAUUUAAAAUUAAAGACUUAAAAUAAAAACAUCAACAUAUUAUAAAGUAUUUAAAUUUUUUUGAAAAUCUCUAAAAGUUUGAAAUAAUAUCUUAAACUGAUAUUAAAAGUGAAAAAUAUUUAAAGAUAUUUAAAGAGAGCAGCACCUUAAAAGAGAAAAGAAAAUAUAAUAAUAUUUUUAAGUUAAAAAAUAUUGUAGGGUUUUCUUUUACUUAUAUCAUAUUUAUAUUACAUAAAAAUUAAAAAAUUAUUAAUUGACAUUAUAGUCGAUAAAAUAAAAAUUAAAAACAUAUUUAUAUAUAAUGGGGAUUGGGGUGGGGAUGGGGCGGGGAGUGCAAUACCAAACCCAACCCCAUUAACAAUUUGGGGAUUACUUUUCCCCCAAAAUUAUUAAAAAUUUUUUUCAUUUAGGGUGGGGCUCCAUGGGGCCCCAAACCCGUGGAGAAUUUUGUCAUCCCUAAUUACUUUGUCAUCCCUAAUUACAACUCAUGCAUCUAAGUACUUAAAGUUGGCUUGAGUGCAUGGGUUAUUGUCAGUUUUCUUCCUAAUUAAAUUAGGUUGGGAUAAAAUUAUCUCUUUAUUAAUAAGAAUAAAGUAGAUAUCUCUCUCGAUUUUCCUCUUAAUUAAACUGGAUAGGAGUAAAAUUAUCUUUUGAUUAAUAAGGAUGUAAUAUAUAUCUCUCUAAUAUUAUGUGAUGGUAGAAAUUUGGGUUGUACCGUAAUAGAAUUAUCAAGGAUAGUCUUGAUAGAAUUAAUGUAAAGAAUUAAGAUAAAGCCUCAAAGAUGGAACAGAGGUUAAAAAAAAAAAAGAGUACAAGACAAAGAAAUAAGGAAACAAAAGAAGACCAAGAAUAAAAGAAAAAAUAAUUUGGAAAACAAAAAAAUGGAUUGCAAUUUUAAAUUUUGAUUAAGGAUAAAUUGUAGUGGAUGCCAUUGUUGGUAAUUUAUUAUAUUUCAAAGCUCAAAUAAGGAAUAAAAUUAUUAUUAUUAUUAUUAUUAUUUUGCAAUAACUCGUUUCAAAUUUUAAAAGAUUAUAACUUUUUGUUUUUUAACAUUUUAAUCAUAAAUUAAAAAGGAGUUACUAUUCAAGAUUCCUAAGAAUACUGAAAAAAAUGAUAAAUAUUAUUCUAAGAAAAUGAUAUAUAUUGGAUAUACUAAAUAUUAUAAAUUAUUAAAUAUUUUACUAUUUUACCCCUUAGUUUGAUGUUUGGGGAAAAAAAAUACUAAAAUGGCUUUCAAUAAAAAGAAUUAUUAUUAAAAAAAUAAGAUUAAAAUUAUAACAAAUGAUAUUAAUAAGAAAGAAACUGAUAAAAAUUUGGGAUUAGAAAUAGGGGUUAAGGCUUCAGUCCUUGAAUUUCUCUAAAUUUUAUAUAUUUUUAAUUUUUAACCCGUCAAAUUACAUUAUUAAUGGAAUGUCAAUAAAUUUUGUGCGUUAAUUUUUGUUUUAGAUACUUUGAAAGGUAAAAUGGUAUUUUGGAUGGUAAAAGUCAACUAAUUAAUUAAAUAUUUAUAUUCUUCGCUCACCGGAUUUCUUAAAAAGUUUUCUGAACCUCCUAGCCAGCAUAUCCAUCUCUUCCUCAUCCAGCUCGCUUUCCUCAUCACUUUCAUGUUUCGAGGCUUUGAGAGCAAUGUUUUUCUUCUUCUCCUCAUUGCCUCUUUCGGCUUCUAAGUCUUCCUCAUAAGAAAUAAGAGAGCCAAUUAAAUCAUCAAUAGGUAAGAUAUUUAAAUCCUUGGCUUCUUCAAUGACAGUCCUUUUUGGUCUCCAUUCCUUAGGUAGCGACCUAAUAGUUUUCUUAACUUUCUCGCUAUUUGAAAAAGUAUUUCCUAGGGCUCCUAGAGUGUUCACUAUGUCCGUAAAUCUAGUAUACAUAGCAUACACACUCUCAUUUUGUUCCAUUUGGAACAAUUCAUAUUGCCGAGUGUACCUACUAAUUUUAGACUCUUUCACUUGAUUUGUGGCUUCAUAAACAACUUCAAGUUUGUGCCAAAUUUCAUUAGCACUCUCACAACUAGAUACUCUAUGGAAUUCUUUCUUAUCUAGUGCACAAAAUAAGGCAUUCAUAGCUUUGGAAUUUAGAGUAGCUUUUCUCUUUUCCAAUUCAUUCCAUUCCCGUGAAGGUUUUGGAAUAUCUUCCCCGACUUCGUUUCUAGUCAAAGGCAUAAAUGGACCAUCACAAACAAUUUCCCAAAUUUCAUAAUCUAAAGCUUGUAAAUAAAUUCUCAUCCUAGUUUUCCAAUAUGGGUAGUCAUUACCGUCAAAGAACGGUGGUCUAAUUGUGGAUUGUCCUUCCCUAAAGGUUGAAUCACUAUAGGUUGCCAUGGAUCUUUAACUCUACACGGUUAAGUCUACACAAGAGCACCUCGCUCUGAUACCAAAUGAAAUACUAACUAGGCAACCUAAGAGGGGGAGUGAAUUGGGUUUUUAAAAUUUAAGCUAAACAAACCACACAACAAUUUAAUCUAUUACCUUGAUCAAAUUGAAAACAAUAAAUUCAAUCAUGCACAAUAUUAAAAGAGUAAGGGAAGAGAAAACAAACACAAUGAUUUUUAUGUGGUUCGGCAAUCCCCGCUUACGUCCACGCUUCCAAGCUCACCGGGCUUGAGGAUUUCACUAAGCUAGCCUCCCAAGGCUUCAAAAGCUUACAAUUGACUUCCAAGGUGUCAAUGGACCUUUACAACAAGAGAUUAUCCCCAAUCUCUUAACCCAAGUGUAUCCCAACACUUACAAUCUUUUAACUUGAUUUUACAAAAAAAAGAUUACAAAUGAAUCUCUCUCACACAAUAUGUUUGAUCACAAGUGAAAGCUCAAUGUGUGAAUGAAUGAGAUGAAUACAAGAAUUUAAAGCUCAAUGAAAGUUGUAUUCUCAAUAUUUUGCUCAAUGAUGAUUGUUGGAAUCCUUCUUGUUUGAAUUGGAUUGAGCUUAUUUAUAGUUGGAGCUGAAAAACUAGCCGUUACAAACUGUCUGCCCGAAAACGGCUCGCCGUUAACCAUUAACGGUUAACCGUUUACGCUGGUCAAAAGUUACCGUUGGGCCAAAUUUCAAACAAACGGUUAACCGUUUAGGCUUACCCUUUUGCCGUUAAAUUCCAGAGACCAGCAAAACAAAUUUGAUUUAACCGUUCUUACUAAACGGUUCAAGGUUAGCAAUCUAGAAAUAAUCAGUUAACCGUUUUCAGUAAACGGUUCACCGUUAUUUUCCAGAAUCAUCAUUUUAACAAUACUUUGCAGAACAUGCUUUCUGGAAAUUAUCGGUUAGCCGUUUGCUACAGUGUAAUUACUACAGUGAAAUUAUUUUCCAAAAUUACAAUUUGACCCCAAAACUUUAUAAACUAUAGUAUGGCCCAACACGUUAUGAAACAUUGCACAUAGGUCCAAUUUCAUAAUUUCUAAGUAAUGCUUUGUUAAUCCCAAAACUUUUUGAAAUUAUGGUAUAGCCCAAAAUGCUAUGACACUUUUCAAAUAAGUCAUUCUCCAAAAUUUCAAGCAAUAUUUGUUUAUUUCAAAGUUUUCAAAAUUCUUUCAAUUAAACCAUAAACUUUGAAAAACAACCAAUUUCAUAAAAUCAUUUUUCCAUUAAAUAUGAAACAUUUAUAAUGUGAAAAUAAUGAUUUAUUUAAAAAGAAUAAAAACAAUCAAUUUCUUGAAAUCAUUUUUCCAUUAAAUAUAAAACCUUUAUAAUGUAAAAGUAAUGAUUUAUUUUAAAAUGUAUAAAAAAUAAUUUGAUCUUAAAAGAUUAAUCAUUCUUAAUCUUGUUUGUUAUCAUCAAAAUCAAUAUUAUGGAAACAUAUAUGUUAACAACAUAUACAUCCUUUACUUUAUAAUCUUUUACUUUUGCUCUUAAGCUAAAGCAUUAAAAGGCCCCAUAUCCACUCUUUAUAUAUAUAUAUAGGGAGAAUGACAAUUUUCUCCCAUACUGUAAUCAAUAUAUAUCAUUUACGUCCUACUUUUUUAUAAUAACCAAUAAUCCUUGGAUAGCAUAAUUUAACAAUAUUAUUUUUGGUUUAUUUUAAUUUUUGUUCAUUUGAUUUCAUAGUAGUAGUUUUCAUUUUUUUAGUUUAAAAUUUGUAAAAAUGAACUAAAAUGAGAUAAUUUUGAAUAAGAAUCAAAACAAAAAAAGGCCCAAAAUUACCCCUAUUCCGAACAUUAUCUGAAUCCAUCAUAAUUGACCCAAAUUCAAAUUUAACUCAAACCCAACCUCGGCCUCAUAUAAUUAUAACCUGAUCCGAUCUAGACUCAACCCCAAAGUUUUGAUUUGAUCUAAUCAAAUUCGAAUAUUCCAAGCCAAUCAACCUAAAACCCAAUCAAGUUCAUCCAAACCCAAAUUUGCGUACUCCUAGAGGGGACCAUCACCCUAUAAGCUUUGAAUUUUUUUUUGAGGUUUUUAAAUGAAAUAUUCAAAAUUAGGUAUAAAAUGACUGAUUUGCCCUUGAAUACUUGAUACAUAAACUUGAUACAUAUAAUGAAACUUUAAUUGUAUAUUUUGUGAAAUAAAAUCAAUUAAACCUGAUUUUUUUUAUUUGUUAAUUAUUUUUCAUAGCCUUUUUUAAAAGUUUGUAAGUUUGGGCCUACCUCUUUGAUUGUAUGUUGUUCAUUUUGCUUUCUCUUGCAACAAUAGUUUCAAAUAUCAGUCACAAAAUUCUCAAAUUUUGGAAUACCCUACAUACUAGCUAUAAAUAGAAAAAACUGAAUAAAAUUAAUCCCCAACUAACACUUGAAAUUUGAACUUGGGCCUCAUGAAGAUUUACUCUGAGCUCCGCCCCUGAUAUGCAAUAAAAUAUUAGUUUUGCUAGUGAAAUUUUCAAUUAUGUUUUUUUUUUUGUAUUUUCCGCUUAGGGAAGAAGAAAUUUCCUACAACUAUUGUGGUGAAUAUCUUGUGAAUUUAUGACAGUUUAAUCUUUAGUUUGCCACUUGCUUAAAAUGAAAAAGGGAAAAGGGUAUUUAUAUCUCUAAGGUUUGGAGAAAUAGUCACCAACACUACAAGUUUUCUAAAAAGGACAUCAAGACUCCUUUUUUACCAUAAUACCCUUUACUUUUAGUACCUCGAAAAAUUUAACUUGCAAAUGAAUAAAUACAAAUAUUAUAUAAAUAAUGUAAUCUACUUUGUAGAUUAAUAAUAUAAUCUACUUUGUAGAUUAAUAAUAUUUAAAUAUUUAAAUAAAUUUAAAUAUGUAAAUUAAUAAAUUUAUUUAAUAAUAUAUUUGUAUUUAUUGCAUUUUACAAUUAAAAAAGUCUCACAUACUAAUAAUGUUAAAAUUAUUAUUUUACAUAAUAAUUUAAAUUUUAAUACAUUUAUUUUAAUAUUAUGUUUACAUUUAUCAUAAAAUUUACUUUAACAUAAUAAAAUAUAUUAAUAGAUUGUAAAAUAUUAAAAUAUUUUUAAAUAUUGAAAUUAUUUUAAAAUGUAUAAAUUAUUACAUUUAUUUUAAUAUUAUAUUUCUCUUUACUAUAAAAAAUUAAAGUUAAUUUUUGGGAUAAUAAAGGUAAAGGGUAUUGCAGUAAGAAAGAAGUUUUAGUAUCUUUUAUUGAAAACUUAGGAGCAUUGGUAACCAUUUCUCCAAACUUUGGGGAUAUAAGUGUCUUUUUCCUAACAAAAAAUGACAUUUUUAAUAGGAGAUAUAAUAAGCUUUGUUCUAUAGAAAAAUCCAUCAGAUAUAUUAUGCCCCCGGUUGCUAUGUUAAAAAUAAGUAAUUCUUCUUUUUGUAUAUUAAAAUAGUAAAAGGGUGGAUAAUAUUUAAAUUUUCUUUUAACCUUUUAUCUUUUUUGACAUUCGAAUUUUAAACUCGAGAAAUAGACUUCCUGAGAGGUUAACUAAAUUCUUAGUAAUUUGAUAUAAUUUCAUAACCGUUCUCCAAAAGCAUUACGAUAUUUAUUAAAAUCAUUAUGGGACUGAUUUUAUUCUCUUUUUUUUUCUCAACAAAAUAUCCGACUGCAGAUGUAAUAAAUUACUCAUUACAAUUAUUUGAGUCCCCACUCUAAAUUAGAUUUUGAAGUUUGUCCUGACAUAAUAAAGUUACAUUUUCAAAUGACCAAAUCAAUUAAUGAGUCUGACAAAAAGAUGUUGUCGGCCAAGUUGAAAAAUAUAAUAAAUAAAUUGUCAGGAGAUGAUUUUUUCUGAAAUUUCAUUUUCAAGGUCCAGAACACAUUCAAAUUUCCGCUGAAAUUCAUAAUGGAUUCAUAUGAUCGGGCGAAAUUACACUAUACAAUUUCAUCAAUACCUAUUAAACGAUAAAAAGUUUAUUGAUUAUUUAUAAUUAAAAAAAAUCUAUCUACUAAGACUAUUCUAGAUCAAUAAUUAAUAUAUUAUAUAUAACUUCAGAAGGUUCAUCGGCGUAUUGAUCUAAGCCUUUUGUAGUAGUUUAUAAAUAUUUUGUUGCUUAUAAUGUAAGAAAUUUUACAGGAGUUGAUGCUGAGUAGUCUGAAUAAGAAAAUUAAUUAUAUUGUAAGUUAUUGGGUAUUUAUAAUAAAAUAAACAAUAAAAAAUGAAUAAAAAUUUAAAUACUUAAUUAAUUUUUAUCAAAUUCUUAUCAAAUAUUUAAAAUAUAUAUAAAAUCAAUUAAUUGAUGAUGUUGUUAAUUUUCAUGAUAUUUUUAAUAUUAUAUUAGUGAUUAUUAAAUUUAAUACAAUCAAUAAUGCUAUAAAUUAUUAAAUGGUUAAUUUUAUUGACAAAUUAUCAAAUAUGCAAAUAAUGAAAAAUUAAUCUCAAGAGUUGGUAGAAGUAAAGUUCCAAUUUAAUCAGAUAAUAAAUAAAAAUAAUUUUUAAGUAAAUUAUAAAUAAAAAAUAAUUAAUAUUAAGUAUAAAUAAACAAUAAUGAUAGAAAUUAAAGUCUCAUAAGAGCAUCUCCAAAAGACUCUUCAAAUAAGAUUCUACUUCUUAUUUGAAGAGCCAUGUCAAUAUUUUACACUCCAAAAGACACGUUAAUUUAAAUUCUUCAAAUAAAAUUUAUUUUUCACUCUUCAAUAUUGCCGAGUGAGUUUCUCCCUCUUCUAUUAAUAUUUUAUUAUUAUUUAUUGAAAAGAUAAGACUGCAAUAAUUAUUAUUUAUGUUUCUUUUAAAAAAUAUAAUAACAAUACAAUUUGAUAGUGGAAAAAUUUGAUUAAAAUAAUAUUAAUUUAUUCUUAUUUGGUGAGUCUUUUGGAGGGGAUUAUAUUUUUUUAUACACUUAUUUGCCACAUCAGUAAGCAAAUUGAAAUUUAAAGAGUAAAAUUUAAAGAUCCUUUUGGAGAUACUCUAAAUAGAUAACUUUUUUUCUUUAAUUUUAUCCCAACUAAAAUCAUGUGUAAAUUACAAUGAUUAAUCCCAUAAUUUUAGGAUGAAACUUAAAUUUAGUCCCCGAGUCCAAUUCAAUUAAUUUAACAAACAGGAGAUAAAUAUUUAAUAACAAAAUUAGUCCAAUUUCGUACUUAAUACUAGUAUAUGAACAUGGCCUGAUAAAAUAAUUUAGGUAAUAUGCUUCUAUGACUCACAAUUUAAAUAAAUUUGAGAAUUUAUAUAAGGGAUGGAAAAUUCAUAAUAAUCAUAACAUGUGCUAUCUUUUCUUCCUUUUCUUAAUUAAAUAAAAGAAAAAUAUUAAUCACAGAACCACUGCUGUUUAAAAUGACCCGAUGAUCGAUGAAGUCGCAUUCGCCUAUCUAAUAUUGCGCAAUCAGAUAAAUUCUCAAAUUUUAAAUGAAUUUAAUCUGCAAUUAGAUCAAUAACUACACAAUAAAGAUUAAAAAAUUUCAAAUUAUACUUGAGUUAAAAUUUGAUUCUUUUUUAUUAUUUAAAGUGAUUUAUUUAUAAUUAUUUUAACCCAAUUAGAUUUUUUUUUUUAAUGCUUGGUCUAUGACAGAAUUGAUCCUCAAAGUUUAAUUAAGCCUGAGAUGGAUACUCUCAGCAAUUUAUUAGAAUCUAACAGGAAAAGAGAGUUGCGAUUUGUAUGUGUAGAAAGAAAAUGUCAAAACGAAAUGUUAAUGUCACUUGUAGAGAGAGAGUUGGGACUGAUGAUCUGCAAUUUAGUCAUGAAAAAUUAGUGAUUAAAUACAACUAAAUUUCAGUUCUUUCUUUGGGAUCCAGAAAAAAAAUAAAAUUCCCCCUCAAUUUUCUGUUUGCAAGGGGGUAACUGUAAGCACAGUCUGAUUUUAUUUUCAGGGAAUAAUAUCGGUGAACCACCGUCGGGGAAAAUUUGAAGUCUAAACAGGUCAUUCACAGAUAAGGCCAAAGAGUAAAACAGGUCGUUCAUCGUGCAUUUGGAUUCCUUUCAUCUGGUUAAUUAUUGAAGACAAGAUGAAAACGCAACUAAUGUCAAUAUUUUAAUUUGGAAUGGGGGCCGUGUAUGGUGUAUAAAAUAGCAUUAAUUGUUGUCUGUGUUUGUUGUUUAAUAUAUAUAUAUAUAUAUAUAGGUCUAAACAGGUCAUUCACAGAUAAGUCUAAACAGGUCAUUCACAAACAGGUCAUCUUAUGAAUUAUUGAAGACAAGUAGCUGUUCGACGCCAGCACUUUUCAAAUCUGAAGAGCAAUUAGACAAUAUUUCUAUUUCAAAUUGGGGCCACACUCCAAAAAAAUUGCAAUAAUUCUCUGUUUUAUACCAAAUAUUGCGCAAUCAGAUAAAAAAAGGGUCGGCUGCAUGAUUUUUCCAACUUUUGUUUUAUUUUUUCUCUUUUCCACGGGCAUGUUAUAUUUAACAAUUCUCUUUUUGUCGUGACAUAAUGGACUAAAACGGAAUCACAACUUUUUCAAAUGACCAAAUGGCUUCGCCCUACCUGAUAAUAAAAGGCCAUAUAGAUGAGAAAUGGAUCCAUACGUUAAAGCUAUAUUAAAACAUAUAAUAAAUAAAUAGUCAGGAGAUGAUUUUUAUCAAAAAUUUCACUCGCACGGUCCCGACCAAAUACAAAUUUGUGAUGAUAUUCAUAAUGAAUUUAUACAAUUAGGCGAAAUUACUCUAUAUAGUUCCAUCGAUAUAUAUUAUACCAUUAAAAAUAUACUAAUAUUUAUAAUAAAAAAAAUUUAUGACUAUUCUAAAUCGACUGUAUUAUAUGUGAACUCACAAGAUUCAUCGAUAGAUUGCACUGAGCUUUUUGUUGCAGUUUACAAAUAUUUUGUUACUAAUUAUCUUAAGAGCGGCAAGUAACUAAAUACAAAUGUAAGAAAUUUUACAAGUGCUGAUGCUGUGUACUCCGCAGAAAGCUAGCCCACGACGGUGACUCCUGUUGGGACUCCUUCAAUUUGCAGCACAAAAGAACGUUCACAUUGACAUUGACUUGAGGGUAAAAAUUAAAAUAUCUCCAAUUAGUAUAAGAAGAAUCCAAACAUGCUUGAAUGAACAUUCUCUCAGAAUACAUAAAAGCUACUUUCCUCUGAGCAUUUUAGCAGCACGAAAAGCAAUUGCAGCAUUUACCAUUUGAUCUAAUAUCAGAAUGGCUCAUGCGAUCGUUUCCUCUCUCCUGGACCAGCUGAAUUCCAUUGCUCAAGAUCAGGUGAAAGAAAAGUGGAGGCUUGUGACGGGUGUCGAACAAGAAGUGGGAAAGCUUACCACCAAUCUUCAAGCCAUUCAAUCUGUGCUGGAAGAUGCAGAGCAGAGGCAAAUGAAGCAGGACAAAGCUGUUACUUUUUGGCUGGAUCAGCUCAGAGACACAUCCUACGACAUGGAAGAUGUGUUGGAAGAGUGGUUCACUGAAACACGGAAAUUGCAGCUUGAUGAGGGACGCGAUGAUGAUGAUGAUGAUAACGACGGUGCUUUUGUUACUUUUUUGACGAAGGUAUGUUCCUUCUUUCCUGCUGCCUCAAACUGCUUCGGUGGUUUCAAACAACUCAGUCUUCGUCAUCAUAUUGCUGUCAAGAUUAGAGAAAUCAGUGAAAAGCUAGAUGAUAUUGCCACUCGAAAAGAUAGGUUUAAUUUUGUUGAGAAUGUGAGUAACAAUGUUAGGAAUCCAGAGCGAGUGCGAACCAUCUCCUUGAUUGAUGAGGGAGAGGUUUGCGGUAGAGUUGAUGAGAAAAGUGAGCUCUUAAGCAAGUUGUUGGGUGAAAGUAGUGAACAACAAGAAGGCCUUCAUAUCAUCUCACUAGUUGGGUUAGGGGGUAUAGGUAAAACCACUCUUGCACAACUAGCCUAUAAUAAUGAUGAGGUGAAAAGAAAUUUUGACAAAGUUAUAUGGGUAUGUGUAUCAGACACUUUUGAGGAGAUUAGGGUCGCCAAAGCAAUCAUUGAAGGUUUAGGUGUGUCAGCUUCUGGUUUAAGCGAAUUCGAAUCUCUUAUGAAACAGAUUCAGGAAUAUAUUACAGGGAAGAAAUUUUUUCUUGUUUUAGAUGAUGUGUGGGAUGGAGAUUACAAAAAAUGGGACCUAUUCUUUUCUUGUCUAAAGAAUGGCCACCAUGAAAGUAAAAUUCUAAUUACCACACGUGAUAGGUCAGUUGCACUACAGUUGGGAUCAAUAGAUAUUAUCCCUGUCAAGGAGUUGGGUGAAGGGGAAUGUUGGUUACUGUUUAAGCAUAUAGCAUUUCUACGUAGGUCCUUUGAGGAUUGUGAAAAAUUAGAACCAAUCGGGAGAAAAAUAGCAUGUAAGUGCAAAGGCCUGCCUCUUGCUGCAAAGGUAAUAGGGAAUCUCUUGCGCUCUAAAAGUACAGAAAAAGAGUGGCAAAGAAUUUUAGAUAGUGAAAUGUGGAAAGUAGAAGAGAUUGGGCAAGGUCUUUUAGCUCCUUUGUUGUUGAGUUAUAACGAUUUGCCCUCCAAUUCUAUGGUAAAACGGUGUUUCUCAUAUUGUGCUGUCUUUCCAAAAGACUACGAGAUGGAUAAAGAGGAGUUGAUUGAUCUGUGGAUGGCUCAAGGUUACCUUAAUGCAGAAGAAGACGAAGAAAUGGAGAUGAUUGGAGAAGAGUAUUUCAACAUCUUAGCAACACGCUCUUUCUUUCAAGAGUUUAAAAUAUAUGAUGACGAUGAUGAUUUUACGAGUUGUAAGAUGCAUGACAUAGUACAUGAUUUUGCCCAAUUUGUAAGUAGCAAAGAAUGUUUGUGGCUAGAAAUUAAUGGUACCAAGGAAUCAGUCAUAAACUUUUUUGGUGACAAAGUCCGUCACUUAGGGUUAAAUUUUGGAGGAGGAGCUUCAUUUCCUAUGACCAUUUAUGGACUUAAUAGAUUGCGUACCCUCCUAAUUUAUGACCAAAGUUUUGUCAAUUUAUCUCUUAACAGUAGCAUCCUUCGGGAGUUAUUUAGUAAAUUGGCAUGUUUAAGGGCAUUAGUUAUAAGGCAAUCGACCAAGCUUUUGUAUGAAGACACAAAUUGGAUUACGGAAAUUCCAGAUAAUGUUGGAAAAUUGAUACAUUUAAAAUAUCUUAAGUUGUCUAAAUUGUAUAUAGCGAGACUACCUGAGACUUUGUGUGAAUUAUAUAAUUUACAAAAACUAGAUAUUAGGCGGUGCAAAUAUCUUAGAGAAUUGCCUGCGGGGAUUGGGAAGUUAAAGAACAUGAGGAGUUUACUGAAUGAUCAAACUGAAAAGCUGAAGUACCUGCCAAUAGGGAUUUCCAGAUUGACCAGCCUUCGAACAUUAGAAAAGUUUGUUGUGGGUGGAGGUGUUGAUGGUGGCAGCACGUGUAGGCUUGAAUCUCUGAAAAAUCUUCAACUCCUUCGAGAAUGUGGAAUAGAAGGGCUGAGUAAUGUAUCGCAUGUAGAUGAGGCUGAGAGGUUACAACUUUACAAUAAGAAAAACCUCCUUCGUUUGCGUCUUGAGUUUGGUGUAGUCGUAGAUGGGGAAGGCGAAGAAAGGAGGAGGAAGAACGAGAAAGAUAAACAACUUCUUGAAGCCUUACAACCGCCUUUGAAUGUAGAGGAAUUAUGGAUUGAAUCCUAUGGAGGCGUCAUUUUUCCCAAAUGGUUGACUUCACUAACCAAUCUAAGGAAUUUAUAUCUUUCCUUGUGUUUUAACUGUGAGCAUUUGCCUCCUUUGGGAAAAUUGCCUCUGGAAAAACUCAUCCUAUGCAAUUUGAUUGGUGUAAAAAGAGUGGGUAAUGAGUUUUUAGGAAUAGAAGAAAGCAGUUAUUGGGACGACCCAUCUUCAUCUUCAUCGUCAUCAUCAGUUAUUGCCUUCCCCAAAUUGAAAUCUCUCAAAAUUUGGUUCUUGGAUGAAUUGGAAGAGUGGAAUUACAGGAUUACGAGGAAGGAAAACAUCUCCAUCAUGCCACGUCUUUCUUCCUUGAAAAUUAAGCAUUGCCCCAAAUUAAAGGUGCUGCCGGAUUACCUUCUUCAAACGACGACGCUGCAGCACUUGAGUAUUCAGGGAUGUCCUCUUCUGGAAAACCGUUAUCGAGAGGGGAAAGGAGAAGACUGGCAUAAGAUAUCUCACAUUCCCCACAUCAAGUGGCGGUAAAUUCUCGAAUGGUUGCAAUUACUAUCACCCACCGGUAAUUGCUCUCCUCUAUUUUACUUUGUUGUUACUUCAAACAACGACACUGCAAACAUUGACAAUUUUAUAGAACGCAUUAGUACAUGUCAAUAACAAGACCAAUUAGAUUAUGGCAUUGCUUUAUUUUAUUUAUUUAUUUUUUUGAUUCUUUUGAAAUAAGAUCAAUUAAUUAGAUCAUGCUAGAAGUUAAUUUUUUUUUUUCAAAUGAAAAAGGAGCAGUCAUACAAAGUUUGAAUAUAAAAUUUAUAAUCUAAAACUAAUGAUGUGACAAUUAACAUGUUAUUAACCUAGCUAAUAGAGUUGGAAGUCCCAAAUACAUCAUAUUCUGCUCCAGAAAUCAAUUCCACCUAGAAUACUUCUUUCUAUUGAAAUUAAUGAUGAUUUGUUUGUUUGCAUCAUGAAAGUCAAAAAUAAUUUUAUGAGUAAUUUGAUUCUUUACGGUACAAAAAAUAAAUUUGGAAAGUACUAAUUUCUCUCAUACUUUUUGGGCUAAAAAAUAAAUGUAAGUCUAACAUAUUUAUUAUAUAAUGGUUCUAUAUAGAAUCAAUCAUGGUAUAAAUAUGUAAAACUUCCUAGUUAUCAAUUUUGUCUUGCAUAAUGAUAAUCGUUUUUUUUUAUAUAUAAUUUAUGUAACAUUAAUUCUUUAAAGUAAUUGUGGAAUUGUUUUUACUACAUUAGCCCUCUUUGUUUUAUUUCAUACGAGUUUAAUUAUGUUCACCAGGGAUUCGAGGAAAUGUCAGAACUACACUAGCAAUUCACAGGUCCAAUCUAAUUUGGUUUUAAUGAUGCAUGCAGGAGAGCAAGAUUAUGAAAAUGAAAAGUUUAGCCAAAGGAUUGCUAAACUGUUCUGCUGGUAAUUCACUUGCUUUAUUUUAUAGAAUUUCAUUUCCAUCUUCUUCUAUUGAUAUCUUGUUGUGAAUAAACAAGCACAGAGAAGUAAAUGAUUGAACCACGGAGAAGUAAAGAUAUAUCCAAAUUCGAUUAUUAUGAUGAUUAAAGCAAGCUCAAGCUCAAGCACUGCAUUUUUUUAUUUUAUUUAGUUUAUAGAAUUUUCAUUUCCACCUGCAUUGCAUUUUUACUUCAUUUUUAGGUUGACGUUGAAGACUCUUAUGGAGAACAUUGGGGUAACCAAGGAUUAUCACUGUGGUUAUUGUGCAACGUUUGGUUGCUGGACUUUGAAGAAGGAAGUGAUGGCCGGGUCUGCUCUGUUUCAAUUGAGGAUGGAUAGCUGCCUGAAAGAUAUGAUGAUUAUUAUUGCAUGAUAUUAAGGUGCUAAGAUCAUCAUUUCUAUCUUGUUUCAUUCUUGGAAUCAUUUAUCCUAUAUAAACAUAUUGAAUUGUGCUAAUAUUAUCAUAUGCGUCAAUGGAGGCAGGAAUUUGGUGUUGACACUAUUAUGCAGGUAACCACACUUCAUAGUUUGCACAAAUUUGCGUUGUCAGAAUAUCCUUUAAUAUUCAUUGUGUUUCUGUGUGUUAUCAGGUUAUCAUCUCCAAGGGUUUGAAAGAGCCUUUGCAGUAAAGUCAGUUUUCACCAGCUCGUGCAAUUGCAAAUUCAUUCAGAGUACUUCAAUAUUGGGUUUUCAAGUUUUGUAUGUUUAGUCGAUUAAAAUGUUUAGUCACUCAUUCUUAAUCAUUUCUGAUUUUCAAGUUCUUUAGGGCCAUAAACAGUUUUUCAAACUCAUUCUUAUUUUUUAGGUUGAUUUCCUACUCGUGGAGAACGUUGGGAAGUCCAAGGAUUAGGCUGGCGAUGGAACUACUACCUCUGUUGUUAUUGUACAAGGUUUGAUCGCUGGACCUUGAACAAGAAAGCCUUACACGCAUUCUGUAAUUGAAGCGUUCUCUAAAGCAAAAGAGCAGUAGAAGGAAUAGUGUUGGCCGGAUCUGUUCUAUCUUAAUUGAAGAUCUCUGUGAUGUUGAGGAGCUAAUGAUUGUUAAGGCAUAUUUUCAUGAACUUCCUUUCUUAACAAAUGUUUCAAUGCUGGCUGUAGUAACAAUUUCAUAUCUUGCAUCUCUCGGGUGCAUCAUGUUCUCGGGUUUGAAAAAGCAUUUGUGGUAAUGCUUCAAAGCUUGUACAAUGGCUGUGAAAAGGCACAUUCAAUUAGGUACGUUUUGGUGCGGUCUCUCAAUGCUAAUAUUAUAUUUUGUAUAGCAAUUAAAAUUUAGCUAUACAAUCUUAAUAUGCAAUAAAUCAUUGUAUACAAAGUUUUCCAUUAAUUAUGUGGUGACAGAAAUUUUAAUUAUCAUAUAUCAAUUUAAAUUUUUUUGUAACUCUCUCUUACUUUGCUUGUACAGAGUACCUGUUUUGGCUGAUAUGUCUAAUUCGUAGAAAUUCAUUUCCAUCGGUUUCCAUUGGCUUUAGCACAAACCGAAACAGAUCUCUGGGGAAAAGUUUUACUUCUUGUGAUAUUAUGCCUCUGUUUCUUCAUUCAUCAUAUUUUUCGAAUUCAUGCUCUCAUUCAGAGGGUAAAGCCUUUUCCAGGCUUCUUUGUAGCCAAACUUUGACGCCUUUGAUGCAUGACUGUCAUUUAGAUUUUCCAAAUAACUGUUAGAUUGGAGAAGAAUAAGAAGAUACUGUUAAAAGGGUAUUUAAUUAAUGUAGUCAAUUACCCUCUGAAUUUCUUGGAGUUAAUGUAGUCAAUUACCCAAUCUUGCUUCAAACUCUGACAUACCUAAUAAAUAGUAGGAGGGGGUGGUAUUCGCCUGGUGUUAAUUUCCUGGCAAGUAUAGUUCACAGAUAGAGGGGUUCUUUUCUUGAUGUCUAAAUACCGUAUGUGAUACAACAUCGUGUAUUCCAAUUUUUCUCCAGUUAAAUUUUAAUACGUUAGUAAAGUUAAUUUUGUUUUAGCGAUGAAUUGUUUUCUUAAUAAUAAUAAUUGCCAUGUUCCUCUGAAGUCUUAUUAAUGCCACGUCAUCGAUCCGUCUAUGCGAACAGUGUCGUGAACAGUACCAUACAUGUGAAUAGUACCGUACAUGUGAAUAGUGCCAUUUUUCCGUUUAUGCUCCUCCUAAGGUUUUCGACCGUCUUGAGUUCAAAAGUGAUGUCCGUUUUGCCGUCUGAUCUCUCGUUUAUUGUGAAAUGACCAUGAUACCCCUAAAAUACAUAAAAUACUUAAUUAAAAAUCAAACACACAUAAUUAAAUUGCAAGAAGCUUAAAUACAUAAAAGUAAGGGUUGUUAGUAAAACUUGAAAUGUAAAAUGAUGAUUUUCUCCUUUAUAAAUAUACAUUUUCUAACACUCAACACCGGCUUCUUAAUUAUUUGUUAAAUCAGGUUUUUCUUAUCAAGUACAUCAUCUUAUUCACCAUUUUGGCUAUAUCAGAAUUUGCUAUUACCAUGAUGUCAAAGCAAGCUCAAGCACUAGAUCCCUAAUAAUAAUGCAUUGCAUUUUCAUUUUAUUUUUAGGUUGGUUUGAAGACCCUAUGGAGAACAUUGGGGUAAUCAAGGAUUAGGCUGGUGAUCGAACUACUUCCACUGUGGUGUUGUGUGCAACGUUCAGUUGCUGGACUUUGAAGAAGAAAGUGAUGGCCAGGUCUGCUCUGUUUCAAUUGAGGAUGGAUAGCUGCCUGGAAGGCAUGAUGAUUUUUGUUGCAUGAUAUUAAGGUACUAAGAUCAUCAUUUCUAUCUUGUUUUUUUCUUUGAUUGGUUUAUCCUCUAUAAGCAAAUUCAAUUAUGGUAAUAUUACCAUUUUUUCACCCAAUUUUCACCGUUGGUUGUAAUAACAAUUUCACGUACUCAAAAGCUACAGAGCAAAGCACAUGUGGGCUGAUCAUAUGCUUCCAUGGAGGAAGGAAUUCGGUAUUAACACUAUUAUGCAGGUAACCACAGUUGUUAAUUUGCACAAAUUUUGCAUUGUCAGAAUGCCCUUUAAUAUUCACAGUGUUUCUUUUUGUUAUUCAGGUUACCAUGGCAUGUAGAGUAUCAUCUUUGAGGGUUUGUGAGAGCCUUUGCAGUAAAGUUACCGGCUCGAACAAUUGCACAUUCAUCGAGAACAAUUUUAGAUUUGCAAGGUUGCGAUUAGCAGGCUUAGUCACUCAUUCCUAAUCUUUUUUGAUUUUCAAGUUAUUUAGGUCCAUUAACCGUUUUCGCACAUGUUUCAAUGCUAGUUGUAAUAACAAUUUCUUAUCCUGCAUCUCUAAGGUGCAUCACGUUUGAAACAGCUUUUGCGGCAAAGUUUCAAUGCUUGUACAAUGGCCGUGAAGAGGUACAUUCAAUUCGGUACAUGUUGGUGCAGUCUUCUAAUGCUAAUAUCAUGUUGUGUAUAUUUAAUUUGCAAUUAAAACAUAGGUAUACAUUCUUAAUCUCCAAUAAAUCAUUGUGUACAAAGUUUUCUAUUAAUUAUAUGGUGACUAAAAGUUUAAUUAUCUUAAAAUUUUUUGUAACUCUCUUUUACUUUGCUUGUACAGAGUACCUGUUUUGGCUGACAUGUCUAAUUCGUAGAAAUUCAUUUCCAUCAGUUUCCAUUGGUGCUAGCACAUACAGAAACAGAGCUCUACUUCUUAUGGUAUUAUGCCUUUGUUUCUUCAUUCACCAUAUUUGUUCGUGUAAAAAACACAGAUUAGAAUGAAUAAUUUCUAUAUUUUAUUGAUGAUAAUUACUCCUCUUUAAAUAGAUUACAGGGGCAUAAAUCAAAUCCCACAAAAUCAGAGCUAUGACAUCUAGAAAUCUAAUUCUAAGGAAACAAAUCAAUAAACCUAUUUAAGGAAACAAAUCUUGCCAAAUAACAUAGAUCCUAAUAUAUACAAUUCUAAUUAUGUAUAAUUUUGAUUUCAUCCACACUCCCCCUCAAGCUUGGCUAUAGAUGUUGAUGAGACCAAGCCUGCCUUCAAGAAACUCAUGAGUAUGUUCUCAGAGUCCUUUGGUGAGGAUAUCAGCCAGUUGGUGAGAUGUAGGCACAUAUUCAAGCUUGAUAAUGUUUCCAUCAAGCUUUUCUUUAAUAAAAUGUCGAUCAACCUCCACAUGUUUAGUCUUAUCAUGAUGAACAGGAUUGUGAGAUAUACUAAUUGCUGACUUAUUAUCACAAUAGAGCAGCAUAGGUUCUUCAAAUCCAAUCUUUAAUUCCUUCAACACCCUUCUUAUCCAGAUAAACUCACACACUCCAUGUGCCAUUGCUCUAAACUCAGCUUCCGCACUACUUCUAGCAACCACUGACUGUUUUUUGCUACGCCAAGUCACCAGAUUUCCCCAUAGCAACGUGCAAUAACCAGAUGUUGAUUUAUGAUCAUUAAUUGAUCUAGCCCAAUCAGCAUCUGUGAAUGCUUUCACCUUUCGAUCAUUGGUCUUUGCAAAAAUAAGCCUUUUUCGGGUGUUCGCUUCAAGUAUCUCAGGAUUCUAUCUACUGCAUUCAAAUGACCUUGACAUGGUGCAUGCAUAUGUUGACUUACUAAACUCACUGCAAAGGCAAUAUCCGGUCUUGUAUGUGAGAGAUAGAUGAGCUUUCCAACUACAGGUGAUAAGAUGUUGCUUGAAUUCAGCAUCUUGUAUUGCGAUGAUUUUGCCCACAUGAGGUUCUGUGAUUCUUGACAUCAGGAUAACUCAGGUCAAUUUUUUGUAUCAGCAUAUAUCAUCUUGUUUACUGUUUUGCCUUCAAAGAAUAAACUUUAGUGAAGUUGUUUUUGUUUGUGUAAGUUAUCAGGUUAAGGAUACUAAGCAGCUUAUUAAGGCAAAUGUCAUAAUGAAGAUUGUUCACCACACCUGGCAUUUAUGAUGGCAAGGAAGAUUAAUUGUUCACAAGCCAAUUUGAUGAGUGUUAGAUUUUUGGCUUUAUAUAUUAUUAGAGCUCUCCCUUCUGAGAGAUAUCUCAUUAAAUUGAGUAGAGCUCUCCCAAUAAUCGCAAGCUUUCAUUUGUUUGUAAAAUCAUCUUCUUAUAUUGAUUGUGUUUCCUUGUGUUAUCAAGUAGAGUAUCAUCUUCAAGGGUUUAAAAAAGUCUUUGCAGUAAAGUUUCAACCAGUUGCUGUGAAGAGGCAUAUUCAUUUGAGUAAUUCAGUUUCAGAUUUUCAGGGCAUGUAUGUUUAAUUAGUUUUGAUUAUGCUCUAAAUCUAACAAAAGUAUAUUUCUACUUCUUGUGGUUAUUUUACUUUUGUAUUUUCUGUCAUCAUUUUGAUUAAUUCAUUCGAAUUCAGACUCUCAUUAUUUAAAACCAUUUUCAGGUGGCUUGCACGCUAAUUAAGAAAUUGGAAAGUUAUCAUUGCUUGAAUGAAAGCACCAUCUUCUUUUGUCAAGGCUUUCCCCACACGAUGAGAUUAUGUGCUUGUUAUCGGCCGCUUAAUUAUUUAUUAAAUCAGGUUUUUGUUAUCAAGUACAUCAUCUUAUUCACCAUUUUGGCUAUAUAUAAAGAUUAAAAUUUCUAACAGUUGUUUCAGAUUCUUGUGCACUCAGGUUAAUAGUGCAAAUGUCAGAAUGAAGAUUGUUCAGUGCAACCGGUAUAGCAAGGAUGAUAGUGGUGAGGAAGAUUGUAACACCCCAGUUCGAAAUCCAAGGGCAAAUAUGUCCACAACUCACAUAUGAUUUAAAUAACUCUUUACAAACAAUAAAAUUCGAGCCUCAAAUACAAAAGCCAGCAGAAUAACUUAAAAAUUUAGCCAAACCAUCUACUAUCUUCAACUUGUCACUCAUCACGAAAUAAUCCUGACUUCUGGAAACUGAAUCACAAUAAACUAUAAUGAGUACAAAACUCAGUAAGAAACUAGUUUUUCUUAUAGAAAAUACAUACAUACUUAUACAUAAUGCAAUGGAUGAUAUGCCAUGAUCUUUUGGAAAUAUUGUAAAAUAAAUUCAUAAAAAUCUCUUUCUGUCGCCUUCAAACUUUCUCAUUUUCUUUCGAUGAAAUACGUAUCCUGCAAUGUCGCACUUUGUGCUGUGCGUGGCACUUUGCGGCACUCUGGCCCUCAAGAGGUGGCCCCUGCAUAGUCUCAAGAGGUGGCCCCCCCACAACUUCAAGAGGUGGCCCCCAAUGUAAAAAUCUCAUAAAACAGAAAUUCCGUUUGCUAAAAUCCACUUUCUCAUUCAUAGAAAAUUCAAUGCAUUUUCGUGCUCAUGCCAAUGAACCAUCACACAUACAUAUGCCCAUGUACAUAAUCACGCCCAUUACAUAACAACACAUCACAUAAACACAUGAGCAGAGACAUAUAAAUCCAUAUUCGUACAUAUCAAAAUAGGCUUUUCAUACAAGUCAAACAUAUAUAUUAUUUAUUGUGAUUCGUUUUAAAGUCUAGUUCACUUACCUCUUGGCAUCCUCAUGUAACAAAUGUGUACUGAUACCAUCAACCUAAAAUCAUCAAUAAAUUCUCAUAAGAUAUAAUCAAAUCUCAAUCAUAAACUCUAAUGUCCUCAAAUAUCUCAAUUUAAACAACUCUUAAGCUCAACCUCAAAUGUCCUCAAUAAUCGGCCCUCAAAACAUAACAGUCCAUACUUCUCCGAUUUUUAAUAAAUUAUUCUCUUAUUGGAAGAAUCUCAAAUUUUACAGACCAUAUGCUGACACAUUGAAAGUUCAUUGAUAAAAAUUUCAUAACAUAAUUCCUUCCAAAACGAUUGAAAAUAAUUCACGUUUCAGACAUCAUCAAUACUGUCAAACAGUUUUCUGUUUUGAACACACUUGCUUUAAAAAUACAAAACAAUUUAUUUCUUUAUCAUAAAAUCAUGAAAAUUUCCAGAAUCAUACUAGACUUAUAUAAAACUCAUUGGUCCAAAUUUCAUAAGUUUGAAGAAGUCUAGAUAUGGUAGAAAUAAUUUCGUAAUUCACUGAAAUCAUAAAUUUCCAGGUUUUCAGACUUGACUUUGAAAAAUCAUAAUUAAUUGAAAUCUUAUCUGAUUAACUUGAAACAAGUUUCAAAACAUAUUAGACGAUGUCUAGUUUAACAUACCCAAAAAUCAGAAUCAAAAUCAAUUUUUACAAAUUACUAUGAUUUUCGUAAUAAUUCACUGUCAGCAUAUUUAUGUAAAAUCUUUGAUUUCUACUUCUAUUGCAAUCAUGCUUCUCCACAACAAUUUAAUAGAAACCAAUAAUUAAAACAUACCUCCAAAAAUUCUCCCAACAAUAACAACUUGAUCCAAUGUGUUGUCUAUGGCAAAACUAAGAAGAAGAAGAAGAGCUUCUUUUUUUUUUCUUUUCUCUCUUGUCUCUCCAUCUCUCUUUUUUAACCGAUCCCUCUUUUUCUCUCUCUUAUAAUGAAAAAGACAUCUUGUUCUAUUUAUACUAGGGUAAAAAGGAUCACUAAAAAUUAAAAAGACUUAAAUACCCUUAGGAGAUUUGGGGUAUUACAAAGAUUGUUGGCAAGCCAAAUAGAUCCCUCCAUUUUGAGAAAUAUCAUCCUCAAAUUUGAAUUGCUGAGCAUGUGAAGUGAAGCUAAAGCCUUAAUAAUGAGACCUUCCUGUGAAAGUUUCAUUUGAGUGAAUUGAACGUUCUUGGAGUGAGUGAGAAAUUAAGCAUAUAUCAGCGAUUAGUGAAUUUUUUUCUUUAACAUUAGUACACUCUUAUUUCUUAGUAAAAUUCUCUUCCCGUCUCUGACUGUGACGUAGACCAAAAGCUUAACAAUGUAAAAUUAUAUUGUUAUUUCCUUAUGCUUGUUUUGCUAUAUAUCAUUUCUGUGCAAUCAAGAAUGUAAUUUUGUAAUUAUUUAAUUCUGCUUCCGCAAACAUGCCGUAUUACAAGUGAUAUCUUGCAGAAUUUUCCCCCCCUUUUUUCUUUCUGCAUUAAAACUGCAACAAAUGGAAGUGACUGGCUUGAUUUUAGCUCCUGUAAAAAAGUGCUUGCGGCAAUGUCUUUUGUAUCAGCAAGUCAUCAAACAUCAUUUUACGCUUGAAGUUGGGCCUUCUGAAGAUUUACCCCAUAUGGAACAAAAUAUUGGUUUCGCUACUAAAAUUGCGAACUAUGUUUUUCUUUGUAUUUUCCGCUCAACUGUUGUGCUGAAUAUGUUGCGAACAUAUGACAAUUUAAUCUUUGGCUGAGACUUGUUUAAAAUAAAAAAUGACACUUUAAAGCAAUAGGAGACUUUUAUAUAUUAAAAUGGUAAACGGGUGGAUAAAACUCAAAAUAAAUUUUUGACAUUUUAUCUAUUUUGACAUUCGAAUUUUAAACUUUAGAAGUCAAGCAAUGAAUAAACCUUUUUGAGAGGCUAAUUAAAUUCUUAGUAAUUUCACAUAAUUUCAUUUCAUCAGAACAGUUUUAUCAAAAGCAAUUUUAUAAAUCGUUGUUGAAAGCUUUAUUCCUUAAUUAUCUUUCACAUAGUUUCUUUGUAAUGUGGGUAAGUCAUAGACCAUGGUAUGAUAUUUAUUAAAUAUCAAAAGAUACCUCUUCUAUGGCAAAGUUAAUUAGACAUGUCUUUAUAAUAAAACAUCAUUUAUUUUGAAAUUGAUCCAACACUAAGAUUAUUGUAGAUCAAAUUAGUCUAUUACAGAUAACUUCAGAAGGUUCAUCAGUAGAUUGUUCCAACCUUUUUGUCGUAGUUUACAAGUAUUUUGUUACUUAUAAUACAAGAAAUUUUACAAGUGCUGAUGCUGAGUAGUCUGAAUAAUUAUUAUGAAUCAUAAAAACAGGGCAGAUGCUGUACAAAUUUUACAAAUAUUUUGUUACUUAUAAUGUAAGAAAUUUUACAAGUGCUGAUGCUGAGUAGUCUGCAUAAUUAUUGAGGUGGUGGAGCAAAUGCUCAGUAGUCUGAAUAAUAAUUAUGAAUCGGAAAAAUAGGGCAGAUGCUGUACAAUUAUUGAGGUGGUGGAGCAGAUGCUCAGUAGUUUGAAUAAUUAUUAUGAAUCGGACAAACAGGGCAGAUGCUGUACAAUUAUUGACGUGGUUGAACAGAAAGCUAGCCCCAGACGGUGACUCCUGUGGGGACUCCUUUAAUUUGCAGCACAAAAGAACGCUCACAUUGACAUUGACUCACGGGUAAAAAUUAAAUAUCUCAUAUGGUAUAAGAAGAAUGCAAACAUGCUUGAAUCAACAUUCUCUCAGAAUACAUAAAAGCUACUUUCCUCUGAGCAUUUUAUCAAGAAAAGCAAUUGCUGCAUUUACCAUUUGAUCUGAUAUCAGAAUGGCUCAUGCGAUCGUUUCCUCUCUCUUAGACCAGCUGAUCUCUGUUGCGGCUGAUGAAGUGAAACAGCAGGUGAGGCUUGUGACGGGUGUCGAACAUGAAGUGGGAAAGCUUACCACCAACCUUCAAGCCUUUCAAGCUGUACUGGAAGAUGCAGAGCAGAGGCAACUGGAGAAGGAAAAGGCUGUUACUAUUUGGCUGGAUCAGCUCAGAGACGCAUCCUACGACAUGGAAGAUGUGUUGGAUGAGUGGAUCACUGCAAGGCUCAAAUUGCAGAUUGAGGGCAUUGAUGAUGACAAUGCUCUUGCUCUUGCUCCUCAUAAGAAGAAGGUACGCUCCUUCUUUUGUGCUGUAUCAAAUUGUUUUGGUAGUUUCAAACAACUUAGUCUUCGUCAUGACAUUGCCGUCAAGAUUAGGGAAAUCAAUGGAAAGCUAGAUGAUAUUGCCUCCCAAAAAGAUACGUUUAAAUUUGUUGAGAAUGUGAGUAACAAUGUUAAGAAACCAGAGCGAGUGCGAACCACCUCCUUGAUUGAUGAGGGAGGGGUUUGUGGUAGAGUUGAUGAGAAAAAUGAGCUCUUAAGCAAGUUGCUGUGUGGAAGUAGUGAACAACAAAAAGGCCUUCAUGUCAUUUCACUAGUUGGGUUAGGGGGUAUAGGUAAAACCACUCUUGCACAACUGGCGUAUAAUAAUGAUGAGGUGAAAAGAAAUUUUGAAAAAGUUAUAUGGGUGUGUGUAUCAGACACUUUUGAGGAGAUUAGGGUCGCCAAAGCAAUCAUUGAAGGUCUAGGCGUGUCAGCUUCUGGUUUAAGCGAAUUCGAAUCUCUUAUGAAACAGAUUCAGGAAUAUAUUACGGGGAAUAAAUUUUUUCUUGUUUUAGAUGAUGUGUGGGAUGGAGAUUACAAAAAAUGGGACCUAUUCUUUUCUUGUCUAAAGAAUGGCCACCAUGAAAGUAAAAUUCUAAUUACCACACGUGAUAGGUCAGUUGCACUACAGUUGGGAUCAAUAGAUAUUAUCCCUGUCAAGGAGUUGGGUGAAGGGGAAUGUUGGUUACUGUUUAAGCAUAUAGCAUUUCUACGUAGGUCCUUUGAGGAUUGUGAAAAAUUAGAACCAAUCGGGAGAAAAAUAGCAUGUAAGUGCAAAGGCCUGCCUCUUGCUGCAAAGGUAAUAGGGAAUCUCUUGCGCUCUAAAAGUACAGAAAAAGAGUGGCAAAGAAUUUUAGAUAGUGAAAUGUGGAAAGUAGAAGAGAUUGGGCAAGGUCUUUUAGCUCCUUUGUUGUUGAGUUAUAACGAUUUGCCCUCCAAUUCUAUGGUAAAACGGUGUUUCUCAUAUUGUGCUGUCUUUCCAAAAGACUACGAGAUGGAUAAAGAGGAGUUGAUUGAUCUGUGGAUGGCUCAAGGUUACCUUAAUGCAGAAGAAGACGAAGAAAUGGAGAUGAUUGGAGAAGAGUAUUUCAACAUCUUAGCAACACGCUCUUUCUUUCAAGAAUUUCAGAAAAAUGAUGAUGAUGAUUUUACGAGUUGUAAGAUGCAUGACAUAGUACAUGAUUUUGCCCAAUUUGUAAGUAGCAAAGAAUGUUUGUGGCUAGAAAUUAAUGGUACCAAGGAAUCAGUCAUAAACUUUUUUGGUGACAAAGUCCGUCACUUAGGGUUAAAUUUUGGAGGAGGAGCUUCAUUUCCUAUGACCAUUUAUGGACUUAAUAGAUUGCGUACCCUCCUAAUUUAUGACCAAAGUUUUGUCAAUUUAUCUCUUAACAGUAGCAUCCUUCGGGAGUUAUUUAGUAAAUUGGCAUGUUUAAGGGCAUUAGUUAUAAGCCAAUCGACCAAGCUUUUGUAUGAAGACACAAAUUGGAUUACGGAAAUUCCAGAUAAUGUUGGAAAAUUGAUACAUUUAAAAUAUCUUAAGUUGUCUGAAUUACACAUAGAGAGACUGCCUGAGACUUUGUGUGAAUUAUAUAAUUUACAAAAGCUAGAUAUUAGGCGGUGCCCAAAUCUUAGGGAAUUACCUGCGGGGAUUGGGAAGUUAAUGAACAUGAGGAGUUUACUGAAUGGUAAAACUUAUUCGUUGAAAUACAUGCCAGUAGGGAUUUCCAAAUUAACCAGUCUUCGAACAUUAGAAAAGUUUGUUGUGGGUGGAGGUGUUGAUGGUAGCAAUACGUGUAGGCUUGAAUCUCUGAAAAAUCUUCAACUCCUUCGAGAAUGUGGAAUAGAAGGGCUGGGUAAUGUGUCCCAUUUAGAUGAGGCCGAGAGAUUACAACUUUACAAUCAGCAAAACCUCCUUCGUUUGCGUCUUCGGUUUGGUGGAGUCGUAGAUGGGGAAGAUGAAGAAAGGAGGAGGAAGAAUGAUAAAGACAAACAACUUCUUGAAGCUUUACAACCGCCUUUGAGUGUAGAGGAAUUAGGGAUUGAAUCCUAUGGAGGCGACAUUUUUCCCAAAUGGUUGACUUCACUAACCAAUCUAAGGAAUUUAACACUUUCCUCGUGCGCUAACUGUGAGCAUUUGCCUCCUUUGGGAAAAUUGCCUCUGAAAAAACUCGAACUACUCGACUUGGAAAGUGUAAAAAGAGUGGGUAAUGAGUUUUUGGGAAUAGAAGAAAGCAGUGAGGAUGACCCAUCUUCAUCUUCAUCGUCACCAUCAGUUAUUGCCUUCCCCAAAUUGAAAUCACUCGAAAUUGACGGAAUGAAAGAACUGGAAGAGUGGAAUUACAGGAUUACGAGGAAGGAAAACAUCUCCAUCAUGCCCCGUCUUUCUUCCUUGCAAAUUAUGAAUUGCCGCAAAUUAAAGGCGCUGCCGGAUUACCUUCUUCAAACGAUAGCACUGCAGAAACUGGGUAUUUAUUAUUGUGAUCUUCUAGAAGAACUGCCCAUUCUAGAAGAUCGCAGGACAACAGACAUACCACGUCUUUCUUCCUUGGCGAUUUGGUAUUGCCCCAAAUUAAAGGUGCUGCCGGAUUACCUCCUUCGAACGACGACGCUGCAGGUAUUGAGUAUUAUGGAAUGUCCUCUUCUAGAAGGACAUUAUAGAGAGGGCAAAGGAGAAGACUGGCAUAAGGUAUCUCACAUUCCCUGCAUCAUGUGGUUGCCGUCGUUGUAAGAUAUCACUCGCUGGUAAUUUCUCCUCCUCCUCUGAUUUACUUCGUUGUUGCUUGCAAUGAAAUUAAUAAAAAUAAUUAUAUUUUGAAUUAAAAUUCUAUAUAGAAUCAAUCAUGGUAUAAAUAUGUAAAACUUCCUAGUUAUUAAAUCUGUUUAACUUGUUUUCUAAAGAUUAAAUUAAAAAAAAGUGUAGUCUGUUGAAAUUUCUAUAUUUACUUCUAAAAAAUAUGUGCUCUUUUGUAAAAUUUCAUACCACAUCAUAGAAAAUCCCAAUGUAAUUUAUUUUUUAAUGUACAAAAAUUUGUUAUGUGUAACUUCCUGAGAGGCAAAAUCUCUGGGAUACAUUUGCAAUAAUGUUGAAAAAUAAAUUAUCAAUUUUAUCUUGUAUAAUGAUAAUCAUAUUUUUUUAUAUAUAAUUUAUGUGACAUUAAUUCUUUAAAGUAAUUGUGUAAUUGUUUUUAGUAGUACAUUAGCCCACUUUAUUUUAUUUCAUAUGAGUUUAAUUAUGUUCACCAGGGAUUCGAGGAAAUGUCAGAACUACACUAGCAAUUCACAGGUCCAAUCUAAUUUGGUUUUAAUGAUGCAGGCAGGAGAGCAAGACUAUGAAAAUGAAAAGUUUAGCCAAAGGAUUGCUAAAAUGUUCUGCUGGUAAUUCACUUGCUUUAUUUUAUAGAAUUUCAUUUCCAUCUUCUUCUAUUGAUAUCUUGUUGUGAAUAAACAAGAACAGAGAAGUAAAUGAUUGAACCACAGAGAAGUAAAGAUAUAUCCAAAUUCGAUUAUUAUGAUGAUUAAAGCAAGCUCAAGCUCAAGCAUUGCAUUUUUUAUUUUAUUUAGUUUAUAGAAUUUUCAUUUCCACCUGCAUUUCAUUUUUAUUUCAUUUUUAGGUUGACGUUGAAGACUCUAUGGAGAACAUUGGGGUAACCAAGGAUUAUCACUGUGGUUAUUGUGCAACGUUUGGUUGCGGGACUUUGGAGAAGGAAGUGAUGGCCGGGUCUGCUCUGUUUCAAUUGAGGAUGGACAGCUGCCUGAAAGACAUGAUGAUUAUUAUUGCACGAUGUUAAGGUGCUAAGAUCAUCAUUUCUAUCUUGCUUCAUUCUUGGAAUCAUUUAUCCUAUAUAAACAUAUUGAAUUGUGCUAAUAUUAUCAUAUGCGUCAAUGGAGGCAGGAAUUUGGUGUUGACACUAUUAUACAGGUAACCACACUUCAUAGUUUGCACAAAUUUGCGUUGUCAGAAUAUCCUUUAAUAUUCAUUGUGUUUCUGUGUGUUAUCAGGUUAUCAUCUCCAAGGGUUUGAAAGAGCCUUUGCAGUAAAGUCAGUUGUCACCAGCUCGUGCAAUUGCGCAUUCAUUCAUAGUACUUCAAUAUUGGGUUUUCAAGUUUUGUAUGUUUAGUCGAUUAAAAUGUUUAGUCAAUCAUUCUUAAUCAUUUCUGAUUUUCAAGUUCUUUAGGGCCAUAAACAGUUUUUCAAACUCAUUCUUAUUUUUUAGGUUGAUUUCCUACUCGUGGAAGUCCAAGGAUUAGGCUGGCGAUGGAACUACUACCUCUGUUGUUAUUGUGCAAGGUUUGAUCGCUGGACCUUGAACAAGAAAGCCUUACAUGCAUUCUGUAAUUGAAGCGUUCUCUAAAGCAAAAGAGCAGUAGAAGGAAUAGUGAUGGCCGGAUAUGCUCUAUCUUAAUUGAAGAUCUCUGUGAUGUUGAGGAGCUAAUGAUUGUUAAGGCGUAUUUUCAUGAACUUCCUUUCUUAACAAAUGUUUCAAUGCUGGCUGUAGUAACAAUUUCAUAUCUUGCAUCUCUCGGGUGCAUCAUGUUCACAGGUUUGAAAAAGCAUUUGUGGUAAUGCUUUAAAGCUUGUACAAUGGCUGUGAAAAGGCACAUUCAAUUAGGUACGUUUUGGUGCGGUCUCCCAAUGCUAAUAUUAUAUUUUGUAUAGCAAUUAAAAUUUAGCUAUACAAUUUUAAUAUGCAAUAAAUCAUUGUAUACAAAGUUUUCUAUUAAUUAUAUGGUGACUGAAAUUUUAAUUAUCAUAUCAAUUUAAAUUUUUUUGUAACUCUCUUUUACUUUGCUUGUACAGAGUACCUGUUUUGGUUGAUAUGUCUAAUUUGUAGAAAUUCAUUUCCAUCGGUUUCCAUUGGCUUUAGCACAAACCGAAACAGAGCUCUGGGGAAAAGUUUUACUUCUUGUGAUAUUAUGCCUUUGUUUCUUCAUUCAUCAUAUUUUUCGAAUUCAUGCUCUCAUUCAGAGGGUAAAGCCUUUUCCAGGCUGCUUUGUAGCCAAACUUUGACGCCUUUGAUGCAUGACUGUCAUUCUUUUUCUUGGUUAUUCAAACUUUCAGUUAUAUAUUAUGUGAAAGAUUCUUUUUCUUAUUAAAGUACAUUGUUGGUUUUUUCUUUUUCCUUCAUUUUGUCUGAAUUAAAGCUAAAAUUGUAAGUUUUUUUUUAAUUGGAAAAUAUUAAUAUUUCAUUAAACAAAUAACAACAAUACAACUACUUGCAGUACAUCACUAGUUCACAUUACAAAGAUUAAAAUACAGAGAUCUGUUUUAGUUACAGAGAUCUAUUACAGUAAUCAAUUGAAUUAACCCCUAAAAGUUUAUUAAAGAAUAGGAAGAAACACAUGUACACUAAAAGAAAAACUUCCAUUCGUAAUGCACAUAUAAUUCAAGCUCCAUUUGGGGUUCCAUGGCUCUUUCGAAAUUAUCUCCACCACCAUAUUUAUGCUUUCCAGCUAGUACCAAAAUAGAUUUACCGUAAAAAUUGAUUCACACCCUCUAACUUUACAAACAUGAGAAACAUAGACUCUAGAUCUAAAAGUUGAAGGGUUAUGUACUGGCAAAUAGAAAUUAAACCAACAUUAUCACUAUAACAGAUACAUUAUUACCAUCAAAGAUCAAGAUCUGAAUGGAUGCACAGCAGCCAUCGUCAAGACCAAAAGAGGAAGAAAUUGAAAUAGAACAACCACCUUAAGGUGGAGAAGGCCAGAACAAGACACCCAUCCUCAAAUCAUAUGGAAGAGGUGGGUGCAACCAAAAAAAAAAAAAAAGAGAGAAUCCACUGGAGAAGGCAAGAAAGAUUUCUGCCUCCAAAGAUUUGGUGAGGAAGAGAUGAGGAAUUUGGAGAGGAAAAGUUUCGGAGAGAUCUAGAGUUUGGCUUUAAAAAUGUGUUUUAAAGAAAAAGUUGUUGAGAGGAAACGAGACCAAUUAGAUCAUGCAAGAAGUUAAUUUUUUUUAAAUAAAAAAGGAGAAAUGAUGAUCUUACAAAGUUUGAAUAUAAAGUUUAAAAUCUAAAAUUAAUGACUUGACAAUCGAUGCAUUAUUAGCCUAAUAGAGUAAGAAGUCCCUGCUAAAGAAUUCAAUAUUCUACCCAGAAUACUUCUUUCUAUUGCAAUUAAAUGAUGAUUAUUUGUUUUUAUCAUGAAAGCUAAAAUAACUUUGUGAGUAAUUUGAUCCUUUUGCAGUAUAAAAAUAAAUUCAGAAAUGGGCACCAUUCUUCCUUUGUUUAAAUCAUGGUCUCCACGGAAGUAAAAUUUUGGUUACUACACGUAAUGAGUUAGUUGCACGUAUGAUGGGAUCAACAAAUAUUAUCUUCAUUGAGCAAUUGAUUGAAGAGGAUUGCUAGUCGGUUUUCAAGCGAUUAGCAUUUUUCGGUCACUCUUUCGAGGAUUGUGAAAGAUUAGAACCAAUCGGCCGAAAAAUUGCACGCAAGUGCAAAGGCCUGCCUCUUGCUGCAAAGGUAAUAAGGAAUCUCUCGCGUUCAAAAAGUGCAAUAAACGACUGGCAAAGAAUUUUAGAUAGUGAAAUGUGGAAGGCAGAAGAGAUUGGGAAAGGUCUUUUGACUCCUUUAUUGUUGAGUUAUAAUGAUUUGUCGUCCAAUUCUAUGGUAAAACAAUAUUUUUCAUUUUGUGCUGUCUUUCCGAAAGACUACAAUAUGUAUAAAGAGGAGCUAAUUUCACUAUGGAUGGCUCAAGGUUACCUUAAUGCAGAAGAAUAUGAAGAGAUGGAGAUGACUGGGGAAGAGUGUUUCAACAUUUUAGCAACACACUCUUUCUUUCAAGAGUUUGAGAAAAAUGAUGAUGAUGAUAUUAUGAGUUGCAAGAUGCAUGACAUAGUACAUGAUUUUGCUCAAUUUGUAAGUAGCAAAGAAUGUUUGUGGCUAGAAAUUAAUGGUACCAAAGAAUCAGUCAUAAACUCUUUUGGUGGGAAAGUCCGUCCCUUAGGUUAAAGUUUAAAGGAGGCGCUUUAUUUCCUAUGUCCAUUCAUGGACUUAAUAGAUCGCGUACCCUCCUAAUUGAUUAUGAAAGUCCUUCCAAUUCGUCUCUUGAUAGUAGCAUCCUUCCUGAGUUAUUUAGUAAAUUGGCAUGUUUAAGAGCAUUAGUUAUAAGGCAAUCAUUCUUGCUUUGUCGUCCUGACCCAAAUUUGAUUAGAGAAAUUCCAGAAGAUGUCGGGAAAUUGAUGCUUUUAAAAUAUCUUAAUUUGUCUGAAUUACACAUAGAGAGACUGCCUGAGACUUUGUGUGAAUUAUAUAAUUUACAAAAGCUAGAUAUUAGGGGGUGCCGAAAUCUAAGAGAAUUGCCUGCAGGGAUUGGGAAGUUAAAGAACAUGAGGAGUUUGCUAAAUGGUCUUACUUGUUCGUUGAAGUACAUGCCAAUAGGAUUUUCCAAAUUAACCAAUCUUCGAACAUUAGACAAGUUUGCUGUGGGUGGAGGUGUUGAUGGUGGCAGUACGUGGAGGCUUGAAUGUCUGAAAAAUCUUCAACUCCUUCGAGAAUGUGGAAUAGAAGGGCUGAGUAAUUUGUCACAUGUAGAUGAGGCUGAGAGAUUAGAACUCAAAAAUAUGGAAAACCUCCUUCGUUUGUAUCUUUUGUUUGAAGUUGUAGAUUGGGAAGAUAAAGAAGAGGAUGAAGAUGAAGGUGGGGAAGAUGAAGGUGAGGAUGGGGGAUAUGAAGAAGAAGAAGGAGGUGAAGUUGUAAAUGGGGAAGAUGAAGAAAGGAGCAGGAAGAAUGAGAAAGAUGAACAACUUCUUGAAGCCUUACAGCCGCCUUUGAAUGUAGAGGAAUUAUGGAUUUUAUUAUAUGGAGGCAACAUUUUUCCCAAAUGGUUGACUUCGCUAACCAAUAUAAGGAAUUUAUUUCUUCACAGGUGUCUUAACUGUGAGCAUUUGCCUCCUCUGGGAAAAUUGCCUCUGGAAAAACUCGCCCUGCAAAAUUUGAAUAGUGUAAAAAGAGUGGGUAAUGAGGUUUUGGGAAUAGAGGAAAGUAGUGAUGAUGACCCGUCUUCAUCUUCAUCAUCAUCAUCAGUUAUUGCCUUCCCCAAAUUGAAAUCACUCAAAAUUUGGGACAUGGAAGAAUUGGAAGAGUGGGAUUACACGGUUACGAGGAAGGAAAACAUCUCCAUCAUGCCACGUCUUUCUUCCUUGGAAAUUGAUUGUUGCCCCAAAUUAAAGGUGUUGCCAGAUGACCUUCUUCAAACGUCGACACUGCAGGAAUUGAGUAUUGGGGGAUGUCCUAUUCUAGAAGACUGGCAUAAGAUAUCUCACAUUCCCCACAUCGAGUUUUAAAUUCUCGAACGGUUGCAAUUACUAUAACCCGCCGGUAAUUUCUCCUCCUCCUCUGUUUUGCUUCAUUGUUACUUGUAAUGAAAUUAAUAAUAAUAAUGAUAAUAAUUAAAUUUUGAAUUAAAUUUCUAUAUUUUGCCAAUGUCUCAUAGGAAUGUGCAAUAUUUUCUAAUAUUUUGAUUUUUGUAUUGAAUAUAACUAUUUACUUCAGUGUACGAUAAUUUGUUACGUGAAACUUCUUGAGAGACUGAAUUUCUGGGGUACUUUGUAGUAAUGUUGAAAACUAAGUGAUGGCUGGGUCUGCUCUGUUUCAGUUGAGGAUGGAUUGCUGCCUGGAAGACAUGCUGAUUAUUAUUGCAUGAUAUUAAGGUGCUGAGAUCAUCAUUUCUAUCUUGUUUCUUUCUUUGAACGGUUUAUCCUCUAUAAGCAUAUGGAAUUAUGUUAGUAUUAUCACUUCUUCACCCAAUUUUCACUGUUGGUUGUAAUAACCAUUUCAGGUUCUCAAAAGCUACAAAGCAAAGCAUCUUUGGGCUGAUCAUAUAUUUCAAUUGACGAAGGAAUUCGAUGUUGGCACUAUUAUGCAGGUAACCAGAGUUGAUAAUUUGUACAAAUUUGCAUUGUCAGAAUACCCUUCAUAUUCACCGUGUUUCUUUGUGUAGGUAUGUAGAGUAUCAUCUUCAAGGGUUGUAAGAGCCUUUGCAGUAAAUUUAGCUGCUAGUGCAAUUGCUCAUUCAUCGAAGUACAAUUUUGGAUUUUCAAGGUUUGUAUGCUCAGUUGUAAUUAAAAUGCUUAGUCACUUAUUCCUAAUCUUUCUGAUUUUCAAGUUAUUUUAGGUCCAUAAACAGUUUUCACACAUGUUUCAAUGCUUCUUGUAAUGACAAUUUCAUAUCUUGCAUCUCUAAUGUGCAUCAUGUUUGAAACAGCUUUCGCGGUAAAGUCUUCGAUGCUUGUACAAUGGCUGUGAAGAGGCACACUAAAUUCGGUACAUUUUGGUACGGCCUCCUAAUGCUGGUAUAAUGUUGUGUAUAUUUAGUUUGCAAUUAAAACUUAGGUAUACAAAUCUUAAUCUGCAAUAGAUCAUAGUGUACAAAGUUUCUAUUAAUGAUAUGGUGACUGAAAGUUUAAUUAUCUUAAAAUUUUUCUAUGACUCUCUUUUACUUUCUUUGUACAGAGUACUUGUUUUGGCUGAUGUGUCUAAUUCAUAGAAAUUCAUUUCCAUCGGUUUCCAUUGGUUUGAGCACAAACAGAAACAGAGGUCUGAGGAGAAGUUUCACUUCUUGCGGUAUUAUGCCUUUGUUUCUUUAUUCACCAUAUUUGUUCGAAUUCAUGCCCUCAUUAAGAAUUUAAAGCCUUUUCCAGGCAGCUUUGUAGCCAAAUUUUGAUGCCAUAAAUGCAUGAUUGUCAUUUAGAUUUUCCGAAUAUUUGUUAUUUGGAGAAAUAUUGUUAAAAGGGCAUUUGAUUAGCUACUUACCCUAUGAAUUUAGUUGCCAAUAAUAGAUUGAAAUUGAGUAGGCUAAUGGUUGAGGAAAGUUAUUGUCUUAAUUAAAUUACAGGUGAUAAGAUGUUGCUUGUGUAAUCAGAUAAAUGGGGCAAAUGUCAGAACAAAGAUUGUUCAGUGCUGCUGGUAGGGCAAGGAUGAUGAUGGUGAGGAAGAUUGUUCACAAGCCAAGUAGAGCCCUCCAUUUUGAGAAAUAUCAUCCUCAAAUUUGAAUUGUUGAGCAUAUGAAGUGAUGCUAAAGCCUUAAUAUUAAGUCUUUCUGAAAGUUUCAUUUGAAUGAAUUUUCGGAGAUUGAAUGUUCUUAGCGUGAGUAAGAAAAUUAAGCACAUAUCUGCGAUUUGGAUCGUCGGUGAAUGUUUUCCUUUAAUAUUUGUACAAACCCGUUUCUUAGUAAAAUUUUCUUCAUGUCUUUUACUAUGACAUAGGCUAAUAGCCGUACCACAUAACAUUAUCUUCUUAUUUCUUUAUGCUUGGUUUUGCUACAUAUAAGAAUGCAAUUUUGUAACUACUUAACUCUGCUUCGGCAAAGUUAAGUAGUUACAAAAAUUUUUUUUUUUCGUUUUUCUUUCUCCGAUAAAAUUGCCACAAAUGGAAGCGAUUGGCUUGAUUUUUGCUUCUGUAAAAAGUGGUGGGAGCAAUGUCUUGUGUACCCGCAAGUUAUAAAUCGUCAUAGUUUAAAUGACGAAUCCCGAGUUGCCAUCCAAACUAAAGAAAUUGCAAAUUAAGUAGUUCAUUACAAAUGAUAUAUUUUGAGUUGCUAAUUAUUAAGUAUUUCAUUCAAAAAUGUUCUCGUUCCCACAGUUUCUAAUGUUUAAAGUGCAUCAUUGCUCUACUUCCGUCAUAACAGCAUAAGAGAAUUUAACAUAAUACUGAGAAAAUGAUUAUUUUACCCUAAAUGUAAAUGAUUAUUCUACCCUUAACAUAAAAUAACUAAUUUGCCCUAAUUUAAUAACGAAAAAAAUAGAUGACUGCAAUAUAGAUAUUAAAUAAUAAAUAAAAUAAAAAAUAAGAAUUAAAACUAAAAUAAUUAAAAGAGAGCUCAAGAGAAAACGCACUUUAAUCUGGUACCUGUACCCGUGGAUCGUGGCGAUGGCGGAUUGGGGCUUAUUACCAAGUCGUUUAAGAAUUUUAAACUUUCAAAUUUUUUUUAAACCUUGAAUUUUUUAGUUUAUUGGUUAAGUGAUAAAAUUUGGUGGUAGUUUGAUACUGUGUUGUAUGUUGUGUUAUUUUAGCUCAUUAACUUUGUUAUGUAAUUCUUCUUUAAAUACGACGUCGUUUUUGUCCAUUAAGAGUCCAAUGACAAGUUUAUCAUUCUGACAUGAGUAAAAUUCUAACGGCGUGAUGACAAUAGUGUAGAAAUGAUAGAUUUUGUAAACAUCAGGUGGAAUUGUUAAAAAAAAAAAUGUGGUCGUGUAUUUUUUAUAAAGUCUAAAACAUCAAGUGAUUAGAGAAUAUUUGUGCUUAAGUAUUUGAUUCAAAAAAAUUUCCACUCCUAGACUAUUUAAGUUGUAACCAAAACUGAGAAUUUUUUUUUUUUUUUGCAUGAUGAAUCUCGAUAUUUAGGAUGAAUAUUUUAAUAUUUAAGCUUAAUGGUCACCCACUAUUGGUAGAAGAAUUUUUAUUCUAACACUAUACAAUUUUCGUGUGAGGUGGUCUUGGGCUUAUCUCAACCUUAAAAGUCAAAAGCUAGCUCAAUAAGUGAGAUUUUUUUCUCACACUUAUGAAAUCACCACGAGCUCCUCCCACAACCAAUGUGGGAUAAUCCCAACAAUCUCCCCUCACUCAUCGAGCCUUGGGUUGGAAGCAUAAACAUCAAUUCUCCCUAUUAGAUUGUUGGUUGAGUUGUUGGUGAACCUGAGCUUUGAUACUAAUGUUAGAUGGUCUUGGGCUUCUCUCGACUUCAAAAGCUAGCUCAAAGAGAGAGAUAUUCCCUCACAUUUAUGAGGUCAUUAUCAGCCUCUUCCACAAUCGAUGUCGGCUAACCCGACAUUUCUCUCUCUAUAUAAUACAUAAGUUGGAUAAUAAAUUUAUAUCUCAAUCUAGGUAUAAACAUUAAUUUUAUUUCUUUUUAUCAAUCAUUAUCCUAUUGGGUCUAUCGACUCACCGUACAAAAUGUUGUAAAACUUCCCCGCCGAAGAGACUUUGGUAGCUUUGAGUUUGUAAAUCAAGUUCCUAUCCGUCGUCCCUCCUAAUCCAUUCUUCGGCCAAGUACGCCUGACAUUCUUGUACCUUACAACGUCAUAUUUGGCACAAAAUUCAUGAAACUUAAACCAAACACUAAACUAUUAUUAGUUCUCAACAUUUUAUAUCAUUCGACGUUUUGUGUCAGAAUAAAUAUUUUAUCUUUGAACUUCUCAAGCACUUAUUCAUGGCUUAUUUCUCAACUCACUAUGGAUUAAUGAUGCUGAUGAAAUUGUGGAUUAACCAGACAAUAUUGUAAUUAUUACACAUACACACAAGCACACGUACAUACGUACAAAAGCAUAUAGGAGUUGACCUUGCUCAGGAUUUAAAAAAAAUGAAUAAAAUUUUCCAAUAAUUAAUUAAGAUAAAAAAGAUCAUUAAAACCCGAGUACCCCUCGCAAUUGUGUCACUUGAAUUCUCUGUAUUUAUGCACAUAUAAUAUUUUGAAUGAAUCUAUAAUGAUGUUAAUUUUUUAAUGAACUUAAUCUUAAAUUAAAAUUUUCUUUUGAAAAAAAAGAAGAAAUCUUAAAUAUUAUAAAAUAUAGAUCAGUUGGAAAACUAUUCCUAGAAAUGCAUCUUAGUUUUAUUCUUGGAAAAUGUUUCCUUUCGCACUUGCGAGGAAUUAGAAAUUGAACAAUAAUUUUUAGACUUUUCAUUGUCUUUGUGGUUAUAUGGUUGUCUUUAAUAUAAAUAUAUGAUCCCGGAGGCCAAAUGUCUAAGUCACAUGCAUUUACCUAAUACUUUUUUCUUUUUUCUUUGUUUUUCGGAUAGGGCAAUUAUUUAAUACCUUGAAGAAAGAGAGAUAAAAUAUAAUGCAUGCCAAUUUGUUGCAACAAAGCUUUCAUAUCAAGCGUUGGCAUAAAUUAUUAUGCCAAUUUGUUCAAGACAAUAUCUUUAGUUGGCAUGUAAGUUUCAUUAGCCGGCGUCUACUCUUAAUUUAUGUCAAAUUAAGUAAUCGCUCCGCCCCAAUAAUGUUGCCUUUGAUCUCUCAGCCCCAGUAAAAGAAUUGGCUAAAAGAGAAUGUUGGUCACUGUUUAAGCAAGUAUGCUUUUGGCGGUCCUUUGAGGAUCUUCAAAAUUUAGAACUAAUAACCAAUCAAAUGAAAAAUUGCAUACAAGUGUAAAAGCUUACCCCUUAAUGCAUAGGUAAUAGGAAUUCUCUUGCUCAACAUAUACACCCUUUUCUUUAUAAUCUUUUACUUUUGCUCUUAAGCUAAAGCAUUAAAAGGCCCAAUAUCCACUCUUUAUAUAUAGUAGUUUCUGGUCCGGGAUCAUAAAGUGCGGGAAAUAUUCGGAAAAAUUUUAAAAUCGUGGGGUUUUAAAUGCUUAAAACUUAAAGUGCUUAAACUGAACGGUUAAUAUGUUUUCCUGGACGUUCCCGCAUUUUAAAAUUCCGGACUGUAACAUUUCUCUCUCUCUCUCUCUCUUUAUAUAUAUAUAUAUAUAUAUAUAUAUAUAUAUAUAUAUAGGGAGAAUGCCAAUUUCCCCCCAUAUUGUAAUCAAUUUAUAUCAUUUAUGUCCUACUCUUAUAUAAUAGCCAAUAACUCCUGGAUAGCAUAAUAUAACAAUAUUAUCUUUAAUUUUAAAUACACUUUUAUUUAUAUUUAUUAUAAAUUAAAUAAAACAUGUGAAUGAAAACUAAAAUAAAUAUUAAAUAUUAAAAACAAUAAAUAUAUGUUUUGAUGUGAAUAAAAAAUUAAUAGUAAAAUAUUUUUCUUGUACUUCUUUUAUUUACAAACAUUUUCUAAUAAUACAUAUAUAAGAAAAUUAUUAUAAAAUAAUUAUAAAUUAAUAUAAAUUAAUAAUAAAAUAGUAUAAAAUUAAUAAUAAAAUAUUUUUCUUGUACUUUUGUAUUUUAUAUAUUUAUUAUAAGAAAAUGUUUAUAAAACAAAAAUACAAAAAAAUUUAUUAUUAAUUUUUUUAUUCACAUCAAGACGUAUAUUUCUUGUUUUUAAUAAAUUUUUUUUUUACCAUUCAAUAUGAUUUGUUUAAUGUAUAAUAAAUAUGAAUAAAGGUGUAUUUGAAAAUAAAAAUAAUAUUGUAGGAAACAUUUACCAUUUUCUAAGAGAAGCUUAAGAGUGAGUAAAGGCUUGUUUAAACCAGAUAUUUUGAGCCAUAUAUUUUAAAAUACCUCAAGGCACCCUCAUUGUUAAAUAUGCUAUAUUUCUACUCUUACUUUUUCUUUCCUUUUAUAAUAUUACCCUUGCAACAAUAUUCUAACCUUUUUGAGGAUAUCAAUGAAAGAAAAAAAAUUAAUUUAUCAAAAUUUGCCUUAAAAGUAACAUAAAAAAUUCCACAAAUUUUUAUGUUAUUAUUUUACUUUUAGGAUUAAUUUGGUAAAUUAAUUUUUUAUAAAAUAACUAUUAGUAAAAUUGUUGCAAAUAUAUUAAACAUUUCUUUAAGUUGGAUAAUAUUGAUUUAUUUAUAAAUAAAUUAUUGGCAAUUAGUUCUUUCAUACUGAAAUUUAUUAGUUAAUUUGCUAAUCAAUAAUUAUUGGUUAAUACGCUAAUAAACUUUUAUAGAUAAAUUAAUUAAUGUCAAGAAUAUUAUUGCAAGGUAUUAUUAUAAAAGCAAAUAGAAAGUAAGUGCAAGAAUGUAAUAUAUUUAAUUAUAAAGGUAUUUUGAGAUAUUUUUGAAAUUAUAAGAACUAAACAAGCAUUUACCAGUUGAGAGAAGAUGAAAUGGGAAAAAUUCAAGGGUUAGGAUAUAUGAUGAGUUAAGGAUUAGGUCUUGUAAAAUCUUGAUUUGGGGAGAUGAUUUUGGAGUGUUUCAACCCUAAAUUCAUUUGGGAAGACUCAUUGACGUACACAUUAAAGGUGGAAAGUGUAGAGAGAGAGAGAAGGAGAAAGUGUGUGUUUAGAGUGAGAGAUGUGUAAUUCAAGUAAACAAGUUGGAUACUUGGAUUUCUCACUAAAUAGAGUAAGAUUUCCAUCAUUCUAUCAUUAUUUAUGCUAAAUUUAAUUUAAAGAUUUGUUUAUUUUAUUUAAAUUAAUGUUUCCAACAUAUGGUAAAGUGGUACGAAGAUAAAUUUUGUAAUUUGUGGAUUACUUUAGGUGCACACAGCACCAACAAGGCAUUGUAGAGCCAAAAAGACUUAGCACUUGAUGUUUCUGGUUCGAUAUAUAAAUAGCUAAUAAUUGUGUAUUAUGUUUAUGUAGUUUAUGGUUAGUAAUGAGAUUGGUGGUAAUGUAGCUCUAUAAUUAACUAUUUAUUUCCAAAACUAAGGAACUUCAUAUCGUAUUUUCUUCCAAAACUAAGGAGCUUCAUAUCAUGUAUUUCAUUAAAAAAUAGUCUCACUCUUAGACUUUAUGAGUUGCUGUGAAAAAUAAAUGAUGAUAAAUUUUCAUACAAAUUUAUUUUUAUAAAUUGAUACGACAUUAGUUCAUUGGUUGCAUGAAAUAUAAAAGCAGGUAGCAGUUGGUCCUUUGAGGAUCAUAAAAUUUAGAACCAAUCGGUCUAAAAAUUGCAUGCAAGUGCAAAGGUCUGCUCUUGUUGCAAAGGUAAUAGAGAAUCUCUUAUUCUCUAAAAGAGUAGUAGAAGAAUAGAAAAGAAUUCUAGAUGGUGAUAUGUGGAAGCUAGAAGAGAUAAGGAAAGGUCUUUUGGCUCCUUUAUUGUUGAGUUAUAUUGCUAUGCCAUCCAUGGUAAAAUGAUUUUUCUCAUAUUGUGCUGUCUUUUCAAAAGACUACAACAUGUAUAAAGAGGAACUAAUUACCCUAUGGAUGACUUAAAGUUACCUUAGUAUAACUAAUUACCCGGCGUCGGAGGGUUUACACCGGGAAAACACUCGGCGUGCUCUGACUUGUCUCUGUGUACGCAGGAGUUUGCGGAGAAGAAGCCUUACGAGGAGAGAUCCUGAUCGUGGUCGAGUUGGUUGAGGAGAGAGCUUGGUCGUGGUCGAGCAGGGAACCAAAAUCUCGCAUCAACACAGUUUCUGUUGCAAUUGUAUUGGCCUGGGUUUAGGGAACUGUCAACUUUCAGAAGAAGAUGGAGUUUCUCAAACCAAAUCUAAGAAGAUAUCUCACAUUCCCCACAUGGUCUCAACGCACAGGUAAGUUCUUCUCUAGCUCUGUUUUUCAUUGUUUGUUAUUUUUAAUGUAACUAAGAAGCAGAGUUAAUCUCUUAUCUUGUCCUUGCUUUGAGAAAACCUGCUUUUACAUCUAUUUUUAAUUCACAUGUCCACAGUAAUUUCAUUUUAGUUUGAGCUGAGUGAUAACUGUUCAAGGCUCACUUACUCAUUGGGAGAAGCUGCAUGACGCAGGCUGCAAGGAUUUAGAUUUUCAUUCGAAGGCUCACUUACUCAUAGUGUGCAUGUUUCGUUACGAUUAAAAUGAUUAGUCUCUUGUUCUUAAGUAUACAAUUUCCAAUGGAUUUGAUAGAGCGGUCAUCAACCAUAUUGAUGUUAUUGGAGUAGCACUGUUCUUAAGCACUGCUUUGAGGUCUCUCCCUCUCUAUAUACAUUGAUAGACUAUUCUGGUCGUACCAAAUUAUCCUUGUUUUAUUGUUUUGUUUGUUAAACUUUGACUGGGGGAAUCUGUUUAUUUGUCUGAUAUGAUGUUAGUGUGGUUUCGAUUGAAGUGUGUUGAUCUAUCACCAAGUAUUAUUUCAAUUUUUCUUUACCUAAUCAACUUGCAUACUUUCCAAGUCUAGAUCCUUAACAAUAGUGAGACUCCGCUACAGAAGUACGAUUUCUCUAGUUUUGUAGUUAAAUACGUAAGAAUAGUUUUAAAUUAACAGAACUCUGAGAUAGUUCUCUGAGGAAAUACAAGUGGUGAAUAUGGUUCCAACUUUUAAGUGCCUUAAGAUUCCCAUUUGUUCAGCCCUGUGCGUAAACAAUCAGUAAUUUCUGUCCAAAUUCUUCUUUAAUGCCUAUAUGUGUUGGACUUUGUCUACUGUUCAACUUCUCAAAUGGAUUCCAUGCAGGGUUUUGAAUGUCCAAUUAGGAGAAAGAUCAAGGCUUGCUUGGCUAGGAGUGGAAGCGGAUCCACUACUUCAGUCAGAUGACCUUUUGAAGAAGGCUUACAACAGGCCGUCUCAGGAUGUCAAUGGCUCAACUCAAAAGUCCCCAAAGUGGUUGAUAUCGAAGAAUGCCGUUGUCUCUGGGCUUGGGCUCCUUGGCAUCAAACAAGGGAAUGUCGACUCUGUUGAAGGGGAAGCAAGGGCUCCUAAAGUGCGAAGAAAGAGGAUAGGCCGGAAGAAGGUGACCGCAUAAAUUUCUUGGGAGUUGAUCCUAGUCAAUAGCCCAAUUUUUUUGUCAAAACAUUGGUCCCGAUUCCAGCAAAACAGUAACUUCCAUUCAAAAGGGUUCAGCGUUGAGUGCAUGUAAUCUGCACAAGUUUGACAAAAAAUAACCGAAAAAAAAAAAAGAAACCCACGUCCAAAGAUGCCGUUGAAAAAAGUUAUUGGGUAUUCAUAAUAAAAUAAACAAAUAAAAAAAUGAAUAAAAAUUUAAAUACUUAAUUAAUUUUUAUCAAAUUCUUAUCAAAUAUUUAAAAAAGUAUAUAAAAUGAAUUAAUUGAUGGUAUUAUUAAUUUUCAUGAUGAUUUUUAAUAUUAUAUUAGUGAUUAGUAAGUUUAAUACAAUCAAUAAUGCAAGAAAUUAUUAAAUGGUUAAUUUUAUUGGCAAAUUUUAUCAAAUACGCAAGUAAUGAAAAAUUAAUCUCAAGAGUUAGUAGAAGUAAAGUUCUAAUUUAACCAGAUGAUAGAUAAUAAAUACAAAUAAAUUUUAAGUAAAUCAUAAAUUAAAAAUAAAUAAAUUAAUUAAUAUUAAGUAUAAAUAAAAAAUAAUGACAUAAAUUAAAGUCUCAUAAAUGGAUAACUUUUUUUCUUUAAUCUUAUCCUAAGUCCCAACUAAAGGAAUGUGUAAAUUAGGAUUAUUAAUCCCAUAAUUUUAGGAUUAAACUUAAAUUUAGUCCCUUAGUCCAAUUCAAUUAAGCUUACCAAAUAUGAUAUAAAUAUAUAAUCACAAAAUUAGUCCAAUUCCAUACUUAAUCCUAGUAUUCGAACAUGGCCGGAUAAAAUAGUUUAGAUAAUAUACUUCUAUGGCUCACAAUUUAAAUAAAUUUGAGAAUUUAAAUAAGGGAUGGAAAAUUCACAAUAAUCAUACCAUGUACUGUCUUUUCUUCCUUUUCUUAAUUAAAUAAAAGAAAAAAAAUUAAUGACAGAACCACUGCUGUGUGAUAUCGAUGAAGUCGCAUUCGCCUACCUAAUAUUGCGCAAUCAGAUAGAAAAAAGGGUCGGCUGCAUGAUUUUUCCAACUUUUGUCUUAUUUUUCUCUUUUCCACUACAAAUUAAUUUGAGAAUGUUAUAUUUUCCAAUUCUCUUUUUGUCGUGACAUAAUAGACUAAAGCGGAAUCACAUACUUUUUCAAAUGACCAAAUGGCUUUGGCCUACCUGAUAAUAAAAGGAAUGGAUCCAUACGUUAAAGCUAAAUUGAAAAAUAUAAUAAAUAAAUUGUCAGGAGAUGAUUUUAUCAAAAAUUUCACUCGCACGGUCCCGACCAAAUACAAAUUUGUGAUGAUAUUCAUAAUGAAUUUAUACCAUUAGGCGAAAUUACUCUAUAUAGUUUCAUCGAUAUAUAUUAUACCAUUACAAAUAUACUAAUAUUUAUAAUAAAAAAAAUUUAUGACUAUUUUAAAUCGACUGUAUUAUAUGUGAAUUCACAAGAUUCAUAGAUAGAUUGCACUGAGCUUUUUGUUGCAGUUUACAAAUAUUUUGUUACUAAUUAUCUUAAGAGCAGCAAGUAACUAAAUACAAAUGUAAGAAAUUUCACAAGUGCUGAUGCUGUGUACUCUGCAGAAUUAAUAAUGGAUUAUUAUGAAUCAGAGAAACAGGGCAGACGCUGUACAAUUAUUGACGUGGUGGAGCAGAAAGCUAGCCCCACAUGGUGACUCCUUUAAUUUGCAGCACAAAAGAACGUUCACAUUGACAUUGACUCGAGGGUAAAAAGAAUGCAAACAUGCUUGAAUGAACAUUCUCACAGAAUACAUAAAAGCAAGAAAAGCAAUUGCAGCAUUUUCCAUUUGAUCUAAUAUCAGAAUGGCUCUUGCGAUCGUUUGCGCUCUCUUGGACCAGCUGAAUUCCAUUGCUCAAGAAAAGUGGAGGCUUUUGACGGGUGUCGAACAAGAAGUGGGAAAGCUUACUACCAAUCUUCAAGCCAUUCAAGCUGUGCUGGAAGAUGCAGAGCAGAGGCAAAUGAAGCAGGACAGAGCUGUUACUCUUUGGCUGGAUCAGCUCAGAGACGCAUCCUACGACAUGGAAGAUGUGUUGGAUAAGUGGAUCACUGAAACACGGAAAUCGCAGCUUGAUGAGGGCGGCGAUGAUGAAGAUGAUGAUAACGACAAUGCUUUUGUUACUCUUUUGACGAAGGUAUGUUCCUUCUUUCCUGCUGCCUCAAACUGCUUUGGUUGUUUCAAACAACUCAGUCUUCGUCAUCAUAUUACUGUCAAGAUUAGAGAAAUCAGUAAAAGGCUAGAUGAUAUUGCCAGACAAAAAGAUAGUUUCAAAUUUGUUGAGAAUGUGAGUAACAAUGUUAAGAAACCAGAGCGAGUGCGAACCACCUCCUUGAUUGAUAAGGGAGAGGUUUUUGGUAGAGUUGAUGAGAAAAAUGAGCUCUUAAGCAAGUUGUUGUGUGACAGUAGUGAACAACACCCUCAUAUCAUCUCAUUGGUUGGGUUCGGGGGUAUAGGCAAAACCACUCUUGCACAACUAGCCUAUAAUGAUGAUGAGGUGAAAAUAAAUUUUGAAAAAGUUAUAUGGGCGUGUGUAUCAGACACUUUUGAGGAGAUUAGGGUCGCCAAAGCAAUCAUUGAAGGUCUAGGCGAGUCAAAAAAAGCUUCUGGUUUAAGCGAAUUCCAAUCUCUUAUGAGCCAUAUCCAUAGAUCAAUUGGGGGAAAAAAAUUUUUUCUUGUCUUAGAUGAUGUAUGGGAUGGGGAUUCCAAUAAAUGGGAUCCAUUCUUCUUUUGUCUAAAGAAUGGUCUCCACGGAAGUAAAAUUUUGGUUACCACACGUAAUGAGUCAAUUGCACGUAUGAUGGGAACAACAGAGUCAGAUACUAUCUCCAUUGAACAACUGGCUGAAGAGGAAUGCUGGUUGUUUUCCAAGCAGUUAGCAUUUUUCGGUCGCUGUUUCGAGGAUUGUGAAAGAUUAGAACCAAUCGGGCGAAAAAUUGCACGCAAGUGCAAAGGCCUGCCUCUUGCUGCAAAGGUAAUAGGGAAUCUCUUGCGCUCUAAAAUUACAGUAAAAGAGUGGCAAAGAAUGUUAGAUAGUGAAAUGUGGAAAUUAGAAGAGAUUGGGCAAGGUCUUUUGGCUCCUUUGUUGUUGAGUUAUAACGAUUUGCCCUCCAAUUCGAUGGUAAAACGGUGUUUCUCAUAUUGUGUUGUCUUUCCAAAUGACUACAGUAUGAAUAAAGAAGAAUUGAUUAGUCUGUGGAUGGCUCAAGGCUACUUUAACGCAGAAGAAGACGAAGAAAUGGAGAUGAUUGGAGAAGAGUAUUUCAACAUAUUAGCAGCACGCUCUUUCUUUCAAGAGUUUAAAAAAGAUUAUUUCAAUGGUGAUUUUAUGUGGUGUAAGAUGCAUGACAUAGUACAUGAUUUUGCCCAAUUUAUAAGUAGAAAAGUAUGUCUGUGGCUAGAAAUUGAUGGUACCAAAGAAUCAGUCAUAAACUCUUUUGGUGACAAAGUCCGUCACUUAGGGUUAAAUUUUCAAGGAGGAGCUUCAUUUCCUAUGUCCAUUCAUGGACUUAAUAGAUUGCGUACCCUCUUAAUUUAUGAUAGAAGUCAUUUCAUUCCAUCUCUUAGUAGUAGCAUCCUUUCGGAGUUAUUUAAUAAAUUGGUGUGUUUAAGGGCAUUAGUUAUAAGGCAAUUUAACCUUUAAGUUUGCAUCCUGUGCCAGAUAGGAUUAGAGAAAUUCCAGAAAAUGUUGGAAAAUUGAUACAUUUAAAAUAUCUUAAUUUGAAUGGACUAUGUAUAAAGAGACUACCUGAGACUUUGUGUGAAUUAUAUAAUUUACAAAAGCUAGAUAUUAGGUGGUGCCGAAAUCUUAGAGAAUUGCCUGCGGGGAUUGGGAAGUUAAUGAACAUGAGGAGUUUACUGAAUUACGACACUCGUUCGUUGAAAUACAUGCCAAUAGGGAUUUCCAGAUUGACCAGCCUUCGAACAUUAGAAAAGUUUGUUGUGGGUGGAGGUGUUGAUGGCGGCAGCACGUGUAGGCUUGAAUCUUUGAAAAAUCUUCAACUCCUUCGUGAAUGUCGAGUAGAAGGGCUGAGUAAUGUAUCGCAUGUAGAUGAGGCUGAGAGGUUACAACUUUACAAUAAGAAAAACCUCCUUCGUUUGAAUCUCAAGUUUGGUAUAGCCGUAGAUGGGGAAGGCGAAGAAGGGAGGAGGAAGAAUGAGAAAGAUAAACAACUUCUUGAAGCCUUACAACCGCCUUUGAAUGUAGAGGAAUUACGGAUUUUGUCCUACGGAGGCAACAUGUUUCCCAAAUGGUUGACUUUGCUAACCAAUCGAAGGGAACUAAGGAUUGAUUUUUGUGAAAAUUUGCAAGAACUGCCAAUUCUAGAAGAUUGCAGGACAACAGACAUACCGCAUCUUUCUUUCUUGAUUAUUCAGAAUUGCCCCAAAUUAAAGGUGCUGCCGGAUUACCUUCUUCGGACGACGACGCUGCAGAAAUUGACAAUUUGGCGAUGUCCCCUUUUGGAAAACCGUUAUAGAGAGGGGAAAGGAGUAGACUGGCAUAAGAUAUCUCACAUUCCCCACAUCAAGUUGUCGCUGUGGAUGCCGUAAGAUAUCACUGGACGGUAAUUUCUCCUCCUCUGAUAUACUUCGUUGUUGCUUGCAAUGAAAUUAAUAAAAAUAAUUAUAUUUUGAAUUAAAAUUCUAUAUAGAAUCAAUCUUGGUAUAAAUAUGUAAAACUUCCUAGUUAUCAAAUCUGUUAGACUUGUUUUCUAUAUUUAUUUACUUUAAAAAAAUAUGUGCUCUUUUGUAAAAUUUGAUACAACAUCAUAGAAAAUCCCAAUGUAAUUUAUUUUUUAAUGUACGAAAAUUUGUUAUGUGUGACGUCCUGAGUGACAAAAUCUCCUUGAUACAUUUGCAGUAAUGUCGAAAACUAAAUUAUCAAUUUUAUCUUGUAUAAUGAUAAUCUUAUUUUUUUAUAUAUAAUUUACGUGACAUUAAUUCUUUAAAGUAAUUGUGUAAUUGUUUUUACUACAUUAGCCCACUUUGUUUUUUUUCAUACUUGUUUAAUUAUGUUCACCAGGGAUUCGAGGAAAUGUCAGAACUACACUAGCAAUUCACAGGUCCAAGCUAAUUUGGUUUUAAUGAUGCAGGCAGGAGAGCAAGACUAUGAAAAUGAAAAGUUUAGCCAAAGGAUUGCUAAAAUGUUCUGCUGGUAAUUCCCUUGCUUUAUUUUAUAGAAUUUCAUUUCUAUCUUCUUCUAUUGAUAUCUUGUUGUGAAUAAACAAGAACAGAGAGUAAAUGAUUGAACCACAGAGAAGUAAAGUAAUAUCAAAAUUCGCUAUUAUGAUGAUUUUAAAGCAAGCUCAAGCUCAAGCUUGCAUUUUUAUUUUAUUUUAUUUAUAGAACUUCCAUUUCCACCUGCAUUUCAUUUUUAUUAGACUCUAUGGAGCACAUUGGGGUAACCAAGGAUUAUCACUGUCGUUAUUGUGCAACGUUGGGUUGCUGGACUUUGAAGAAGGAAGCGAUGGCCGGGUCUGCUCUGUUUCAAUUGAGGAUGGAUAGCUGCCUGAAAGACAUGAUGAUUAUUAUUGCAUGAUGUUAAGGUGCUGAGAUCAUCAUUUCUAUCUUGUUUCAUUCUUGGAAUCGUUUAUCAUAUGCGUCAAUGGAGGCAGGUAUUUGGUGUUGACACUAUUAUGCAGGUAACCACACUUGAUAAUUUGCACAAAUUUGCGUUGUCAGAAUACCCUUUAAUAUUCAUUGUGUUUCUUUGUGUUAUCAGGUUAUCAUCUCCAAGGGUUUGAAAGAGCCUUUGCAGUUGUCAGAAUACCCUUUAAUAUUCAAUUAGGUACGUUUUGGUGCGGUCUCCCAAUGCUAAUAUCAUAUUUUGUAUAGCAAUUAAAAUUUAGCUAUACAAUUUUAAUAUGCAAUAAAUCAUUGUAUACAAAGUUUUUUAUUAAUUAUAUGGUGACUGAAAUUUUAAUUAUCAUAUCAAUUUAAAUUUUUUUGUAACUCUCUUUUACUUUGCUUGUACAGAGUACCUGUUUUGGCUGAUAUGUCUAAUUCGUAGAAAUUUAUUUCCAUCGGUUUCCAUUGGCUUUAGCACAAACAGAAACAGAGCUCUGGGGAAAAGUUUGACUUCUUGUGGUAUUAUGCCUUUGUUUCUUCAUUCAUCAUAUUUUUCGAAUUCAUGCUCUCAUUCAGAGGGUAAAGCCUUUUCAUGGCUGCUUUGUAGCCAAACUUUGACGCCAUUGAUGCAUGACUGUCAUUUAGAUUUUCCAAUAACGGUUAGAUUGGAGAAGAAUAAGAAGAUAUUGUUAAAAGGGUAUUUAAUUAGCGCCGUCUGAAUUUAGUUGCCAAUAAUGCAUUGAAAUAGUUGGGGAAAGUUAUUGUCUUAAUUAAAUUACAGGUGAUAAGAUGCUGCCUCAAUUUUGUAAGCAUCUCGUAUUGAGAAGAUUAAUUGUUGACAAGCCAAAUUUUAGGCAAAUUUUACCGUGAUUCUUGACAUCAUGGUAACACAGGUCAAAUUUUAGUAUCAAGACAUAUCUUCUUCUUUACUGUUCUGCCUCUAAAUAUUAAACUUUAGGCAAGUUGUUUUUGUUUGUGUAAGUUAUCAGGUUAAGGAUACCAAGCAGCUUAAUUGUUCACCACACCUGGUAGGAAUGAUCGCCAGGAAGAUUAAUUGUUGACAAGCCAAUUUUAUCAGUGUUAGAUUUUUUGCCUCCCUUUGAGAGAUAUCAUCAUCAAAUUUGUGUAGAGAAUCUUUGAAGAGAAUUUUGUUGUGAGAGUUUCACUGUAGUGAAUUUUGGGAGCUUGAACUCACUUGAGUGAGAUAAUAGAGUGUAUUGGGGAUUUGGGUUAUGAGUAAUCGUUAUCCUUCCAAUAUUUGCAAGCUCUUACUUGUUAGUAAAAUCAUCUUCGUAUAUUGACUCUGUUUCUUUGUUCCUUAUUUAAUUAGUUUCGAUUAUCAUAAUUAGUCACUCAUUCUGAAUUUUUCUAAUUUUAAAGUUCCUUAGGUCCGCCACCAGUUUUUCAAGUCUGCAUAUGGCUGCAAAAGAUCGAUGGUCAUAAAAUUAUCUUGAGCCUUGAGGCAUUGCGUUCGAGCUCACACUGUAACAGAGAUAAAGAUAAAGAAGACAGUAGAAGAUGCUCUAAACAUAACAAAAGUAUAUUUCUACGUCUUGUGGUUGCUUUAAUUUACUUUUGUUUCUUCUGUCAUCAUAUUUGAUUAAUUCGUUCGAAUUCACACUCUCACAUUAUUUAAAACUAUUUGUAGGUGGCUUGCAAGCUAGUUACGUUAAUGCAAAAACAAUACUCUAGACAAAGAUGAGCAAAUUAAAGGUGAUAAAUGCAAAUUGAAUGUCCAUGAAUAAUUGUUAGGCCGGUGCUGAUAAAUUGCUUCAAAGCAAGCAGCAUCUUCUGCUGCGAAGGCUUUCCCCACAUGAUAUGUUGUGAUUGUUACCGGCCCCGUAUUUAUUAACUCAGGUCAGUAUUAUCUUCUUCAUCAUUUUGGCUAUAUAUAAAGAUUAAAAUUUUGAACACUUGUCUCGGUUUCUUGUGUAAUCAGGCUAAUAGAGCAAAUGUUUACUGUCUAAGCACUAAUGCGACAAUCCCAUCUGUAAAUUUGGGCCAUCUUUGAUGUCUGACAGGUAAGCUGUGACAAUCCCAUCUGUAAGUACUAAUGCGCUUGGUUAUAGUGCUUUCAUUGGACUAUAUGCAAACAUGAGAUAUCAACUAUUGUGUGGAUUUGAUAGAGCGGUCACCAACCAUUUUGAUGUUAUUGGAGUAGCACUGUUCUUAAGCACGGCUUUGAGGUCUCUCCGUCUCUCUUUUACGUAUUUGUCUAUUGAUCGACAUCUCUAUAUAUACAUUGAUAGACCAAAUUACUCUUGCUUUAAUGUUAAUGUGGUUCCUAUAAAAGUGUAUAUAAAUCUAUCACCUCAAAGUCUGAUUUCAAUUUUCCUUUACUUAAUCAACUAGCAUCCUUUCCAAGUCCAGAUACUUACCAAUAGUGAGACUUUGCUACGGAAGUACAAUUUCUCUUGUUUUAUAGUUAAGUAUGUAAGAAUAGUUUCAAAUUUACAAAUUUCUGAUAUAGUUCUCUACGGAAAUGCGAGUGGUGAAUAUGGUUCCAACUUUUAAUAGGCUUAAUUGGCCCAUUUGUUCAGCCACAGUGAUUGCGGUCUGAAUUCUUCUUUACUGUCUCUAUGUGUUGGAGUUUGUCUAUUGUCCAACUUCUCCAAUGGAUUCCAUGCAGGGUUUUGAAUGUCUAAUUAGGAGAAAUCAACGGAUGACCUUUUGAAGAAGGCUUACACAACAGGCCAUCUCAGGAUGUCAUGGCUCAGCUCAAAAGUCCCCAGGUGGUUGAUACCAAAGAGUGCCAUUGUUUCUGGGCUUGGGCUCCUUGGCGUCAAACAAGAUAAUGGGAAAUAGGGGCAACUAAAGCGCGAAGAAAGAGGAUGGUCUGGAGGAAGGUGUCUGCAUAAAUUUGUUGGAGUUGAUGUAGUCAAUUGCCCAAUUUUGCUGCCUGUCGAAGAGACACAGCAUGGAAGUCCUCAUCAAACUCUGAGACACCUAAGAAAUAGUAUGAGGUGGUGGUAUUCCCCUGGUGUUAAUUUCCUGGCAAGUGUGGUUCACAGAUAGAGGGAUUCUUUUCUUGAUGUCUAAAUACCAAAUGUGAUGCAACGUCGUAUAUUCUAAGAUAUUAAAUUCUAUUUCAGAUUUCUCAUAUAGUGUCGUUGUCACUUCUGUGGUACACUUUUGAUCGCAAAUUUCCAUUUGAAGUAGCCGAUAUUCUUUACAGACUAAUUAUCUAAUGAUUAUUUUGUACAAAAAAAAUCAAAACUUUAAUUAUUUGAUCAUACUCAACUUAGGUCUUAUUCGAUAUUACUAGUUGUUAAUGUGUAAUAAAUGUAUGACUUUUAAAUAAUAAUUUUAAUAAAAAUAAUAAAGAUAUUAUAAGUUUUUUUUUAUAAUAAAGUAUGAGAUCAAAUCAAAUUAAUUUUGAAGUCACAAUAGCAAAUGUUUACCAAAACUAUUUAAUUAUAUGACUUAAAAGAUAUAGUUGUCCAAUCCCAACAAUAUAUAUAAAGAUUUACCAAACUUUACCCGACUUUAGUUGUACCCACUUGAUUAUGUAAGUCCAUUCUCCACGCGCUUGACCAUAUGAGAUGUUACUCAACUUUAACAAAUCUUACUUAAACUUUGCACGUUUGACAUGUUGGAUGAAAUAUAGCAUAUGAUGUGAUAGAAUACAAUAGGAAUGGUUGUAACAAGAUUAUAAUUAGUACUAGUUUGUAUUUUAUGUGAUGUAGAACGCAUUAUAUUACAACUUUUAGUGUUAUACUAAUUAAAAAUUUGAAUUAUUUUAUUAUUGUAAAAAUUUAAUAUCUUAAAUAACAGUUAUUUUAAUUAAGUAUUUUUGUUGCAAUGAAUUAUACUUUUUUAAAUAUAAUUGAAAAUUCUUAUUACUAAACUAAUAAAAAAUUAAUUAUUUGAGUUAUCUCCUAAACUACUUAGCUUACGAGAUAAAUUCACUUUGUUUAGAAUGAAACGGAUUACAUUUAGUACUAUUUUGUAUUUUAUGUGACGUAGUGUAUGAUUCAAUUAUAUUACAAAUUUUAUUGUAAUAAAAAAAUUUUGAAUUAUUUUAUUAUUGUAAAAAUACAAUAUCUUAAAUAACAAUUAUUUUUAUUAAGUAUUUUUUAAUGAUUUAAAAUAUAAUUGUAAAUUCUUAUUAUUAAACUAAUAAAAAAUUAAUUAUUUGAGUCAUCUCCUAAACUACUUAUUUCACGAGAUAAUUUCACUUAGUUUAGGAUGAAACGGUGGGUUAUUUUUAUGUGGGAGCCACAUCCUUUCCAUAUGAGAUGUUACUCAACUUUAACAAAACUUACUCAAACUUUGCACGUUUGGCAUGCCGGAUGGAAUAUGAUAGUAUAUGAUGUGAUAGAAUAUUAUAUGAUUAGAUGUAAUAGGAUUAUAUUUGGUCUUGUUUUAUAUUUUAUGUGAUCUAGUAUAUGAAUGGAUUAUAUUACAAAUUUUAUUGUUAUAAUAAUUAAAAUUUUGAAUUAUUUUAUUAUUGAAAAAAUAAAUAACAGUUAUUUUGAUUAAGUUUUUUUUUUCUGUUGAAUUAUAGUUUUAAAAUAUAAUCCAAAAUUUUUAUUACUAAACUAAUAAAAAAUUAAUUAUUUGAGUUAUGUCCUAAACCAACUUAGCUCACGAGAUAAAUUCACUUAUUUUAGAACGAAACGGCGGGUUUUAUGUGGGAAGCCACAUCCUUUCCAUAUCAACCUCAACAUCCAAACAUGAAAUUGGACUAAGAAUAGUUCUUUCCCAUGUAUUUACGUACCCUCCUGCCACUAAACGUAAUUGUAUAUUUUGGACCUUAUUUGACUUGAUUUUAUUAACUUAAUUUUCUCCAAUUUCCAUUGUCGACGUUGAGUGCAUGUAAUUAAUCCACAAGUUUUGAUUGAGCAGAAAUAGCCAAAAAAAACUGAUGAUAUGAUAAUAGCAAAAAAUCUAAUGACACCCACGUCCAAAGAUGCCGUUGUCACAAAGGCCUGGACGCCAUACCUCGAACCCAUCCCCUUUUACCAUGAGUGAUGAUACAGCCACAAACUCUUAUACAAACUUAUUUUAUACAAACUAAUGUGACAUCAAUUCAAUGGUUGAAUGAAAAUAUAAAAUAAUGAAAGUAAAUCAUGUGGGCCAAGAGAUAUUUAAUUUAACCAAUAAAUUGACGCCACAUAAGUUUGUACAAAAUAAAUUUGUAUAAGAGUUUGUGGCUGUAUUACUGUAUUAUUACUCUUUUACCAUAUUUUAUAAUUAAAGAGGUCAUUGUUUGAAAGAAAAGAAUGACAUGUUGGUAUGAAAUUACGUUAAAAUGAAUAUAUCACUUUUUUUUUUGUGUGAGUGAUGGCUUCGUUUAAUGACAAUUGGCAGACAAUGAAUCAUCUUUUAAUUUUAGUUUUGAUUUAAUAAAAAAUAUUAAUUUUUGUAGUUUCGGUAGAUGAAAUUUCGAAUCAAAUAUUAAUAUCGUUAAAGUACGCAACUCAAUAUUUACUUAAAUCAGAAAAAAGAUUAAUUGCUUUACAUGAAAAAGAAAAGAAAAGAAAAGAGUGAUCACUUGAUUUAACUUCCUUUACUAAAUUUACGAUUUAAAAUCUAAAAUGGAAAAAGGAAAACAAGUUUUGGAAACACACUCGGAGUUUUAAAUUGAUAUGAAAAAAGAGUUUAUUAUUGACAAUCUUUUUCCCAAAAUUUAAGCUAAGACAACAAUAUGUCCAAAAUACCCUCCACAUUAUCCCAAAACUUUAUAAACUCCCCCGUUCCUCUCAACAUCAUCUCUUCCAAAUCUUUCUUCCCCCCAAAAACCAGCCAUGGCUUCAUAUUCAAUUACCUCAACACUCCAAUAUUGGCUUGUAAACCACCCCCAAAUCCUCAACUUCACAUGGACUCCGAACCAAACACUAGCUUCCUCCCCACACUUCCUCAUUCUCUCCAUCCUCACUUACCUCUCCCUCACAUUCAUCCUCUACCACGCAUCAACAUCAACAUCACCACCUCUCAUUGGACCCCACAUCCUCAAGCCCAUCACAGCCGUCCAUAACCUCACCCUCUUCGUCCUCUCCCUCAUCAUGGCCGUUGGUUGCACUCUCUCCAUCAUCCUCCAUUUACCCUACCUCCGUUACACCCUUUGUUUCCCCACUACCAUUUCUCCGUCUGGCCCUCUCUUCUUCUACGCUUACAUCUUCUACCUCUCCAAAAUACUCGAAUUCUUUGACACCCUUUUGAUCAUUUUAUCAAACUCCAUCCAACGGCUCACGUUCCUCCACGUCUACCACCAUCAACCGUCGUUGUAAUGUGCUUCCUUUGGUUACAGACGAAGCAGUCUUUGUUUCCUAUUGCAAUUGUCACCAAUGCAAGUGUGCAUGUGAUCAUGUACGGGUACUAUCUAUUGUGUGUGAUGGGGUUGCGGCCAAAGUGGAAGAGAUUGGUCACUGAUUGUCAGAUUCUUCAGUUUGUGUUUGGUUUUGCUGUUUCGGUUUUGAUGCUGUAUUAUCAUUUCACGGGUUUUGGUUGCUCUGGGAUUUGGGGAUGGUGCUUCAACGUUGUGUUUAAUGCGUCCCUUUUGGCACUUUUUGUUAAUUUUUAUUCCAAGAGCUAUGCUAAGAAAAAGAAGCAGGGAUGAUCAAAGUGCUAUGAUUGUUUUGUGUUUUCUUUUUUAAUUUAUUUGAUUUUGGUUAAUUAUGAAUGGUGGUAAUUGGUUGAAUGCAAUUGAAGAGAUGCUUUCAGUUGCCUAAACUUUGUUUUUUCAAUUUUUGUUAUAGAUGUCAUAUGUCACCACAUUUUUUUAGUCUCUCCCUUUAAAAUUCCCUCACACAAACUUCGGAUUUGUAUUUUGUAAACUAGAAUUUUUCAUUUUCGUUAAUGUGUUAGCUGUUAUUAUCUACAAUUAUGUCAUACGACACACAUGUCACAUCAACUAAAAUUAGAUUAUGAAUUUUGGGCACAGGGCCAAGUCCCACCGUUUGGUAGGAAAUAAGUGUUGGAUCAUAAACUUGAUCCAAGAUAAAUAAAUUCAACCUUAACUCAUGGAAGGUUCCAUGAGUAGGUAUGGUUAGUGAGGUUUGAAUUAUUUGUGUUAGGUGUGGUAGGUGUGGUUGGUGAAGUAGGUGAGUGGUAGGUUUUAAUGGAUGGUGAGUAUUUGUGUAUUAGUUGAAUAAAUGAAUGGUUGUGAUUAGUUUGUUUCAUGGAUAAAUACCCCCUCUCCCCUUUGGUUUAAAUAUCAAGUGAAAUAACAAAAUCUCUAAGGUGUAGAGAGUGAAAAAUAAGAGUUGUAAUUAGUGAGGAGUGUUGUUGAAGAAAUAAAAUAGUGUGUUUUAUUUGUUAACUCUCCAACAAAGUGGUAUCAAAGCUAGUGCUUGAUGCUAUAUAUUGUCAUAUAGCAUAUCAAAUCGAAGAUCUCGAUGAGAGGAACGUGACGCCGCAAAAAUCAUCCUGACCAAAGACCAGACGCGCCCAAGCUCGCCGUCAGAAUUUUUCUGUCCUGAAGCUGAGUCGACUCACCGAGUUGAACCAACCUGAGUCGAGCCGAACUGAACCGAAUCAAGUCGAACCAAGCCAACUGGAGUUGAACCAAUCCGGACCGAACCAAGACUACUAAGCCAACGCUGACCGUUGACUGAAAGUUGACUCAAGUUCUUCCCAAGGCUUUUCGACGUGCCGGAUCCAUCUGUGCUUUCAGAAUCUCCAAAUUCUCACUCAAUUUGUGAGUUAUGGAAAACGGUGGUCUGAUGUCAUUUCAAGUUCCACAAUUAAAGAGAAGUAAGUUUGACAAUUGGAGUAUUAAAAUGAAGGCUCUAUUGGGUGCACAUGACGUAUGAGAUAUCAUGGAAAAAAAGCUUUAUUGAGCCAGAAAAUGAAGCCACUUUAACUGCGGCAUAGAAUGAGAAUUUAAAAGACUUGAAGAAGAAAGAGAAUAAAGCAAAGUAUCUCAUCUUUCAAUCAUUAGAUGAAGAUGCCUUUGAAAAGAUUGCUGGUAAAACGUGAGAAACUAGAGACCUCUUACAAAGGAGCGAAGAAAGUUAAGAAGGUUCAUCUCCAAAUAUUCCGAGGAGAAUUUGAGUCCUUACACAUGAAGGCGUCGGAGUCAAUUUCUGAAUACUUUACUUGGGUUGUGACCAUUUCUAAUGAAUUAAAAAGAAAUGGCGAGGAGUUAAAAGAGGUAAGGAUCAUUGAAAAAAUACUUCGAUUAGUAUACUCGAAGUUUGACCAUAUUAUUGUGACAAUUGAGGAAACAAGAGAUCUAGAGGAUAUGACGAUCGAGCAACUUUAAGAAAGGUUGCAAGUCUAUGAAGAAAAACAAAAAAAGAAGCAAGGAAUCGAAGAACAACUUCUCAAGAUGGAGGUCAAUCCAAAGAAAAGAAAAGAAAGCUCCGACAACGGAAGAAGGCAUAUUUAUCUCCCAAGAAAGCUAUACAAAGGAGAUUCUAAAAAAGUUCAAGAUGAAUGAUUGCAAGCCUAUAAGCACGCCAGUGGAAUGUAGAGUCAAGUUAUCUAAACAUGAUGAAGGGGAAGAUAUAGAUCCAACAUUCUUUAAAAGUUUAGUCGGAAGCCUACGUUAUUUGACAUGCACCAGACCAGAUAUCCUUUAUGUUGUUGGACUUGUGAGCCGAUACAUGAAGAAUCCAAAGACCACCCAUUUUAAAGCUGCAAAAAGAAUCCUUUGCUACAUCAAAGGUACAACUAAUUUUAGCUUGUUAUACUCAUUUUCUAAUGACUCCAAGCUUGUUGGAUAUAGCGAUAGCGAUUGGGGUGGAGAUGUAGAUGAUCGAAAGAGCACCACAGGAUUUGUGUUCUUCAUGGGAGAUACUGCUUUCACAUGGAUGUCAAAGAAGAAAACAAUUGUCCUGCUAUGCACCUAUGAAGCUGAAUAUGUAGCUGCCACAUCAAGUGUUGAUAAUAAUUUGGCUCAGAAAUUUGUUGAAGGAAUUAGGUUUGCCACAAAAAGAGCCAACCGAGAUUUGUGUUGAUAACAAAUCAGCAAUUGCCCUAUCCAAGAAUCCAAUCUUUCAUGAUUGAAGCAAACACAUAGACACUUGCUAUCAUUUCAUAAGAGAAUUUAUUACAAGAAAAGAAGUGCAAGUCAAGUAUGUAAAAUCACAAGAUCAAGCAGCUGAUAUCUUCACUAAGCCACUCAAGCAAGAAGACUUCGUAAAAUUCAGAAGUUUGCCUGGUGUCACAGGAUCAAGUUUAAGGGGGGGUGUUGGAUCAUAAACUUGAUCCAAGAUGAAUAAAUUCAAGCCCAACUCAUGGAAGGUUCUAUGAAUAUGUAUGGUUGGUGAGGUUUGAAUUAUUUGUGUUAGGUGUAGUAGGUGUGGUUAGUGAAGUAGGUGAGUGGUAGGUUUUAAUAGAUGGUGAGUAUUUGUGUAUUAGUUGAAUAAAUGAAUGGUUGUGAUUAUUUUUGUUUCAUGUAUAAAUCUCUAAGCUGUAGAGAGUGAAAAAUAAGAGUUGUAAUUAGUGAGGAGUAUUGUUGAAGAAAUAAAAUAAUGUGAUUUUUGUGUGUUUUAUUUGUUAAUUCUCCAACAAUAAGGAGCAUUAAUGAAAUAUGUUUAAUUAAGUAAUAAUUUGUUAUUUUAGAGUGAAAAAUAAGGGUAAAUUGUAUUCUACCCCAUAUUAGAUUGACAAACUUCAAUUUACCCCUUAAAAGUACAAAAACUUCAACUUAUCUCCAAAUACCAUUUUCUUCCCGUUAAAUUUAACUAUCGAAAGUAUAAAAUUAUAGUCUUACAUUCUCUCAACAGUCAACUCAUGGAUAAGAAGUCAAAACAUAUAUAUAAGGUAAUUUCCAUAAAACCCAAUGUAGGGGCGGGCAAUUGUUUGGUUUAGAAGUUAGGAACCGAAUGGUUUGAAAACAAAUGAACUGAUUGGUUUAUAUUUGGUUUACUUUGAACUGACAAACCGAUUGGUUCGCUUAAACUUAAUUAAAAAUACAUUUAUUUUAAAAUAUAAAUGCUUAAAAUAAUUUUUUUUUUCAUUUUUCAGUUUCCUAAUCUAAAAAUGUUUCAUAACCCUAAAUCAGCCGCCAUCUCUCUCAAGGUCGACGGCGGCACAACAAGCUCUCUCGGUCUCUCCCUCGCAAUCUCAUGGUGAUUGAUUUCUCGUGAUGUCUCCACUUUUGUUUCUUGUUCUUGUGUGAUCGAAUUCUCUCUAUACACACAUAGCCUAGCCUCUUGUUUUUUGGCUCAAUGGAGUUUCGUUUCUUUUCUCUCAGUUUCUUUCCUGUUGAAUUCUCGUGAUGUUUCUAUUUUUUUCUUUUUUUUUAGACAUGUUUUCGAAAUUGGCAUAAUACGAACCAAACCUGAACUGAAUUUCAAAAUCAAAUCGAAUUGAACCAAACUGAAAUUUUUAUGUUCGGUUUGGUUCGAUUAAAAAAUUUGGUAUGCGUUCGGUUCUCUUUCUUACGAACCAUUGGGUUUUAGUUCGGUUCGGUUUUGGUCUAGAAAAGAACUAACUAGAACCGAACCAAACCAAACCAAACCAAACCAUUUACUGGCCACCUUGCUCAUAUGUUUCAACAAAUUUCAAUGCACACUUAAACAUUUCAAUAAAAUUCGCUUUGUACCCAAAUUGAUAAUUUUUACUUUUUAAUUAGUUAAUUGUUAACUGCAGAAGUAUAAAAAAUUAUUUCUUUUUAAAAUAAGAAAAAUAAUUUUUUUCUAACUUUUUUCCUUUUUUAUUUUCUAGUUAAUUUCUUUAUCUGGUUCGGUUCAUUUUUCCCUUUUUUAUUUCUUACUGUUUUCCGCAUGUUCUCCACGCUUGAACUUUGCCAAGCAUCAUAAGGCCACAGUAGCCAUGCCAGCAACUUGCAACUAGGGGUGGGCAAAAAAACCGUAGUCUUAAAAAAACCGAACCGAACCGACGGUUUUUUCUAAUUCGGUUCGGUUUUUAUUUUUUUAAAAAACCGAAUAUACCGUUUGUAAAAAAAACCGAAAUGUCGGUUCGGUAUUCGGUUCACUUAGCUGAACCGAAAAACCGAACCGAAAAACCGAAUUAUUUUUUGAUUUUAUUCAAAUCAAACAUGUGUUAAUAAUUUUAUUCAAAUCAAACAUGUGUUAUUUCUCUUUAUAACAUUAUGAUUAUGUUUAUAUAGAUGGAGUAUUGGAGUUUGGUUAUAUAUUUUGAAAUUUUAAUAUUUCAUAUAUUUGGGAGUAUCUUAUUAAUAGUUAGUAAGAUAUUAGUGAUAAAAUGUGUUUUGAAUACUUUGUAUUUAUUGUUAAUAUUUGUAAUAAAAUUAGGAUAAAUUAAUUGUUGAAAAAAAUUAUUACAUUUAUGAGGCCCAAUGGGCUAAAAAUUUUAAAAUUCAAAAUAGGCCUAAUAGGCCCAGAACCGAAAAAACCGAACCGAACCAAACCGAUCUGAAAAGAACCGUUUGAGUUCGGUUCUUAUUGAGUUUGGUUCUUAUUCGGUUCUUUUUAUAAAAUAACCGAUUUAAAUCGGUUCUACUUAAUUUCGAACCGAACCGAACCGAACCGAACCGAACCGUGCCCACCCCUACUUGCAACAAAGUUUAGAGCUGCGCGAUGGUUGCAGCAACGUUAACGCCGCUAUUCCAAGUCUUGGCCCAUCAUCUCCUUUUCAACAAAUCUUAGCUUCUUCCCAAAUUCAUCAAUGAACCCCAAAACCAGAAUAAUCAUUAAAAUUAUUAACAACCAUUUGCUUGGAUCAAUGUAUGCUUGGCAUGUCUAUGGGCUUACUUGGAAUGGUCGCUGAUGGCCAUGGGCUUGCUUGGAUUGGCCGCGCACAGCCAUGGGCUUGCUUGGAAUGCCGGUACCCGUUUGCCACGGUUUUGCUAGCGUAUCCAUGGGUUUUGUUGGACAUGGCAGUGCGAGGCCAUGGGUGUUGCCGGACAAUGGACAUGGGUUUUGCUGGGCUGAUUAGGAAUUAACAGAGGCUAUGGAGUUGUUCAGUGUGUGAAAGAGAAAAAAACAUGAACGAAGAAGAAUAUGAACAGGGAAUAGAACGAAGAAGAUGAAGAAAGUAGAAGAGAGGGAAAAAAUAUUUUGCUUUUUUAUAAAUUUUCGGAUUUUUAUUUCAAAAUUUAUAAUUUUUGUUUAAAUUUGAGAAUCUUAAGGGUAAGAUUUUCUUUGUAACUAUGUGUAGAAGGAGGUUUUCAGAUGGUUUUUGGUUGGGUUAACAUGAAAUAUGCUUGUUUUAUGAAAUAUUAUUAUUGAGGUUUUGUUUUAUUUUCUAAAAAAUAGAUUAGAGGAUGAUUUUCAUUAAUGACACCCAUAAAGUUUGAAUUAGUUAUAUUAUAGAAAUAGUAGGGAUUUAAAUGAUAUAUCUUUUCAACAUAAAUAUAUCAGUAACAUAAGUUAUUCUAUAAUUAACAGGGUAUUAUCGUAUUUUAGUGAGUCAUUAUUGGUUGAUAGUUAUAUUUAACAGAUUUUAGACAGUAAAUUGAAGUUUAUUUUUUUUAUUUUUGAGUAAAUUAAAAUAUGUCAAUCUCAUAAGGGGUUAAAAUAUAAUUUAUCCAAAAAUUAGUGUUAAAAUUUUAUAGAUGAGUGUAUAUUAAGAUGUUCAAAGUAUUAGAACAUAAAUAAUCUUAGUUUUAAUAAAAUUUUGCCACAUAGUGAAUAUUAUCCUCAACCUCAAGAGAAACAUAUCAAUAAAAUAUACAAAAAUAGAAUGCAUUAGUACAUGUCAAUAACAAGACCAAUUAGAUCAUGUCAUAUUUGUUAUGUAGUUAUUUAAGCUAAUAGAGUAAGAAGUCCCAAAUACAUGUACAUCAUAUCUUGGUGAAGAAAUCGGUUCUACCCGAAAUACUUCUUCGUAUUGAAAUCAAUGAUGAUUGCUUGUUUAAAUAAUGAAAGUUAAAAUAAUUUUGUAAAUAAUUUCAUUCUUUAAUUUACGGUAUACAAAUAAAUUCAAAAAAUGUUAAUUUCUCUCAUACUUUUAGGACCCAAAAAAUAACAAAAAGUCUUAACAUAUUUAAUGGUUAUAUAUAAAUCAUCCGUACGUAUUUUUCUUGAGAGAAGCUCAAUUCGAUAGACAAUGCUCCCCUUAAUUUUCUUUUCUAAUUAGAUAAAAGAACAAGAGAAAUUGAUUACAAGAAUAACAAACUUUAAUUUACUUCUUAAAGGGUAAAAACCUUAAUUUACUUCUUAAAGGGUAAAAACCUCAAUUUGUCCUUAUAUUUGUUCAAAAGAUACAUUUUGUCUUCUUAAUAUAAACAAGUUAAAUUGAUGUUUCACAUCUUUUAGAAAUAAAUUAAAGAUUGUUAUUUUAAGUAGGAGGUAAAUUUCAAAUAAAACAUGUGUUCAUAUGAUAGAUGUGCAUUUUACAAUAAUUAAUAAACAAAAGGGUAGUGAUAUUUUCAACCUGUAAUUUUUGUAAAUCCACCCCCACUCCCAAGAAAUAAUUACAAUAAAUUCACAUAACUUUUUUAAAACUCAAAUAAAGAAAAAUUUUGGAGAUUUAAACUAUUGUAUACAAGAGGAUAAGAGUAAAUAUUUUUCAUGCAGUAUAAAAAGAAUGCGACAGCUCCUUUUCUUUCGGUAUUUUCACAACAAAAGCACACUUAAUAACUCAUCAAAUUAUUUCUCCUUUUCUUUGAUCGCUUCCCCUCUCCUGGAGCUGCUGAACUCCUUUGUUGCUGAUGAAGGGAACAAGUGAGGCUUUUCAAAAGAGGGCAAAGAGAUGGUGAUUCGAUUUGAUUCGAUAAUAGUAGUUUAUUUUAAUUGUUAUUCAUUUGAUUUCAUAGAAGUAAUUUUUAUUUUCAUUUUUUUGUUGAAAAUUGGUAAAAACGAACUAAAAUGAGAUAAUUACAUUAAAACAAUCUUCAAUGACUAAAGUAAUUUGAAAAAAUAAAAAUAAAAAUAAACAAGCUCAAAAUUUACCCCUAAUCCGAACAUUAUCCGAAUUCAGCCUAAUUGACCCAAAUCUAAUUGUAAUCCAAACUUGACAUGACCCGCAUAUAAUUAUAACCCGAUCAGAUCCAAACUCGACCUGAAUUUUUAAUUCAAUACGAUCCAAUCCAAAUAUUCCAAUCCCAUCAAAAUGAAACUUGAUUGGGUUGAUCCGAACCCGAAUUUGCCACUUCCGGAGGAGACCAUGACCCUAAAGGCUUUGAAAUAAUCUUUGCGGUUUCUUAAUGAAAUAGUAAAAGUUAUGCGCAAAAAGACUGUUUUGACCCUAGAAUACAUGAUAUAUAAAUUUCAGACAUUAUAUUCUGUGAAAUAAAGUCAAAGUAAACUGGUUGUUUGAUUUUUUAUUAAUUAUUUUCCAUUAUGACAAAAUGACAAAUAGACUUUAUUAAAAGUUUAAUAAAGUUUGGGCCUAACUCCUUGAUUUUUAUUUUUUUUAAUUAUUUUUCAUUUUGUUUUUUACUUGCAACAUUAGCUUUAAUUAUCAAUAGUCUCCAAAUCAAAAUGACUGCAACCUGUAGCUACAAGCAAAAUUCUCAAAUUUUGAAAUUUCUAACGACUACAUAAGAGCUAUAAAUAGAAAAAUCAUCUAAAAUUAAUCCUCCUUCAGAGGCAGAUUAAAUUCUUAGUAAUUUCAUAUAAUUUCAUUUCAUCAGAACAAUUUUCCAAAAGCAAUUUUAUAAAUGGUUGUCGAAAGCUUUAUCCCUUAAUUAUAUGUCACGUAUUUUCUUUGUGAUAUGAGGCGUGUCCAUAGACCAUAGUAUGAUAUUUAUUGUAAUUAAAAUCAUUAUGGAACUGAUUUUAUUCUUGUUUCUCAAACAAAAUAUCUAACUGCAGAUGUAAUAAAUUACUAAUUACCAUUAUUUGAGUCGCACUCUUUGAAUUGGAUCUUGGAGUUUCGAAUGACCAAAUGAAUUAGUGAGAUAAUGGCUUUUGCUUUUGUCUACCUGAUAAUAAAAUUUGUCCACCAUAUAGACAAGAAAUGGAUCGGAUCCAUAUGCUAUAGCUAAAUUGAAAAAUUUAUGUGGAGUUUUAUUGUAAGACAUUUUUAUCUGAAUAGAAAAAAUAAAUUUUUUUUAUUUUUAUCUAAAUGAUAAAAUAUCUGAAUAAAAAAUCAGUUUUCUUCUCACAAAUACCCUCAUUAAAUAUAUUUAUUUUCUACUUAGCUAUUAGAUGUCAUAUUAGAAUUUCCUUUGAUCUCAGAUUUUACUUGGUAUUAAAUACUUAAUCUGCGUUCGAUUCGAAUUUAGACAAAUUCUUUUGUCAUUAGAUAACAACGUUUUUACUGAAUUUGAUGUUCAUACAGAAACAGUCAAGUCCUUGUUGACUGAAAUUGGCAUUUCUCUUGUCUCUGCUCCUAUCAUUUGGUGUGAUAACCAAAGUGCAGCUGCCUUAGCAAGUAAUCCUAAAUUCCAAGAACUUAAAUUUAACUCUAAUAAAAGCUCAAAGUUAGUUAUGUUCCAAGUUCUCAUAAGUCAUAACUCAUCUGAUAUCCUUACUAAAGCUUUAGCUUAUCACCCUUUUCAUUAUCUGAGAGACAAGCUCACCCUGACUUCACUAGGCUGAGCUUGAGGGGAGAUGUUAAGAGUAUAAGCUGAAGCUGCUGAGCUGGCUGGUGACGUGCUGACGGUGUUGAGUUGACUAAUGUUUUGUAACUAAGUUGCUGAGCUGGAUUGGGUUGUUAUUUGCACUGAAUAAGUUGUAACGAAUUGUCCAGCUGGCUUGUUAUGAUUGGAAGGCUAAUUAGUUUGUUAAUAUUGCAGCUUUGAGCUCUGUUUCUGUAAUCAGUUUUGAGUGUAACUAUAAAUAUCACGCUCAUAAUGUAUGAUUUCAGCUUUAAUCAAUAAGAAUCUGUGAUUGUUCCAGAAACUUCAUAGUCAAAUUUUCUUUCUUAAUUUUCUUUCACUUUCUCUCGUGCCAAACACCUUAUUGAUUCAAAUAAAACUCCAUCCAAAGGCUCACGUUCCUCCACGUCUAUCACCAUGCAACCGUCGUCGUAAUGUGCUACCUUUGGUUACAUAGUAACCAUGUUAAAUUGGAUUUUCUAUAUGAUAUUAUCGUUAGCUUCAUUGUUUAAAUAUACCGUUAGUGAAAGAAUCGUUCGUGAUUAGGUACUUUACAACUACAACACGAUAAGCAAUCAAAGUUACAUGAAAGAAUCAGUAAUUAGUAGUUAGGUUAGAGGUGAAACGUGCAUGUUACAGGGAAGUAGAAAACAUGUCAAGUUGUUAUCAUAAAGUGAAUAUCCAAUUUAAGAAGAUAAUAACUGGAUUUUGAAUUCAAUUUCACUCUGUUUUAGUAGUAUGUAUUAUAUCUCACGAAUAUGAUAUCAGUGAAAAAUGUAUAAGUUAUGGGCUUUGAAUUUAUAUUAAUGCAUAUAUACUAGCUAUGAAAAUGACGAAUUCUAAACAGAUUUUGCUAUUUAACAAGUAAUUAAGAGGUCUAGCAAUCAAUUAAUAAAAAAGUAAUUCAAUAUAACAUUGCUACAAAGAAAUUAAACUAUAUAUAACAACUAUUUCAAUGAGACUAAUGAUAAUUAUAUCUAAGGUUUGAUCGAACAAACGGGCAAGAACAGCAAAAGCUAAUCUUAAUUUAGAAAUUUUUAUAAGGGGGGAGGAUUGUAAUAUACGCACUUGGACUUUCUUAAUAAAGUGCUGAUUUUUAUUUUCCUCUUCUCUAUUAAUUUUUAAUUUCGUCACUAUAGUUUAAUUGGGAUAAAUUGAGCUCGAUUAUACGCGCCGAUGGUCGGAUUUUAUUUUCGUAACGGGUCUGAAAUUCGCUUAAUUUGUAUUAAGCUUAAAAAAAAAAAAAAAAAAAAAAAAAAAAAGAGGGGCAGAAUUGUAUAACUGGAAAGAGGGAAACGGGUUUUCCAUUUUAGAGAGAAAGAACCCGAGAAGAGAGAGAAAGAUAGAGAGAGAAGUCAGACCCGUUGACCCGAGAACCCGACCCAGUAACCCGCGGAUUGACCCGACGAUUUCUCCCAACUCCAGCCACUUUACCGGCCGUGCUUGGUACCGAUCUGAAGCUUGGAAGCAGACCAUCGUAUCCCUGCUGUUAUCGUCGCCGGAAACUGGCCAGAACGCCGGUGAUCGAGCUCGAAAAGUCGCGGCUUCGACCCGUUUUCGUUGCCGUUGAUCCCGCCGGAGUUGUGACGCGCCACCACUUGGAACUGGUUCCUCACAUCCCCAGCAACAUUUCCCGACCAGCAACGACCGCCGGGGACGCCCGGAACUCGCCGAAUGAUCUCCGAAAAUUUGCGGAACUUUGGAACUUCGAUCCGCCGCCGGUAGCGCGCGUGGCGACUCACUGCCACCACCGUUGGAUUCAUCGAGGCCGGAACUAGCAGACCUAAGCUCCCCGUCAUCGUUGACUGAAGUCCGGUCACCGUUGACCGGCAGGGGCAAUUCGGUAAAUUCAUGAAACUUUGGGGUGAAUUUGUAAUUUUAUGUAAUCAGUGGACAUUUCGGUAAUUUUAUGCCCUGAGGGUAAUUUCGUAAUUUCGGACAAUGUGAUUAAUUUAUGUAAUCUGAAUUGAGGACAAUAUGGGUAUUAACGAAUAUGAGGAUAAUUUGGUAAAAUCAUGAAGUUUGAGGAUAAGUUGGUAAAAUAUUGAUGUUGGGGUAUUUUGGUAAUUUUGGCCUAUAGGGGCAUUUUGGUAAUUUUAUACAUGCGGGACUAGUUUAUCGUUAAUAGAUAUUUGUUUCGAGAUUUAUUAUAUUAAUUGGUUUUUACGGAGAAUAAUUAUGGUGUUUUCCGUGAUUAGGAGGAUCCGCAUCCGCGAACGAGAAUCUACCCGCGGACGUUGUUGAUACUGAGUCUAGACAUCAUCACUGUGAGUGGAAUAUACAAAACCUAUUUUCAUAGUAUAUGCUGAUUUUCUUAUAUAGUACAGUAUGUUUGAGAAAUAAAUGUUUAAUGCGUUGAUUUAAUGAUUUUCCAGCGAAUUGACUUUUAUUUAUGUGUUGAUAUUUAUUAUGAUUGAGAAUGAGUUCGAUUUAUGAUUUUAUUAGCGUUUUUGAGUAAAAGCAUGAUAUUAGAAUUGAGCAGACUUGAGAUAUGUUGAAUAGAAAGAAAAUGAGAUUUCAGAUGGGAUCAUAUGUUUACUAUCAGUUUUGAAAUCAUUAGACAGUACCCUUCCCUCCAGAUACAGAGAUACAGAUAAAAAGAGAUACAGAUAAGAGAUACAGAUAAGAUGAGAUAGAGGCCUUUGGGGCCCGUCGGGACACACAUAGAGGCUUUGGGCCGUGUGUUCGGGCGCUUUUGCCUUUUGGGGGCUUAUGCAUGCACAGUACAGAUAUAUGAGAUAAGAGAUAUGAGAUAUGAGAUGAGAUCGUCCCCAUCUAUCCGUUGUGGCUCCGGGGCGUGACGUUACCCAGAUAGUGCGUUAUUGCCUGGCCGUUGUAGCCCGGAUAUGAUCAGAUUAUCCCCUGGGUACUUGUUUGAUGACAGUUUUUAGUAUUCAGUAUUUAAUAUGAGUAUGGUGAUUCCAUCGAUUUUAUGCAGAUUUAUUAUUGCAGUUAUUCAAUUUGAAUUAAAUGAGUUUAUGAUAUUUUGAGAAAUUGAUUUGAGAAUUGAUUUACGAAAUUGAAAUUGAUUUAAGAAAAGAUUUGAGAAAGAUUAAAUGAUUUUGAAUAAUUUAUUAAAGUAUCAGCACCUACUAUCCACUCACUGAGCUCACUGAGUUUUAUACUCACCCCUCUUUUAUUAUAUUUUUCCCCCCACAGGAGAUUUACAGGUACAUCAGUCAACCCAGUAGUGAACGUUAGUUUGAUAUUGUGGUCACGUGAUGGUGCUAGAAGUCGUGGAUUUUAUUAUUAUAUUCGAAAUUUGUGUUAUUAUUUUAUGUUAUUAAGGAUAAUCGUUGUAUUUUAAUAUUCGGAUGAUUUUGGUGAUAUUUGAGAAGUUGGUUUGAGAAGUUGGUUAUGGAGGAUGUUUGGUUAUUAAAUUAUUUCGGGAGUGUUAUUUUGUCAAUUGCAGGGUUGGAUAUGUUUUAUUUAUAAGGGAGACUCUGCCGAAAUUUUUAUAGAUUUGUUAUUAAUUCGAUUUUACGAGUUUAGAUAGACUCGCCCUGGGGGAGGUUGCGGGGCGGGUCGUUUCAGUUGGUAUCAGAGCAUGGUUUUAGAUUCUGUAGACUUUAUGGUCGUAAAUAGAAUAAGUUUUGAUUAUUAAGUCGGAUUUACUAUUUUGUAGGCACCAUCAUAAUUAAAUUAGUUAGAAGUAAAAUUAUCUCUCUAGUAUUAUGCAAGGGUAGAAAUUUGGGUUGUACCAUGUUAUAAUUAUCAAGGAUAGUUUUGAUAGAAUUCUAAUUGUAAUAUAUGACUGUAUAAAAAAAAAAGAACAUUAAUGAAAGAUGUUUAGGUAAGGACUAUCUUGGAAUAGAAUUUUGAUUGUAAUAUAUCAAUAUAUAAAAAAAAAAUUUAUGAAAAAUGUUUAACAAGGACUGUUUUGAUAUUUUAAUGAGUAGUAAAAAUUAAUGUUAAAAUUUGAUAGAACAUAUAUAAAUAAUCCUAGCUCUAAUAAAAUUUUGCUACAUAAUUAGUUUAUCCCUUAAAGAAACAUAUCAAAAAAAUAUACAAAAACACAAUGCAUGAGUACAUGUCAAUCACAAAUGAAAGCAAUUAAGAUAAAGAAUAUGAUUUAUUUUAUUUUAUUUUAGUUAUUUUUUUGUUUCUUUUGAAACAAGACCAAUUAGAUCUGCAAGAAGUAAUUUUUUAAAAAAAUAAUAAAAAAAGGAGAAAUGAUGAAACCCACGUCCAAAGAUGCCGUUGUCGCGGAGGCCUAGAUCUCACUACACCCCAUCCCCUUCUACCAUAUUUUAUAAUUGAAGAGGCCAUUAUUGAAUUGAAAAAUUAUGAUUCAAAUAUCCAAAAGUAGAAAAAGAAAAGCAAUUGUUGGAAACACACUCGGAGUUUUAAAUUGACAUGAGAAAAGAAUAUAUUCAUCAACCUCAUACGUUAAUGAUGCGACGAGUUUAAGAAUAUAUUCCUAACGUGUGGGAAUUUAAAGACGUUACUACAAAACAUGUGUUCGUCGGUGGAGUAGAAUCAGGGAAAUUAAAGAUGCUACUACAACCACUAACGUGUGGGUGGAGAUAAGCAUAACUUUUUUCAUCAAAUGCCAAAUCCCCCCAGGUGGAGAGUGGGGACUCCUUCGCAUAAAUGUUGAUAAAAUUUUGACUAUGAUGUUAUUAGGAAUUAAGGGAAACUGUGGUGCAAUUGUGGUAUCGUGUCACAGUUGUAUUUGGUCGUUGGAUGUCAGUAGACCCUACCCAUAUAAGUGUAUCUAAUGGCUAAAUGUAAUUAUAACACGGUACCGCAAUUGCACCGUAGCCGAACCCUAAAAAUUAAGAUAUUCUCUCUCUACGUAUGCCUGCACGAAAUAAAUAAUAUGCAAAUAUAGUAUUUUAGUUUAUUAUUAAUAGUUUUACAAUAAUAAAAAUCAUUUUGAUAGACUGGAAAAUGUCAUAUUCGCAUUUUAUUUUGUACGGACGUCUGCGAGAAAGAACAUAUAUAUAUAUAUAUAUAUAGAGGAACGUGUAUUUAAGAUUUAGCUAGUGUGAAGUUGGGAAAUUUUUUUUUUGAACCCAGGCUAAAAUUAUUUCAAUAAAUUUUGAUCAUGGAGACUAAUAAGAUUUUUUUAGUUAUAUUUAUUAAUUUUUUAGGGACUAAUAAAUUUUGAUCAUGGAGACUAAUAAGAUUUUUUUAGUUAUAUUUAUUAAUUUUUUAGGGACUAACAUGAAUAUUAAUAAUUUUAUUGAGAUUAUUAAAAAAACAAUGUGCUAUUUUACAUCUAUGACUUUUCCAAUCUUUUUUUCUUUCGUUAUUUAUUCCUUUGUGAAUUUUAGUUAAUGCUUGAUAUUAUUUUUUUGCUCAUUUUUUAAAGCAGUAAUUAAAUCUGAACCCUUACAGUAGAAGAUUAUGAAAAAGUAAAGACACAAAAAUCAUAAAAAUCAUUAGUACGUCCAAAUUGUGCUAUUUUCAUACAUAACUUGAGAAUAUUUAUAAUUACGCAUCAGAACUAGUGGAGUAGAAUCAGGGAAAUUAAACAUUCUACAAUCAUUGACGUGUGGGGUGGGGAUAAGCAUAAACCUUUUCUAUGCAGUAUAAAAGAAUGCAAUAACUCCUUUUGUUUCAUAUCUUCGCAGCAAAAGCACAUCUAAUAACUCUUCAGAAUUCUCGUCUUCUUUGUCAGAAUGGUUGAUGCGAUCGUUUCCUCUCUCCUGGGGCAGCUGAGCUCUGUUGCGGCUGAUGAAGUGAAACAGCAGGUGAGGCUUGUGACUGGUGUCCGACAAGAAGUGACAAAGCUUACCAGCAAUCUUCGAGCCAUUCGAGCUGUGCUGGAAGAUGCAGAGAAAAGGCAAAUGCAGCGCGACAAUGCUGUUACUUUUUGGCUGGAUCAGCUCAAAGACGCAUCUUACGACAUGGAAGACGUGUUGGAGGAGUGGACCACUGCAAGGCUCAAAUUGCAGAUUGAAGGCGUUGAUGAUGACAAUGCUCUUGCUCUUGCUCCUCAUAAGAAGAAGGUACGCUCCUUCUUUUGUGCUGUAUCAAACUGGUUUGGUAGUUUCAAACAACUUAGUCUUCGUCAUGACAUUGCCGUCAAGAUUAGGGAAAUCAAUGGAAAGCUAGAUGGUGUUGCCUCCCAAAAAGAUACGUUUAAAUUUGUUGAGAAUGUGAGCAACAAUGUUAAGAAACCAGAGCGAGUGCGAACCACCUCCUUGAUUGAUGAGGGAGAGGUUUGCGGUAGAGUUGAUGAGAAAAAUGAGCUCUUAAACAAGUUGUGUGAAAGUAGUGAACAACAACAAGGCCUUCAUGUCAUCUCACUAGUUGGGUUAGGGGGUAUAGGUAAAACCACUCUUGCACAACUAGCCUAUACUAAUGAUGAUGUGAAAAGAAAUUUUGAAAAAGUUAUAUGGGUGUGUGUAUCAGACACUUUUGAGGAGAUUAGGGUCGCCAAAGCAAUCAUUGAAGGUCUAGGCAUGUCAGCUUCUGGUUUAAGCGAAUUCGAAUCUCUUGUGAAACAGAUUCAGGAAUAUAUUACGGGGAAGAAAUUUUUUCUUGUUUUAGAUGAUGUGUGGGAUGUAGAUUACAAAAAAUGGGACCCAUUCUUUUCUUGUCUAAAGAAUGGCCACCAUGAAAGUAAAAUUCUAAUUACCACACGUGAUAGGUCAGUUGCACUACAGUUGGGAUCAAUAGAUAUUAUCCCUGUCAAGGAGUUGGCUGAAGAGGAAUGCUGGUCGUUGCUCGAGCGGUUAGCAUUCUUCCGUCGUUCUGUUGAUGAUCAUGAAAAAUUAGAACCAAUCGGGCGAAAAAUUGCACACAAGUGCAAAGGCCUGCCUCUUGCUGCAAAGGUAAUAGGGAAUCUCUUGCGCUCUAAAAUUACAGUAAAAGAGUGGCAAAGAAUUUUAGAUAGUGAAAUGUGGAAAGUACAAGAGAUUGGGCAAGAUCUUUUGGCCCCUUUGUUGUUGAGUUAUAACGAUUUGCCCUCCAAUUCUAUGGUAAAACGGUGUUUCUCAUAUUGUGCUGUCUUUCCAAAAGACUACGAGAUGGAUAAAGAGGAGUUGAUUGAUCUGUGGAUGGCUCAAGGUUACCUUAAUGCAGAAGAAGACGAAGAGAUGGAGAUGAUUGGGGAAGAGUGUUUCAACAUUUUAGCAGCACGCUCUUUCUUUCAAGAGUUUGAGAAAAAUGAUGAUGAUGAUGAUAUUAGGAGUUGCAAGAUGCAUGACAUAGUACAUGAUUUUGCCCAAUUUGUAAGUAGAAAAGAAUGUUUGUGGGUAGAAAUGUAUGAUAACAAAGAAUCAGUCAUAAAGUCUUCUGGUGUCAAAGUCCGUCACUUAGGGUUAAAUUUUCAAAGAGGAGCUUCAUUUCCUACGUCCUUUUUUGAAUUUGAUAGAUUGCGUAGCCUCUUAAUUUAUGAUAGAAGUUAUUCCAAUCAGGUUCUUAAUAGUAAAUUGGCGUGUUUAAGGACAUUAGUUAUAAGGCAAUCGUUCCAAUAUUUUUAUCCUAUUUCUCUUGACUCAAAUGCGAUUAGAGAAAUUCCAGAAAAUGUUGGAAAAUUGAUACAUUUAAAAUAUCUUAAUUUGUCUAAAUUAGCCAUAGAGAUACUACCUGAGACUUUGUGUGAAUUAUAUAAUUUACAAAAGCUAGAUAUUAGGGAGUGCCGAUAUCUUAGGGAAUUGCCAGCGGGGAUUGGGAAGUUAAAGAACAUGAGAAGUUUACUGAAUGAUAAAACUUAUUCAUUGAAGUACAUGCCAAUAGGGAUUUCCAGAUUGACCAGCCUUCGAACAUUAGAAAAGUUUGUUGUGGGUGGAGGUGUUGAUGGUGGCAGCACGUGUAGGCUUGAAUCUCUGAAAAAUCUUCAACUCCUUCGUGAAUGUAGAGUAGAAAGGCUGAGUAAUGUAUCGCAUGUAGAUGAGGCUGAGAGGUUACAACUUUACAAUAAGAAAAACCUCCUUCGUUUGCGUCUUUGGUUUGGUGGAGUCGUAGAUGGGGAAGGCGAAGAAGGGAGGAGGAAGAAUAUUGAGAAAGAUAAACAACUUCUUGAAGCCUUACGACCGCCUUUGAAUUUAGAGGAAUUAGGGAUUGUAUCCUACCAAGGCAACAUUUUUCCCAAAUGGUUGACUUUGCUAACCAAUCUAAGGAAUUUAUUUCUUUCCUCGUGCGUUAACUGUGAGCAUUUGCCUCCUUUGGGAAAAUUGCCUCUGGAAAAACUCAAACUAUGGAAAUUAAAAAGUGUAAAAAGAGUGGGUAAUGAGUUUUUGGGAAUAGAAGAAAACAGUGAGGACGACCCAUCUUCAUCUUCAUCGUCAUCAUCAGUUAUUGCCUUCCCCAAAUUGAAAUCACUCGAAAUUUGGGACAUGGAGGAAUUGGAAGAGUGGAAUUACAGGAUUACGAGGAAGGAAAACAUCUCCAUCAUGCCCCGUCUUUCUUUCUUAAAAGUUGUUUUUUGCAACAAAUUAAAGGCGCUGCCGGAUUACCUUCUUCAAACGACGGCACUGCAGGAACUGCGUAUUUUUUCUUGUGAUCUUCUAGAAGAACUGCCCAUUCUAGAAGAUCGCAGGACAACAGACAUUCCACGUCUUUCUUCCUUGCGAAUUUCGGAUUGCCCCAAAUUAAAGGUGCUGCCGGAUUACCUUCUUCGGACGACGACGCUGCAGGAAUUGACUAUUGACGAAUGUCCCCUUCUGGAAAACCGUUAUAGAGAGGGGAAAGGAGAAGACUGGCAUAAGAUAUCUCACAUUCCCCACAUCGAGUGGUAAAUUCUCGAAUGGUUGCAAUUACUAUCACCCACCGGUAAUUUCUCACCUCUAUUUUACUUUGUUGUUACUUCAAACAACGACACUGCAAACAUUGACAAUUUGUACAUAUCAAUAAAAUGUACAAAGUUAAAAAUAUAGAAUGCAUUAGUACAUGUCAAUAACAAGACCAAUUAGAUUAUGGCAUUGCUUUAUUUUAUUUAUUUAUUUUUUUGAUUCUUUUGAAACAAGAUCAAUUAAUUAGAUCAUGCUAGAAGUUAAUUUUUUUUUUCAAAUGAAAAAGGAGCAGUCAUACAAAGUUUGAAUAUAAAAUUUAUAAUCUAAAACUAAUAAUGUGACAAUUAGCAUGUUAUUAACCUAUCUAAUAGAGUAGGAAGUCCCAAAUACAUCAUAUUCUGCUCCAGAAAUCCAUUCCACCUAGAAUACUUCUUUCUAUUGAAAUUAAUGAUGAUUUGUUUGUUUGCAUCAUGAAAGUUAAAAAUAAUUUUAUGAGUAAUUUGAUUCUUUACGGUACAAAAAAUAAAUUUGGAAAGUACUAAUUUCUCUCAUACUUUUUGGGCUAAAAAAUAAAUGUAACUCCAACAUAUUUAUUAUUUAAUGGUUCUAUAUAGAAUCAAUCGUGGUAUAAAUAUGUAAAACUUCCUAGUUAUCAAUUUUGUCUUGCAUAAUGAUAAUCGUUUUUUUUUAUAUAUAAUUUAUGUGACAUUAAUUCUUUAAAGUAAUUGUGGAAUUGUUUUUACUACAUUAGCCCUCUUUGUUUUAUUUCAUACGAGUUUAAUUAUGUUCACCAGGGAUUCGAGGAAAUGUCAGAACCACACUAGCAAUUCACAGGUCCAAUCUAAUUUGGUUUUAAUGAUGCAGGCAGGAGAGUAUGCUAAGAAAAUGAAAAGUUUAGCCAAAGGAUUGCUAAAAUGUUCUGCUGGUAAUUCACUUGCUUUAUUUUAUAGAAUUUCAUUUCCAUCUUCUUCUAUUGAUAUCUUGUUGUGAAUAAACAAGAACAGAGAAGUAAAGAUAUAUCAAAAUUAACUAUUACGAUGAUGCUAAAGCAAGCUCAAGCUCAAGCAUUGCAUUUUUAUUUUAUUUAAUUUAUAGAAUUUUCAUUUCCACCUGCAUUGCAUUUUUAUUUAUUUUUAGGUUGACUUUGAAUACUUCAUGGUGAAAAUGACGAGUUCAGCCAAAGGAUUGCUAAAUGUUCUGCUGGUAAUUCACUUGCUUUAUUUUAUAGAAUUUCAUUUCCAUCUUCUUCUAUUGAAUCUUGUUGUGAAUAAAGAAGAACAGGUAAGUAAAUGAUUGAACCACAGAGAAGUAAAGGUGUAUCAAAAUUCGCUAUUAUGAUGAUGUUAAAGCAAGCUCAAGCACAAGCAUUGCACUUUAUAUUUUAUUUAGUUAAUAGAAUUUUCAUUUCCACCUGCAUUUCAUUUUUAGGUUGACUUUGAAGACUCUAUGGAGAACAUUGGGGUAACCAAGGAUUAUCACUGUGGUUAUUGUGCAACGUUUGGUUGCUGGACUUUGAAGAAGGAAGUGAUGGCCGGGUCUGCUCUGUUUCAAUUGAGGAUGGAUAGCUGCCUGAAAGACAUGAUGAUUAUUAUUGUGUGAUGUUAAGGUGCUGAGAUCAUCAUUGCUAUCUUGUUUCAUUCUUGGAAUCAUUUAUCCUGUAUAAACAUUUGUUUUAACAAAUGUUUCAAUGGCUGCUGUAGUAACAAUUUCAUAUCUUGCAUCUCUCGGGUGCAUCAUGAUCACGGGUUUGAGAAAGCAUUUGUGGUAAAGCUUCAAAGCUUGUACAAUGGCUGUGAAAAGGCACAUUCAAUUCGGUACGUUUGGUGCGGUCUCCUAAUGCUACUACCAUAUUUUGUAUAGCAAUUAAAAUUCAGGUAUACAAUCUUAAUAUGCAAUAAAUCAUUGAGUACAAAGUUAUCUAUUAAUUAUAUGGUAACUGAAAUUUUCAUUAUAAUUUUAAUUAUCAUAUUAAUAUUAAAGUUUUUUGUAACCCUCUUUUACUUUGCUUGUACAGAGUAUCUGUUUUGGCUGAUAUGUCUAAUUCGUAGCAAUUCAUUUCCAUCGGUUUCCAUUGGUUUUAGCACAAACAGAAACAAAAAUCUGGGGAAAAAGUUUUACUUCUUGUGGUAUUAUGCCUUUAUUUAUUCAUUCAUCAUAUUUGUUCGAAUUCAUGCUCUCAUUCAGAGAGCAGCCUUUUCCAGGCUACUUUGUAGCCAAAUUUUCAUGCCAUCGAUGCAUGAUUGUCAUUUAGAUUUUCCAAAUAAUUGUUAGAUUGAAGAAGAAUAAGAAGAUAUUGUUAAAAGGGUAUUUAAUUAGCACCCUCUGAAUUUAGUUGCCAAUAAUGCAUUGAAAUGGUUGGGGAAAGUUAUUGUCUCACUUAAAUUACAGGUGAUAAGAUGCUGCUCCAAUUUUGCAAGCAUCUCGUGUUGCGAAGAUUUUGCCCACAUGAGAUGUUAUGAUUUUUGACAUCAGGGUAACACAGGUCAAAUUUUAGCAUCAAUAGAUAUCAUCUUCUUUACUGUUCUGCUCGAAAUAUUAAACUUUAGGCAAGUUGUUUUUGGUUGUGUGAGUUAUCAGGUUAAGGAUACUAAGCAGCUUAUUAAGGCAAAUGUCAGAAUGCAGAUUGCUCACCACACCUGGUAUGCAUGAUGGCCAGGAAGAUUAAUUGUUCACAAGCCAAUUUGAUCAGUGUUAGAUUUUUUUCCUCCUUUCGAGGGACAUCAUCAUCAAAUUUGAGUAGAGAAUCUUUGAAGGGAAUUUUGUUGUAAGAGUUUCACAGUAGUGAAUUCUAGAAGCUCGAACUCACUUGAGUGAGAUAUUAGGGAGUAUUGGGGAUUUGGGUUAUGAGUAAUCAUUAUCCUUCCAAUAUGUGUAAGCACUCACUUGUUAGUAAAAUCAUCUUCGUAUAUUGACUAUGUUUCUUUGUUAUCAGGUAGAGUGUGAUCUUCAAGGGUUUGAGAAAGUCCUUGCAGUAAAGUUUCCACCACAAGUAAUUGCUCAGUUUCAGAUUUUCUAGGCGUUUAAUUAGUUUCGAUUAUAAUAUUUAGUCACUCAUUCUGAAUCUUUUCUAAUUUUCAAGUUCCUUAGGGUCACAAUCAUUUUUUCAAGUCUGCUGUGGCUGCAAAAAGAUUGUUGGUCAUAAAAUUAUCUUGACCCUUGAGCCAUUGCGUUUGAGCACAAACAGAAACAGAGCUAAAGGAAAAGAACUUGACGCAAGAAGAUGCUCUGAAUAUAACAAAAGUAUAUUUCUACUUCUUGUGGUUAUUUACUUUUGUUUCUCCUGUCAGCAUAUUUGAUUAAUUCGUUCGAAUUCACACUCUCACACAUUAUUUAAAACCAUUUGUAGGUGGCUUGCAAGCUAAUUAAGUUAAUGCAGAAGCAAUACUCUAGACUUUAGUGAAGUUGUUUUUGUUUGUGUAAGUUAUCAGGUUAAGGAUACUAAGCAGCUUAUUAAGGCAAAUGUCAGAAUGAAGAUUGUUCACCGCACCUGGUAUGAAUGAUGGCGAGGAAGAUUAAUUGUUCACAAGCCAAUUUGAUCAGUAUUAGAUUCUUUUGCCUCCCUUCGAGAGAUAUCAUCAUCAAAUUUGAGAAGAGAGUUUUGUUUUGACAUUUCACUGUAGUGAAUUUUGGGAGCUUGAACCCACUUCAGUGAAAUAUUAGGGAAUACUGGGGAUAUGGGUUAUGAGUGAUCGUUAUCCUUCAAAUAUUUGUAAGCUCUCACUUGUUAGUAAAACCAUCUUCGUAUAUUGACUUUGUUUCUUUGUUGUCCGGCCGAGUGUGAUCUUCAAGGUUUGAGAAAGUCUUCGCAGUAAAAUUUCCACCACGUGCAAUUGCAGUGAAGGGGCAUAUACAUUUGAGUAAUUCAGUUUCAGAUUUUCAAGGCGCGUUUGUUUAAUUAGUUUCGAUUAUAAUAUUUAGUCACUCAUUCUGAAUCUUUUCUAAUUUUCAAGUUCUUUAGGGCCGCCAACAGUUUUUCAUGUCUACAUGUGGCUGCAAAAAGAUUGAUGGUCAUCAAAUUAUCUUGAGCCUCGAGGCAUUGCAUUCGAGCACAAAGGGAAACAGAGCUAAGGGAAAUGAAGACAGUAGGAGAUGCUCUGAAUAUAACAAAAGUAUAUUUCUACUUGUGGUUAUUUUAAUUUUGUUUCUCCUGUCAUCAUAUUUAAUUAAUUCGUUUGAAUUCACACUCUCACACAUUAUUUAAAACCAUCUGCAGGUGAUAGAAUAUGGGAGACGUUGUUAAUGGAAAAACAGUACUCUAGACAAAGAUGAGCAAAUUGAAGGCGACAAAUGCAAAUUGGAUUUCCAUGAAUAAUUGUUAGGCUGGUGGAGAUAUUCUUAAAAGGGCAUUAAGCUAUCUUAUGGAAUUGGAAAGUUAUUAUUACUUGAAAGCAAGCAGCAUCUUCGUUGCGAAGGCUUUCCCCACUUGAUAAGAUGCUGAGAUUGUUAUCGGCCCCUUAAUUAUUUAUUAACUCAGGUAUUUAUUAUCAGUACAUCAUCUUAUUCACCAUUUUGGCUGUAUAUAAAGAUUAAAAUUUCUAACAGUUGUUUCGGAUUCUUGUGUACUCAGGUUAAUAGGGCAAAUGUCAGAAUGAAGAUUGCUCAGUGCAACCGAUAUAGCAAGGAUGAUAGUUGUGAGGAAGAUUGUUGGCAAGCCAAAUAGAGCCCUCCAUUUGGAGAAAUAUCAUCCUCAAAUUUGAAUUGUUGAGCAUGUGAGGUGAAGCUAAAGCCUUAAUAAUGAGACCUUCCUGUGGAAGUUUCAUUUGAAUGAAUUGAACGUUCUUAGUGAGUGAGAAAUUAAGCAUAUAUCAGCGAUUUUGGUCGUCAGUGAAUGUUUUCCUUCAAUAUUAAUACACUGGCAUUUCUUAGUAAAUUCCCUUCACGUCACUUCCUCCUUGUUGGUGGGAUUAGUAAACAAAUGCCAUUUCUUAGUACAUUUUGAGAAUUUUGACUCCCAAAUAAGCCUGCAGAGCGGUGUAUGGUGGGAUUAGCUGCAGGAUUCUUUGCCAAACUUCCUUUUUAUUCCUUUGUUCACUUAUUCGUUAUAAAUAAAGUAAAAUUAGAAUAUUGUUCCGUUUACUGUCUAAGCUGGUCUAACAUUUGUUUAAUUUGGGCAAUUUUUAAUGCCUAACAGGUUAUCUGUGACAAACCCAUCAGUGAGUGUAUGCAACUAUUGCGUGGAUUUGAUAGAGUGGUCACCAACAAUUUUGAAGUUAUUGGAGUAGCACGGCUUUGAGGUCUCUCCCUCCCUCUUUUACGUAUUUGUCUAUUGAUCGACAUGUCUAUAUAUACAUUGAUAGACCAACUUACUCUUGUUUUAAUGUUUUGUUUGUUAAAAUUUGACUGGGUUAUGUUUAUUUGUCUCAUAUGAUGUCAAUGUGGUUCCUAUUGAAGUGUAUAGAUCUGUCACCUCAAAGUCUGAUUUCAAUUUUCCUUUACUUCAUCAACUAGCAUCCUUUCCAAGUCCAGAUACUUACCAAUAGUGAUACUUUGCUACGGAAGUACAAUUUCUCUUGUUUUACAGUUAAUUAUGAAAGAAAAGUUUUAAAUUUACAGAAUUCUGGUAUAGCUCUCUUAAGGAAAUGCGAGUGGUGAAUAUGGUUCCAACUUUUAAUAGGCUUAAUAGGCCCAUUUGUUGAGCCACAGUGAUUGCGGUGUAAAUUCUUCUUUACUGUCUAUAUGUGUUGGAGUUUGUCUAUUGUCCAACUUCUCAAAUCGAUUCCAUGCAGGGUUUUGAAUGUCUAAUUAGGAGAACGAUUAACGGAUGACCUUUUGAAGAAGGCUUACACAACAGGCCAUCUCGGGAUGUCAUGGCUCAGCUCAAAAGUCCCCAGGUGGGUGAUAUCAAAGAAUGCCAUUGUUUCUGGGCUUGGUCUCCUUGGCAUCAAACAAGAUAAUGUUGACUGCAUAAAUUUGUUGGAGUUAAUGUAGUCAAUUGCCCAAUUUCGCUGCCUAUCGAAGAGACACAUCAUGGAAGUCCUCAUCAAACUCUGAGACACCUAAGAAAUAGUAGGAGGUGGUGGUACUUGCCUGGGGUUAAUUUCCUGGCAAGUAUAGUUCACUGAUAGAGGGAAUCUUCUCUUGAUGUCUAAAUACCGUAUGUGAUACAACGUCGUAUAUUCUAAUUUUCCUUGAGUUAAAUUCUAGUCAGUUAGGAAAGUUAAUUUUGUUUUCGCUAUGGAUUGUUUCCUAGAUAAUAAUAGUUUCCAUGUUCCUUUGGGGUCUUAUUAACUCUCUGUAACCCAGUUCAAGUUUGCAAAUUCUAUUUCAGAUUUCUCAUAUAGUGUGCCUUUGUGACUUCUGUGAUACACUUUUGAUCACAAGUUUCCAUUUGAAGUAGCCAAUAUUCUUUAUAGACUAAUUAUCUAAGGAUUAUUUUAUACAAAAAAUGAAAACUUUAAUUAAUUGAUCAUACUUAACUUAGCUCUUGUUUAAUAUUACGAGCUGUUGUGAGAACAAAAAAAUAGCAGAAAGUUGACAGUGUGCAGUAAAUGUAUGACUUUUAAAUAAUAAUUUAAUAAAAUUAAUAAAGAUAUUAUAAGUUUUUUAAUAAUAAAGUAUGAGAUCAAAUUAAAUUAAUUAAUUUUGAAUUAUUUUAUUAUUGUCAAAAUGUAAUAUCUUAAAUAACAGUUAUUUUUAUUAAGAAUAUUUUUUUGGUAAUGAAUUAUACUUUUUAAAAUAUAAUUGAAAAUUCUUAUUAAUGAACUAAUAAAAAAUUAAUUAUUUGAGUUAUCUCCUAAACUACUUAGCUCACGAGAUAAAUUCACUUAGUUUAGAACGAAGCGGUGGGUUUUAUGUGGGAAGCCACAUCCUUACCACAUCAACCUCAACAUCGAAACAUGGAAUUGGACUAAAAAUAGUUCUUUCCCAUGUAUUUACGUAACCUCCUCCCAGUAAACGCAAAUAUGUAUUCUUGAGUGCAUGUAAUCCACAAGUUUGAUUGAGUAGAAGAUGUCGUUGUCACAAAGGCCUGGACGCCAUACCUCGAAUGAUAUGUUAGUAUGAAAUUAUGUUUUUUUUUUUUUUUUUGAGAGAGGUAUGAAAUUAUGUGAAAAUUAAUAUAUCACUUUUUUUUUCUUUUUUCCUUUUUUGCGUGAGUGAUGGCUUCGUUGAAUGACAGUUGGCAAAUAAUAAGUUAUCUUUUAAUUUUGGUUUUGAUUUGAAAAAAAUAUUAAUUUUUGUAGUUUCGGUAGAUGAAAUUUCGAAUCAAAUAUUAAUAUUGUUAAAGUACGCAACCCAAUAUUUGCUUAAAUUACAAAAAAGAUUAAUUACUUUGCAUAAAAAAAAAGUGAUCACUUGAUUUAACUUCCUUUACUAAAUUUACGAUUUAAAAUCCAAAAUAAAAAAAAGGAAAACAAUUUUUGGACACACACUCGGAGUUUUAAAUUAAUAUGAAAAACGAGUUUAUUAUUGAUAGGAAAACAAUCAAGUGAUCACUUGAUUUAACUUCCUUUACUAAUUUUACGAUUUAAAAUCUAAAAUAAAAAAUUGUUUAUUAUUGAUUGUCUUUUUCCCAAAAUUUAAGCUAAAACAGUAAUAUGUCCAAAAUACCCUCCACGUUAUCCUAAAACUUUAUAAACUCCCCCGUUCCUCUCAACAUCAUCUCUUCCAAAUCUUUCUCCCCCAAAAAACCAGCCAUGGCUUCAUAUUUAGUUACCUCAACACUCCAAUAUUGGCUUGUAAACAGUAGUGGUUCGACCUCUAGGCAACUUAGGUGGUUGUAUAGGACUCCGCUUUAUAUGAAAACCCUACGAGAUGAUUAUUUUGUAUAUAAAAGAGGAAAAUGAAUUUAAAAGUGAUUAUUAUUUAUUUAAUUUAUUAUUAUUUUGUAAUUAUCUUUUUCUAAAUAAACUAUCAAAUUCUUAUAAAGUUUAUUUAAUGUACUACUUAAUUGUUUUAAUUAAUUUCUACAAAACCAAUAAAUUAAUAGUUUCAAUCCUAAACAUUCUCUAUUUCAUUGUUAGAAUUAAUAAGUUAUAUUUCAAAAGUUUUAUAUUUAUUUUAAACCUCUAUAAAAGCCCCACAUUUUAUUACUUAUCCAUUACAUUUUUCCUCCAACAAUCAAGACAUCUUGGUGUUUUAGAGAAAGAAAGAGAAAGAAGGAAAAAAAUCUUGCUUCCCCUACUUUCUACUCUAGAAGAAACAGAAAAAAUCUAAUAGUUUUCUCUAUUUUCUAUGACUAUUGGUCGUUACUCAAAUUUUCAAACAAUAGCCUUAAUAUAAAUAUAAGUUAAUUUAUGAUUUCAUCUCAAAUUUUUGAUUUUAUCUUUUUAUUAUUCUCUUAAUUAGUUGUGUUUUAUUUGUUCUUAUUUCUUUUUAAUAUAUUCUUUUAUUCAUCUAAUUUUUUUUUGUGCUUGUUUUAUCUAUUUUGAAAUAAAACUAUAUCAAAAAACUUUAGACAAUAGAAGAAUAGAAAAAUUAGUUUAAUUUAAAAAAAAAAGUAAAAAGAUAUAAUUUAACUUAAAAAAAUAAAUGAAAAUGUUAUAAUUGAAUUAAAAUUUUAUGAAUUAACAUCAAUGGAAUGAAUUUUUAUUUAAUAAUUUUACAUUUUAAAGUGUUUAAAGAAUUAAUUUUCAAUAAAUAAUAUACGUUAUAUACCUUCUAGAAGAUAUAUAACGUAUUUCAAUAAAUAAUUGUACAUUAUGAAUUAACAUCAAUGGAAUGGAUUACCUUCUUCAAACGACGGCACUGCAGGAACUGAGUAUUUCUUAUUGUCCAAUUAUGGAAGAACUGCCCAUUCUAGAAGAUCACAGGACAACAGACAUACCACGUCUUUCUUCCUUGCGAAUUUGGAAUUGCCCCAAACUAAAGGUGCUGCCGGAUUACCUUCUUCGGACGACGACGCUGCAGAAAUUGACAAUUUGGGGAUGUCUCAUUCUGGAAAACCGUUAUAGAGAGGGGGAAGGAGAAGACUGGUAUAAGAUAUCUCACAUUCCCCACAUCAAGUGAUCGCCGUAAUUUAUCACUCGCCGGUAAUUUCUCCUCCGCCUCUGAUUUACUUCGUUGUUGCUUGCAAUGAAAUUAAUAAAAAUAAUUAUAUUUUGAAUUAAAAUUUCUAUACUUAUUUACUUUUAAAAAAUAUGUGCUCUUUUGUAAAAUUUCAUGCAAUGUAAUUUAUUUUUUAAUGUACGAUAAUUUGUUGUGUGUAACUUCCUGAGAGACAAAAUCUCUGUGAUACAUUUGCAGUAAUGUUGAAAACUAAAUUAUCAAUUUUAUCUUGUAUAAUGAUAAUCUUAUUUUUUUAUAUAUAAUUUAUGUGACAUUAAUUCUUUAAAGUAAUUGUGUAAUUGUUUUUACUACCAGUUUAUGUUUCAUUUUAAUUAUGUUCACCAGGGAUUCGAGGAAAUGUCAGAACCACACUAGCAAUUCACAGGUCCAAUCUAAUUUGGUUUUAAUGAUGCGGCAGGAGAGCAAGACUAUGAAAAUGAAAAGUUUAGCCAAUGGACUGCUAAAAUGUUCUGCUGGUAAUUCACUUGCUUUAUUUUAUAGAAUUUCAUUUCCAUCUUCUUCUAUUGAUAUCUUGUUGUGAAUAAACAAGAACAGAGAAGUAAAUGAUUGAACCACAGAGAAGUAAAGAUAUAUCCAAAUUCGAUUAUUAUGAUGAUUAAAGCAAGCUCAAGCUCAAGCAUUGCAUUUUUUAUUUUAUUUAGUUUAUAGAAUUUUCAUUUCCACCUGCAUUGCAUUUUUAUUUCAUUUUUAGAUUGACUUUGAAGACUCUAUGGAGAACAUUGGGGUAACCAAGGAUUAUCACUGUGGUUAUUGUGCAACGUUUGGUUGCUGGACUUUGAAGAAGGAAGUGAUGGCCGGGUCUGCUCUGUUUCAAUUGAGGAUGGAUAGCUGCCUGAAAAACAUGAUGAUUAUUAUUGCAUGAUGUUAAGGUGCUAAGAUCAUCCUUUCUAUCUUGUUUCAUUCUUGGAAUCAUUUAUCCUAUAUAAACAUAUUGAAUUGUGCUAAUAUUAUCAUAUGCGUAAAUGGAGGCAGGAAUUUGGUGUUGACACUAUUAUGCAGGUAACCACACUUGAUAAUUGGCACAAAUUUGCGUUGUCAGAAUAUCCUUUAAUAUUCAACGUGUCUCUUUGUGUUAUCAGGAGUAUCAUGUCCAAGGGUAAAGGUGCUGCCGGAUUGGUGGAUGCCCCAAAUUAAAGGUGCUGCCGGAUUACCUUCUUCAAUCGACGACACUGCAGAUAUUGAGUAUCUUUUUGUGAAAAUAUGGAAGAACUGCCCAUUCUAGAAGACCGCAGGACAACAGACAGAUCACUUGCCCCAAAUUAAUGAUGCUGCCGGAUUACCUUCUUCAAACAAUGACACUGUGGAUAUUGAGUAUUUAUGAAUGUCCUAUUCUGGAAAAACGUUACAGAGAGGGGGAUGGAGAAGACUCGCAGAAUGUUAAGGUGCUAAUAUCAUCAUUUCUAUCUUGUUUCAUUCUUGGAAUCAUUUAUCCUAUAUAAACAUAUUGAAUUGUGCUAAUAUUAUCACUUGUGUCAAUGGAGGCAGGAAUUUGGUGCUGAAACUAUUAUGCAGGUAACCACACUUGAUAAUUUGCACAAAUUUGCGUUGUCAGAAUAUCCUUUAAUAUUCAUUGUGUUUCUUUGUGUUAUCAGGUUAUCAUGGUAUACAGAGUAUCAUUUUCAAGGGUUUGUAAGAGCUUUCGCAGUAAAGUUAGUCAUCACCACCUUGUGCAAUUGCACAUACAUUCAGAGUACUUCAAUAUUAGAUUUUCAAGGUUUGUAUGUUUAGUUGCGAUUAAAAUUUUUAGUCACUCAUUCUUAAUCUUUUCUAAUUUUCAAGUUCUUUAGGGCCAUAAACAGUUUUUCCAACUCAUUCUUAUUUUUUAGGUUGAUUUCGAGUACUCUGUGGAGAACAUUAGUGAGACAAAGGAUUAGACUGGCGAUGGAACUGCUGCCUCUGUUGUUAUUGUGCAAGGUUUGAUCACUGGACCUUGAACACGAAAGCCUUACACGCAUUCUGUAAUUCAAGCGUUCUCUAAAACGAACGAGCAGUAGAAGGAAUAGUGAUGACCGGAUCUGCUCUAUUUUAAUUGAAGAUCUCUGUGAUAUUGAGGGGCUUAAAGUAGUUGAUGCUUUUUGAAAAUUGUUAUUACGGAUGAAUUCAUUCCUGAAGACGAGUAGCUAAUGAUUGUUAAGGCUUAUUUUCUUAAAGUUCCUUUCUUAACAAGUGUUUCAAUGCUGGCUGUAGUAACAUUUUCAUAUCUUGCAUCUCUCGGGUGCAUCAUGUUCACAUGUUUGAAAAGGCAUUUGUGGUAAAGCUUCAAAGGUUGUACAAUGGCUGUGAAAAGGCAUAUUCAAUUCGGUACGUUUUGGUGUGGUCUCCUAAUGCUAAUAUGAUAUUUUGUAUAGCAAUUAAAAUUUAGGUAUACAAUCUUAAUAUGCAAUAAAUCAUUGUGUACAAAGUUUUCUAUUAAUUAUAUGGUGACUGAAAUUUUAAUUAUCAUAUCAAUCUUAAAUUUUUUUGUAACUCACUUUUACUUUGCUUGUACAGAGUACCUGUUUUGGCUGAUAUGUCUAAUUCGUAGAAAUUCAUUUCCAUCGGUUUCCAUUGGCUUUAGCGCAAACAGAAACAGAGCUCUGGGAAAGAGUUUGACUUCUUGUGGCAUUAUGCCUUUGUUUCUUCAUUCAUCAUAUUUUUCAAAUUCAUGCUCUCAUUCAGAGAGUAAAGCCUUUUCCAGGCUGCUUUGUAGACAAACUUUGACUCCAUUGAUGCAUGACUGUCAUUUAGAUUUUCCAAGAAACUGUUAGAUUGGAGAAGAAUAAGAAGAUAUUGUUAAAAGGGUAUUUAAUUAGCGCCCUCUGAAUUUAGUUUCCAAUAAUGCAUUGAAAUAGUUGGGGAAAGUUAUUGUCUUAAUUAAAUUACAGGUGAUAAGAUGCUGCUUCAAUUUUGGAAGCAUCUCGUAUUGCGAAGAUUUUGCCCACAUGAGAUCCCGUGAUUCUUGACAUCAGGGUAACGCAGGUCAAAUUUCACUUUCAAUAUAUAUCUCUUCUUUACUAUUCUGCCUCUAAAUAUUAAACUUUAGGCAAAUUGUUUCUUGUUUGUGUAAGUUAUCAGGUUAAGGAUACUAAGCAGCUUAAUAGUUCGCCACACCUGGUAUGAAUGAUGGCCAGGAAGAUUAAUUGUUCACGAGCCAAUUUGAUCAGUGUUAGAUUUUUUGCCUCUCUUUGAAAGAUAUGAUCAUCAAAUUUGAGUAGAGAAUCUUUGAAGAGAAUUUUGUUGUGAGAGUUUCACUGUAGUGAAUUUUGGGAGCUUGAACUCACUUGAGUGAGAUAUUAGAGCGUAUUGGGUAUUCGGGUUAUGAGUAAUAGUUAUCCUUCCAAUAUUUGCAAGCUCUCACUUAUUAGUAAAAUCAUCUUCGUAUAUUGACUCUGUUUCUUUGUUGCCAGGAAGAGUGUGAUCUUCAAGGGUUUGAGGAAGUCUUUGCAGUAAAGUUUCCACCACGAGCAAUUGCUACAAAGAGGCAUAUACAUUUGAGUAAUUUGGUUUCAGAUUUACAAGGCGUGUAUAUUUAAUUAGUUUUGAUUAUCAUAUUUAGUCACUCAUUCUGAAACUUUUCUAAUUUUCAAGUUCCUUAGGACCACCACCAGUGUUUCAAGUCUGCAUAUGGCUGCAAAAUAUUGAUGGUCAUAAAAUUAUCUUGAGCCUUGAGGCAUUGCAUUUGAGCACACACAGAAACAGAGCUAAAGGAAAAGAAGACAAUAGAAGAUGCACUAAAUAUAACAAAAGUAUAUUUCUACUUGUGGUUAUUUUAAUUUUGUUUCUCCUGUCAUCAUAUUUGAUUAAUUCGUUUGAAUUCACACUCUCACACAUUAUUUAAAACCAUCUGCAGGUGGCUUGCAAGCUAGUUAAGUUAAUGCAAAAACAAUACUUUAGACAAAGAUGAGCAAGUUGAAGGCAACAAAUGCAAAUUGAAUUUCCAUCAAUAAUUGUCAGGCUGGGGCAGAUAUUCUUAAAAGGGCAUUAAGCUAUCUUAUGAAAUUGGAAAGUUAUCAUUGCUUGAAUGAAAGCACCAUCUUCUGUUGUCAAGGCUUUCCCCACACGAUGAGAUUCUGUGCUUGUUAUCGGCCCCUUAAUUAUUUAUUAAAUCAGGUUUCUGUUAUCAAGUACAUCAUCUUAUUCACCAUUUUAGCUAUAUAUAAAGAUUAAAAUUUCUAACAGUUGUUUCGGAUUCUUGUGUACUCAGGUUAAUAGGGCAAAUGUCAGAAUGAAGAUUGUUCAGUGCAACCGGUAUAGCAAGGAUGAUAGUGGUGAGGAAGAUUGUUGGCAAGCCAAAUAGAGCCCUCCAUUUUGAGAAAUGUCAUCCUCAAAUUUGAAUUGUUGAGCAUGUGAAGUGAAGCUAAAGCCUUAAUAAUUAGACCUUCCUGUAAAAGUUUCAUUUGAGUGAAUUGAACGUUCUUAGUGAUUUUGGUUGUCAGUGAAUGUUUUCCUUUAAUAUUAAUACACUGUCAUUUCUUAGUAAAUUCUCUUCAUAUCACUUCCUCCUUGUCGUUCUUAUGGAAAUACCUUCCUGUUUGACUUGCAAAAUACAUUACAAAAGCUCCCAAACAGUAUAUUUGAACAGAGUUACCCAUUUUGAGAAUUUUGACUCCCAAAUAAGCCUGCAGAGUGGUGUAUGGUCGGAUUAGCUGCAGGAGCAGUGCAAGAUUCUUGUCAAACUAUCUGGCUGGUAAAAAGACUGUUGUCAAACUUCCUUUUUAUUCCUUUGUUUACUUAUUCGUUAUAAAUAAAGUAAAAUUAGAAUAUUGUUCCGUUUACUGUCUAAGCCGGUCUAACAUUUGUUUAAUUUGGGCAAUUUUUAAUGCCUGACAGGUUACUUCAUAUGCGGCACAAUUUUUACAUUAUUUUUAAUGGCAAUUUUUAAUUCAAUAAAGAAAAGUAUUGUGAAGUAAAAAUUGAAAAGUACAAUCCGUCGAUCAUUUGAUACGUAUUUUUCUUCACAGAACCUCAAUUCAAUAGACAAAAGCUCCUCUUAAUUUUUCUUUUCUAUUUAAAUAAAAGAACAAAAGAAAUUGAUUACGGAGCCAUUAAUUUCCAAGAAUUAAUAAAUGAAAAGGCCCAUAAUUUUUGUUAACCCACCCCACUCUCAAGAAAUAAUUACAAUAAGUUCAAAUUAUUUUUUAAAAAUUGAAAUAAAGAAGAUGUAAUUACAAUAAGUUUGGAGAUUGAAUCAAAUAAAAUAAAAAACCUAAACUAUUAUAUACAAGAACUCUUGAUUCUUGGGGUAUUUUAUUCAUUUUAUAUUAUCAUGGUAAAUUAGUCAAAUAAAACUUAUCUUAAAGCAACCUAAAUGGUCAAAGACACCUAAGUUAAAAAAAUAAAAAAUUAUAUGAAUGAUUUAAUUUAUUGAUUGUCUAUACCUUUUAUUGAUUUAUAUAUUUUAAAAAUAGUAUGAACGUAUUACAAUUAUUUUCUGACAUCAAGGUAGAUUUGUAAAAGAAGUGGGUAGAUUUGUAAAAGAAGUGGAUAGAAAAUAUCCCCGUCCUCAAACAAAUAAAUGAAUUAUCGGUGACGCAUGCUUUUUCCCAACUUUUGUUUUUUACAAUUAUGUAUCACAGUUGUGGAGUAGAAUCAGGGAAAUUAAAAAUGCUAAAAUUAUUGACGCGUGGGGUGGACGACAAUAACCAUAAACAUUUUUCGUGUAGUGUAAGAAGAAUGCAACAACUUGUUUCUUUCAGUAUUUUUGCAACAAAAGUACGUUGAACAACUUUUGAAAUUAUUUCUCUUUUUCUUUGCUAGAAUGGAUGUGAUCGCUUCCCCUCUCCCGGAGCAGCUGAACUCCUUUGCUGCUUGUGACUUACCAUAAAUCUUCAAGCCAUUCAAGCUGUGCUUGAAGAUGCAGAGAAGGCAAGUUGAUAUAAGAUGGUUGCAUGGAAUAAGCAGGGUAUCUUCCGAGGUUAGAAAUUGGGCUACGAGUAUUCGUUUUGGACAUAUAAUAGAGUUUCUAAGCUUGCGAUGAGUCGAACCAAAUGCAGAACAACCUAGGCUGUUAUGCCCUGCGAUUAAGCUAAAAAUUUACUUCAUUUAUAGUCGUUUUUCAGUUUUAAGAUAUUUUUUUAUUUUUCUUGAUUCUUCUAGGAUUUUAAAAUAUUAGAUUUAAGUGCCAUCUAUUUUCUUUCUCUUAUUUAGAUUCGAAGAAUUUUAUUAUCAUAUAAUAUUUUGAAUUUGCUUAGUUUGUUAAAUUUGCCUCCUUUUAGGCUUCUAUAAAUGGGAUUCAAAACCCUAAUUUUGUUCAUUUAAAUUAUUCUCAAUAAAACUUAUUAUUCAAAUCCUGGUUUAUAUUAUCUAAUAGCUUUUUAGUGUUUCUGCAUAAUCAGCUGGUAUCAAAGAAAGUUUGCUUGUCAUCAUGGUGCGAUCACACAAUCAAAGGAGCAAACAUCCCGAAGACAAUGUUUAAGGGAUGUAGGCAACGACUGUGGAGGUUAUCAGAUAGAUGGUCAAAGGAGCAAUCUUGCAAGUCAUGCAGGACGCAUAUAACCUGAGAAUGGUAGCAGACAAAUAUUAGGUUAUCUCUUGUAAGCCAUAUUCAUAAAUGUAUUGAGGGAAAGAUAUUUUUUUCUUGUCUUAAAAGAUGUGUGGGAUGGACGUUACAAUUAAUGGGAACCAUUCUUCUGUUGUUUAAAGAAUGGUCUCUACGAUAGUCAAAUUUUGAUUACUGCAAGUAAUCAGUUAGUAGCAAGCAUGAUGAGAUCAACAAAUCUUACCUUUCUUAAGGAAUUAAUUGAAGAAGAAUGUUGGUAAUUGUUUAAGCAGGUAGCAUUUUUUGGUCAAUUCUUCAAGGAUCGUGAUCAGUCGAUCAAAAAAUUGCAUGUAAGUGCAAAGGCUUGCCUUUUGUUGCAAAGAUAAUAGGGAAAUUCUUACACUAUAAAUGACCAAUAGAAGAAUAGAAAAAAAUUUUAGAUAGUGGAAUGUGGAAGGUAGAAGAGUUUGGGAAAGGUCUUUUGACUCCUUUCUUGUUAAGUUAUAAUGAUUUAUCGUCCAUAGUAAAACAAUAUUUCUCACAUUGUGCUAUCUUUUCAAAAGGUUACAAUAUGUGUAAAGAGGAACUAAUUACACCAUGGAUGGCUCAAAGUUACUUUAAAUGUAGAAGAAGGCAUUGUUUAAAGCAUGGUCUCCACGGAAGUAAAAAUUUGGUUUCCACACGUAAUGAGUCAGUUGCACGUAUGAUGGGAUCAAAAAAUAUUAUCUUCAUUGAGCAAUUGACUGAAGAGGAAUGUUGGUUGUUGUUCAAGCAGUUAGCAUUUUCCGGUCGCUCUUUGGAGGAUGGUGAAAAAUUAGAACCAAUCGUGCAAAAAAUUGCACGCAAGUGCAAAGGCCUGCCUCUUGCUGCAAGGUAACAGGGAAUCUAUAGGGUAUGAUAAAUGCAUAUAUAGUGGCCAAGUCACUCAUUACAUUUCAUCUUGUUGAAAAGUCAGAAGCAAAUGCCAACUUUGCAACUGUUAGCAUGAAGGCUUUGAAGAAGCAAAAUCCAAUUCGGUUUUUGUUAGCCGAAAAGAAAGAAUGGAAAAAGGGGAUGUAUUGAAAAUAAUAAUAAUUAUUUAUUAUAUUUUCAAUUAUUUUAUUCUUUGCAUAGUGCCAACAUUUUUCCUAUAAAUAGUUAAGGAUUUCAUUCAUUUGAAAUCAUCCCAAAAUUGUUAAGCUUAGUUUCUAAGCUUUUGAGAGAAGUGAGAGAAGUGUGUCUGGGGAAUGUAUUUUUCCUGCAGAGUGUGAGAGUACUGGGUAUAUUUGGGUUUCUGGGAAGUGAGAUUCGUUACUCAAAUAUUGUAUUCUAUUAAUUGUUUUGUUAAAUAAACAAUUAUUCUUUCUUGCCUCCGUGGAUGUAGGUUUAAUUACCGAACCACGUAAAUUCUUGUGUCCUUUAUUUUUCAGUAAUUAUUUGGUGCGCUUGAUUCCGCAUUCCGCGCGCACAACAAGUGGUAUCAGAGCCGAAGGUUCGUACUUAGGGGGGAUACGGUACUGUUCAUGUAUACGGUAUUAUAUCCGUAUAUAGUACUAUUCACGUAUAUGGUAUUCUUCACGUAUACGGUACUAUUCACGUAUAUGGUACUGUUCACAGAGGUACUAUUCACGAAUACGGUGGAGACGGCCAUUUGUACUUGGGAGACAGUCUAUUGUAAGUAGUGUGUAUUUUUGCAUGUCUAGGAAAGUUCUGUCAAAAAGGCGAUAAGAGUCUAAGGAUUCUGGUUUUUAAUUGGGACCGGGUUCCCGUCCAGUUUCCUGGGAACUUUCCUGGUGCAUUUAUUCACGCGAAAUUAACAUCAUAGAGGCUGUUUUUCAAGUGGAAAUAGUUCAUUGAGAAAAAUGGUAGAAGGUGAAACUUCCAGAAUUGGGGAGAGAUCUACCGAGACUAUUUCAGGAGACACUUCAGGUGGGAGGCGAGAUUUGUCAAAUCGCUAUUCAGCACCUGUUAUGGGAGGCCAGAAGAUCGAUGUUGAAAAAUUUGAUGGGAAAAUCAACUUCGGCAUGUGGAGGCGCGAAGUUAUGGAUGCCCUUAUUCAAAUCGAUCUUGAUGUUGUUCUGAAAAAUAAAAGACACUUGUAUGAUGAAGAAAUUUGGGAUCGUAUGAAUGAAAAAGCCUGUGGUCAGAUCAGAUCUUGUUUGACCAAGGAGGUGAAAUACUUGGUGAAAGAUGAGGAGUGUGCGAUGACUUUAUGGCUUACAUUGGAGGAGAAGUACCUGGUGAAAAGUCCUGAAAAUCGCCUUCAUGCAAUGAGCCAAGUAUAUGGUUUUCGAAUGAAGCAUGGGGUGUCAAUGCACGAUUAUGUGUCAAGAUUUGAAAAGUUACUUGCUGAUUUGAAGAAUCUUGAUGAAGAUAUUAAAGAUGAAGUCAAGGCUAUGAUUCUGUUACACUCACUACCAGAGGAAUAUAGCCAGUUUGUGACUACUUUGAUAUAUGGGAAGAGUGUGAUCGUCUUCAAAGACGUUUGCACAACAUUGACUAGUUUGGAGAUUCGGAAUAAUGAUAAAAAUUCUGAACGAGCAUCGUCUGAAGCUUUGGUGAGCAGAGAUUGGGCGAUGGAGAAAAAGAAGAAGCGUGGUGGAAAGAAUUCUCGAUCCAAAUCGAGAAGCAGAAAUCUAGCUCGUGAUGAGUGUGCCUUUUGUCAUGAAAAGGGCCAUUAGAGGAAAGAUUGUCCAAAGGCUAAAAAGAGAGAUGGGAAGAAACCAGCAGCAGCAAACAUGGCACGGAAAGAUGAGGAUUCUGAUUAUUCACUAAGUAUCACUCCUGCAGCAUGUGUGGCUAAUUCGAGCGAGUGGAUACUUGAUACUGGAGCAACCUAUCAUUUGUGUCCUAUUAAGGAAUGGUUUGCAGAUUUUCGUAAUCUAGAAUCCGGUGCAGUUGUGAUGGGGAAUGAUAAACCUUGUCGCACAAUGGGGAUAGGAACAAUUCGGCUCAAAAUGUUUGAUGGAAUGGUCAGGGAACUCAAAGAGGUUAGAUUUGUUCCAGAGAUAAAGAAAAAUCUAAUUUCUGUGGGUGCUUUGGAAGAUAAAGGCUACAAGGUUACCAUUGAAGAUGGUACAAUAAAGUUUACACAUAGAGUUAUGGUGAUUCUGCAAGGGGUUCGGCGUCACAAUCUGUACUAUUUGAAGGGAGGUACACCUGAUGAAGCAAAUGUUGUUGAGGCGCACAGUGACACCACCAAGCUAUGGCAUGUACGACUGAGACAUGCAGGAGAGAAGUCUUUGCAAAAUCUGAUGAGGCAUGGACUCUUAAAAGGUACCAAAACCUGUAAAUUAAAUUUCUGUGAGCAUUGUGUAGUAGGCAAGAAAACAAGGGUCAAGUUUGGUACAGCUAAUCACGAAACUCGUGAGAUCCUUGAAUAUGUUCAUAGUGAUGUAUGGGGACCAACCAAGACUGCAUCAAUUGGUGGAAGCCAUUAUUUUGUUAUAUUUGUUGAUGAUUUCUCUAGAUGUGUAUGGGUGUACACCAUGCGAGCAAAGGAUGAGGUUCUAGAGAUUUUCGUGAAAUGGAAGAAAUUGGUGGAGACUCAAACUGGCAAAAAGAUCAAAGUAUUACGAUCUGAUAAUGGGGGUGAAUAUACUUCUGAUCCAUUCUUGCAAGUAUGCCAGAACGAGGGUAUUAAAAGACAUUUCACGGUGAGACAUACUCUGCAACAGAACGGUGUGGCUGAGCGUAUGAAUCGUACUUUACUGAAGAAGGUACGGUGUAUGUUAUCUAAUGCUGGUUUAGAUAAAAAGUUUUGGGCUGAAGCUGUGAGCUACGCAAGUCACUUGGUAAACCGAUUGCCUUCUGCUGCAAUUGGAGGUAAAACUUCUAUGGAAAUGUGGUCUGGAAAGCAUGCACAAGACUAUGAUUCCCUUCGUAUAUUCGGGUGUCCAGCUUAUUAUCAUGUCAAAGAUGGUAAACUGGAUCCUCGUGCAAGAAAAGCUAUCUUUGUGGGAUUCAAAGGUGGAGUAAAGGGCUUCAAGCUUUGGGAUCUCGAAGACAAAAAGUUUGUGUGUAGUAGAGAUGUCACAUUUGAUGAAGCUUUAAUGAUAAAAGCUUCAAGUUCUCAGCAGGUGGAGAACAAGACCACAGAGGUAUUGCAGCGGGUGGAGUUUGAUGCAACUCCAUAUGUACUAGUUAGUUCUACAUCAAAGAAUAGUUCAACUAUGGAGGUGACACCUAGAGUUAAAGAAGAGGUUGUUUCUUCUGAUGUCCCACAAAAUGAAGAAACAAUUGAUGAUGAUUUUAUAGCAACAAGGAGGCCAAGAAGAGAGAUAAAGAAACCCGGAUGGCUUACUAAAGAUAUGGUGGUAGCCUAUGCACUUCCAGUUAUUGAUGAUGACAUCCCCAACACUUUCGGUGAAGCAUUACGCAGCAGUGAAAGUGAUCAGUGGAAGCUAGCCAUGGAGGAAGAGAUGAAAUCUCUCCAUCAAAAUCAGACUUGGGAACUUGUAAAGUUACCAAAGCGGAAAAGGGCUAUUGGCAAUAAAUGAGUCUACACCAAAAAGCAAGGAUCUCCGAAUCAAACAACUCCUCGAUAUAAGGCAAGGCUCGUGGCAAAAGGUUUUGCUCAAAAGGAAGGUAUUGACUACAAUGAAGUUUUCUCUCCAGUUGUAAAACAUACUUCCAUUCGUAUCCUACUUGCCUUAGUUGUAGAAUAUGAGUUAGAGUUGGCUCAGUUGGAUGUGAAGACGGCGUUCUUACAUGGAGAUUUGGAGGAGGAAAUCUAUAUGAUUCAGCCUUGUGGUUUCAAAGUUGCUGGAAAAGGAAAAUCGUGUUUACCGAUUGAGUAAAUCUUUAUACGGAUUAGUAUGAACUACGGUUGGCUUGAUCCCAAACUUUGGGUACGUAGGCAGUCGGAUAGAUGCAGCCAAUGUGGAUCCUUUUGAGGAUCAUGUGGGGGAUGUUUGGAACUACGGUAGGCUUGAUCCCAACCUUGGGGUACGUAGGCAGUCGGAUAGAUGCCAGCCAAUGUGGAUCCUUUUGAGGAUCAUGUGAGGGUUCGUUGGUAGUCGGCUCAGAUUUGGCUAAAUCUUCGCCGAGGUGGAGAAUUGUUGAAAAGUCAGAAGCAAAUGCCAACUUUGCAACUGUUAGCAUGAAGGCUUUGAAGAAGCAAAAUCCAAUUCGGUUUUUGUUAGCCGAAAAGAAAGAAUGGAAAAAGGGGAUGUAUUGAAAAUAAUAAUAAUUAUUUAUUAUAUUUUCAAUUAUUUUAUUCUUUGCAUAGUGCCAACAUUUUCCCUAUAAAUAGUUAAGGAUUUCAUUCAUUUGAAAUCAUCCCAAAAUUGUUAAGCUUAUAAGUUUCUAAGCUUUUGAGAGAAGUGAGAGAAGGGUGUUUGGGGAAUGUAUUUUUCCUGCAGAGUGUGAGAGUACUGGGUAUAUUUGGAUUUUUGGAAAGUGAGAUUCGUUACUCAAAUAUUGUAUUCUAUUAAUUGUUAAAUAAACAAUUAUUCUUUCUUGCCUCCGUGGAUGUAGGUUUAAAUUACCGAACCACGUAAAAUUCUUGUGUCCUUUAUUUUUCAGUAAUUAUUUGGUGCGCUUGAUUCCGCAUUCCGCGCGCACAACACAUCUCUCAUAUGAACAUGAUUCUGAAUUUGAAUUUCCAUGAAUAAUUGUUGGGCUGGUGCAGAUAUUCUUAAAAGGGCAUUAAAGCUACCUCAUGAAAUUGGAAGUUAUCAUUGUUGAAUGAAAGCACCAUCUUCUGUUUNNNNNNNNNNNNNNNNNNNNNNNNNNNNNNNNNNNNNNNNNNNNNNNNNNNNNNNNNNNNNNNNNNNNNNNNNNNNNNNNNNNNNNNNNNNNNNNNNNNNNNNNNNNNNNNNNNNNNNNNNNNNNNNNNNNNNNNNNNNNNNNNNNNNNNNNNNNNNNNNNNNNNNNNNNNNNNNNNNNNNNNNNNNNNNNNNNNNNNNNNNNNNNNNNNNNNNNNNNNNNNNNNNNNNNNNNNNNNNNNNNNNNNCCAAAUAGAGCCCUCCAUUUUGUAAAAUAACAUCCUCAAAUUUGAAUUGUUGAGCACAUGAAGUGAUGAUAAAGCCUUGAUAAUAAGACCUUCCAAUGAAAGUUUCAUUUGAGUGAAUUAUGGGAGAAUGAAAGUUCUUGGAAUGAGUGAGAAAUUAAGCAUAUAUCAGCGAUUUGGGUUGUCAGUGAAUGUUUUUCUUUAACAUUAGUACACUCUUAUUUCUUAGUAAAAUUCUCUUCACGUCUUUGACUGUGACGUAGACCAAAAGCUAAACAAUGUAAAAUUAUAUUGUUAUUUCCUUAUGCUUGUUUUGCUAUAUAUCAUUUCUGUGCAAUCAAGAAUGUAAUUUUGUAAUUAUUCAACUCUGCUUCCGCGAACAUGCGGUAUCUUGCAGAUUUUUUUUCUCCCUUUUUCUUUCUGCGUUAAAACUGCAACAAAUGGAAGUGACUGGCUUGAUUUUAGCUCCUGUAAAAAAGUGCCUGGGGCAAUGUCUUUUGUAUCAGCAAGUUAUCAAACAUCAUAGUUUAAAUAUAGAAUCCUGAGUUGCUAUCGAAAAUUCCAGGUCUUUCACCUCUCAGUUUCUUAAAAGCUACAAAGCUUGAUAGAUAUUGACAAAGCAAACCGUCUGCGGGCUGAAAUGCUUCCACGGAUCAGGAAGGAAUUUGGUGUUGACACUAUAUGUUAUGCGGAUAACUACAGUUGAUAGUUUUGACCCAAAAUAUGUCACAGUUGACAAUUGACUUACAGUGUUUCCUUGUGUUACCAGGCUCUCAUGUGUGAAUUGAAAGAUUAAGAAAGAUUAAUUCUUACUGACUUAUGCAAUUGAAGAUUAUGAAAAAGCAUUUGCACUAAAGUUCCCAGCUUGUUUAAUUGCUGUGAAGAGGCACAUUCAUUCUGAGUACUUGAGUUUCAGAUUUCCAAGAUGUGUAAUUUUAGUUGCCAUUGAAGUAUUUAGUCGCUCAUUCUUAAAAAUCUGUUCCAAUUUUCCUGUUAUUUUGGGCCAUAAACAGUUUAACAAGUCUGCAUGUGGUUUCUAAAGAUUGAUGGUUAUGAUAAAUAUUGUGAGGUAUGAAAUAUUAAAUUGCUAUAAAUAUGUGUACAAAUUUUUCCUAUUACAUUGGGAAUGAAAUUGUAACUUGCGGGUCAAAAGAAAUCCUAAUUUGCUUUAGGUAAGAAAUCUUAAUUUGCUUAAGUGUCUGCAUUUGUGUACAAAGGAAAAAUAAGAAAUUCUGCUACAUGGGGACCGAAAAUUUAAUUGGCAGGGUCUUCAUCAAAUGUUUGUUAUCAAUACUGAUCCCGGAAUGUAUGGAACACCGUGAAAAGUUUUUCAUAGUUUCGUGAAGAAGGCUGAUUUAUCUGAUUCAUAGAUUUGUUAAAAGCGCAUCGGGCGGGGGACAAAAGAAGUGUUGAAAUUGAAAAGGUUAAUGGUUGAAGCAUGCAGUGUUGCAAUUAAGUUAUUAUUGUCUUGAAAUAACAGGAGAUGAUAAGAUGCUGCUUAAAGCAUGCAGUUUCUGUUACAAUUGUAUUGGCCUGGGUUUAGGGAACUGUCAGAACUUUCAGAAGAAGAUGGAGUUUCUCAAACCAAAUCUAAGAAGAUAUCUCACAUUCCCCACAUGGUCUCAACGCACAGGUAAGUUUCUUCUCGAGCUCUGUUUUUCAUUGUUCGUUAUUUUUAAUGUAAAUAAGGAGCAGAGUUAAUCUCUUAUCUUGACUUUGCUUUGAGAAAACUACUAUUAUAUCUAUUUUUAAUUCACAUGUCCACAGUAAUUUCAUUCUAGUUUGAGCUGAGUGAUAACUGUUCAAGGCUCACUUACUCAUUGGGAGAAGCUCCAUGAUGCAGGCUGCUAGGAUUAGCUUGUACAAUUGCUGUGAAGAGGUACGUUUGGUUGCGAUCAAAAUUAUUAGUCUCUUGUUCUUAAUGUUUUCUGAUUUUCCAGUUCUUUAGGGGCCAUAAACAGUUUUCCAAGUACUGCAUGUGGCGGCAAAAGAUUGAUGGUGAUAAUUCUAUCUUGUGGCAUGUGUGUUGCAUUUGAGCACACGCAGAAACAGAGCUCAAGGGAAAGAAAUUGGAAGAUGCUCUAAAUAUAACAAAAGUAUAUCUCUACUUGCGGUCAAUUUAUAUUUGUUUCUUGUGUCAUUAUGCAGAUUAAUUUAUUCGAAUUUAUCCUAUCUCAUUCAUUUAUUUUGGACAUAAGUUCGAAAAAAAAAAAUUUUAAGCAUACAGUUUCCAAUGGAUUUGAUAGAGUGGUCACAUGGCAUUUUGAUGUUGUUGGAGUAGCACUGUUCUUAAGCACGGCUUUGAGGUAUCUCCCUCUCUCUUUUACGUAUUUGUUUAUCGAUCUACAUCUCUAUAUGCAUUGAUAGACUAUUCUUGCCGUACAAAAUUACUCUUGUUUUAGUGUUUUGUUUGUUGAACUUUGACUGGGGAAUCUGUCUCUUUGUCUGAUAUGAUGUUAGUGUAUUGAAGUGUGUUAGAUCUAUCACCGAGUAUUAUUUCAAUUUUUCUUUACUUAAUCAACUUGCAUCCUUUCCAAGUCCAGAUCCUUAACAAUAGUGAGACUUCGCUACAGAAGCACAAUUUCUCUUGUUUUACAGUUAAAUAUGCAAGAAUGGUUUUAAAUUAACAGAACGCUUGAGAUAGUUCUCUGAGGAAAUGCAAGUGGUGAACAUGGUUCCAACUUUUAAGAGCCUUAAUAUACCCAUUUGUUCAGCGCUGUGUGUAAACAAUCAGUAUUGCGGUUUACAUUCUUCUUUACUGCCUAUAUGUCUUGGACUUUGUCUCAAAUGGAUUCCAUGCGGGGUUUUGAAUGUCCAAUUAGGAGAAAAAUCAAGGCUUGCUUGGCCAGGAGUGGAAGCGGAUCCGCUACUUCAGUCAGAUGAACUUUUGAAGAAGGCUUACAACAGGCCAUCUCGGGAUGUCAAUGGCUCAACUCAAAAGUCAUUGAUGUCAAAGAAUGCCAUUGUCUCCGGGCUUGGGCUCCUUGGCAUCAAACAAGGGAAUGUCGACUCUGUUGAAGGGGAAACAAGGGCUCCUAAAGUGCGAAGACAGAGGAUAGUCCGGAAGAAUUAAGGUGACCGCAUAAAUUUCUUGGAGUUAAUCUUGUCAAUUGCCCAAUUUUGCUGCCUGCCGAACAGAUACAACGCGGAAGUCCUCAUCAAACCUUUGAGACAUCCAAGAACUAGUAGGAGGAGGUGGUAUUCACCCUGUUUCCUGGCAAGUAUAGUUCACUACUUCACUGAUAGAGGGAUUCUUUUCUUGAUUUCUAAAUACCAUAUGUGAUACAACGUGGUAUAUUCCAAUUUUUCUCCAGUUAAAUUCUAGUAAGUUAAAAAAGUUAAUUUUGUUUUUGCGACGAAUUGUUCUCUUAAUAAUAAUAAUUGCAUGUUGCUUUGGAAUCUUAUUCACUCUCAGUAACCCAAUUAAAUUUUGCAAAAUUUACUGCAGAUUUGUCAAACAGUGUCUUUGUGAUGACACUUUUGAUCGCAAAUUUCAAUUUGAAGUAUCAUGUAACACCAAAAAACCAUAACUUGUAAUUACUUGAUCAUACUUGACUUCCUAUUUAGGUUCUGUUUGGAAUUGAAGUGUUGUAGCUACAACUAUCUUGUGGAAAAAAAAAAGUUAGAAUUAUGAAACAAAAGUUAAUAAUAUGUAGUAAAUAUAAAUUUUAAAUAAUUAUUUUGAUAAAAUUAUUAAAGAUAUAAUAGAUUUUCCAUCAUAUAAGUGAAAAAUUAGAUCAACAUAACUUCUAAAUUAUAGCAAUUAGUGUUUACCAAAUACUUUAGUACUGUAACUUUUAAGUUACAGUUGUACAAUUUCAAUUCCAAACACGCCCUUAGUACUACUGUGUUGUAGUUAUAGUUAUUGUGAAAAAAGAACUAAAACUAUAAUAUAAAUGUUGAUCGUGUGUCAUAUAUAUGAUUUUUAAAUAAUAAUUUUGACAAAAUUAAUAAAUAUAUUAUUGAUUCUUUUAUACUCCCGGUUUAAUUUUUAAGUCACAAUAUUAAAUAUUUAUUAAAUAUUUUGAUACUGUAACUUAAAAACUAUGCUCUACGACACUCUUAUCUAAUUUUAUUUGUACUUUCUAGCUCGAUUAUACAAAUCCUUACUUGAUGUACUUGACCAUACAAGAUGUUACUUAACUUCACUUAAUCUUACUCGACUUUAAUUGUAUAUUUUAUACCGAAAUUUUUGUCAAAAAAAAUUGGUCCCAAUUCCAUGCUCCUUCGGGGAUCCCAGCAAAACAGUAACUUCCAUUCAAAAGGGUUCCAUGUUGAGUGCAUGUAAUCUACACAAGUUUGAGAAGAAAUAACCAAAAUAAAUAAAUAAAAGAAACCCACGUCCAAAGAUGCCGUUGAAAGUUGAAACAAAAAUUUAUUAUUGAUACGAGAAAAGAGUUUAUUAUUUUCUUAACAAAAAUUUAAGCUAAGACAAAAAUAAUGCCCAAAACACCCUUCUCAUGAUCCCAAACUUUCUAAACUCCCCCAUUCCUCUGAGCAUCAUCUCUCCCAAAUCUUUCUUCCCCCACAACCAGCCAUGGCUUCAAAUUCAAUUAGCUCAACACUCCAAUGUUGCUUGUAAGCCACCCACAAAUCCUCAACUUCACAUGGACUCAAAACCAAACCCUAGCUUCCUUCCCACACAUCCUCAUUAUCUUCAUCGUUACUUACCUCCCUCACAUCCAUCCUCUGCCACACAUCAACAUCAACAUCAACAUCACCAUCAUCAUCACCUCUCAUUGGACCCCACAUUCUCAGAUCCAUCACAGCCAUCCAUAAUCUCACCCUCCUCCUCUUCUCCCUCAUCAUGGCCGCUGGUUGCACCCUCUCGAUCAUCCUCCACUCACCUCACCUCCACUACUUCCCCUGUUUCCCCCCUACCAUUUCUCCCUCCGGCCCCCUCUGCUUCUACGCUUACGUUUUUAACUCUAAAAAAUACUCGAAUUCCCAGACACCCUUUUGAUCAUUUUGUCAAACUCCAUCCAACGGCUCACGUUCCUCCACGUCUACCACCAUGCAACCGUCGUUGUAAUGUGCUACAUUUGGUUACAGACGAAGCGGUCUUUGCUUCCUAUUGCGCUUGUUACCAGUGCAAGUGUGCAUGUGAUCAUGUACGGGUACUAUCUAUUGUGUGUUCUGGGGUUGCGGCAGAUUGGUCACUGAUUGUCAGAUUGUUUAGUUUUGCUGUUUUGGUACUGAUGCUGAAUUAUCAUUUCACGGGAUUUGGUUUCCCUGGGAUUUGGGGUUGGUGCUUCAAUGCUGUGAUUAAUGCCUCCCUUUUGGCCCUUUUUGUUAAUUUUCAUUACAAGAGCAUAGAAGUAAAUAAUUGAAUUAACUAUUAUUAUCUACAUUAAUGUGAUGGAACACAAGCCACAUCAACUAGAAUUAGAUUAUGAAUUUUAGCAGCCCCAGCAAAAAACAUUUAUGAAAGANNNNNNNNNNNNNNNNNNNNNNNNNNNNNNNNNNNNNNNNNNNNNNNNNNNNNNNNNNNNNNNNNNNNNNNNNNNNNNNNNNNNNNNNNNNNNNNNNNNNNNNNNNNNNNNNNNNNNNNNNNNNNNNNNNNNNNNNNNNNNNNNNNNNNNNNNNNNNNAUGGGCCUAAGUCUUUGAUUUUUUAUUUUGUUAAUUUUUUUUUAUUUUUUACUUGCAAUAGUAACUUCAAUUAUGAAUCAAAGUCGCCAAAUCAAAAUCGCUGCAGCCUGUAGCUACAAGCAAAAUUCUCAAUUAUUGAUCAGAAAGCUAGCCCCAGACGGUGACUCCUGUGGGGACUCCUUUAAUUUGCAGCACAAAACAACGUUCACAUUGACAUUGACUUGAGGGUAAAAAUUAAAUAUCUCCUAUUAGUAUAAGAAGAAUGCAAACAUGCUUGAAUCAACAUUCUCACAGAAUCACUAAAUUCUCAAAUUUUGAAAUACCUAACAAUUACAUACUAGCUAUAAAUAAAUAAAUAAAAAAUUGUCUAAAAUUAAUUCCCAGCUAACACUUGAAAUUUGAAUUUGGGCCUCAUGAAGAUUUACCCCGAGCUCUACCCCUGGAUAUGGAACAAAAUAUUAUUAGUUUUGCUAGUGAAAUUGCCAAUUAUGUUUUUGUUUUGUAUUUUCCGCUUAGGGAAGAAGAAAUUUCCUACAAAUUUUGUGGUGAAUAUCUUGUGAAUAUAUGACAGUUUAAUCUUUAGUCACCACUUGUUUAAAAUAAAAAAGAGAAAAGGAUAUCUAUAUCCCCAUGGUUUGGAGAAAUAGUCACCAACACCCCAAGUUUUCUAAAAAUGACAUCAAGACUCUCUUUUGACCAUAAUACUCUUUACCUUUAGUAUCCCGAAAAAUUUAACUUGCAAAUUUUUAGUAAACACAAAUAUUAUAUAAAUAAUGUAAUCUAUGUAGUAGAUUAAUAAUAUUAAAAUAAAUUUAAAUAUGUAAAUUAUUAUAUUUAUUUUAAUAAUAUAUUUGUAUUUAUUGUAGAGAUUUUAAAUAAAUAUUUGCAUUAAAUACAUUUUACAAUUAAAAAAGUCUCACAUACUAAUAAUAUUAAAAUUAUUAUUUUUCAUAAUAAUUUAAAUUUUAAUACAUUUAUUUUAAUAUUAUAUUUCUAUUUAUUAUAAAAAAAAUUAAAGUUAACUUUUGGGAUAAUAAAAGUAAAGGGUAUUGUAGUAAAAAAUGAGUUUUAGUGUCUCUUUUUGAAAACUUAGGACUUGGAAGCGUUGGUAACUAUUUUUCCAAAAUUUGGAGAUAUAGAUAUCCUUUUCCUAACAAAAAAUGACAUUUUUGAUAGGAGAUAUAAUAAGUUUUGUUCCUUAAAAAAAUCCAUCAGAUAUAUUAUGCCCCCGGUUGCUAUUGUUAAAAACAAGUAAUUCUUCUUUUUGUAUAUUAAAAUAGUAAAAGGGUGGAUAAUAUUUAAAAUAUUUUUUUAACCUUUUAUCUUUUUUGACAUUCGAAUUUUAAACUCGAGAAGUCAACCAAAUAGACUUCUUGAGAGGUUAACUAAAUUCUUAGUAAUUUAAUAUAAUAUCAUAACCGUUCUUCAAAAGCAAUUUUAUAAAUCAUUGUGGAAAAAUUUUAUUCCUUAGUUAUCUUUCGCAUAUUUUAAUUCUUUGUAAUAUGAGGUAAGUCCGUAGACAAUAGUAUGAUAUUUAUUAAAAUCAUUAUGGGACAGAUUUUAUUCUUUUUUUUUUUCUCAACAAAGUAUCCGACUGUAGAUAUAAUAAAUUACUAAUUAAAAUUAUUCGAGUCACACUCUAAAUUAGAUUUUAAAGUUUGUCAUGACAUAAUAAAGUUACAUUCUCAAAUGACCAAAUCAAUUAAUGAGAUAAUGGCUUUUGCUUUUGCCUACCUGACAAAAAGAUGUUGUCGGCCAAGUUGAAAAAUAUAGUAAAUAAAUUUCACUUGCACGUUCCAGAUCGAUCACAUACAAAUUUGUACUGAAAUUCAUAAUGGAUUAAUAUGAUUGGGCGAAAUUACUCCAUAUAAUUUCAUCAAUACCUAUUAAACGAUAAAAAAUUUAUUAAUAUUUAUAAUUAAAAAAAUCUAUCCACUAAGACUAUUCUAGAUCAACAAUUAAUAUAUUAUAUAUAACUUCAAAAGGUUCAUCGGUGGAUUGAUUUAAGCCCUUUGUUGUAGUUUAUAAAUAUUUUGUUGCUUAUAAUGUAAGAAAUUUUAUAGGAGCUGAUGCUGAGUAGUCUGAAUAAGAAAAUUAAUUAUAUUUAUAAGUUAUUGGGUAUCCAUAAUAAAAUAAACAAAUAAAAAAUGAAUAAAAAUUUAAAUACUUAAUUAAUUUUUAUCAAAUUCUUAUCAAAUAUUUAAAAAAGUAUAUAAAAUCAAUUAAUUGAUGGUAUUAUUAAUUUUCAUGAUGAUUUUUAAUAUUAUAUUAGUGAUUAUUAAAUUUAAUACAAUCAAUAAUGCAAGAAAUGAUUAAAUGGUCAAUUUUAUUGACAAAUUAUCAAAUAUGCAAAGUAAUGAAAAAUUAAUCUCAAGAGUUAGUAGAAGUAAAGUUCCAAUUUAAUCAGAUGAUAGAUAAUAAAGUUCCACUACUGUGUGAUAUCGAUGAAGUCGCAAAAUUAGUCUAAUUCCAUACUUAAUCCUAGUAUCCGAACAUGGCCUGAUAAAAUAGUUUAGGUAAUAUACUUCUAUGACUCACAAUUUAAAUAAAUUUGAGAAUUUAUAUAAGGGAUGGAAAAUUCACAAUAAUCAUAACAUGUGCUAUCUUUUCUUCCUUUUCUUAAUUAAACACGAUGAAGUCGCAUGAAGUCGAUGAAGUCAAUAACCACUGCUGUGUGAUAUCGAUGAAGUCGCAUUCGCCUACCUAAUAUUGCGCAAUUAGAUAGAAAAAACGGUCGGCUGCAUGAUUUUUCCAACUUUUGUCUUAUUUUUCUCUUUUCCACGACAAAUUAAUUUGAGAAUGUUACAUUUUCCAAUUCUCUUUUUGUCGUGACCUAAUAGACUAAAACGGAAUCACAUACUUUUUCAAAUGACCAAAUGGCUUUGGCCUACCUGAUAAUAAAAGGAAUGGAUCCAUACGUUAGUAUGGAUAAAUUGAAAAAUAUAAUAAAUAAAUUGUCAGGAGACGAUUUUAUCAAAAAUUUCACUCGCACGGUCCCGACCAAAUACAAAUUUGUGAUGAUAUUCAUAAUGAAUUACUCUAUACAGUUUCAUCGAUAUAUAUUAUACCAUUAAAAAUAUACUACUAUUUAUAAUAAAAAAAAAUUAUGACUAUUCUAAAUCGACUGUAUUAUAUGUGAAUUCACAAGAUUCAUAGAUAGAUUGCACUGAGCUUUUUGUUGCAGUUUACAAAUAUUUUGUUACUAAUUAUCUUAGGAGCGGCAAGUAACUAAAUACAAAUGUAAGAAAUUUUACAAGUUGCUGAUGCUGUGUACUCCGCAGAAAGCUAGCCCCAGACGGUGACUCCUGUGGGGACUCCUUCAAUUUGCAUCACAAAAGAACGUUCACAUUGACAUUGACUUGAGGGUAAAAAUUAAAUAACUCCUAUGGUACGUAUAAGAAGAAUGCAAACAUGUUUUUUUUUUUUUUUUGAUUACAUGAGACUAUUGCUCAAAUUACAGUUCAAAUUACAACUCAUAUUACAUGAGAGUAUAAUUGAUAUGUACAAUCAUAUAUUUAUACUGAGCCCUAUUGAUAUGAAUACUGAUAUGACAUCGCUCAGAUUUUUAACCCUCUCAAAUAUUCGAGGGAUGUCAAACUCCCAUCCUGGGAGAAAGACUGUCUUCACUCGAGCUCAAGGGCUCCAAGAAAGAAUAUUUAAAUUAAACCCCUACAAUGCGACUGCGGAGGCUCGAACCCCUUCCCUCACAUUUGUGAGGGAGGGGCUCUAGCCACUUGGGCUAAGCCCAAGUGGUUAGAAUGCAAACAUGCUUGAAUGAACAUUCUCACAGAAUACAUAAAACCUACUUUCCUCUGAGCAUUUUAGCAGCAAGAAAAGCAAUUGCAGCAUUUACCAUUUGAUCUAAUAUCAGAAUGGCUCAUGCGAUCGUUUCCUCUCUCCUGGACCAGCUGAAAUCCAUUGCUCAAGAUCAGGUGAAAGAAAAGUGGAGGCUUGUCACGGGUGUCGAACAUGAAGUGGGAAAGCUUACCACCAAUCUUCAAGCCAUUCAAGCUGUGCUGGAAGAUGCAGAGCAGAGGCAAAUGAAGCAGGACAAAGCUGUUACUUUUUGGCUGGAUCAGCUCAGAGACGCAUCCUACGACAUGGAAGAUGUGUUGGAAGAGUGGAUCACUGAAACACGGAAAUUGCAGCUUGAUGAGGGAGGCGAUGAUGAUGAUGAUGAUGAUAACGACAGUGCUUUUGUUACUUUUUUGACGAAGGUAUGUUCCUUCUUUCCUGCUGCCUCAAACUGCUUUGGUGGUUUCAAACAACUCAGUCUUCGUCAUCAUAUUGCUGUCAAGAUUAGAGAAAUCAGUAAAAGGCUAGAUGAAAUUGCCACUCGAAAAGAUAGGUUUAAUUUUGUUGAGAAUGUGAGUAACAAUGUUAGGAAUCCAGAGCGAGUGCGAACCAUCUCCUUGAUUGAUGAGGGAGAGGUUUGCGGUAGAGUUGAGGAGAAAAAUGAGCUCUUAAGCAAGUUGUUGUGUGAAAGUAGUGAACAACAAAAAGGCCUUCAUGUCAUUUCACUAGUUGGGUUGGGGGGUAUAGGUAAAACCACUCUUGCACAAUUGGCGUAUAAUAAUGAUGAGGUGAAAAGAAAUUUUGGCAAAGUUAUAUGGGUGUGUGUAUCAUACACUUUUGAGGAGAUUAGGGUCGCCAAAGCAAUCAUUGAAGGUCUAGGCGUGUCAGCUUCUGGUUUAAGCGAAUUCGAAUCUCUUAUGAAACAGAUUCAGAAAUAUAUUACGGGGAAGAAAUUUUUUCUUGUUUUAGAUGAUGUGUGGGAUGGAGAUUACAAAAAAUGGGACCCAUUCUUUUCUUGUCUAAAGAAUGGCCACCAUGAAAGUAAAAUUCUAAUUACCACACGUGAUAGGUCAGUUGCACUGCAGUUGGGAUCAAUAGAUAUUAUCCCUGUCAAGGAGUUGGGUGAAGGGGAAUGUUGGUUACUGUUUAAGCAGAUAGCAUUUCUACGUAGGUCCUUUGAGGAUUGUGAAAAAUUAGAACCAAUCGGGCGAAAAAUUGCAUGUAAGUGCAAAGGCCUGCCUCUUGCUGCAAAGGUAAUAGGGAAUCUCUUGCGCUCUAAAAGUACAGUAAAAGAGUGGCAAAGAAUUUUAGAGAGUGAAAUGUGGAAAGUAGAAGAGAUUGGGCAAGGUAUUUUGGCUCCUUUGUUGUUGAGUUAUAACGAUUUACCCUCCAAUUCUAUGGUAAAACGGUGCUUCUCAUAUUGUGCUGUCUUUCCAAAAGACUACAAUAUGAAGAAAAGGGAAUUGAUUAGUCUAUGGAUGGCUCAAGGUUACCUUAAUGCAGAUGAAGAUGAAGAAAUGGAGAUGAUUGGAGAAGAGUAUUUCAACAUCUUAGCAACACGCUCUUUCUUUCAAGAGUUUGAAAAAUAUUAUGACAAUGAUGAUAUUAUGAGUUGCAAGAUGCAUGACAUAGUACAUGAUUUUGCUCAAUUUGUAAGUAGCAAAGAAUGUUUGUGGCUAGAAAUUAAUGGUACCAAGGAAUCAGUCAUAAACUCUUUUGGUGACAAAGUCCGUC